rnacentral:lncRNA from 1 species
AGCUGAAACCGUGCUGUUCUCGGCGGAGGGCGAGUUCACGUCGGCUGACCUCGCAGACAUGGAAAUUGUUGAGGAAUAAAUAAAAUAGGCACUGAGAAUGCCUGCUUCGCUGUGUGACGUAAACUGCAGUAGCUUACAUAGAGAGUGUGGAUGAAUAAAGAAGUGAUCCGUGCUAUAUCCUGUUAUUCCUCUUUUCGGCCCAAUACUUUGAUUCAUGUUAUCAGUGAAGAUUGUGAUCACAGUUGCCAUCGUUCGGAAGCACGUAGUGUAAUACGUUGUGCUAGAAUCUGGAAGCCUGGAACCGAAGUUCCAUACGGCGCGUGGUUUUACUAUAGAUAGUCAAUAAACAUGACUGUCGAUCGUUGUUUCAUUGCCCAUCGACACCCGUCGAACGUUGCUUUCCGGCUGCUCCAAUUCGGGGUGGAUGGACAGCUUUCGCUGCAGCACGCAACAGCAAAACCAGUUAAUGUAUGUUACCGCCUCUCAAUGAUUGCACUCGAAAUUUAAAUUGCCUAUAAUAUGACGCACACUUCCUUGGAAUGUGUUCCUUAAAUUUGGGAUGAACCCCGGCUAGCGGUUUCCGAAUAAAUUCAUUAUACUAGUAGGUGGUGGUAGAAUGAAAGCCACGCACUUGAAUCCUAUGCCACAAGAGGCUGGCAAACCAUCUCUACUCGGCAAACCAACCUGUGAUUGGAUGGUUAGAGGGACAGUGGUAUCCCCAGCAAUCAGGGUUCAAGUCCUGGUGCUCGUAUUAGGUGUCUAUGGUGACUUUGUAAAUUUUAAGAUGACAUGCCGGCUUAGUCUCUCGGAUGUGCUCAUAGGGAUAGGGUAUGCGUGUGUGCAUUCACGCCUAUGGUGAUUUCAUAAAUUUCAAGAUGACAUGCCGGCUUAGUCUCUCGGAUGUGCUCAUAGGGGUAGGGUGUGCGUGUGUGCAUUCAUAGGGGUGAGUGUAUGUGCGUAUGUAUGAGCGCUUGCGUUGUUAAGGGUGACAUGUCAUCACAUUGUUGUUGCUAAUCCUCGCUUGAUCCAAAUCUUAAUUCAAAUUAAAAUCCAAAAUUCAAGUUUCUCAGACAUGCAAAAUAAAAUGUUCAAAGUAUGGCAAAUAUUUCAUAACUAAUUAUGGUGGUGACCCAACACUUUUUUAAAGUGUUUAAAUCCCCUUUUGUGAAUAUAACAGUGGCUUAAACAAUCAUUUAAAUGCCUUUCCAUUUAUGAAAAAUUUCAAACAAACUCGAAAGCCUCCCAAACUUUUUGUGGCAGUGCUAGUAAAUGCAAGGUAUUUAUCUGGCCAAGUCCCAUUUAAAAAAAAAUACAUUUCCUAGCUAAAAGAAAUGCAAAAAAGAAAAGAAUAAAUGUAAAACUAAAAAGUAAAGGUAGACAAAACAAAAUAAAGAAAGGAGGUCUAACCCCCACUGCUGUCCCUCCAGCCAAACCAGCCCAUCCGGCUACCCUCCCAAUCCCCUGUUCACGCAGUCCCCCGUGGCCACGGCCGAUGCCUGACACGGCACUGGCCGACGUCGUGGCGACCAUCCACCGGUGCCGCCCUGCCAAUAUUACCCGGCGACCCCUCUCCCGUCGCCGAACCCUAACCCGCUUUCCCUUCAUCGCGCCCCCGUUCCCCUUUGUUCGCUCGUCGACGUCUCAGCGCCCCGAUCCCGUCCGUCACCGCCGCCGUCACGUCGCCGCGGCCGCGGCCAACGGCCUCCCCGGGGCUCGACGGGUUGUUCUACGGCCUCCCCGGCGUCGUCCCCGUCCUCUAUGCGCCGCGGCCGACCGGUGGAGCUGUCCUGCGUCGCCUACCCCAUCGUCUUCUACUUCGGGCAGCCGAGAUCGCCGCGGUCACCUCGUUGUCUCCGGUGCUCCCCCGAGCCCGCUAGUCUACCCUUCCGCCCCGCUGUAAGCCUCCGGUCCACCCCGACUCCUCCUUGCUUCCCCUAGUGUGUCGUAGCUAGCUUCCCGCAUGCCCGAGCUCAGGUUUGUUAGACUAUGUAUAGCUUCUGUACAUAUGUACGUAUUGUAACACAUCCAUUAUAUAUAAUGAGACAAGCCACCCCUAGAGGGUUGUGCUAGUUCCCCCAAAACUUAUUGUCUUACAUGGUAUCACACUAGGUUACGAUCGCUUCCGCUUCCAAACCCUAAUACCCGCACCGCCGCCGCAGCCGCCGCCGCCUUCACCGCCGCCAUGUCGAGCGCCGCCACCACCGGUUCCACUGCUGCGGGGUUCCUCCCGGCCUCUCUUGCGGCUCUGCUCAACCUCCCGCUCGAUGCCGUCGCCGUUCCGGCUCCGAUCGGGACCAGGAGCAUCGGCUCCGUCUACUCCACGCCGCCGGCGCCCUCGCUUGGGCGCGACCUCGUGGUCCACACCGCGGCGCCGCCGUCCGCUGCGGACUCCGCGGGCGUCGUCCCGCCGCUCCUGCCGCAAGCGGAUCACACCGCCCCGCUGGCGGGGUUGGCGGCGUCCGCCCCGGCCGCGGGCCUUGCGGCGUCCGACCCGGCCGCGAGCUUUGCGGCGUCCGCCCUGGCUGCGGUCCCGCCUCCUCCCGCAUCGGCUUCGGUGCCUCCGGCUGCCUCCAUGGUGUUUGCACCCCAGGCAGCCCCCUCGAUGGGAUCGUCUUCGCCGCCGCCGUUUCACUUCGGUCAUCUCAUCACCAUCAAGCUCUCCGCCGAUAACUACAUCUUCUGGCGUGCGCAGGUUCUCCCGCUCUUGGGGAGUCACUACCUGCUAGGCUACGUCGACGGAUCGCUUCCCUGCCCACCCGCACUGGUAGACAGCGUGCACGGUCCGGUCUACAAUCCGGCCCAUCGCGUCUGGACGGGGCAGGACCAGGCGAACCUCUCCUCCAUCCAGGGGUCGCUCUCGCCGGCAGUUGCCGGACUUGUUGUCUUCACGAAGACGUCUCAUGAGGCCUGGACCAUCCUUGAGCGAACCUUUGCAGCGCAGUCCCAGGCUCGUGUCUCUGCACUCCGUCGUCAGCUUGGAGAGUGUCAGAAGCUUGACUCCACUGCCACUGAGUUCUACAACAAGGUCAAGGGCCUCGCCGACACAUUGACCUCCAUUGGACAGCCCCUCACCGACUCCGAGUUCAACUCGUUUAUUGUCAAUGGUCUUGAUGAGGAGUAUGAUGCCUUAGUCGAGAUCAUCAACGAGCGGGGCAACUCGACACCCAUGCUGGCACACGAGGUUUUCUCUCGGCUCCUUCUCACUGAGCAACGGGUCGAGACACGCCGCUCUAGGGGCACUGGCUCCCUCUCGGCCAACGCCGCCACCAAGGGUGGCCGCUCUUCUUCAUCACCCCGGUCUCCCUUGGGGCUGCCACCGUCGCCCGCCUCGGCCCCCCCACCUACUGCGAUCUUACCGGGGGCUGGCGGUCCACGUGUGUGCCAGCUUUGUGGCCGCGAUGGGAACUGGGCCUCCAAGUGUCAUAAGCGCUUCCAGCGAAGCUUCCUUGGUCUUGGCAAUGACGGCAAAGAUACACGCAACAAUGCCCGUCAGGUCGCCAUGGCUGAUCGUCCCGCGCCGCAGAAGCAACAGGGACACACUCAGUCCUACUCCAUCGAUCCACACUGGUACAUGGACUCUGGGGCGACAGAGCAUCUGACCAGCGAGAUGGGGAAGCUUCACACUCGUGAACCCUAUCAUGGCUCCGACAAGAUCCACACCACCAAUGGAGCAGGUAUGCACAUCUCUCAUAUUGGUCAAGCAUCUCUUCUCACUAGCCAUGCCAAUAGGAGUCUUCAGCUUCGCAAUGUUCUUCGAGUUCCAUCUGUGACCCGUAAUCUUCUUUCAGUUCCUAAACUCACACAUGAUAAUAAUGUGCUUUGUGAAUUUCACCCUUUUGAUCUUUUUAUUAAGGAUCGGGGCACGAGGGACAUUCUUCUUAGUGGGCGGUUGUGCCAGGGCCUCUACCGUCUGGAGCAUCCUGGCGUCGCCCGUGUUUUCAGUGGAGUUCGGGUCUCUCCGUCACAGUGGCAUGCUCGUCUUGGUCACCCGGCCACACCUAUUGUCCGUCAUAUUUUGCGUCGUCAUGAGCUUCCUAGUUUGUCUAGUAAUAAAGAUGUAGCAGUGUGUGAUGCUUGUCAGCAGGGGAAGAGUCAUGAACUUCCUUUUUCGGAGUCCAGUCGUGAGGUGAAACAUCCUUUAGAGCUUGUGUUUUCAGAUGUAUGGGGUCCUGCUCAGACUUCUGUCAGUGGUCAUAAUUACUAUAUCAGUUUCGUUGAUGCUUAUAGUCGCUUUACCUGGCUUUACCUUAUUAAACGCAAAUCUGAUGUGUUUGAUAUUUUUGUUCAGUUUCAAAAACAUGUUGAACGUCUUCUCAAGCACAAAAUUGUUCAUGUCCAGUCGGACUGGGGGGGCGAGUAUCACAACCUCAACUCCUUCUUUCAGUCGCUUGGGAUAGCUCAUCGUUUAGCAUGUCCACAUACACAUCAGCAGAAUGGUUCAGUCGAACGUAAGCAUCGUCAUAUUGUUGAAGCUGGUCUUACUCUUUUGGCCCAUGCAUCUGUUCCGUUUCGGUUUUGGAGUGAUGCUUUCACCACUGCAUGCUUUCUCAUCAACCGUACUCCCACUCGUGUUUUAAACAUGAAGACUCCCAUUGAGGUUCUCCUUAAUGAACAACCUGAUUAUACCUCUUUCAAGGUAUUUGGGUGUGCUUGCUGGCCGCAUCUUCGUCCAUAUAAUAAGCGCAAGCUUGAGUUUCGUUCUAAGAAGUGUGUUUUUCUUGGCUAUAGCUCUCUUCAUAAAGGUUACAAAUGUCUUCAUGUUCCCACUAAUCGUGUCUAUAUAUCUCGGGACGUCGUGUUUGAUGAGCAUGUUUUUCCCUUUGCCAAACUUCCUGUGUCCACUGUUGAACCACCAUCUCUGCAUUCAUCCUCUGUUGCUUCUGACCAAUUUGAUGAUGUUGCAUACUCUCCUUUGCUGUUACCUAACCAUGGUGCAGGAACCGGACGUGGGGCUCGUUUGGAGCUGUUGGAGGAUUCACCAUCAUCAUCGCCGCCUUCUGAUGGGCACGUCGAUCGCCCUAUGUUGCAUGGCAUCGAUUCGCGUGCCCAUGCAUGGUCACCCGAAGAGCCCGUCGCACCGAGCAUCUCCACUGCUCGGUCCGCUACGCCAGCGACCGCCGCGUCUCCAGCGGCUCGGCCCUCUUCGCCAGCGGCCGCCGAGUCUACAGCGGCUCGGCCUGUCACGCCGUCUUCGCCCGCGGCUCGGCCCGUCACGCCGUCUUCGCCUGCAGCUCGGGUCCGCGACGCCGUCCUCACGUCGCCUUCAUCUGCGGAUCGGCCCGCGACACCGGCCGCGCCACGGCCCACUAUGCCGGGCUCGCCAUCGGCCCGGUCUGUGACGCCGGCGUCGCCAGCUGCUUCGUCUGCUCUGCCGGUUUCGCCGGUGGGCCGGCCUUCUUCGCCGACCGAGCCCGAGGCUACUGUGUCUGGCUCCUCGUCACCGGCUGACUCGUUAACAUCGCCGUCCUCCAGCCCGUUGCAGGCUGCUCCGUCGACCUCGGUGGUUCCUGUGUCCCGACCACAUACACGCAGUCGCAGUGGCAUUUUCAAACCUAAGGAACGUAAGGAUGGUACGGUUGCUUGGUUGGCUGCAUGUUUGGCUGCUGCUGUUGCGGAUCCAUCUUCUGAGCCUCGCUCAUAUCAGGCUGCCCUGCGCAUUCCACAUUGGCGAGAGGCUAUGGAGCAGGAGUUUCAUGCUCUCCUUCGUAACAAAACAUGGACUCUCGUUCCUCCACCACCACGGGUAAAUGUUAUUGACUCAAAAUGGGUAUUCAAAGUGAAGAAGCAUUCGGAUGGAUCUAUUGAGCGUUACAAAGCGUGACUUGUUGCUCGCGGUUUUCGGCAGCGCCAUGGUCUUGACUAUGAGGACACCUUCAGUCCUGUCGUCAAGCCUACCACUAUUCGGCUUCUUCUCUCCAUUGCUGUUUCUCGUGGUUGGUCACUUCGUCAACUUGAUGUGCAGAAUGCUUUUCUACAUGGAUUUUUGGAGGAAGAGGUUUAUAUGAAACAGCCGCCUGGUUUCUCUGAUCCUGAUCGUCCUGACUAUAUCUGUCGUCUGUCCAAAGCACUAUAUGGUUUGAAGCAAGCUCCUCGUGCCUGGCAUGCCCGCCUUGCCUCUGCCCUUCGUGCUCAUGGGUUUGUGCCGUCCACUGCUGACACUUCAUUAUUUCUUCUACAGAAGCCAGAAGUCACCAUGUAUCUUUUGGUAUAUGUCGAUGAUAUUAUCCUUGUCAGCUCUUCUCAGUAUGCUGCUGAUGCUCUUGUCUGCUCUCUUGGUGCUGAUUUUGCGGUCAAAGAUCUUGGGAAGCUUCACUACUUUCUUGGAGUUGAGGUCACUUCUCGUGCUACUGGUCUUGUCCUUACGCAAAAGAAGUACUCCUUGGAGUUGUUACAAAGAGCGGGCAUGCUGAAGUGCAAACCGACCACCACACCCAUGUCGUCUACCGACAAGAUAACAACUGUUGAUGGUGAGCUUUUGUCUCCUGCGGAUGCCACAGAGUACAGGAGCAUUGUUGGUGGACUUCAGUACUUGACGAUCACGAGACCAGAUAUCUCUUAUGCUGUUAACAGGGUUUGUCAGUAUCUUCAGGCUCCCAGAGAUACUCAUUGGGCUGCUGUUAAACGCAUUCUUCGUUAUCUUCAGUUCACCCUGACAUUUGGUAUGCAUAUUCGGCCGACUUCCUCUCGGGUCCUUUCGGCCUUCUCUGAUGCAGAUUGGGCUGGUAGCCCAGAUGACAGGCGAUCCACGGGGGGUUAUGCAGUAUUCUUUGGUCCUAAUUUGAUCGCCUGGAGUGCUCGGAAACAGGCUACUAUGUCACGUAGUAGUACUGAAGCUGAGUACAAGGCUGUGGCUAAUGCUACUGCAGAGAUUAUUUGGGUGCAGUCUUUGCUUCAGGAGUUGGGUUUGUCUCAACCACAGCCUCCCAUUCUUUGGUGUGAUAACAUCGGUGCUACAUACCUUUCUGCAAAUCCAGUAUUUCAUGCCCGAACGAAACACAUUGAAGUUGACUAUCACUUUGUACGGGAACGUGUAUCACAGAAGCAACUCCAGAUCAAGUUUAUCUCAUCUAAGGAUCAACUUGCAGACAUCUUCACUAAGCCUUUACCUCUGCCACAGUUUGAGGCUUGUAGGCGCAAUCUUACCCUUCUCAGUUCUUUAGAAAGUGGCUAAGAUUGAGGGAGGGUGUUAGACUAUGUAUAGCUUCUGUACAUAUGUACGUAUUGUAACACAUCCAUUAUAUAUAAUGAGACAAGCCACCCCUAGAGGGUUGUGCUAGUUCCCCCAAAACUUAUUGUCUUACAAGGUUGCCGCGUAGUUUCCCGUCCGCCCCCCUGCCCGUGCUCGACCACGCCAUCGCUCCCCUGGCCGCUUGUUCCGCGCCCGCGGCCACCUCCCGCUGCUGCUGCUUCUGCUGUUGCGGCUGCCGCCCGCUGCCCUCGCUACUCUGCAUGCUACUGCUGCUACCCGCGCCAGUCGCCCGUGGCCUCACCCUGCUCGUCCCUGUCCGCGCACUGCAUCUGCAGCCCGGCCCUGCCUACAGCGUGCGCGCCCCGCCUCUGACCCCGCGGAUGCCCGCCUCUGCGCCCGCGCCGUCAUCGCUACCACUGCCGCCGAGUACUGCUACCGCCGCAACUGUCGCCGCUAGCGCCGCUCGGCCCCACGCCUCCGGCCACCACGCCCCCUCCGCCACGGCUCUCCGCCAUGCCCGCCUGCGCUGCGUUGUCGCUCGUCGGCGCACACGCGCCCGCGGCUCCGACCCCUCCUUGCCCGCGCCUCCCCGCUCACCUCGCCUCACCGCUGAUGCCGCCGACCCUCCUCCCGCUCCUGCCACGGGCAACCAUCCUCACCGCGGCCACGCCCGCUGGCCGCGGCCAGUUCGGUCUUCGCCCCGACGGGCUCCACUGCCCGCACAAGACCGGGCCGGUGCAUGUGUGCCCGUUAAGCCGCCCAGCGCCCGAGUGGCUCCUGGGCCACUUACACGUGGGGUCUCCCCCUGUAAAAAAAGAUUUAAAAAAUAUAUAUAUUAAUAAAAAUAAUUAAUUACUUAGUUGAAUGAUUAGUUAACUUAAUUAAGUUAAACACAAUUAGUCUAAUUACCUAAUUAGUUAAUCAAUUAGCACUAACAGAAACUGACAUGUGGGUCCCCUGCCCAGUUGACCAGUCAACUAGUCAACAGUUGACCUGGUCAGCGGGGUCCACUGUCAGCCUUUGGUGGUCCUGCCGUGUGCAUUCUGCUGGGUGCACAUAGAAAUUUCUCCUUUUAUUUCGAAUUAAUAAUAUUUUCAGGGUAUUACUAAAACUUCGAAAAUCAUAUAAAAUAAUCCUUAAGUCAGAUGAAAAAGUUUUAUACAUGAAAGUUGCUCAGAACGACGAGACGAAUCCGAAUACGCACUCCGUUCAUCUGCCACGCAUCCCUAGCAUAGCGAACAGAAGAUGCCAAACUUUGGGAUAACUUUCCCGGAUGUUUCCCCCUUCGCCGCUAUCGUGUAGCCCUGCGUUAGAACACCCCCUAGCGCUGGUUAUUGCCUGGCAUGCAUCUGUUUGCUCUGUAUUUACUGUUUCUUCCCCCUCUUCUCUCUAGUAGACCUCGAGACCGAUGCUGAUGCCGCUGUGACCUAACAUAUCAGAGCAGUGAUAAUUCUCUGCUUAUGUAAACACCUCGGUGUACUAACUCCGUCAGUAAGGACUUGUUACUAUUGUUGAUGACAUUCAAGUAGCCAUCGAUGGACGAGAACUUUGUCUAUUGGUUCGCCUCGUCUUAACGAGCAGGAAAAUGGUUCUCUUUGUCCCUCGCCCUUGAUACCAAUGUUGUUGCCAACAUAAAUAACACGCUAUCCUUUGACCUGCCUUGCUUUCAUGAUCGUGCAAAAUGUUAGCGCCUUCCCACUUCUAACCCACAGUUCCACAGGAUCAAAACCUGACUCUCAUGUACAUCCCUGUUUUCCAAAGUUGUUCCUCGCACUUGGCUUCGUAUGUAAAUCACGAGCCACCUUCCUAGUGAUCUAUUCUGGUAUCAGAUGCAAUACUUAUUCCCAUUGCUCUGAACCCCUUUCACCCUCUGUUUCAGGCAAUGAACGAUUGCCUACCCGGUUGAAGCUUCUUAUUACACCUCCUUAUCUUGCUCUUGAUGGCUUUCUUGAAUUUGAACUCGAGAGAUGCCUCUAUGGCACGUUCACUGAGAUAGCCCGCAGGUACCUAUCUUGUGUUGAGCCCCAUCCUUCUCGAGUCUUUCCCCCUUACUCCACCCCUUAAAUCUCGGGACAAGAUUUCUUGUAGUGGAGGAGAAUUGUGACGCCCGGAUAAUUUAGCUACAACAAUCCUCUAUUAAGGGUCACAUGUCAUCACAUUCUUGUUGCUAAUCCUCGCUUGAUCCAAAUCUUAAUUCAAUUUAAAUUCAAAUUAAAGUCCAAAAUUCAAGUUUCUCAAACAUGCACAAUAAAAUGUUCAAAGUGUGGCAAAUAUUCCAUAACUAAUUAUGGUGGUGACCCAACACUUUUGUAAAGUGUUUAAAUCCCCUUUUGUGAAUAUAACAGUGGCUUAAACAAUCAUUUAAAUGCCUUUCCAUUUAUGAAAAAUUUCAAACAAACUCGAAAGCCUCCCAAACUUUUUGUGGCAAUGCUAGUAAAUGCAAGGUAUUUAUCUGGCCAAGUCCCACUUUUUACAAAAUACAUUUCCUAGCUAAAAGAAAUGCAAAAAGAAAAGAAUAAAUGUAAAACUGAAAAGAAAAGGUAGACAAAACAAAAUAAAGAAAGGAGGUCUAACCCCCACUGGGUCGUGGCCCAGCUGUCCCUCUAGCCAAACCAGCCCAUCCGACCAACCUCUCAAUCCCCUGUUCACGCAGCACCCCCGUGCCCACGGUCGAUGCCCGCCACGGCACUGGCCGACGUCGUGGCGACCAUCCGCCGGUACCGCCCUGCCUAUAUUACUCGGCGACCCCUCUCCCAUCGCUGAACCCUAACCCUCUUUCCCUUCCUCGCGCCCCCGUUCCCCUCUGGUCGUUCGUCGACAUCGCAGUGCCCCGAUCCCAUCCGUCACCGCCGCCGUCACGUCGCCAUUGCCAACGGCCUCCACGAGGCUCGACGGGUUAUUCUACGGCCUCCCCGGUGUCGUCCCCGUCCUCUACGCGUCGCGGCCGACCGGUGAAGCUGUCCUGCGUCGCCUACCCCAUCGUCUUCUACUUCGAGCAGCCGAGAUCGCCGCGGUCACCUCGUUGUCUCCGGUGCUCCCCGAGCCCGCUAGUCUACCUUGUCGCCCCAAUGUAAGCCUUCGGUCCACCCCGACUCCUCCUUGCUUCCCCUAGUGCGCCGUAGCUAGCUUUCCGCACGCCUGAUCUCUGGUUGCCGCGUAGUUUGCCGUCCGCCCCCCUGCCCGUGCUUGACCACGCCAUCGCUCCCCUGGCCGCUUGUUCCACGCCCGCGGCCACCUCCCACUGCCGCUGCUUCUGCUGCUGCGGCUGCCGCCCGCUGCCCUCGCUACUCUGCCUGCUACUGCUGCUACCCGCGCCAGCCGCCCGUGGCCUCACCCUGCCGCCGAGUACUGUUGCUACUGCAACUGUCGCCGCUAGUGCCGCCCAGGCCCCACGCCUCCGGGCACUGCGCCCCCUCCAUUGCGGAUAUCCGCCAUGCCCGCCUGCGCCGCGCUGUCGCCCGUCGGCGCCCGUGCGCCCGCGGCUCGGGCCCCUCCUCGCCAGCGUCUCCCCGCUCGCCUCGCCUCGCCGCUGACGCCGCCGGCCCCUCCUCCCGCUCCUGCCAUAGGCAGCCGUCCUCACCGCGGCCACGCCCGCUGGCUGCCGCCAGUUCGGUCUCCGCGCCGACGGGCUCCACUACCCACACGACACUGGGCCGGUGCCCGUUAAGCCACGCAGCGCUCGAGAGGCUCCUGGGCCACUUACACGUGGGGCCUCCCCCUGUAAAAAAAAUUUAAAAAAUAUAUUAAUAAAAAUAAUUAAUUAGUUAGUUAAAUGAUUAGUUAACUUAAUUAAGUUAAACACAAUUAGUCUAAUUACCUAAUUAGUUAAUUAAUUAGCACUAACAAAAACUGACAUGUGGGUCCCCUGCCCAGUUGACCAGUCAACUAGUCAAUAGUUGACCUAGUCAACGGGGUCCACUGUUAGCCUCUAGUGGCCCUAUUGUGUGCACUCUGCUGGGUGCACAUAGCAAUUUCACCUUUUAUGUCGAAUUAAUAAUAUUUUCAGGAUAUUACUAAAACUUCAAAAAUCAUAUAAAAUAAUCCAUAGCUCGGAUGAAAAAGUUUUAUACAUGAAAGUUGCUCAGAACGACAAGACGAAUCCGAACACGCACUCGGUUCAUCUGCCACGUGUCCCUAGCAUAGCGAACAUGCAACCUUCCCCCUCUGAUUCAUUUGUCUGAAGAUGCCAAACUUCGGGAAAACUUUCCCGGAUGUUUUCCCCUUCGCCGGUACCAUGUAGCCCUGCCUUAGAACACCCCCUUGCGCUGCUUAUUGGCUAUCAUGCAUCUGUUUGCUCUGUAUUUACUGUUUCUUCCCCCUCUUCUCUCCGGUAGACCUCGAGACUGAUGCUGAUGCCCCUGUGAUCAAGUACCACUACUGCAGGAUGCUGCUAACGCGACACUACGAUCAGAGACCCUUUCACGAAACUGUGUGUGAUGCAUUAAUCAUGAACCGGGAUUAAAAAACCGUCAAAAAAGGUGCAAAAUGUUUGCAAUGGAGGAUGCAUCAAACACGGUUCAGAUUUUAGUUGUGUGUGUGAUCUAUGGCAUACGGUUCAGUUCAAUGAAACGUUUGCGAUGAGGCGGAACAAAAGAAACGGGCAACCUGAUGAAGGCGUGUGCGAUGUAUAGCAUACAGUUCACUCGGAUGAACUAUUUGUGAUUAGGCAACACAAAAGAAACGAUCAGCCAGAUCACGGUGUGUGUCAUGUACAGCAUAUGGUUCACUCGGAUGAACUGUUUGUGAUUAGGGAACACAAAGGAAACGGUCAGCCAGAUCAAGGUGUGUGCGAUGUACGACAUGCGGUUCACCCGGAUGAACUGUUUGCGUUGAGACAAGAGAACAGAAAUGGUUCAAUAUAACAAAUACCAUAAAUAUUGCAAGGUUCAAGUUCAAAGAUUACAACACCCAAAUUCAAACAUUGCAAGCUGCGUCAUUUCUGAAAAGGGAUCACCCGUUGACAAGUCAUGUAUGGGUUUGACACAAUAACUUCCAAUUGAUUUGCCAUAUGCUCUUCCAAUAUGAAGUUUGGCAUUUUUGGAGGCACUUCCAUUCCGCAGUACCAGCUGAGGAGUCCUGGACUAAAGGGUUCUCGGGCGUCCGGCCUGUUAGCCAUGGGCCGGACUGAUGGGCUGUGAAGAUAUGAAGACCGAAGACUGCACCCGUCCGGACAGGACUUUCCUUGGCGUGGAAGGCAAGCUUGGUGACCAAAUAUGUAGAUUCCUUUCUUUGUAACCGACCUUGUGUAACCCUAGAUCCUCCCGGUGUUUAUAUAAACCGGAGGACGUAGUCCAGAGGAUACACAUUACCAUAGCCAUACAAGCUAGACCUCUAGGGUUUAGCCAUUACGAUAUCAUGGUAGAUCAACUCUUGUAAUACUCAUAUUCAUCAAGAUCAAUCAAGCAGGACGUAGGGUAUUAUCUCCAUAGAGAGGGCCCGAACCUGGGUAAAACAUUGUGUCACGUGUCUCCUGUUACCAUCGACCUUAGACGCAUAGUUUGGGACCCCCUACCCGAGAUCCGCCGGUUUUUACACCGACAUUGGUGCUUUCAUUGAGAGUUCCAUUGUGCCUUCAUCGAAAGGGUUGAUGGAUCCACUUAUCUUCAAGGAAAAUAUCACCUCCGGAGGAGCUCUGGCCUCUGGCCAAACCCUUUGGCUGGGCGGUUUUAUCAUGACUGCCUGUUCGGCCCUUGAGCCGACGAUGAUGACCUCUGGAGUCAUCGAAAAUCGCUUCUGCGUUGAUUCUGAAUACGCCAAACGGAUGGAUCCGACGGAGUUAUCGUCUUUAAACGAACACCUAGAUCACAUUGCCUCCUUGGGGGUUGCUAUAGACUACGAUCGGAUUGGGCUUAAACCCGACCAGAGAGAAAUUAAAUCUCCGUCGAUCACCCACCAGAUAGCGGUAGUCGAGGAGCAAGAUAACUCUUCCUCUAUAUUGAGGAUGAACUAUGUUCGGAUCUCCGACCUCGAGAAGCCGGACACCUACCGGCAGAAAGACACGUGUCACAUCCCUGCUUUUAGUCAUGCAUUAGGAUUGGAUGAACAUGUGCAUCAUGUUUAAAUUUCUUUUAAACUUGAAAUGGGGCCUAAUCAACCCCAACACCCCCCUGAAAAUGCUAAUUUCCAACAAUUGGAAUUUCAAUGAACCCGAAAUGCCCUUCAUAAAAGCCCACCAUUUUUGGUCUUGACUAAAACCUCUGCCAAAAAUGGUCUUGCAAUUUAUGGAGCCAUUCUGGAUUUUUGAACAAGCCAUAAGUAUUUAAAUUUGGGCAUUUUAAAUGCUAUAAAUAUUUUAAAGUUCUUAAAUAAUCUUGGAAGCAUUUUUAGGCAGUUGAGAAUAUUCCCAAAUGCGCCUCUGAAUAUUUCCAGAGUUUUUGGAAUGAAAUAGUAUUUAUUCUAUUUCAAUACACAUAGCAGGAAAUAAUUAAAAGCAAAACAGAAAAGAGAGAGAGAGUUAGAGCUUACCUGGAAGCCCACCAGCCGGCCCACCUAGCUGGCCCGGCCCAGCAGCCACUCCACGUAGCUGCUUCGCUGUCGGAGUAAAUAGCCAUGGGUAGCCUAGCCGGCUUCCCAUGGCCCUUCUGAAAAAAUCACGAGCCCGUCCGGCUCUCAAGAAUCCAAGACAUGGAGCCGACUCCCCCUUGCUGGCUGCUACCCAGGCCGGCUUUCGGAAGGCGGCCCGACUUUACCCCUCAUGAAGAAAACCAUGGGAGGCCGACUCAAAGAAGCCGGCUCCAAGAUGCCGACUCCAAGAAGCCGGCUCCCCUAAAGCGGUCGAGACCGUACCCUCAAAGUUUGCACCCACCUAACGGUGGUGCGACGGGGCGUGGCUACAGUGAAGCCUGCCACCCCCGAAUCCCGGAGCACGCCUGGCACAGUGCGCCGUACGGAGUGGCCAUGACCCGUCCGGCGCGGCACUGUUGCCAUGUUGACCUUGAUGUCAUCCACGACGGGCUACCAGUACGGCCUACGGGCGGUGGGCCCCUUCGGGCAGAGAGACACCCGAAGGCGGCCUGGCCUCCCCCAGUCGGCCUGAAGGCGGCCUGGCCUCCCCCCAGUCGGCCCGAGACGGGGCCGGCUCCCCGCAGGUGGCUCGCUUCCCCUCUCAAAGAAGACGCCCCAUUAAGGAGACAAGACGCGGUGAGGCUACAGUAAUCGCCCGCCGGACGGCGGCACUGUAGCCACGCCUACCUCGACGAAGCCCUCGUCAUCAAGAUGAGUCAACAGUGACCAGCCAUCGACAAGACCCUUGGCGGUGGGGCCUGUCUACUGCCAAGGAGUUGGUAGCCGGCGGGACCCAUCAGCCGGCGGGCCCCAGCGGUCGCCGCAGAAGCCGGCGAGCGCGGUCACAGACGGCUGGGCCCCGCGCCCAGUCAGAUUACCAUUGUACCCCCGGGGGGUAGGCCUAUAUAAACCCCCCGGGGCACCCAUGCAAAGGGUUUGACCCCCUGCUAGUCUAAAACACCACAGAAGGAGAGGAAGCAGGCUAGUCAUGCCCUUCUACCUCCUCCCACCAAACCGCUCAAGGAGCAUUGUGUAGUUACUUGUUCAUCUAGUGAUCAUGCGGAGACCCCGCAGAGCAGCAGUAGGUGUGUUAUCUCCACGGAGAGCCCCGAAGCUGGGUAAGAUCCGCCGGCGUGCAUGUCUUCGCCUUAUCCCGUUUCCAGGCACCAGCGAUGUCUUUCUGGCUCCCACAAUGAUAAGCCACCCGUUGGCAUAUGUCGCACCUACCACCCGACAUUUGGCGCCCACCGUGGGGCCAGGUGCACCAUCGUCCGGAGACCUGUUCUGGACGGGAACCCUCUUCCUCCCCAGCGAGCGUAGCCAGCCCGGCACGCCCGAUGGCGCUUGCCAUGACGCGCUGCAAGGCAUCACCAGCAUCUGCGCGGCGAGCAGCCUCGCCGAUCCCCUCGACGAAACCCUCAUCUCCGACGAGCUCGCCUCCGAUGCGGGCACCGACCACCUCGCCAACCUUCUCGGUCAGCUCCAUGUCUCCAGCGAGGCCGCUGCGGACCUGGAGUCGGUUUGCUCCUCCAACCCGGUGCCUGUCGACUCCGAUACGGCCUCCUACGACACCUUCCCCACCAGCGUCAUGAUCUACAACGACCCGCUUCCCCGAGCCGACGGUUGCGAUGCUGUCACCACCGAAGUGAUGGUCAUCGGCCACGGCGGCCCGGCCGGCGAAAGCGCCCACGGCAUCCCGCACGUGGCGGCCCAUGACUUGUCCACCCCACUCCCGGGUAACGCCGACGACGAAGCACUGGAGGCACGCCGCCUCGCCCUCCUUGCAGAGGGCCGGAGGCUGGCUUCCGUGAGACGCCUCACAGAGGCCUACCAGCGCGAAGCUGACCGCGCCGCCUUCGGCACGCCGGCCCCGGGCGGGCCAAGCCGGGCCGGCCUUGUCAAGCAACGCGGCGCCGUCAUCGCCGACACGCUGGGAGUCGACCGCCCGAUCUAUGCCACUCCGCUCGAGAACUUGCGUGCCGCCCAGGCGGCCGUAGACGAGUUGGACGGCUUGGAGGCCGAAGACCUCCCCCACAUGACCCGGCGCAUCCAGCAACUGAUUGACGCAGCCGCGCAGCGACAUGAAGCGGACACCCGCGCGGGAAGCCCUCCCCCGCGCUGAGAUCACGGCGCGACGUCCCGGACGCCGGCUACGAGCAACACCCGUGCGCGGCGCGAGAAAGAGCCAGCUGCCAGCCGCAGCCGGACCCAAAUCUCCAUCGAGCGAGACGCGGACGGCCGUCCCCGAGCCAUGGAAUGGCGGGGAAACCCGCCUCCGCCUCGACCCCGUGGAGAGAGAUAUCCCACCCCGCCGCCCGUGGCGCACCCGACUCUCAGCGGCCGACUAGGUCACCACGAAGGAGUCGGCGAGAACGACGCCCGCCAUCGGAUUGACCGCCUGGCGCGAUCCCUGGCGUUGGAAGAAGAAGACGAUGUCGGUCCGCCUUGUUUCGGCCCCCGCAUCCGCGACGAGCCUUUCCCCAAAGGGUUCUCGCUCCCAAGAGACACGCCCAAGUACAACGGCUCCGUGAAGCCGAAAGAUUGGCUAAUCGACUACUCCACGGCGGUCAGCAUAGCCAACGACAACCGGCGCGUUGCCGUGAAGUACGUGCCCCUCAUGCUGCAAGGCACGGCGCGAACCUGGCUCAACAGCCUCAAGCCUCUCAGCAUCAACAGCUGGCUAGAUUUCACCGAGGCUUUCAUCCGCAACUUCACCAGCACCUACAACCGGGCUCCCAAGCCCAGACAGCUCUCCUUGUGCGUACAAGGCCCCGCCGAGUCCACUCGCAACUACCUCACGCGUUGGGCCAAGCUCCGCAAUUCUUGCGAGGGGGUGCACGAGGUGCAAGCCAUCGAAUACUUUACAGCCGGAUGCCGAGAAGGCACCCUCCUCAAGCACAAGCUCCUCUGCGACGAACCGGCUACCCUCGACGAGCUUCUGGACAUAGCGGACAAGUACGCCACCGCCGAUUCCUUGAUGAAGACCGAGCUUCGGGUAGACUCGUCCGGAAAGGUACUCAACCCGGUGCCCAAGACGCCGGCUGGGGAUUCCGGCCGACGCCCCCACUCGAACGACCACAAGCGCAAGGGCCCCGCGCCGCCUCCCGCUAGUCGGCAAGUGGCCACCGUUGAAGACGUGCCGCCUGAAGGGCGGCCCGCGCCCAAGAAACCCAAGGGCGGCCCGCCGGCUUGGCAGCCGGCUUUCUCCUACGAGCAAACUCUCGACGCCCCAUGCAAGUUCCACAGCGGCGCGAAGCCGUCGAACCACACAACCCGGAAGUGCCAUUGGCUCACCCGAAUCUCCAAAGGCGAGGGGCUCGCGGCGCCUCCGCCUGCCGGCCCGCCGCCUCCGCCUCCGCCGCCUCCGGCAGCUCGGCCCGCGGUCGGAGCCGUGCAUGACGAAUUCCCUGACGAGCAAGCAACCUACAUCAUCUUUACAAGCCAGCCCGAAGACCGGUGCAGCAAAUGCCGAGAGCACCAGGAAGUUAGCGUGGUCGCUGCCAACCCCGCCAGACACAUGCAUUGGUCAGAAAAGCCCAUCAGCUGGAGCCGGGCCGACCAUCCAGAGGUGAUGCCGUCUCCCGGCUCUUAUGCUUUGGUCCUGGAAGCCACCCUUGCGACGGACAGGCGCGCCGCCCACUUCUCCCGUGUGUUGAUAGACGGCGGGAGCAGCAUCAACAUCCUGUAUCGUGACACCCUGGAGAAGCUGAACGUCAAGACGAAGCAGCUCAUGCCUACUCGAACAGUGUUUCAUGGCAUCGUACCCGGCUUAUCUUGCGCCCCCAUUGGCAAGAUCAAGAUCGAUGUACUUUUUGGGGACAAGGAGCAUUUCCGCCGGGUAGUGAUCUGGUUUGAAGUGGUGGACCUGGAGAGCCCUUACCAUGCAUUGCUUGGCCGACCUGCUUUGGCCAAAUUCAUGGCAGUUCCCCACUAUGCAUACCUCAAGAUGAAGAUACCAAGCACCAAAGGCGUCAUCACCAUAGCCGGCGAUUACAAGAAGUCCUCUGAGUGCGCAGUAGCCAGCAGCCGGCUGGCCGAGUCCCUUGUGAUUGCCGAAGAAAAGAAGAUGCUGGACCGAGUCGUGGCCAUAGCCGGCAAGCAGUCAGCCGUGUCCCCCGACCCCAAGGAGCAUGAUGCUCAAGGGUCUUUCCAGCCGGCCAAGGAGAAGAAGAAGGUGCCUCUUGACCCCGAGCAUCCAGAGAGGUUCGCCGUCAUCGGGGCAAGCCUGAACAGCAAAUAGGAAGGCGAGCUCGCCGAUUUCCUCUGUGAGAAUCGGGACAUCUUUGCAUGGUCCCCCAAGGACAUGCCGGGUGUUCCGAGGAAAUUCGCCGAGCACAAACUACACGUUCAAGAAGACGCAAGGCCAGUCAAACAACCCCUUCGCCGACAGUUGGAGGAGAAACGCAGGAUUGUAGGGGAGGAGAUAGCCCGGCUUUUGGCAGCCGGCUUCAUUAUGGAAGUUUUCUUCCCAGAGUGGCUCGCCAACCCAGUCCUCGUGCUAAAGAAGAACAACAAGUGGCGCAUGUGCAUAGACUACACAAGCCUCAAGAAGGCCUGCCCCAAAGAUCCCUUUGCCCUGCCAAGGAUAGACCAAGUGAUAGACUCCACAGCCGGAUGCGAGUUGUUGAGUUUCUUGGAUGCUUACUCCGGAUAUCACCAGAUAAAGCUUGAUCCGGACGACCGCCUGAAGACCGCCUUCAUCACGCCAUUUGGAGCCUUCUGUUACCUGACUAUGACAUUCGGCUUGAGAAAUGCCGGUGCCACUUUUCAGCGUUGCAUGCAGAAGUGCCUCCUCAAGCAGCUCGGCAGAAACGCUCAUGUUUACGUAGAUGACAUCGUGGUGAAGACGGAGAAGCGCGGCACCUUGCUGGGAGACCUCAAGGAAACGUUUGAGAACCUGCGCCGAUUUCAAAUCAAGCUCAACCCCGAGAAAUGCAUGUUCGGAGUGCCAGCCGGCCAGCUCCUAGGCUUCCUGGUCUCCGAACGCGGCAUCGAAUGCAACCUGGUGAAGAUCAAGGCCAUCGAGAGAAUGGCGAUCCCCACCAAGCUUCGAGACAUUCAGAAGUUCACCGGGUGCUUGGCCUCCUUGAACCGCUUCAUCAGCCGGCUCGGAGAGAAAGCUCUCCCCCUCUACCGCCUCAUGAAGAAGGGCCCUCACUUCAAAUGGAACGACCAGGCCGACCAAGCCUUUCACGAGCUGAAGAAGAUGCUGGCCACGCCGCCUGUCCUCGCGGCGCCAACUGAGAAAGAGCCAAUGCUCCUUUACAUCGCCGCAACCAGCCGGGUGGUCAGCACCGUCAUUGUAGUCCAACGCCCAGAAGAAGGCCGAGCCCAGCCGGUCCAAAGGCCAGUGUAUUAUUUGAGCGAGGUGUUGUCCGCCUCAAAGCAGAACUACCCACACUACCAGAAGAUGUGUUACGGCGUGUACUUCACCGCCAAGAAGCUGAAGCCCUACUUUCAAGAGCAUCCCAUCACGGUCGUAUGCACCGCCCCGCUGGCCGAGAUCAUAGGCAGCCGGGACGCAUCCGGCCGGGUGGCGAAAUGGGCCAUCGAGCUGGCCCCUUACACAAUCUUCUACCAGCCCCGCACCGCCAUCAAGUCCCAAGCACUGGCCGACUUCCUCGUCGACUGGGCCGAGACCCAGUACCUGCCGCCGGCUCCCGACUCCACCCAUUGGCGCAUGCACUUCGAUGGGUCCAAGAUGCGCACCGGCUUGGGAGCCGACAUCGUCCUUACCUCCCCUAAAGGCGACAAGCUCAGAUACACGCUACAGAUCCACUUUGCCGCCUCCAACAACGUGGCCGAGUACGAGGCGCUCAUACACGGGCUCCGGCUUGCCAAAGAACUUGGCAUUCGCCGGAUCCUAUGUUAUGGCGACUCGGACCUGGUGGUCCAGCAAUCAUCCGGCGACUGGGACGCCAAGGACGCAAAUAUGGCGAGCUACCGCUUCCUGGUCCAACAACUUAGCGGAUACUUUGAAGGAUGCGAGUUCCUCCAUGUACCGCGAGCCGACAAUGAGCCAGCCGAUGCCCUGGCUCGAAUACGCUCUACUCGGCAAGCAAUUCCAACCGGCGUCGCUCUACAACGCCUCCUCAAGCCGUCUAUCAAGCCGUCUCCAGAAUCCGACUCCAUCUUCGUGCCGCCUAACCCCGAUGCGGCCGGGUCCGGCUUGAAGAACCAAGCAGGCGACCCCGAGACUCCCGCAACCGGCUCGGGGACUGCCACACCCGGCUCGGGGACUUCGGCAACCAGCUCGGGGACUGCGGUAGCCGGCCCGGGGACUGCACCAGCACAACAACCGGCGGCCGACUCCAGCAUUUCACCACCCAGCCCGCCCACCCUGGUGGCAAUAGCCACAUUGGCAGUAGAAGAAGUUGCGGCUCCAUCAUGGGCUCAGUCCAUCCUCAACUUCCUAGUAAACCAAGACCUGCCGGCCGACGAAACAGAAGCAAGACAAGUCCAACGUCGAGCCGGAGCAUACACAAUUGUCAACAGAGAACUGGUCAAGCGCAGUGUCACUGGAAUCCUCCAACGGUGCGUCGAGCAAGAUAAGGGCAUUGCAAUCCUCAGAGACAUUCACCAAGGAGAAUGCGGCCACCAUGCGGCCUCAAGGUCACUUGUCGCCAAAGCCUUCCGCCAUGGUUUCUUUUGGCCGACUGCUUUGGAUGACGCCAAAGAAUUAGUCAAGCAUUGCAAGGGAUGCCAACUCUUCAGCUCCAAGCAACACAUGUCGACUUCGGCACUCAAGACCAUUCCCCUCACUUGGCCCUUCGCCGUUUGGGGACUGGACAUGGUGGGCCCAUUUAAGACGGCGCACGGCGGCAUGACGCAUUUGCUCGUCGCCGUGGACAAAUUCACCAAGUGGAUUGAGGCAAAGCCGAUCAAGAAGCUGAAUGGGCCGACUGCUGUGACAUUCAUCGCAGACAUAACAACUCGGUACGGCGUGCCACACAGCAUCAUCACCGACAAUGGCACGAAUUUUGCCAAAGGAGCCUUGGCACGUUUCUGCGCAGCCCAAGGUAUCCGACUGGACUUAGCAUCCGUUGCCCACCCGCAGUCAAACGGCCAGGUCGAGCGAGCCAAUGGCCUCAUCCUCUCCGGCAUCAAGCCUCGACUGGUCGUACCUCUGGAGCGCUCAGCCGACUGUUGGCUCGAUGAGCUGCCGGCUGUCCUCUAGAGUCUGCGCACUACACCGAACAAGUCAACCGGCUUCACCCCUUUCUUCCUUGUAUAUGGUGCCGAGAUGGUCAUCUCAACUGACAUCGAGUUCGACUCACCUCGAGUAACCAUGUACACGGAAGCGGAGGCCAAGGAAGCACGAGAAGACGGCGUUGACCCGCUGGAAGAGAGCCGGCUGUUAGCACUCAGCCGGUCUGCCAUCUACCAGCAGGGUUUGCGCCGCUACCACAGCCGGAAGGUCAGGCCAAGAUCUUUCCAAGAAGGCGAUCUUGUGCUCCGGCUGAUCCAGCGAACAGCCGGCCAGCACAAGCUCUCAGCCCCUUGGGAAGGCCCCUUCGUCAUCAGCAGAGCUCUAGGCAACGACUCCUACUACCUGAUCGAUGCACAGAAGCCGAAGGCACGCAAGAGAGACGACUCCGGCAAGGAGUCGGAACAACCAUGGAACGCCAACCUCCUUCGAAGAUUUUACAGUUGAAAGGCAGUAUGUAUCACGCUAACUUUUGUAUUAAGUACAAGACAAUAGGCCCCCCGAGGAGGGCUCGGGGACUGCCAUCCCUUAUUUAUGAAUGAAAAGUAUCAUGCUUAUGACCUCGUCAUUUCAUUUACUUGUUCCGUCCGGCACCGGGUUCGACUAGUCGGCUCGGGGACUGGCCGACUGGAGUUAUAUUAGAAGUCCUACCCGCAAUCAGACAAGUAGUGUGCCGGCUCCCAAGCCUUCUCUUGCCAAAAGUCGUAGUUCAAAGAACCGGCUGUCCGGCUGGCAAGAGUUAAAGGCAGGAACGGGCGCCCACACGAAAAACGGCUAGGGACUAACGAACUAAUAUAACGAAAGCCGGUUUUUUCUCCCACCGCCGACUGGCUACCAGAGUAGCCGGCCGACACGUUUCCAUUCACUUCACUUCAAUCCAAGAAAGCUCAAGUACUUGCCUCCCCAAAGAGGGAAGGCGGCAAAGGAAAAAGCCUAAGGAUAAAAAGCAUACGCGAAUGGAAACCAAACAUGCACAUAAUAAUAUUUACAUAAAAGACCUCCGAGAGGCCAGCAUUCAACAUAGUUUGGAUACACCCCCAGUUGGUGGAACUGCGAAAACUUAAUGAAGAUUGUUCAAAAGACAACAAGCAGGAAAGAUAAAGACAGCAGGUCAAGCUGGCGGAGCGACCGACGAGCCGGACUGGUUGGCGGAGACGGUCGUGCCGGCUGAAGGAGCGGCCGACUGGCGAACUUCGGCUUGGUCGCCGCCUCUCGCAGAGGGCGUGCUUCCAUGCGCCUCGUUGUUGGAGGCACGGUCGGCCUGAGGUCGGCCGGUUGUUCCACCAGCCGGCUCGACGUCUUCACCGUCCUCCUCUUCGUCAUCCUCGCCAUCGUCGCUGGAGGCAAUCUCCUCCGCCGAGUCCUCGCCCACCGCCGGGUUCAGCCCGAACCACUCCUCCGGCUGAGCAACGCCGUCAUCAUCGAUUUCGGGUGCGAAAACACUGAUGUCGGUGCACUCGGCGAUCGUCGAAGCUCGCUGGGCGAUAGCCGGCCUCACCUCCUCCAGCUCCGCGUCGGCCUCCAUCCGCCAAGUGCGCAGCUGGUCCAGGCUCAGCCCUGGGUACCAAGCCCGAACGAACUCCAACGCCCGCCCGGCUCCGAGGCGGGCCGCCGACGCCUUCCAAGCCUCAAAGCGACCAACACUUGCCGGGCCAGAGGGCUUGGGGUGCGGGGGAUCGUCUCGCCGGGCCAGAGGGUGGCCAACACUUGUGCCCCGGCACGUUGGAGCCGGCGAAGCAUCCGAUGAGCCGGCUGCAACCGCGCCUGGACAGCCAGGAGCUGCUCCUCAAGUGUCCGGUUCGCAUCCGGCGCGAUGUUGGCCCCCGCCUGACGACGCGCCUCGCGAUGGGCCUCAAUGCUUUGGGCGGCGAAGGCGGAGUAGCCGGGGAAGUAGUCUGCACCAAAAAACAAGCAGUAGCUCAAGAUAAGCCAAAAACCCAGGCGGCAAGGGGCAGGAGAGGGGCGAGGAAGGCGGCCUACCGUCGAUCAAAUCCUCGAUCCGGCUGAAGCGUUCAUCCAGGGCUCGCCGGGUGUCAGACUAGCUCGCCGCCUCGGUCUCAUACUCCGCCUUCAAGGCGGCUUCGCUAUCCUGCGCCGCCUGCAGGGCCGCCUUGUGGCCCUCCUCUUGGUCGGCCAGCUCCUUGGCUAGGCGAUCCCGUUCCUGGACCAAGGCGGCGUACUCGGCCUCCUUGGUGUGAAAGGCGGCCUUCGCUUUGCUGAGCUCCUUCCUCAAGUCGGCGUUGGCCCCUGAAGACAAAGAAAAAGAAAAACCAAUAAGGAAAGAGUCGUCAAGAAAGAUCCGACCCGACUGUGCAGCAGUCGGCCCGAAUCUCGGGGACUACAUCCAGUGCGUGCGCUGACGCGCCCCCAUAGGAGACAGACAAGAUCGAGUACUUACUUCGGCUGUCGGCCAGGUCGUCGGUCCUCCGGCUCAACUCCCGAGCCUGGGAGUUGUAGGCGGCAGCACGGAGGUUGUGAUAUUCCUGAAAGUUCAGACCCAAAGCAAAGUAAGAUAGUCGUCGAGAAAGAUCCGACCCGACUGCGCAGCAGUCGGCCCGAAUCUCGGGGACUACACCCAGUGGGUGCGCUGACGCGCCCCCACAGAAGAAAUCAAUAAGUCAAAAGCGGCCAAGAAUGAAGGACUCACCCGGAUGGUGGCUCGCGUUGACAAGAACUCCUGGGUGAACUGUUGCAGCAGGGCGGCCUGAGCUUGCAGUCGGCUCCGGACCCCUUGGGCCGCCACAUUCAGCUCGCCAGUCCCCCCGCUGGGAGUCCACUCGGACGUGGCAGUGCUGGCCGCCUCCAGAUCUUCCGCCGACUGGCCUGCGCCUGCGACUCGGCGCAACUCUGGCGGAGCGGCGCCUCCCCCUACGCGCCGGCUCGUCGCCGGCUGCACCUCGAGGCCGGCUCUGUUCUCCGGCUCACCUCCGGGCGGCCCCUCUGGCGCCGCUGACGAUUGGCCGCCUUGGCCCGCUCCGGUUGGCGCUGCUGGCGGCGCCCUCCUCGCGGAGGCCACGGGGUCCUCCCCCCUCUCCAUCAGCGGCGGGUCUUGGACGAUCUCCUCUGCCAAGGGCAAUGGGGUGUCGGGGGCUACAGCUCGGAGAGGAAUGGCGAGCAGCGGAGGCUGGUUGCGCGAGCUUUCCACCUACGUCUCCGCGGUAGCCGCCUCCGUCUGGGCCUUGGCUGCCGCGUCGGCCUGCUCCCUCGCCGCCUCGCGCUCCUCCCGCGCUUCGCGGGCGUUCCGCUUUGUGGCCUCCCUGAGAUCGGCGCGGGGGUCCAUGCGGCGGGAGCUCGAAGACCCUCCAGCCAGCCCCACGACGGAGCCGCCCGGACCCCGCUCAAGGGAAAGCGGCGCCCUGUCCAGCAAGCGAGAAAAAUUUAAGAAGAAUAUUCGAAGAAAAAGAGAAUGAUGAAGGGCAUGUGACCAGGCAAUCAGCGACUUACGCUGAAACCGCCUGAGGCUGCUUCACCGCCUUGCGGAAGCGGGCCGCCUUCGCGGCCGCCUCGUCUCGUUUUGUCGCCGCGUUGGAGGGCUUGGACUUCUUCGGCCGACUGCCGAAGAGGCCUGAAGCGGCCCGGCGCUUCUGCAUGCCGCCGGCGGCCGGUGCGAUGGACGAGCCCGCGCCCUGAUAGUCGGCCGCCGGCUGGCGACGCGGGGCGACUUCGGCUUCAGCAUCGUCCGGCCAGUCCUCGAAGCUUGCGGUGAACCUUGAGCCUCCGGGCUCGGCAUUGUCCCCCACGACGGCGUCCUCCAUGGCGGCCGCCCCCAAGUCCGGGUCGUCAACGUCGUCCACCGUGCGGUCGGGGGCAUACUGGCGUUCAAUCCCUGCCGCCCCGGCCGGCGGUGGAAGAAGAGGGUUCUGCUCAAAAGAACCGACUGGUCAGAAGCCGGCCGUCGCGAAGCCGGCUGACGACAAAAAGAAGAUAGAGAGAGAAGCUUACCACGGGCGGAGGAUUGGCGCGAGAAUACGGCGCCUUGCCGUAUUGCCAGUCCCCGGCGAGCUUGCAGUUGGCGAUGUAAUUAACCAUGAGCGCCACCUCCGCAUGGGGCAUUUCCCAUGUGCUCAGCCGGCUUGGGUCGAAGCGGCCGCUCAUCUGACACAUCAUAUGGGGCCAGCUUUGGAGAGGAAGAAUCCGGCGCUCCACGAAGGCGGCUACGAAGUCGGCCCCGCGCAGGCCUUCCGACUGAAUCAUCACCCGAAGCCGGGAGACGGUGGCGUUCCCGUCCGGAGAUAGUGACCGGGACCGGAAACCCCACGAGGGCUGCCUCCCAGCCGGCGGGCCGGCUACGUAAGCCGGCAGGUUGAUGUAGUCUCCUUGCUCGGCGACGUUCCUCACGUAGAAGUACGAUUUUUGCCAGACCUUCACCAACUGGAUUAGGGGGAUGGACGGGAACGGAUUGUUCUCGCUCGCCCUCCUCAUAGCGAUGAAGGCCCCGCAGGGUGCGGGCACGCUGGCGACGACGGUGCCGAGUUUGCUCUGGAAGAACUCUCCUCAGAGCUCCAGCGUGGGGAGCAGCCCCAAGAAGCCUUCGCAGAGGGAGACGAAGGCCGACAGCAGCAUCACCACAUUGGGCGUGAGGUGAUGCGGCUGGAGGUUGUAGAACUCGAGGAAGGAGCGUAGAAAUUCGCUCGCCGGAAGGCCAAAGCCGCGCAGGCAGUGCGAACGGAAGACGACCCGCUUGCCCUCCUCCGGUGCCGGCGAGAUCUCCGUCUCCGGCGCCAGGCGGACCUACAUGAGGUUGGCGCCGGGCAGGCACCGAGUCUGGCGGAGGAACUCCACAUGGUCUUCGUGGACGUUGGAGCCGUCCCACGAGCUUGACAACGCCAUGGGAGCGAGGCGAUGUGGAGACGCGGCGGCGCUGAGACGGUAGGCUGCGGCGGCAACAAGAGGAAGAAACAGAUUAGGAGGGGCGGAAAGAGAGAGAGCGUGCGAACCUCUGUCGCUUUCCCUCCUCCCCCUACUUAUAGGCUUGCAUGGCGGAGCCGAGGAGGCGCGGCGUGGGGAAGCGUGGGGAUCGAUCGUGCCCACUCCCCACGUCCCGCGAUUAUUGAGCCUUAACGGCGAAACAAAACUGCCUCGGGAAGGCGAGCGGCCCCUGUGGGCCACGGAAGAUCCGCGCCCGGACCAAGGCUCGCAAGUGGCGGGCCCGGGCCUGCAGCGGCGUCCCGUCGCGCGCGUGCGCUCGCAGGAUCUCGCUGCCACGUGGCCGCGGGAGGGCCCGUGGUCAGCAUGCAGGUCCCCCCUUCUCCCGCCUACAAGACGCAGGGCUCUCUGAAGUCGGCAUACGCCCGCAAAGCCGGCUCUUCAGGAUGGGAAGCUGACCAAGCUUCUCGUCCCCCUGCUCGCCUCGGAGCUCGAUCAGCUUCGGGGACUACUGUCGGAGUAAAUAGCCAUGGGUAGCCUAGCCGGCUUCCCCUGGCCCUUCUGAAAAAAUCACGAGCCCGUCCGGCUCUCAAGAAUCCAAGACAUGGAGCCGACUCCCCCUUGCUGGCUGCCACCCAGGCCGGCUUUCGGAAGGCGGCCCGACUUUACCCCUCAUGAAGAAAACCAUGGGACGUCGACUCGAAGAAGCCGGCUCCAAGAUGCCGACUCCAAGAAGCCGGCUCCCCUAAAGCGGUCCAGACCAUACCCUGAAAGUUUGCACCCACCUAACGGUGGUGCGAUGGGGCGUGGCUACAGUGAAGCCUGCCACCCCCGAAUCCCGGAGCACGCCUGGCACAGUGCGCCGUACGGAGUGGCCAUGACCCGUCCGGCGCGGCACUGUUGCCAUGUUGACCCUGAUGUCAUCCACGACGGGCUACCAGUACGGCCUACGGGCGGUGGGCCCCUUCGGGCAGAGAUACAGCCGAAGGCGGCCUGGCCUUCCCCAGUCGGCCUGAAGGCGGCUUGGCCUCCCCCAGUCGGCCCGAGACGGGGCCGGCUCCCCGCAGCCGGCUCGCUUCCCCUCUCGAAGAAGACGCCCCAUUAAGGAGACAAGACGCGGUGAGGCUAAAGUAAUCGCCCGCCGGACGGCGGCACUGUAGCCACGCCUACCUCGACGAAGCCCUCGUCAUCAGGAUGAGUCAACAGUGACCAGCCAUCAACAAGACCCUUGGCGGUGGGGCCUGUCUACUGCCAGGGAGUUGGUAGCCGGCGGGACGCACCAGCCGGCGGGCCCCAGCGGUCGGCGCACAAGCCGGCGAGCGCGGUCACAGACGGCUGGGCCCCGUGCCCAGUCGGAUUACCAUUGUACCCCCAGGGGGUAGGCCUAUAUAAACCCCCCGGGGCACCCAUGCAAAGGGUUCGACCCCCUGCUAGUCUAAAACACCACAGAAGGAGAGGAAGCAGGCUAGCCGUGCCCUUCUACCUCCUCCCACCAAACCGCUCAAGGAGCAUUGUGUAGUUACUUGUUCAUCUAGUGAUCAUGCGGAGACCCCGCAGAGCAGCAGUAGGGGUGUUAUCUCCACGGAGAGCCCCGAAGCUGGGUAAGAUCCGCCGGCGUGCAUGUCUUCGCCUUAUCCCGUUUCCAGGCACCGACGAUGUCUUUCUGGCUCCCAGAAUGAUAAGCCACCCUUUGGCAUAUGUCGCACCUACCACCCGACAUUCACCUAGCCAGCGAGGCGAGCAGGUGCUCGACGGCGAGCACAGGAGCUCGCCACGCCACCUCUCUGCCUGCCGUCACCCGCGCCAGCGUGAAGCCUCGAAACACCUUCACGUCGCGCACCGAACCCCCUGGACACGUCCAUUCCCCCUGCCUCUCUCCCUCGCUCCCCUCCGCCAUGGCCGACGCAGCCGCCGCCGUUCCGCUGCCGUAACCGUGCCCACCAUCGUCAACCCACCACUCCACCGUGUCCUGAAGCUGCGCCACUCCCUCCUCGACUGUCCCACCGGAGGCCCCCGAGCAUCUUCACCGAGCCCAUCUUCAACCUCGGUCCGCCGAGAUCGCCGGCGACCGUAUGCCGCCUCUGAUGCCUCCCCGAGCUCGCUGAGGCCACCGCUACACUCCCCGUGAGCUCCUUCUCCGUUCCCCUCUCUUUCCUUGCCAUUUUCUCCCUCUAACCGCGGGCUCCGUUGAGCCCGAGAGCUCGGCUCCGCCGGCCAUGUCGCCGCUGUGGCCACAGGUGCGUAAGCUCGAUUCCGAGCGCGUCACCACACUCACCACGUUUCCAGGAGCCUAAUGCACCACUCCCCACGCCUCGCCGUGCCCCGUAGCUUCGGGUUUAUCCUCGCCCGAACUCCGGCGACCGCCAAGGACGUCGCCGGCGUCAUUUCCGGCCUCCCCGAGCUCCACUUCCACCACCAAACACCGCGGCUUGCCCCCAGCUACGCGUAGGACCAAACCGCAGUUGAUUUGGUCGACUGUGGGCAAAACCCGAGCCCCUCCGCCGCGUCUGUCAUCGCCGGCGUCAAGCCGCCGGCGAGUUGACCACGUUUUGACCCGUGGACUAACGUGUGGGCCCAAGUUGACUUCCCCCCUGAGCCUGUGACAGGUGGGGCCGGCCUGUUAAUUAGUUUAUGAUUAGUGUUAACUAAUUUUAGUUAGUUUAGGUCACUGACAUGUGGGCCCAGGCCCCACUGAUAGUUAAUUAGUACUAACCUAAUCCUGUUAGUUAGCUGAGUCACUGACAGACAGGGCCCACCAGUCAGGUUUGACUGGCCCUGGCGCCUUUGACUCGCUGACGUCACAGUGACGCAGUGCUGACACAAUUAUUCUUUUUCUGGAUUUAUUUUUAUAUAGGAAAUUCCAAAAAAUAGCCAAAACUUCUAAAAAUCAUAGAAAAUGAACCAUAGCUCCAAAUCAAACAAAUUAUAUAUGAAAAAUGAUUAGAAAAAUUCAAUCUAUCCAUCUAUAAUGGUUUCAUGCAUGACAAACCACUUAAACCUUGCUGUUUAGGUGAAACAAGCUAAUACACUUUUUAUGCAUAAGAAUUUUAACUUCGAUUUGAAUCUUUGGUUCAAAUGGACCCCUUUUCAACUUGUUUCACAUUGCAUUAGGCAGGACACAUCAUUUUGCCAUGUCAUAGCAUGCAUCAUAUUGUUGCAUAUUGUCAUGUGUUGAUUAUGUUGUGUGUGUCCUUCGUGGUAGGUUCUGCCUCCGAGGAUAUCUCUGAGUAUCCAACUAAAGGGCAGUACCCUACUACCACUCCAUCAGGCAAGCAGCCCCAUUGAUCAUAUCGAUACAAUCCCAUGUUCUCGCCUCUGCUCUUAUUUACUGCAUUAAGACAACAUCGUUUCAAACUGUUGUGUGCUACGGUAGUUGAACCCUUAUCCUCUGCAUGACCUGUCAUUGCCACAAUAACUAGAUGAAACCCACUAGCAUGUGUAGGAGUUGAUUGAGCCAUGUAUGUGUUUCCUACCUUGCUAUGCCUGCUAUGCUUAGAGUUGUGUCAGGUCAUGUUCAUCUGGGUGAUGGGCUAGAGUGAAAUGAUUAUGUCGGUAAUGUGAGGGAUGUGUUGAACAUGUUUUGGUAAAGGUAUCGAUGAGAGGCCAUGUAGGAGUACAUGGUGGGUUGUUUCAUUGAGGCCGUCCCUAAGAACUGAGAUCUGUAUGUGUGAUUUAAGAUUCAGUUACUACCAUACAUUGGGUCCGAAGCCAAUGGACCCUCUCGGCUUCUUAAUCACCCUAGUACUCUGUCCAGGAGUUGCAAUUAGUUUCUGGUGUUUGUAGGUUAUGUGUUGGCGGCCGUGCAUAGCGCUGACCCUAGGGGUGGGCUAUGUUGCGGUAGAUACACCGUGGCACGGUGUAUCGAGUCACCCGUUUGGUGUCUUGGGAACCCUAUUCACAUCAUUCGGGGCCGUAUGUGGAAACCUUGGCCGGACUCCCUGCGGAUGGAACCUGGAUAGGCGAUAAACCUGGACUAGAGACUUGAGUGUUUAGGUAGGCCGUGGCCGACACCCUCGUUGGGCCUCCGCUUGAAGGUUGCCGAGUACAUGCCGUGUAAACGGCGGUAAGUGGUGAAAGCGUGUAUGAAGAAGUACACCCCUGCAGGGUUAACAUCAUCUAUUCAAAUAGCCGCGUCCGCGGUAAAGGACUACUUGGUUGCCUAUAUAGGUCAUAGACAAGUUAACGGUUACUACUAAAAGACUCAAGAUAAGUGUGAGUACCGAGGAUGGCCCUCUCGUAGGAUGACGAGGGAGGAUCCCCGGUGGAGUAUUGUGUUGGUGAUUAGCGGACUCGUGUGCGAAAACUAUUUUACUAGUGGAGUCUCGUAGGAUAGCUUAGCCAAGAGUCAAAGCUGGCUUGCUGCAAUAACUCCACCACCUUCUUGAGAAUGAGCAUGUAUAGUAGGUUCUGAUGUAAGACUUGCUGAGUACCUUUGUACUCAUGUUUGUUUAAUUACUGUUUUCAGACGACAACACCGCCCCCUCCGAUGGGUUUUAUGUAGAUCUCGACGUCAAUGAGUGACUUGUGACCCAGGUGGUGAUCCUGUCCAUGGAGGGCCCUAUGUAGAUAGACAGGCUUUGAGAAGCCUUCUUUCUUUCUAGUGUCUGUACUCAGACUAUUUGCUUCCGCAUGUGCUUGUAUGCUUGUAUGACUUGAGUGUCGGGUCAUGUGACCCCUACCUGUAUGAACAUGUUAUGUAUGGCUCUCUGGAGCCUUUAAAUAAAGUACUUGAGUUGUAGAGUUUUGUUGUGAUGCCAUGUUGUAUUUGCACAUAUCGAGCAUAUUGUGUGUAUGAUUGAAAUGCUUGGUAUGUGUGGGAUCCGACAAUCUAGUUGUUUAUCCUUGGCAGCCUUUCUUAUGGGGAAAUGUAGUCUAGUGUUCCUCGAGCCAUAGUAGUCCGCUACAGCCCGGUUCACCGGAGUCCUGCUAGCCCAGCACUACUGCUCAGGACAUUUGACUGGCCGGCAUGUGUUUCACUUCGUUCCUAUGUCUGUCCCUUAGGGGAAAUGUCACGCGGUGACAUCCGGAGUCAUGCCUAGCCUGCUACAGCCAGGGUUCCCCGGAGUCCUGUUAGCCCAAUGCUACAGCCCGGGUUCACUCGCUGAUGACCGACAUGCUCGAUGUGAUUCAUGUAUGCCUGUCUCCAUAGGUCUGUGCCGCUUUGGGUUCACGACUAGCCAUGUCGGCCCGGGUUCUCCGUCAUAUGGAUGCUAGCGACACUAUCAUAUACGUGAGCCAAAAGGCGCAAACGGUCCCGGGCCAUGGUAAGGCGACACCCGUGGGGAUACCGUGCGUGAGGCCGCAAUGUGAUAUGAGGUGUUACCGGCUAGAUCGAUGUGACUUGGAAUCGGGGUCCUGACAACACGCCUUGUCCUUCGAACAUAGAAUCAGACGAUAAGCUUCAAAAACCAGUUGAUAUCCCGGAGCUCAAACCACUAAGUCCGGAAGAUCUUCGGACUCCGGACCCAAAAUUGGGUCAGGGCUCGGAUUUAAUUCCACCCACCCACCCAGACAUAAGCGCUCUCUUGAGCACGCAUCAGCAAUUUCGGGAAAUGGUCCACCACUUUUGGGCCAGAUUCCUCCUUGUCCAACACAAGAUCAAAGAUUGCCGCGACGAAGAUGCGAUCUCAAUGUUUCGCAACAAUUGCAUGGACGAGGGAAUCCUCAACGCCAUCAACCGCCGUCACAUAUUACACUUUUCUGACUUGGCAACUAUCGUGCAGAAGUACAGCACAAUGGAAAGCGCCUGGAAAACUCAGGCAACACGGUGGGGACCAGCAGUCCCCACUCAACCCCUCAUUCAGACGAAAAGGGCGCACCCUCAUGGCACGCUGGGACAACUGGUAAAGAAACACAAGCCCGUUACGGGGCGUGGAACCAUUCUGGAAGGAUGGCUCGACGGGCCAUGGAAAAUACACACAACACCGGAUAGCAUACCAACCCACAACCUUAGAGCAUGUUGGAUACUCUGGCAGGUGGCCAAGAGCGGUGAAGAUAUCCUCACCAGGAAUACCCCAGAGCAACACGCCCCAGAAGACGACGACCUCAAAGUAUUGACGGUCAUCGAGACAUUCGCCUCAAACAAUAGGCGCAAAAGGGCACUCCGCGAACUCAUCGAAGUCUGCCAGAUUGCAACAAUAAGCCCUUGGAACGACACGGCGAUAACCUUUAAUGCUGGCGAUGAGCCAAAAUACAUGACAGUCUGAGCACCAACCGCCUUGGUCCUCAGUCCAAUUGUGGAUGGCUUUCGGCUCACCAAGGUUCUCAUGGACGGUGGCAGUGGACUAAACCUCAUCUAUGAGGAUACAAUACAAAAAAUGGAAAUAGACAGGAGCCGCAUCGAGCAAAGCAACACGACCUUCCGAGGAAUCAUUCCCCGUCGAGAGGCACAGUGUGCGGGAAAAAUCACACUCGACGUGGUAUUCGGCACACCGGAGAACUAUCGGUCCGAAGAAAUAACCUUCCAAGUGGCCCCUUUCAACAAUGGAUAUCACGCCCUCUUAGGGCGAGAUGCAUUUACGCGCUUCCAAGCGGUACCCCAUUAUGGAUACAUGAAGCUUAAGAUGCUUGGGCCCAACUGUAUAAUCACUCUAGCUAGUGAUCCGGACAUAGCACUCCGCGCCAAGAAUAAAACCGCAUCCUUGGCCCUAGAGGCAUUAUCUGAAGCCCUCGCGGCUGAAGAAUUAACCGUGUUACGAUCCACGGUGGACAGGGACGAUGUGGUCCUAGACAAACAACCCAAAUCCACCUCCUUCAAACCAGCAGAAGAAAUAGUCAAAUUCCAAGUCCAUCCAACGGACCCCAAGAAGACAUCAUCCAUUGGAGCACAACUAGACCCAACGGUUGACGCCGUGCUACGAGAGUUCCUGCGUGAGAAUUGGGAUAUAUUCGCCUGGCACCCUUCUGAUAUGCCAGGAAUCCCACGCAAGUUGGCCGAACACAGCCUCAAUAUACUGAAGGGAUAUAAACCGGUCAAGAAAACACUGCGGCGCUUUUCCGAACCCAAACGUCAAGCUAUGGGGGAGGAGCUAGCCAAGCUAAUCGAGGCAGGAUUCAUUAGAGAAAUAAAACAUCCGGACUGGCUGGCAAACCUGGUGAUGGUGCCAAAGAAGGACAAGUCCUGGCGCCUAUGCAUGGAUUUCAAAGACCUCAACAAGGCUUGCCCUAAGGAUCCCUUCCCCCUCCCCUGCAUUGACCAGAUCAUUGAUGCUACUGCAGGACACGACUCAUUAUGCUUCCUUGACGCAUAUUACGGAUACCAUCAAAUUAAAUGAAGGAGUCCGAUCAAGCUGCAACAACAUUCAUCACCCCAUAUGGGCCAUUCUGCUUCAACACCAUGCCCUUCGGACUCAAGAACGCCGGCGCCACUUAUCAACGCAUGAUCCAAACAUGCCUGGAGAAACAGAUCGGAAAGACAGUUGAAGCCUAUGUGCAUGACGUCGUAAUCAAGACAAGGCAUGUCGAAACAUUAAUAGACGACCUACGCCUCACAUUUGACAACCUCCACGCAUAUGACAUUAAGCUCAAUCCAGAAAAGUGUGUUUUUGGCGUCCCCACAGGAAAGCUGCUGGGCUUCAUCGUUUCCAAUAGAGGAAUUGAAGCAAAUCUAGCCAAAAUCCGAGCUCUGUCACAAUUGGCUACGCCAACAGACCUUAAACAAGUCCAAAACCUCGCGGGUUGCAUGGCAGCUCUAAGCCGCUUUAUCUCUAGAUUGGGAGAAAAGGCACUGCCACUCUAUUGUCUUCUACGGUGAACCGAUCACUUCAAGUGGAUGGACGCGGCAACAACCAGACUGGAAGAAAUAAAAACCCUUCUAGCGAGCAACCCAAUCCUGGCGGCACCAAACGUCGGCGAACCCAUGUUGAUAUACAUAUCGGCAACACAUCAGGUGGUGAGCGCCGUACUCGUCGUUGAACGAGAACAGGACGGACACAAAUUCCCACUUCAGAAGCCAGUAUACUACGUAUCCACUGUCCUUACACCAUGCAAAUCCUGGUACCCCCAUUAUCAAAAGGUAGCAUACGUGGUAUUCAUGUCAUCCCGAAAGCUACGACACUACUUCCAGGAGUGUUCGAUCACGGUGGCUUCCGAAGUACCACUCAAUGAUAUAAUAAACAACCGUGAUGCCACGGGCCGGAUUGCCAAAUGGGCCAUUGAUCUCCUCCCAUUUGACAUUACAUAUAAACCACGUCGAGCUAUUAAAUCCCAAGUACUGGCUGACUUCGUCGCCGAAUGGACAGAGGCCGAACUCCCUAAAGAGUACGACCCAUAUUCCAAUUGGGUUAUGUAUUUUGAUGGCUCCAAAAUGCUGGCAGGACUAGGAGCGGGCGUCGUUUUAAUGUCCCCUACUGGAGACAUCGUUCAGUACAUACUCCAAAUACUAUACACAGACUUCAAUAACGCAGCCGAAUACGAGGCCUUAUUGCAUGGUCUCCGGAUGGCUGUCUCCAUGGGCAUACAACGUCUGGAAGUGCUCGGGGACUCAAACCUCGCAAAUAUCUCAAAUAAAUGGAGACUUCGAUGCCAAAUACCCGAAGAUGGCAGCUUAUCGUAAUGUCCUAAAAAUAUCAGCUCGGUUCGAGGGCUCGAGUUCCAUCAUGUUGCCCAAGAAAGUAAUCAAGCGGCGGACGUUCUUGCUUGCAUAGGCGCUAAGCGCGACCCCGUCCCACCUAACAUUUUUCUGGAAAGGCUUUUUAAGCCAUCCGUGGUGUGGAAGGGGGAGGGCGGCAACACUAGUCCGGAUCCGAACACAACCCCAGAUUCCGAACACAUCGAUAUCGUCGGAGGCUCAACCACCGAAAUAACACCGCUGACCCAUCUCAUUAUGGAAGUCAUUGCCCAAUGGACCGAACCAUUCUUGGCCUACCUUAAUAAGAAGGAGCUUCCUGAGGAUCAGAAUGAGGCCCGCUGCAUUGUCCAGCGUUCGAAGGCCUACAAGGUUCAUGAUGGAGAGCUCUAUAAGAAAAGCGCUGUAAGUGCAUCUAGUGCCACCCCUAGUUGGUUUUGGAGUAUUGAUGACAAACCUGGUUGAGGGACAAAUGUGUUUGUGAGAAUUGCAGGAUAACACAGGUAGAAGUCCCUCAUUGAUUCAGUUUUCCUACCAAAGAUGACCCCUAAAAAUGUAUGAAGACAUUGAAGCCAAAGGUGGUAUGUGAAGACAUUCACAUUGAAGACUAUGACAAGAGAAGACAUCGCAUGAAGACUAUGGAGCGCGAAGACUUAGUUGUUUCGUUGUUCUUUUUCUUCUUUGUUGAGUCAUAGGAACCACCGUACUGUUAAGUGGGGUCCAAGAGAACCAGUUAGAAUGACUGAAGUGAUGCUUAACCAAAAUCCUAUGUCUUCAAGUGAAGACUAUGCGAGCAAAUCUUGUCCAGAGUUGGAUAAGUCAGCUUUGCUUGUAGCCCAAGUAAAGUUGCCGUGUGUGUUUGAAAUCUGACCGUUGGAACACGUGUCAGUUCCUUAGUGAUUGAGGGUCAUUUCGGACAAAUCAGGUCGGGUUGCCUAGUGGCUAUAAAUAGCCCACCCCCUACAACCAUAAACGGUUGGCUGCUCAGUGUUAGUGCACGACUUUUGUCGUUUGAGAGCAACCCACCUCGAAGCCUUUGAGAGAGAAUUCCUUGCGAGGAUAAAGCCCUAACCACCCAGAGCCAAAGAGAGUUAGGCAUCACUGAAGUCUUCAUGUCUGUGUGAUCUAAAGACUUAUUACACUUGAGGACUGUGAAUCCUCCAGCCAGUUAGGCGUCGCGUUCUGAGCAUCCAAGAGUCAUUGUGGAUCGCCGGUGAACGAAGUCUGUGAAGGUUUGGAAGUCUACCUUCAAGACUUACCAGAGUGAUUGGGCAAGGACUGGGUGUCCUUAGCUCAAGGGGAAUAAAGUGAAGACGCGGUCUUCUGAGUUGAAUCUCAGCCUACCUAACCAGACGUACAGUUGUCACAACAACUGGAACUGGUCCAACAAAUCAUUGUCGUCAACGAGUCACUGGUUUCAUCCUUCCCAUUCCUUUACUUACUGUUGGCCCUGGUGAAGUCAUUGCAUGAUUGCCUUAUCUUUUGUCUUCAUUGAGUGACUGCUUGUUCUGAUUGGCUUCACUAUAUCUUCCUACCUGAUCUUUACUGCCUAGCUGCUAUUAGUCAUUGUGCUUUCAGUUCAUUUAAUACUUGACUAUGGUUUGCCUAGUGUAGUCUACCUUCCGCUGCAUGGUAAUAGGUUUAUUUCUAUCUUUUGUCUUCGAAACUUCCAUGUUUUGAAGACUUUCAUAAAAAUCGCCUAUUCACCCCUCUCUAGUCGAUCACCAGCACUUUCAAUUGGUAUCAGAGCAAGGUACUCCCUUGUUCUAUGUGAUUCGGUUUAACCACCUGGAGUUUUAGCUAUGUCGACUACAGGGAUAAUCAAAGUCUCCGCUGCGUGCCUAGUCUUCGAUGGAACUGAAUAUCCCUACUGGAAGAAUAAGAUGCGCAUGCAUCUUGAAGCCAUUGAUGUCGACCUAUGGUAUGUCGUCAAGAAUGGCGUUCCCAAGGCUGGUGAAGGUGUCACCGCCGCUGAUGUCAAGAAGUUCGUUCAACUGGACUCCACUGCCAAGAACAUCAUCUGUGGUCAUCUGACCAAAGGACAGUAUGGCCAUGCGAGUGCUUUGGAAACAUCUAAGCUAGUCUGGGACUGGAUCUACAGGGUCAACGAAGGUGUCUCAACCUAGAGAGAUCAGAGAAUCAGUGUCCUUCGCAACCUCUUCAACCGCUUCAAGAGAAAUGACAAUGGGAAUGUUCAGCUCAUGUUUGAUCGACUCGCUGACAUCACAAAUGAGCUUCAAGCCCUCGGCGCCACUGAGAUCACCAAGCAUGAAGUCGUCAAGACACUCCUGAGAUCACUUGACAGCUCGUUUGACACCCUAGCCCUGAUGAUUCAAGAACAUCCUGACUUCAAAACACUCGAUCCGUCUGACAUACUUGAGAGGCUCAACACACACGAGUUUCAGCUUUCUGAGAAAAGAGACAUCUACGGUCCAAACUAUGGGCGAACUCGUGCCUUGAAGGCAAAAGCUAUAUCCUCAUCUAAAGAAGAGUCUGACAGCAGUUCUGAUGAUCCUGAAGACAUUGGAAAGGAGCUUGCUAUGCUUGUGAAGAAGUUCCAAAAAUUCACCAAGAAGAAAGGCUGCAGAAAGUCCUCACGAUCAAGCUCAAGAAAUGAUGAAGCUUCUGCUCAUGACUACAAGAAGAAAACAUGCCACAAGUGCAAGAAACCUGGCCACUACAUCUCCGAGUGUCUGCAGUGGGACAAUGAGAACAAGAAGAAAAAGAAGAGCAAGGAGUAUGAUUCUGACGACAAGAAGAAGAAGAAAUACUCAAAGUCUUCUUCCAAGUCCUCCUCAAAGUCUUCAUCACACAAGAAGAGCUCAUCUGGCAAGGCACGUGCAUUUGCUGGCAAGGAAAUGGAUUCAGAGGAGGAGUCCGCUUCUGAGGAGGCGGAGGUGGAGUCUAAGGAGGAGUCCAAUUCUGGUGUUGUGAGACUGGCUACGGCAUACGUUGCCAAGUCCAUCUUCAACACUGAAGACAAUGACUCCGUCACCGACACCGAUGCAAAUGACAAGGACUACUCUGCUCCUACCUACUGCUUCAUGGCACGUGGUGCCAAGGUAAACACACGCACUACUCACUAUCAAACUUCCAGUGAAGAUGACUCUGAUUGUGGUUCCAAACCCAGCUACAAAACACUUGCUAAAAUUGCAACUGAACAACAGAAAGCUAUGGAACAUAUUCAAAAACUGUUAGACAGAAGCGAUGACCUGUUAGACGCUGAAAUGACUCGAUCUCAGUCCUUAAUUGAAGACAUAAAAAAUCUUCACGUUAAGUAUGAGGAACUUGAAAGUCAUCAUGAAACGCUCUCAACAACUCAUGAAAAGCUUUCCUAUGAUUAUCUUGAAAGGAAGCAAGAUCUUGAGAAAUUGAGAGUGGCUCAUAAAGAUCUUCAAAAGGAAAAUGAGUCACUUCGCGCCAAACAGAUCAGUUCCACUCAGGAAGGAUUUGAACCACCAUGUCUUAAAUGUAUUGAGCGUGACAAUGCUAAUUCUGUUGCUGGUUGUUCUACUGCUGCUACUAUUGCAAUAUCUUCAACUGCUGAUGUGCCAACUAACCCCUCUGUUGAGGAUGCCACUGCUGUUGCUGAUGAGAAUGCUAGGUUGAAGACAUUGCUUGAAACAGGUAUGUUCAAAAGCCUCAAAGGGCAUCGGACACUAUGUGAUGUCCUCAAAAGGCAGAUCCUGAACCAAAACCCUAGGAAAGAGGGUGUUGGGUUCAAAGGGAAAAUGAAUGCUGAUGGUUCUUACUGGAAACCUGAGCAGUACCCCAAAACCACAUGGGUUGCUGCAAAGGGACCUUCAGUGGAUCCAUCCACCCUAUCUGGCUUCACUUGUGCAAAUCCCAUUGUUAUUGAUGAAUCCUUUGAUGCAAACUAUAAACUGUUUAAGAAUCAGAAGGGUGAAGUGUUUGCCAGGUAUAUUGGUACUAACUGCAGGAAUGGACCGCCUAUGAAGAAGGUCUGGGUGCCGAAAAGGUGUUUGGAGAAUCUUCCUGUGAAUGUCGUCAUGACACCACAAGUGAAGAAGACAAACCCCAGACCACAGGCUUCAUACGGUCCAAAGGCUUCAUAUAGACAGAGGACUCACCUGAGUCGCACUAACGCAAAUGUUUUGCAGGGAAGCCAUACUCAGGCCUAUGAAUAUGAGCAUGUUUCAUCAAACCGCCAUGUUCAUAAGACCAAGAACUAUUCUGCUUAUUCUUAUGAGUACUAUUGUCCCCCUGCAAGAUUUUUUGCUAGGGCUCCAAAGCCAAAGUUCUCAGAUGCUGCACUUAGACUCAUUGCUUCAAAGCCACCCUUGAAGAUGUGGGUGGCUAAGAAAGCUUAACUCUCUUUUGCAGGGAAAGGUCUCCAGCUGAAAACCAAAAUCGUCUGAAGCUAUUGCUGGGGACCUUAAACAUCUUGUAGGGCGCAAGAUCAAAUGCCCAAAUGGUCUUAUUAUGUAUUUUGUUCCUGAGUCGCUUGCUACUUGCCCUAUCAGUCCUAACCUCGAUCUAAGCUUUCAUAAUCCACUUGCUCGUCAAAUGUUUUUGCUUCACAACUCUCUUCAUGAAGCCUAUCCCCCUAACUGCACUGUAGGGUACGACACCAGCUGCUUCAGAAUGGAUUAUUGAUAGUGGGUGUACUAAUCACAUGACUGGCAAGCGAAGUCUUCUUAUGGACUCAACCUUACGUCCAUCUGACAAAAGUCACAUCACAUUUGCUGACACUGGUAAAAGUAAGGUAUUGGGUCUAGGUAGAGUUGCAAUCUCAAAGGAUCAACACAUGGAUAAAGUCAUGCUUGUUGAAUCCCUUGGUUUCAACUUAAUGUCUGUCUCAAUGCUUUGCGAUUUAAACAUGAUUGUGAUGUUUGGAAAAUAUCGUUGUCUUGUUCUAAUGGAAUCUGACAAGUCUCUAGUGUUUGAAGGAUAUCGGAAAGAUGAUUUGUACGUGGUAGAUUUCUCAGCAGGACCACAACUUGCCGUAUGGCUUCUAGCAAAAGCUUCAGAAUGCUAGCUCUGGCAUCGGAGGCUAGGGCAUGCUGGCAUGAGGAACUUGCACACUCUUGCAAGAAAGAAGCAUGUCAUAGGCAUCGAGGGCGUCAAGUUCAAGAAGGAUCACUUAUGCGGUGCCUGUGAAGCAGGAAAGAUGAUGAGGGCCAAGCAUCCCUCGAAGACAAUCAUGACAACGACUCAACCGUUCGAACUGCUCCACAUGGACCUUUUCGGUCUCACUCAUUACUCAACUCUUACUACUACUGCUUGUCUCUAUGGCUUUGUCAUUGUUGAUGAUUAUUCAAGAUAUACUUGGGUGCAUAUAAUCCUCUACAAGACUGAAGUGCAGGAUGUCUUCAGACGCUUCGCCAAUCGAGCCAUGAACAACUAUGGCGUCAAGAUAAAGCACAUCAGAAGUGACAAUGGCACUGAAUUCAAGAACACUGGGCUAGAUACAUAUCUUGAUACUUUGGGCAUCACACAUGAAUUCUCAGCUCCGUACACGCCACAGCAGAAUGGCGUCGUCGAACGCAAGAACGGAACACUUAUUAAGAUGGCUCGGACGAUGCUUGAUGAAUACAAGACUCCAAGAAAAUUCUGGCCUGAAGCCAUUGAUACUGCAUGCCAUAUCAUCAACCGUGUUUAUCUUCACAAGCUUCUGAACAAGACAUCCUAUGAGCUCCUUACUGGCAAGAAGCCAAAUGUCAGUUACUUCAGAGUAUUUGGUGCCAGGUGCUGGAUUAAGGAUCCACAUCACACUUCAAAAUCUGCACCAAAAGCACAUGAAGGUUUUAUGCUUGGAUAUGGAAAGGAUUCGCACUCCUACAGAGUCUUCAACCUCUUUCACCAUAAUGUGGUUGAAACUGUGGAUGUGCGGUUCGAUGAGACUAACGGCUCGCAAAGAGAGCACCUGCCAAAUGUGAUAGAUGAAGUUCCAUCCAGUGAAUCAAUCAAACUUAUGGGAACUAGAGAAAUCAUACCAUCUGAAGCUCAGCCUGAAGAGGAACUUAUCAUCUCCGCACCUGAUCAACCUGAAGACAAUGCUCAGCCUAAAGACAAUCCUUCUAACGAUGAAAAUGAUCAGCAAGAGCAAAAUCUUUGUCCUGUACAUCCUCGUGUUGCAAAUGAAGUGCAGAUUCAGAGAAUAAUUGAUAGCAUCAAUGCACCAGGUCCACUCACUCAUUCAAAGGCAACACAGCUAGCAAAUUUCUGUGGACACCUCGCAUUCGUCUCAAUAUCUGAACCCAAGAAAGUUGAUGAAGCCUUCAUGGAACCUGAAUGGAUUCAAGCUAUGCAAGAAGAGCUUCAACAGUUUGAGCUGAAUAAUGUUUGGGAACUGGUUAAGCGUCCCGAUCCUCGCAAGCACAAUAUAAUAGGCACCAAAUGGAUAUACCGCAACAAGCAAGAUGAGCAUGGUCAAGUUGUCAGAAACAAGACUUGUCUCGUUGCUCAAGGAUACACUCAAGUUGAAGGGAUUGACUUCGAUGAGACAUUUGCUCCUGUGGCUAGACUUGAAGCCAUAGGCAUACUGCUGGCCUAUGCAAAUCAUCAUAACAUUCUUCUGCAUCAAAUGGAUGUGAAGAGCGCUUUUCUCAAUGGCAAGAUUGAUGAAGAAGUGUAUGUUGCACAACCGCCUGGCUUUGAAGAUCCAAAACAUCCUGACAUGGUGUACAAGCUCAACAAGGCACUGUAUGGCCUCAAACAAGCCCCUAGGGCUUGGUAUGACACACUCAAAGAGUUCCUGAAGAGCAAAGGCUUCAAACCUAGUUUCCUCGACCCCACUCUCUUCACGAAGAGAUAUGAUGGUGAACUGUUUGUGUGCCAAAUAUAUGUGGAUGACAUUAUCUUCUACUGCACCAAUCAGAAAUACACUGAUGAGUUUGGAUAUAUGAUGCAAGAGCAAUAUCAGAUGUCCAUGAUGGGAGAGCUGAAGUUCUUCCUUGGUCUUCAAAUACGUCAGCAACACAACGACAUCUUUAUAUCUCAAGAGAAAUACCUCAAAGAUUGCCUGAAGAAAUUUGGAAUGCAAGAUUGCAAAGGCUACACGACGCCAAUGCCAGCCAAACAUCAUCCGGGUCCCGACGACAAUGGUAAAGAGUUCGAUCAAAAGGUAUAUCACUCCAUGAUUGGUUCCUUGCUUUAUUUAUGUGCAUCUAGGCCAGAUAUCAUGCUUAGUGUUUGCAUGUGUACCCGGUUCCAAGCGACACCAAAGGAAUCGCAUCACUUAGCUGUGAAGCGAAUUCUCAGAUAUUUGGCUCACACCCCAACACUAGGAUUAUGGUAUCCAAAGGGCUCAGAGUUUGAUCUAGUUGGAUUCUCGGAUGCUGAUUAUGCUGGUGACAAGGUGGAUCGCAAGUCUACAUCAGGCACAUGUCAUUUUCUGGGACGAUCACUUGUAUGUUGGUCUUCAAAGAAGCAGAACUGUGUAUCUCUCUCCACCGCUGAAUCUGAAUACAUUGCUGCUGGAUCUUGCUGCACUCAGCUUCUAUGGAUGAAGCAAACACUCAAAGACUAUGACAUUCACCUGAAGCAAAGUGCCACUCUAUUGCGACAACGAAAGUGCCAUCAAGAUUGCCAACAACCCAGUUCACCACUCAAAGACAAAGCACAUUAAAAUUCGUCAUCACUUUCUUAGAGAUCAUGUUGUGAAGGAAGAUAUUGAUAUCAUACACGUCAACACUAAAGAGCAAUUGGUAGAUAUCUUCACCAAGCCCUUGGAUGAGAAGAGGUUUUGCAAGUUACGGUGUGAGCUAAAUAUCUUGGAAUCCUCAAAUGUCCUGUGAUCAGGCACACAUCCUAACACUUAUGCAUGUUGAUGACUUAGAUGUGCAACACACGAAGUAAAGUAUAUCUUCAAUAAAUGAAGACUUACAUUCUGAGUGUGAAUACAUUAACAUGGAAUUUGACUUUGGAUCACCACGAUAAUUGUGCGUCGUGUCUGGGUCUAAUACUUCCUAUACGGUGGGUAACGCCACCACCAAAUUCUUCUGUUGAAGUGUUUUACCCAUGACGUUACAUUUGCUAUGUCUUCACAUUUGGUUUGUCUUCAUUUUCAACUUGUCUUAAUGAUUAUCUUCACUAUGUUGAUAUGAUUGUCUUCUGGUAUAUACUGAUUUGGUUUGGUUUCUGUUCUCUACAGCAUUCACUUAUAGCUAUGGCUUCCUGAUGAAUCUUUUGAACUAAGUGAAUGUGAUCGGACCCUUACCCCUCUAUGCUUCUUUCCUAAGUCUAUCUAUCCAAAUCAUAUGCAUUCUAUUGACACAGUCAAAUGUCUUCUCUGCAUCCAUGUCAGCAAAAGACACCGAGACAAACAUUAAUCCGUUUUCAAUGCUAAAUCCUUUCACCUAAAACCCGGAGAAGUGGGAACGACCACCCGACAAUCCAGGCGUGCGUGGGAACGUGGAACAACCUUCGAUGUGUUGCAUGAUAGCCACGUGUCCUUCAGAUGUGAAUCGCCAGGGGCACUUGUGUAAUAACUCUAUGCUGUCCCUAUCCCUAUAAAUACGCACCUCACCAUAGUCAUUAUCCCUUCUUCCACUCUCGCACAAACCCUAGAGCCACCGCUAGCCCUCAACGACGUCGCGACUAAUCGCUUAGCUGCCGCGACCUGUAACGCCCCGAGACCUAUGUGCCAGGUGUCUUCCAGUUAUUCGCUGUCGUUGCCAUGUAUUUGCUUGCGUGUCAUGCAUCUCAUAUCACGUAGUCAUGUGUUUUUCAUUUGCAUACAUGUUUGUCUCAUGCAUCCGAGCAUUUUCCCCGUUGUCCGUUUUGCAAUCCGGCGCUCCUAUGUCAUCCGGUGUCCCUUUCUACCUCUUUUCAUGUGUGGGUGUUAAACAUUUCUGGAUUGGACCGAGACUUGUCAUGCGGCCUUGUCUUACUACCGGUAGACCGCCUGUCAAGUUUCGUGCCAUUUGGGCUUCAUUUGAUACUCCAACGGUUAACAGAGGGACCGAAAAGGCCUCGUGUGUGUUGCAGCCCAACACCCCUCCAAAGUGGCCCAAAACCCACCUAAAACCCCUCCAUCAUCUCGGUCGUUCGAUCACGAUCGUGUGGCCAAAAACCGCACCUCAUUUGGAGCUUCCUAGCUCCUCCUACCAAUAGAAAGGUCCCUCCAUCAAAAUUUCCGGAUCAAAACACCCCCUAACCCUAGCCCCGCUCCUCUCCGCGCGGGCGGACACGUCCGCCGCCGCCGGACAUUCCCGCUGCCGCCACUCCUGUCACGCCACGUGGCGCGUGGCCGCUCUCCCCGCCACCGGCCCGGGCGAGCCUGAUUCGGGCCCCCCGAGCCCAUCUCCUCCACGCCGCCCCCCCCGUUCCAGCCGAGUCGCGCCGCUCCUCGCGCCAACCGCGCCGCCUGCCGCGCCCCUCGNNNNNNNNNNNNNNNNNNNNNNNNNNNNNNNNNNNNNNNNNNNNNNNNNNNNNNNNNNNNNNNNNNNNNNNNNNNNNNNNNNNNNNNNNNNNNNNNNNNNNNNNNNNNNNNNNNNNNNNNNNNNNNNNNNNNNNNNNNNNNNNNNNNNNNNNNNNNNNNNNNNNNNNNNNNNNNNNNNNNNNNNNNNNNNNNNNNNNNNNNNNNNNNNNNNNNNNNNNNNNNNNNNNNNNNNNNNNNNNNNNNNNNNNNNNNNNNNNNNNNNNNNNNNNNNNNNNNNNNNNNNNNNNNNNNNNNNNNNNNNNNNNNNNNNNNNNNNNNNNNNNNNNNNNNNNNNNNNNNNNNNNNNNNNNNNNNNNNNNNNNNNNNNNNNNNNNNNNNNNNNNNNNNNNNNNNNNNNNNNNNNNNNNNNNNNNNNNNNNNNNNNNNNNNNNNNNNNNNNNNNNNNNNNNNNNNNNNNNNNNNNNNNUCGACGACGCCCCACCGCGCCCUCUCGCUGACGCCGCCCCGCCGCCUCGGCCGCCAUGCGCCGCCAUCUCCGCCAUCGCCGGCGCAGCUGCUCCGGUCACCGCCCGGUGCUCCGGCAGCCGCAGGCUCCUUGCCGGCCACCGCCGUCCUUGACGCCGUGCCGCCUCCUCUCGACACCGGCAAGCUCGUCGGAGGAGCCCCGUUGCCGGCCGCCCCAUCCAGAUCCACUGGAAGGUGGGAUCAGAUCCACCGGCGCACCCAACCAAACAUCAUCCCUGAUCCCGGAUCCCUCCGUCCUGAUCCGCGAGAUCCGCUUUUCCCGGGGUGAGAUUUUCCCUAAGUCUUUUCCCCCCAAUAUUUUUUGGGCAUUUUCAUCGCAUCAUUACUCAUCACCCGUAACUCCGAUUCGUGUGUGUAGCAUAUCAAAAUGUUCGUCUCGACGAGUACAUCAUUUCUUCUCGUUGCAUCAUUUUCAUUUGAGCUCAUCUUUAUGCCCGAAAUGCUAUUGGAAGAGGGCUAUGUGAUAUAUUUGCCAGAUGUGUUUCAUCAAAUAGAUAUUUGUCAUUUUUGCCAUGUUUAAUGUGUGCAUGAUAUGAUCCUGAGCUCUACAUGUGUUUUGUUUUAUGCCAUGCCAUCUUUACAUAGGUGCUUGCCAUGUAUUUUUGUGGUGUUUGUGGUGACUAGCACAAGCUUGCAAAGUAGUGUAACCGGUAAUGCUGAUUUCAGGGACUUAGAAUUUCACCAAGUCCUUGUCUUGAUUUUGUCGCUAUGCCAUAUGUUCAUGUUGUUUCCUACUAAUCGUGCCUCUUUUGAGGAUGAUCAGUAAGGAUGUUUUGUUAACAUUGUGGUGCUCUAUCCAUCCAUUUCUUUGUUUGCAUUUAUGGAGCACCCUAGCUUGAGUCAAUCGAGCUCUACUUUCGCUAUUUCGUGAAUCCUGACAGAUUGUUGACUUGUUAGCGAUUUUGCCGAGGAUGUUUCUAUUGAUCCGUGCAUGCUAUGUUCUUGUUCUUUCCAUGUCUAGCUUCUAUGCCAUGUAUUAUUGAUGGGUGUAUGCUUAGUUUGUCAUGCCAUGCCCUGUAGUGAGUGCAUCGAGCUCGUAAACAUGCCUACUCACUAAUCUGUUUUGCAUGCUCUAGUUUUUCACUAAGUCUGAAUCUGUUUAUGUUUUUGCCAUGUGCACAUGCUUGCAAUUGUAUUUUCUGAUCCCUUUUGGCUCAAGGUCACUAAGGGACUUUUUCUAAGUGCUUUGAGUAGCUUCAUGCCAUGCCUUGCUUUGCUAUGUUAAGUUCCUGUAGCAUGUAGUUUUCAUGCUCUAAAAUGUGCUUCCUGAGGAUAAAUUCCAGACUUGUGUUAAUUUCACUAAGUCUGAAACCUGUUAUCAUUUGCCCUUUUGCCAUGCUUGUUUGAACCUGUUAAUGAGUGAAUUAGCCGUAGCUCAGUGUUCAUCUUUUGUCAAGCAUCUUGAGUGGAUCCCUGCCAUGUAUUUUUUUCCAUGUUUGAGUGCUGUAGCAUAUUUAUCUUGAUGCAUUUAGAUGGCUACUUGCUGAUUAUCGCAGUCCGAUGCCAUACUUGUUUUGCUUGCCAUUUCCAAACCGUGCAUCCGAUUCCGGUGAUCUUUAUAUCAAUUUGAACCGAAAUCACCUCACCUUUCUAGUGGCACUCUUGGAUUUCCAUGUUGAGGCCAGGUUCAAUCAUUCCUUUGCAAAUCAUGCAUAUGCAUCGCAUCCCGCAUCCCGCAUAUCAUACCAUGUUCAUGUGUUGGUUGUUUACUAUGUUGUGUGCUUUUUCCUGGUGUUUGCUUCUUCGGGUUGGUUCCGUUAUCGUCGUGUUUGUGAGGACCCGUUUGACUACGUCUGUUUCUCUUCUUCAUGGACUCGUUCUUCUUCCUUGCGGGCUUUCAGGCAAGAUGACCAUACCCUCGAAAUCACUUCUAUCUUUGCUUGUUAGACGCUCGCUCUUUUGCUAUGCCUAUGCUGCGAUACCUACCACUUUCUUAUCAUGCCUCCCAUAUUGUUAAGCCAAGCCUCUAACCCACCUUGUCCUAGCAAACCGUUGUUUGGCUAUGUUACCGCUUUGCUCAGCCCCUCUUAUAGCGUUGUUAGUUGGAGGUGAAGAUUGUAGUUUGUUCCUUGUUGGAACAUGGAGAUGUUGUUCCUUGUUGGAACAUGUCUAUUUAGUUGGGAUAUCACAAUAUCUCUUAUUUAAUUAAUGCAUCUAUAUACUUGGUCAAGGGUGGACGACUCGGCCUUAUGCCUGGUGUUUUGUUCCACUCUUGCCACCCUAGUUUCCGUCAUAUCGGUGUUAUGUUCCCGGAUUUUGCGUUCCUCACGUGGUUGGGUUAUAAUGGGAACCCCUUGACAGUUCGCCUUGAAUAAAACUCCUCCAUCAAGGACCAACCUUGGUUUUACCAUUCGCCACCUAGCCUUUUUCCCUUGGGAGUCGCGCAUCCCGAGGGUCAUCUUUAUUUUAACCCCCCCGGGCCAGUGCUUGUCUAAGUGUUGGUCCGAACUAGAGUCCUUUGCAGUACCACCUCAGGGAAACUUGAGGGCUGGUUUUAGUUGUACGGAGCGCUCAUCCGGUGUUGCCCUGAGAACGAGAUAUGUGCAGCUCCUAUCAGGAUGUCGGCGCAUCGUGCGGUCUUGCUGGACUUGUUUUACCAUUGUCGAAAUGUCUUGUAACCGGGAUUCCGAGUCUGAUCGGGUCUUCCCGUUAGAAGGAAUAUCCUUCGUUGACCGUGAGAGCUUGUGAUGGGCUAAGUUGGGACACCCCUGCAGGGUUUUGAACUUUCGAAAGCCGUGCCCACGGUUAUGGGCAGAUGGGAAUUUGUUAACGUCCGGUUGUAGAAAACCUGAAGUUGAUCUUAAUUAAAAUACAUCAACCACGUGUGUAACCGUGAUGGUCUCUUUUCGGCGCAGUCCGGGAAGUGAACACAGUGUUGGAGUUAUGCUUGAUGUAGGUUGUUCUAGGAUCACUUCUUGAUCAUAGUUGUUCGACCGUGCUUUUGCCUUCUCUUCUCGCUCUCAUUUGCGUAUGUUAGCCACCAUAUAUGCUAGUCGCUUCUGCAGCUCCACCUCAUACCUUUUACCUUCCUAUAAGCUUAAAUAGUCUUGAUCGCGAGGGUGUGAGAUUGCUGAGUCCCCAUGACUCACAGAUACUUCCAAAAACAGUUUGCAGGUGCCGAUGUUACCGAGCAGGUGACGCAACCAAGCUCAAGGAGGAGCUCUAUGAAGAUCUUGUCCUUUAUGUUGUUCCAUUUCCAGUUGAUCAGUAGUGGAGCCCAGUUGGGGACGAUCGGGGAUCUGUGUAGCUUUUGGGGUAGUCUUCUUUUAUUUUGGCUCCGUAGUCGGGCCUUGAUUGUAUUUGGAUGAUGUAAUGGUUUAUUCAUGUAAUUGUGUGAAGUGGCGAGUGUAAGCCAACUAUGUAUCCCUGUCCCUUAUAUAUUACAUGGGUUGUGUGAAGAUUACCUCACUUGCGAGAUUGCUUUCAAUGCGGUUAUGCCUCUAAGUCGUGCUUCGACACGUGGGAGGUAUAGCCGCAUCGAGGGCGUUACACGACCUCACCGACGCCGUCUUCACGCCGGCCGCGGACAUCGUCUUCUCCGCCGUCGCCGUAGGUGUCCUCCGUUGCCAAGUUAGGGCACGGACGAUCGAACUGCUCGGCCUCCUCUCCCACACAGUCUAGCAGUUCUUCGUGUGGUAAAUAAAACUUCCUUUUUACGGCCCCCUUUGAUCCUAUAGAUUCAUCGCUUUCUACCACAAGAAGUUUCUAUUCACACAAGUUGGAUCUAUUUCAUACUGUAUCUCAUAAUAUGCCUAGUAUGUUCACUUAUGCUUCACAAAGAAGUUAGAUUCCUCACUUGUACUUAUUCGUGGAUUCGUACAAAUCUGGAACCAACUCUUUAUCUAUGAGUGAAUGUCUUCGCACUAUGAGGUCAAUGUCUUCUAAACUGAUUUAUCUUCAAAAACUUCUAAGAAUGCAUAUGAGCUCUUCCCCUUCCCUCGCACCUUAAUGCUGUCACAGGUACAUGUCCGUGGGAGAAUCCCGUGCUUCUCAUAGUCUGCAUUCGUUUGCAGAAUUCUUAUAUCAUCACAUUAACUCUCCCGAAGCCAGUUCCUGUUUGUCCAAAAAACGGAAGCCUUUGAAGCCUUUGAACGUGUUGAAGCCUUUCAGUUUAAACUUCAUGGCACCAGAGAAACCUACAAGAAAGUGCGGCAGACAGCGCCGUGGGGGUACAUCAAUGGACCUGCCCGAAGAUCUUUAUGAACUGUAUAAAACUGACCCCGAAGAAAGCUAUGGUCAGCGCAAGACACGAAUCCAAUGGAUUCGAAGAUACUAGGCAGAGCAAUGGUUCAAGUACAGGUUUGUGACCCAGGAAUAUGCUGAGAAGAAUGCUAUCAAGCGACCGUGGGGAGACAUCCUAUACAAAAAUCUUCAACCCAAGUCCAGAGUUGAAGCCAUUGAACAAGGCUUCUAUCCUUGCAUGGUCCGUGGACCGCAGCCUGCGGAUGCAGACCCAUCUUCAAUACUGUUGUGCCGCGAUGAUAAUCUGUUCAAGCGCAACCUUUAGUUUGCCAGGAACUCGGCCAAAGAGAACAAGAAGUCACGAGGCUUAGACUUCAAUCCAGGCCCCUCAGCUCCUCGUGCUGAUGGCACACGCGAAGCUGAACCCAAUUGACGGUGUACUGGACUAGGGGGUACUCACCACGUCGUCUCCCGAUCUAUUAGAUUGGGCCGAGGCCCCCCAUGGCCGUAUACUCAUGGGCCAGUUUGGACAGCUGCCGCAUACAAGGAAGAUUCCACAAAGACUUGGCGAUCAAGACAACGACUUCUCCCCAUCGGCGUAUUCGGCUAGGACUCUUGUUAACCUAGGCCUCUGGUGCAUUAUAUAAACCAUGGCCAGGCUAGUCGAUAGAAGAGACAACAUACAAAAGAACAAUCAUACCAUAGGCUAGCUUCUAGGGUUUAGCCUCUCCGAUCUCGGUGUAGAUCUACUCUUGUACUGCCCAUAUCAUCAAUAUUAAUCAAGCAGGACGUACGGUUUUACCUUCAUCAAGAGGGCCCGAACCUGGGUAAAACUUCGUGUCCCUUGCCUCCUGUUAUCAUCCGGCCUAGACGCACAGUUCGGGACCCCCUACCUGAGAUCCGCCGGUUUUGACACUGACAUUGGUGCUUUCAUUGAGAGUUCCACUAUGUGAUCGACAAAAGGAUCGAUGGCUCGCCUGCAGAUCAACUGCGACUUCGACGUCUUUGUCACCAGUUCGACUGGUCACCUUGGUUCGACCAAGAAUUGCGCUUCGUGUUCGGAUCACCAUGUUCGGACGAGGGCCUUUAUCAAACAUCAACUCCGAUCUCUAUCAAGAUCACGGAGGAAUCAUCUAUGGAGCUCGGGGGCUCAACAUCAACAUUGCCCUCAAGCGACCAUGCUGUUUUUUUGGACAGCGAACUCGUAUCUGCCGCCACCACCUCCUCGAGUAUCGCUUUGACGAUCGCUUUGGUGGAAUUGUGCGGAAUUGAGUCUAUAACAACCCUGGAAAAUUUCGUCGAGUUCUGAUGGAGGAAUCUCUGGCAAUCCACGAUAUACCGGAGCCCUGUCAAAUAUGGAUGGGAAUUUGGAUGAGUUUAGGGCGUGGUGUCCAGCUUCUAGCUCGGAGGUCCUUUGGAAGAUCCAACCGUUGAUCGGCUGCGGAAUUCCUAUAUCUGCCACCUCUCAAAAUUUCAGCUCGAUCCGACCGUCCAAACUCCAGGAACGUUCCGAUUAGUGCAUCACUUUUCGGAUCUGUUUUCUGCGCGAAAACGAAUCCGACCCGAGUUCAUCUUUUUUAUGAACGGGAUUUCGGACAUCCCUUUUGAAGGAAGUUUUGUAUGGGGUAUUGUGUUUUGUUCCGAAACACAUCCCACUAACUUUAAGAUCUUUUGAACAUGAUCUUCUGUCAGAGUAAUGGGCCACGGGUAGGCUAACCCGAGCCCCAGAAACUUUCAAGACAUCGGGGCAGGCUGCGCCCCUCAAGACCCCAGGACAAUGAGCCGCCUUCUGAGAAGUCCGCGGCAAUGCGACCGACUGCCCACUCGCGGCCGAGUUCCGGGGACGGCUUCAGGAUAAGCCGACUCCCGACUGGUGACUUCUAGAGAAGCCAGCCUUCGGGAGUCGGCCCACGACUCUAGCAAAACCCCAUGUCCUCAUCAAGAGGGACAUGACAGGGGAGUGGCUACAGUGAAGACUGCUCCCACCCCUUUCCAAAGGCAAGCAUGGUCAUAGUACGCCGUACCCGCGGAGAUCUCCGUGCGGCGUGGCACUGUCGCCAUGCUGGCCCUGACAUCAGCACCGGUGGACCGAAUCCUGCGCCCACGAUGGCUUGUCUGUACGACCUUUGGGUGACGGGUCCCACCGGCCAGCGGGAUCCCAGAAAAUGGCAGGUGCGCCACAAGUCGGACUCGUUGGGAGUCGGCCCCUGGGAGUCGGCCAGCUCCUCCCCCGGGGCCCACGCGCCAUUAACCAGAUGUGACGGAGAGUGGCAAUAGUGAUCGUCCGCCAGGCGGCGGGGCUGUUGCCACGACUCCAUGAUGAAGCCUGCAUCAUUAGAAGCGCGGCUACAGUAAUCAGCAGCCGGCAAGACCCACCCGCGGCGGACGCGGCCUGUCGGCUCUGUAGCUAGCAAGUCGGAGGGGCCCACCAGUCGGUGGGCCCCAGCAGUCAGCGGAGAAGACGGAGGCCGGAGGCACUGAUGGCUGGGCCCGCGCCCAGCCGGAUUACCGUUGCACCCCUAGGGGGUAGGCCUAUAUAAACCCCCCAGGGCACCCAUGCAAAGGGUUGGAAACCAUUAGCUCUAGACCAAAUCAUAUAGGAGGGAGAGAGCUAGCCUUGCCCUCUCCUGCCUCCAGAAAACAGCUCAAGGAGCAAUCGUGUAAACACUUGGCCAUAGUGAUCAUGCGGAGACCCCGCAGAGCAGUAGUAGGGGUAUUAUCUCCCCAGAGAGCCCUGAAGCUGGGUAAGAUUCGCCGGCGUGCAUGUCUACGCCUCAUCCCAUUUCCAGGUACCGGCGACAUUCUACUCCCCCCACCAUGAUAAGCCAUCCUUUGACAUAUGUCGCACCCAAUCCCCGACAUUUGGCGCCCACCGUGGGGCCUGGUGCACCGUCGUCUAGAGACCUGUUUUAGACGGGAACCCUUUUCCUCCCUGGCGAGCGCAGCCAGCCAGGCACGCCAGACGGAGUUUGCGUCAACGCGCUGCACGGCGUCGAGAUCGCCUGCGCCACUAGCCGCCUCGCCGAACAUGUCGGCGAGGUUCGCAUCUCCGACGAACCUGCAUCCGACGCAGGCACGGGCGGCUCCGAGAGCCUCCUCGCGGGCCUCCUUGAUCAACUCCACGUCGCCGGCGAGCCGGCCGUAGACUUGGAGUCUGUAGGUUCCACCGACCCGAUGCUGGUCGACUCCGACACCGCAUCGCUUGACGCGUUCCCCACUAAUGUGGUGGUCUACGACGAGCCUUUCCCUCGCGCGGAGAGCGACGGAAGCACCGUCACCGAGGUGCUCGUCAUUAGUCAUGACGAGCCUCCCGGCGGAGGAGCGCAUGACCCGCUUGGCGCGGCGCUACAAGACCUGACUGCGCCCAUUCCGGAAGACACUGACACGGAGACGUUGGAGGCGCGCCGCCUUUAGCUCGUCGAAGGUGCGAAGAAGCUGGCUAGCAUGAGACGCUUGUCAGAAGCCUACCAGCGAGAGAUGGAUCGCGCCGUUGGUGGCUCGCCAGCCCCAGCUGGGCCCAACCGCCUUGGCACGAUCCAGCAGCGCGGCGUAGCCAUCGCCGACCUGUUCGGGGCAAGACGCCCUAUGUAUGCUACACCUGCGGAGAACAUUCGAGCCGCCCAGGCGGCAGCGGACAAGCUGGACAAUUUCGAGGGCGAAGAGCGCCGCCUGAUGAUGGAGCGAGUCCAGCGGCUCCUCGACGCGGCUGCCGCAUAGAAUGAGGCCAGCUGCCGCACAGAGGCACCGCAGCGGCAAAAUGACAACCUUCGCCGAGCCACAGUCGGACUCACAUUACCAUAGAGCACGACCGAGAUGGCCGUCCUAGAGCAGUGGAACGAUGGGACGACUGCCCGCCUCCUCCUCCUCGCAAGGAAAGGCGAGUCUCCCCGCCGCUUGUUGAUCAUCCGACUCUUGGCGACCGCCUUGGCCGCUGAGAGGGAGUCGGGGAAAACGACGCCCGCCACCGGAUCGACCGGCUUCACCGAUCCCUGUCAUUGGAAGAAGAAGACAAGUUGGGUCCGCCUUGUUUCGGGCCCCGCAUUCGAGACGAGCCCUUUCCCAAAGGGUUCACGCUCCCAGGAGACACGCCCAAGUACACCGGCUCCGUGAAGCCGGAAGACUGGCUAGUCGACUACUCCACGACUGUCAGCAUAGCGAGCGACAACAAGCGUGUCGCCGUAAAAUAUGUCCCGCUCAUGCUCCAGGGCACGGCCCGGACAUGGCUGAACGGCCUGAAGCCUCGCAGCAUCAACAGCUGGGUCGACUUCACUGAAGCGUUCGUCCGCAACUUCACCAGCACGUACAAGCGUCCUCCCAAGCCUCGUCAGCUCUCCUUGUGCAUGCAAGGUCCCGACGAGUCGACUCGCGACUACCUCACGCGUUGGGCCGAGCUUCGGAACUCCUGCGAGGGUGUGCACGAGGUGCAGGCUAUCGAGUACUUCACCGCCGAGUGCAGAGAAGGCACCCUCCUCAAGCACAAGCUCCUCUGCAACGAGCUAGAAACCCUCGACGAGCUGCUGAUCGUAGCAGACAAGUACGCCAUGGCCGACUCCUCCAUGAAGGCGGAGAUUCAAGUUAGCGCAACUGGCAAAGUGGCCCCUCAAGCUCCAAGAUCUUCGGCGGGAGAUGCCAGUCGGCGGCAACAGCAGAGCGACCACAAGCGCAAGGCCCCGCAGCCGGCUUCCAGCAGCCGGCAGGUCGCGACAGUUGAAGCCCAGCAGCCGGAUGGGCAGCCUCCGCCCAAGCGACAGAAAGGCGGCAAGCCCAACUGGUUGCCAGCCUUCUCCUACGAGCAGACUCUGGAUGGACCUUGCAAGUUCCAUAGCGGCGCGAAGCCGUCGAAUCACACCACCCGGAAGUGCCACUGGCUCACCAAGAUCGCCGAGGGAGACAGCCUCUUACCUCCCCCGCCUGCUGGGCAGCCGCCUCCGCCUCCGCCCCAGCAGCCGGCUGUCAGACCAGUCGGCGCAGUACAAGACGAAUACCCCGAAGAACACGGAGCCUACAUGGUGUUUACCAGUAUGGCUGAUGAUCGACGCAGCAGGCGGCUGCAGCGACAAGAGGUGAAUGCAGUAGCAUCAGAGACGCCAGAGUUCAUGCACUGGUCCGAGAAGCCUAUCAACUGGAGCAGAGCUGAUCACCCAGAGGUGAUGCCUAGUCCAGUCUCUUAUGCUCUGGUCUUAGAUGCCACCUUUGCCACGGAUAGACAAGCUGCUCAUUUCUCGCGAGUUCUGAUAGACGGAGGCAGCAUCAUCAACAUCAUGUACAAAGACACCAUGGAGAAAUUAGGAAUCAAGCAAAGACAGCUUCAGAACAGCCGGACUGUGUUCCACGGCAUUGUUCCUAGGCUUUCCUGCUCACCAAUCGGCAAGAUCCUGAUGGACGUCCUCUUUGGAGACAAAGAUCACUUCCGCCGAGAGUCAGUUUGGUUUGAGGUGGUGGACCUUGAGAGCCCAUACCAUGCACUACUUGGCCGACCCGCCUUGGCCAAGUUCAUGGCGGUCCCCCACUACGCCUACCUCAAAAUGAAGAUGCCCAGCUCCAGGGGAAUUCUGACUGUAGCUGACGACUACCGGAAGUCGUCUGCCUGUGCGACUGAGAGCAGUUGGCUAGCCGACUCCUUGGUGAUCGCAGCCGAGAAGCGGCUCCUGGAACGGGUUGUGGCGAUGGCCGGCAAGCAGCCAGAGGUGUCGCCCAACCCAAAGGAGUCGGAGGCUGAGGGUUCGUUCAAGCCGGCCGAGGAGACAAAGAAGAUACCUUGGAUCCGGAGCACCCAGAGAGGUACGCUAUCAUAGGCGCAAACCUCGACAGCAAAUAGGAAGGCGAGCUCAUCGAUUUCCUCCGUGAGAAUCGGGACAUCUUCGCAUGGUCCCCUAAAGACAUGCCAGGUGUACCGACGGAAUUCACCGAGCACAAGCUACAUGUCCGAUCUGAUGCAAAGCCGGUCAGGCAGCCCAUGCGCCGCCUAUCAGAAGAGAAGAGAAGAGUUGUCGGAGAAGAGAUAGCCCGACUCCUAGCAGCCGACUUCAUUAUGGAAGUGUUCUUUCCAGAGUGGCUAGCCAACCCGGUCCUGGUACUGAAGAAAAACAAGCAGUAGCGAAUGUGUAUUGACUACACGAGCCUCAACAAGACCUGCCCCAAGGACCCGUUUGCUCUGCGAAGAAUUGAUCAGGUGAUAGACUCCACCGCCGGAUGCGAGCUACUGAGUUUUUUGGAUGCAUAUUCAGGUUAUCACCAGAUCAAGCUGAACCCAGCUGACAGACUGAAGACCGCCUUCAUCACACUGUUUGGAGCUUUCUGUUACCUCACCAUGACGUUCGGCUUGAGGAAUGCCAGUGCCACCUUCCAACGUUGCAUGCAGAAGUGCCUCCUCAAGCAGCUCGGUAGAAACGCCCACGUCUACGUGGACGAUGUGGUGGUGAAGACGGAAAAGCGUGGAACACUGCUGGAAGACCUCAGGGAGACCUUUGAGAACCUGCGCUGAUUCCAGAUCAAGCUCAACCCCGAGAAGUGCGUCUUCGGAGUACUAGCCGGCCAGCUCCUUGGCUUCCUGGUCCCUGAACGCGGCAUAGAAUGCGACCCUGUAAAGAUCAAGGCCAUUGAGAGGAUGGAGGUACCCAGCCGACUGCUGGACGUGCAAAAGUUCACCGGCUGCUUGGCAUCCAUCAGCCGAUUCAUUAGUCAGCUGGGCGAGAAAGCUCUCCCCCUAUACCAACUCAUGAAGAAGACCACUUUUUUCAAGUGGAACCACAAGGCGGACGAAGCUUUUCUCCAGUUGAAAAAGAUGCUGACUACUCCACCAGUUCUGGCGACUCCGACUCCUAAGGAACCUAUGCUCCUGUACAUCGCCGCCACCAGCCGGGUAGUCAGCACGGUCAUUGUAGUGGAACGCAAGGAGGAAGGCAAGGCACUACCUGUCCAGAGACCGGUAUAUUACCUGAGCGAAGUACUGUCGACCUCCAAGCAGAACUACCCGUACUACCAGAAGAUGUGCUAUGGCGUACACUUCACCGCUAAGAAGUUGAAACCUUACUUUCAAGAGCAUCCAAUCACUGUGGUCUGCACGGCCCCACUUGCCGAGAUAAUCGGAAGCCGAGAUGCUUCUGGCCGAGUGGCCAAGUGGGCCAUAGAGCUGGCUCCGUACACCAUCCACUACCAGCCCCGCACCGCCAUCAAGUCACAAGCACUGGCCGACUUCCUCGUCGACUGGGUCGAGACCCAGUACCUACCUCCAGCGCUUGACUCCACCCAUUGGCGGAUGCAUUUCGACGGCUCCAAGAUGCGCACCGGCUUGGGAGCCGGCGUCGUCCUCACUUCCCCUAAAGGCGGCAAGCUCAAAUACGCACUGCAAAUCCAUUUUGCCGCCUCCAACAACAUCGCCGAGUACGAGGCGCUCAUUCACGGGCUCCGGCUUGCCAAAGAACUUGGCAUUCGCCGGAUCCUGUGUUAUGGUGACUCGGACUUAGUGGUCCAACAGUCAUCUGGCGACUGGGACGCCAAAGAUGCAAAUAUGGCGAGUUACCGUUUCCUCGUGCAGCAACUCAGUGGAUAUUUCAAGCGGUGCGAGUUCCUCCAUGUGCCAAGAAACGACAACGACCAAGCAGAUGCCUUGGCAUGAAUCGGCUCUACCCGCCAAGCAAUACAAUCCGGCGUCGCCCUUCAACGCCUCCUCAAGCCGUCUAUCAAGACUUCACCAGAAUCAGACUCCAUCUUUGUGCUGGCUCCCCCCGAAGAAGUCGGAUCCGACUCCAGAGCCCCAGCAGACGGUACAAAGAUUUUGGCAGAUGGCUCCAAAGGCACCACAGUCGAAGCCGGCCCAGGGACUGCAGUACCCGGCCCGGGGACUGCAGCGGCGGGCUCGAAGACUCCAGAACUCGGCCCAAGAGCCACGCCAGUCGGCCUGGGGACUUCAUUAACCAAGCAAGCGGUUGUUGACUCCAACCCGCCGCCUCCCAGCCCAGCCGCCCUCGUCCAAGUCGCAGUUCUGGUAGUCGAAGAAAUAGCAGCACCCUCAUGGGCCCAGCCCAUCCUCAAAUUCCUCGUGAGCAAAGAGCUGCCGACUGAUGAGACCUCAUCUCGGCAAGUACAACGCCGAGCGGCAGCCUACACCAUAGUCAAUAGAGAGCUAGUCAGGCGCAUCGUCACUGGUGUCUACCAGCGCUGCGUAGAGCCAGAGCAAGGCCAAGCAAUUCUCAAAGACAUCCAUCAAGGCAAGUGUGGCCACCAUGCGGCUUCAAGAGCACUCGUCGCCAAAGCCUUUCGACAUGGUUUCUUCUGGCCGACUGCCUUAGAAGAGGCUAAGGAAUUGGUCCAAAAAUGCAAAGGGUGCCAGAAGUUCCGCUCCAAGCCGCAUCAGCCGGCUUCUGCACUCAAGACCAUCCCCAUUGCCUGGCCUUUCGCACUUUGGGGUCUAGACAUGGUGGGACCAUUCAAGACGGCACGAGGUGGCUUAACUCACUUACUUGUCGCAGUGGACAAGUUCACCAAGUGGAUAGAAGCGAAGCCAAUCAAGAAACUGAACGGUCCGACUGCCGUGACUUUCAUCUCCGAUAUCACAAUUCGGUAUGGCAUACCACACAACAUCAUCACCGACAACGGCACAAAUUUUGCCAAAGGCGCCUUGGCUCGUUUCUGUGCAACACAGGGCAUCCGACUGGACCUAGCGUCCGUCGCCCAUCCACAGUCAAACGGCCAGGUGGAGCGAGCAAACGGCCUCAUCCUGUUCGGCAUCAAGCCCCGGCUGGUCGAGCCUCUGGAGCGCUCGGCUGGCUGCUGGCUCGAUGAGUUGCCAGCCGUCCUCUGGAGUCUGCGCACGACUCCAAACAAGUCAACCAGCUUCACGCCUUUCUUCCUCGUCUACGGUGCCGAAGCCGUCAUCCCAACGGACAUAGAGUUCGACUCCCCGCGAGUCACCAUGUACACCAAGGAGGGAGCAGAAGAAGCACGUCAAGAUGGCGUCGAUCUGCUGGAAGAGGGCCGGCUGUUGGCACUCAGCCGGUCCAGCAUCUACCAGCAGAGCCUGUGCCUAUACUACAACAGGAAGGUCAAGCCAAGAUCUUUCCAAGAAGGCGACCUUGUGCUCCGGCUGAUCCAGCGAACAGCCGGCCAGCACAAGCUGUCGGCACCUUGGGAAGGCCCUUUCAUCAUCAGCAAAGUGUUGGGCAAUGACUCCUACUACCUGAUUGACGCUCAGAAGCCCCGAGCACGCAAGAGGGACGACUCCGGCAAAGAGACAGAGCGGCCAUGGAAUGCAAAUCUCCUCCGAAGAUUUUACAGUUGAUGCAGUAUGUACCAUGCUACCUUUUGGAUUAAAGUACCAAGACUUCGGCCCCCCCCGAGACAAGCUCGGGGACUGCCCUCUUUUGUCUAUAUGAUAAAAGUUAUGCCUACGAGUAUGUUACUCUUUGUUAUGCCGCUUGGCACCGGGCUUGACAUGUCGACCCGGGGACUUGCCGCCUUGCACUAUGAAAUGCUUCCUGCAGCCGGACAAGUAGUGUGUGACGCCUAAGCCGUCUCCUGUCAGAAGCCGCAGCUCGCAGAGCGACUGUACGGUGGGCAGGAGUAAGGUAGAAUGGGCGUUCACAUGAAAAAUGGCUAAGGACUCAAAGCAUAGAACAUAGCUUAAAGCCGGCUUCCAGCCUUCCUUUUUUUUCCGCAAACCGACUAUUAAGCAGUCGGCUCACCGCCUUCUAUUCAACUUGCUAAAAAACUCUAAAACGGCUACGUACUUGCCUUCCCAAAGUAGCCAAGCAUUUGAUCCAACGGCAGUCCGCAGAGCGGCUGUCCGACUGGCAAGACAUGCAACUAAGGGAAAGCGGCAAAGGAACAAGCCAAAAGAGCAAUGAGCGAGAAAAGAUAGAAUUCGGAUAAAUAUUUACAUAGCAUAGGCCCUUGGCCGAAUCUUUGAGCAGAAGUUCAAAAUACACCCCGCGGGUGAAAUUGUGUAAAUCUACAAGUUCUUCAAAAGACUACUAAAGCAGAUAAAAUAGGCGGCAACCUAAGAUGCGGCAGACGGAUUCGGAGGGUCGAAGGAGACGGCAGCGUCAGGCGUUGGGGCGGCCGACUGGGCAGUCUUGGCUCGAUCGCUUCCGGCGGCAGUCAGCUCGGUCGCAUGCGGCUCGUUGCUGGAGGCACGGUCGAGCUGAGGCUGGUCGUCCGCUCCGUCUUUUGGUUCUUCCACCUCGCCUCCGUCCUCCGCCUCGCCUCCCUCCUUGGCGCUGGAAUCGAUCACCUCCGCUGAGUCCUCGCCGUAGUCUGGGUUCAUCCCAAACCACUCCGGAGGUACUUCCUCGCCAUCUUCAAACUGCUCGGGGACGAUGAUGCUGGUGUCGGUGUACUCAGCGAUCGCCGCCGCACGCUUCACGAGGGCGUCUUCCGCGGCUGCCAGCUCCGGCUGGGCCUCCGACCGGAGUGUGGCCAGCCGGUCUAAGUCCAGCCCCGGAUACCAUGCCUUGACAAACUCCAAGGCCCGACACGCUCCAGCUCGGGCCGAGGAACCCUUCCAGGCCUCAAGACGACCAGCCGCGACCUCCAGCCAGUCGGCAGUCCGACCGGGGGUGCGCGGAGCCUGCAUGUCCGGCCACAGGGCGGCAAUCGCCUGGGCACCGACACGUUGAAGCCGGUGCAGCAUCCGGUGAGUCGGCCGAAGACGAGCCUUGAUGCUCAGGAUAUGCUCAUCAAGGGUUCGGGGAGCGUCGGCGGCGAUCUCUGCACCUUCUGCCCUUCGACCUUCAUGGUCAGCCUCGAUGGCUUGGAUGGCGGCCUGCGAGUGCCCAAGGAAGAAGUCUGCCAAGACGGAAGAAACGAAAAAACAAGUCAAAAACUGGGAGUCGGCACGAUUUAUAAUCGGCAGCUCGAAGAAAGAAAGUAAAGAAACUCACCAUCAACAAUGUCUUCAAUCUCAUGGAAGCCGAAGGCCAGCAUUGCCUCUUUGUCAGUCCAGGAGGAGCGCUCACUCGCGAACUCGGCCAGGAGGGCGGUUUCCGCCUCUUCCGCCUCCUUCUGCGUCUUUGCAAGCAGCUCCCUCUGCUCUGCCAAUUGAGUGGCCAGCAUAUCGCGCUCUAUGGCAAGCUUGCUACACUCCUCCCCCUUGGCACGUAACGCGGAGUUGGCUUCGCUCAACUGCUGUUGAAGAACAGCGUUGGCUUCUGAAGAGAAGGAAGAAAGAAGGCGUUAAGUCAUCAGUAAAGAAGGUCGCCGGGAAGAUCCGGCCCGACUGCUCAGCAGUCGGCCUGAAUCUCGGGGACUACAGCCCGCGGGUGCGCCAGCGCGCCCCUGCAAAGAAGAGAAAGGACUCACUCCGGCUCUCCGACAGUUUGGCGGUCCGCUUGCCCAACUCUUCAAUGUUGCGGUUGAAGGCGGUGACUCGGAGGUUGUGGUAAUCCUGCGACAAGCAUUUCAGACAAAAAUUAGUACCCGGAAACUCACCAAUUGGAGUUCCGGGCUGCCUGCUCAACAGCCGGCCCGAAACUCGGGGACUACACCCAGUGGGUGCGCUGGCGCGCCCCCACAGAGAGGAACAAGAAAACAAGGACCAAAGAGAAACAUACCCGACCGGCUGCCCGUGAUGCCAGGUACGCCUUGGUGCAGUUCUGGAUGGCGUCGCCCUUAGCUCGAAGCUUUGUUUGGACGUCCAGAAGCGCCUGGUUCAGCGGCCCUGUGCCGCCUCCCCGCACCCACCCAAUGGGCAUGGUGCUCGUCGCUUCGGCAUCCGGGAUCGCCGAGCUGGCAGUGCCGGUCUCCAGGGGGCGUGGCGCCGAGGCUGCUUUCUCAAGACGGCAGCGCGUUGGCGAGCUGACUUGAAGGAGUAGCCUUGCCACGGCCUCGUCUUCAGUCAGCGGCACCGGAGGGUCCGCUGGCUGUUCGCCUUGCGCGCUCCCAAACGGCGGCGGAGGCGGCGGCGGAACGAUCACGUCCGGCGUGGAGGAGUCGCCGCCUUCCUUCUUCAUGACGGGGUUCUCGCGGCCGGCUUCCCCAGUCUGCCCCAUGAACUCUAGAGGCGGCGGCGCAGAGUUCAGUGGGGUGACGAACACCGCCGAUUGGCGGUGCGCGGCCUCCUCAGCCUGCCGCUUCGUCGCGGCGACGGCUUCGGCCUCCGCCAGUUUCUUCUUGGCGGAGGCCUCCGCCUUAUCCCCUCCACCUUCUCCAGGCGGGCGGCCUCUUCCUCGUUGCGCUUCUCCUGCGCAUUCCGCUCUGUCGACUCCCGGAGGUCAGCAGCGGGGUCAAUCUGCCGUGUGGUGGCGGACGUCUCCGCUGACCCCAUGAUGGAGGCGGCGGCAACCCUCUCAAGAGUGAGGGGAGCCCUAAAGUGAGGGAAGCAAGUAAAAGACUCAGACAAAGCUACAGAGAAAGAAUAAAGCGUCAAGACGGAAUACUCACGCGGAGACCAGUGGCGGCUUCUUCACGUCCUUACGGAAGCGGAUAGCCUUCGCAGCCGCCUCGUCCCGCCGGGUCGCCGCAGCCGAACUCUUGGGCUUCUUCGGCCGACUGCCGAACAAAGUCGCCACGGCCCGGCGCUUCUUCCCGCCGCCCAGAGCACCUGGCGCGGCAGAAGAGCCCGCACCAGGAUGGCUGGCUCCUGGCCGGGGGCGGGGGGUGACCUCCUCCUCAUCGUCAGGCCAGUCCUCUAGACUGGCCCCGAGCCGCGGGCCGCCUCCUCCUUUGGCGUCGUCUUCCAAAGCCGCCGCCCCUAGAACGGGGUCGUCGACGUCGCUCUCCGCCCGGUCGGCAAGGAACUCGCGGGCCGGCCCUGAGGUGCCGGCUGGUGGAUGGAGGAGGGGAUUCUGACCAAAGCCGAUUGGUCAGGUCGCACAAAACAGACUCGGCAAGAAAGAAGACAACACGAAGAAAGAAAGAAAGGGCAACUCACUGUAGGUGGGGGGUUGGCGCGGGAGUAGGGCUCCUUGCCGAAUCGCCAGUCCUCCAGCAGCUUGCUGUCCGAGAGGUAGUUCACCAUGUAGGCCACCUCCUCGUGAGGCAUGUCCUUGAUGCACAUCCGACUCAGGUCACGGCGCCCGCUCAUUUGGCAUAUCAUGUGGGGGCGACUUUGGAGCGGGAGAACUUGGCACGCCACAAAGGCGGCCAGCAGGUCCGGACCAGUCAGGCCCUCCGACUAUGUCAGCACUCGGAGUCGUGUGACGGUGCCGGCUCCCGCAAGCGUCAGCGACUUGGCCCGAUACGACCAGUUGGGCAGUCUCCCAGCCGGCGGGCCGGAAUCGAAAGCCGGCAGGUUGACCCAAUCGCCCCCCGCGAAGACGCUCUUCACGUAGAAGUAUGAUCGCUGCCACAUCUUCACCGACCUUAUCAGCUUGAUGGUGGGGAAGGGGUUGUCGGCUCCCGAUCUCCGCCCGGCGAUGAACACGCCGCAUUGAGCCGGCACGCCUGCAGCCUGGGUACCGAGCUUGCAGUAGAAGAACUCCCCCCAGAGCUCGAGGGUGGGGAGGACUCCAAGGAAGCCUUCGCACAAGGCCAUGAAGGCAGACAACAGCACCACCGUGUUGGGCGUGAGGUGGUGCGGCUGGAGGCCGUAGAACUCCAGAAAAGAGCGGAAGAAGCUGCUCGCCGACAGCCCCAAUCCGCGCAGGUAGUGCGAGCGGAAGAUGACCCGCUCGCCCUCCUCCGGCGCUGGGGAAAUCUCCUCCCUCAACGCAAGCCGCACCCGCACGUAGUCUUCGACGGGGAGCCGACGAGUCUUGUGAAGGAACUCGAUGUGGUCGUCGUGAACUUCUGAGCCAUCCCAGGUGCCGGAACGCACCGAGGGAGGCGCGGCGGCGGAAGAAGAACUCAUCGUGAGCUGAUCGCCACGAUGUUCGUCAGAGCUUGGGCGCACGGUGGGGCGAGGAAGAAGAAGAAGAAGGAGAAGAGCAAGGAGUAGUGGAAAGGAGGGGCGCGCGUGCUCUGCCGCGCCCCCCUCCUCCCCCUACUUAUAGCCUCAUGGGCUGCGAAGCCGGGGGGGCGGUCGUGGGAUUUACUGCGCCCACGGCCCCAUGACCCCCACAUUUCCACGACAAAGUUACUGCGCGCAGUAACUCCAUGGGAAUCCCAACCGUCCGCCUGGCCCACAGCGGAUCCACUCGGGCGCCGAGGCACGAUAGUGGCGGGCCCCGCCUACGGGCCUGUCCCAUCACGCGCAUAGGCUGGCAGACUGGCCCGGCCGCGUGUUAUCACGUGACAGGCCUGGAACGGGCGGCGUCCUGGAGGCUUAGCCAGCACGCUACUUGGAUCCCGCCAUGACGUUCGAAAUACUGUGCAAGUCAGAGUUGGACGGGUCCGACUCCUUCUAGUCGGCCCGGCGGAAAUCAAGCAAGAACCAUGUGUCGAGCACCCGGAAAGAGAAACUGCUGAGGUUUCUCGGCCGAUCGUCCGCGGCGCCUCACCAGCUUCGGGGACUACUGUCGGAGUAAUGGGCCACGGGUAGGCUAAGCCGAGCCCCAGAACCUUUCAAGACAUCGGGACAGGCUGCGCCCCUCAAGACCCCACGACGAAGAGCCGCCUUCUAAGAAGUCGGCAGCAAGGCGACCGACUGCCCACUCGCGGCCGAGUCCCGGGGAUGGCUUCAGGAUAAGCCGACUCCUGACUGGCGACUUCUAGAGAAGCCGACCUUGGGGAGUCGGCCCACGACUCCAGCAAAACCCCAUGUCCUCAUCAAGAGGGAUAGGACAGGGGAGUUGCUACAGUGAAGACUGCUCCCACCCCUUUCCAAAGGCAAGCAUGGUCACAGUACGCUGUACCCGCGGAGAUCUCCGUGCGGCGUGGCACUGUCGCCAUGCUGGCCUUGACAUCAGCACCAGUGGACCGAAUCCUGUGCCCAUGAUGGCUUGUCUGUACGACCUUUGGGCGGCGGGUCCCACCGGCCAGCGGGAUCCCAAAAGACGGCAGGUGCGCCACAAGUCGGACUUGUUGGGAGUCGACCCGCGGGAGUCAGCCAACUCCUCCCCCGGGGCCCACGCGCCAUUAACCAGAUGUGAUGGAGAGUGGCAAUAGUGAUCGCCCGCCAGGCGACGGGGCUAUUACCACGACUCCAUGAUGAAGCUCGCGUCAUUAGAAGCACAGCUACAGUAAUCAGCAGCCGGCAAGACCUGCCCGCGACGGACGUGGCCUGUCGGCUCCAUACCUAGCCAGUCGGAGGGGCCCACCAGUCGGCGGGCCCCAGCAGUCGGCGGAGAAGACGGAGGCCGGAGGCACUGACGGCUGGGCCCGCGCCCAGCCGGAUUACCGUUGUACCCCUGGGGGGUAGGCCUAUAUAAACCCCCCAGGGCACCCAUGCAAAGGGUUGGAAUCCAUUAGCUCUAGACCAGAUCAUAUAGGAGGGAGAGAGCUAGCCUUGCCCUCUCCUGCCUCCAGAAAACAGCUCAAGGAGCAAUCGUGUAAACACUUGGCCAUAGUGAUCAUGCGGAGACCCUGCAGAGCAGCAGUAGGGGUAUUAUCUCCCCGGAGAGCCCUGGAGCUGGGUAAGAUUCACCGCGUGCAUGUCUAUGCCUCAUCCCGUUUCCAAGCACCGAUGAUGUUCUACACCCCCACCAUGAUAAGCCAUCCUUUGGCAUAUGUCGCACCCAACCCCCGACAUCUUCAACAUCAUGCUGGUGUCAAACCAGUCCGGCAAUAUUACUCCACGGCUGCCAACCUGCGCUAGACACGUCGUCACUUUAGCCGAGCUCAACUUCUUCGGAUCAUCAUCUCGGCAAGCGGAACAAGAGUCCGGCAUCGCGAUGGAUAAAUCAUCAUCAACAUCGCCGCCCCACGGAUUACACGGAGCGGGCAUACCGGCAUUGCCGCAUGGUCACUUCAUCAAGCCGGCAUCGACCACGUCACGACCUGCAUCGACAGGGCCGCACUAUUGCUUCUUCAAGCUGGUGUCCAUCACGCCGACCUACUUCGACUCAUCGGCUGACGUCGAGGCUUCGACAUCUCGGCUGGACUGGGGGCUUCGCCAUCUCUUCAUCAACCUACUCUGGACACUUCGGCGUCACUAGCCGACCAGCUCCGUCACGUUAGCUGGGCCGAGGGCUUUGCCUCAGCGAGUCAACCUUUAGCAGCAUUGCCAUGCCGUCAUUUUAUCGCCCAUUAGGCAAUGGGUGUGCGGAGCGAGUCCCAAUUUUGGGAAUCAGCUUCCUUCGGAUUGCUACAACAAAUAAACCAGGUGCUAUUAAUCGCAGUAUUUUUUGCUUGUUUGGGUUCAUUUUUCCCAAGGAAUUAUUACUUUGGUUUGUCCAUGAUAUGUACAUAAGUCUAUCAAAUGGUGACCGCAUUAACGAUGGUCGCGUGGUGGUUCGAUCAGUUUCCGUACAUAGUCCGGCGAACACUGCAUCCGGAGCUCGGACCGACCUGUGAAUUCAGGCUUUGCCACACCUUUACUAGAUCAUGUCGAGGCCCUGCAUCGACAUUGACUUCGGCGCCAGGACAUAUUUCUUCUAUUCCUCACUUUGCAUAAAUUAUUUAUUAUGCAACAUUUUUUUAAUUAUCAUUAUUACUAUUAUCUCUGGUUUGCACUAUUUUUUGUGCACAUGAAAAUGAUCCGCGGACUUCGGCGUCACUCUGCCGGUCUGCAUUGAUCGUGCUAUGUCACCAAUUCGGCGUGUCGAGCUCUCCGCUCCGCCACCUCGGGACCAUCUUGGGGGAUGGAACCUUUCCCGCAUCAAGCUCGGACCGUGUCAUCAAUACCGAACACAUUAACCAGCUAAGUCGCUUUCAUGCUCAAAGCUUUAAUUUCUAACUUGUGUUCGGUUCGACCAAGCAUUAUACUUUUUUGGAAAAAAGUUGCUUGUAAAAAAUUUCCUUGUGCAAACUUUGUUUGUGACGCAUAAAUUCAAAUACCCAAUUCAUUUGGGGGCUUCCUUCAUGAAGCUUUUCCACUUGCAUAUGAUUAUACUUGUAUAGCUUCGUUCCUUGUUCGUGUAUUACGCCACAAUAUGCACCAUAUUGACUUAAGCGAUUUGCAAGCUGGGUUGCCUCGCUCCUGUGUUUACCCCUACGUUCCCGAUUGUUCGGCUAGGGAGUAAAGGGAGCACCUCUGCGAUUGUCACGAUCGGGUCGCCCGAGCCGGACCUCAGACUAGGUGAAGCCGAAAGCUAGCGCUCUUAUAGUUUUCAAUGAUGGUCGGCACACAACGGAACUCAUGAGUACAAAAAAUAUAUUGCACAAGUCUCAUAAUAACAAUGAGCACCGAAGAAAGGUAUCAGUGGGGGUACUAUUUUCUUUGAAGAUGCUUCUUACACUUCACAUCAAUAUAGCAUAAGUUCCCUGAGCGCGCUUUGUCUGUUACAGCCUUAUGGCAUGAUUGCCUGGUUAUUGGAAACACCAUCGAUAUUCUCGACCGAUGGAGUACAUAACACUUUUCGGUCCUUGACCGAAGAGGGAGAAGCUGACAGUCGGUUAAGACACGUUUAAAGUUCGGUUGAACAUAGAUAUGAUAUAAGUACUUCGGUACAUGCAAUCAUUCUUCUACCCAAGUCACUUGGGGGCUCUUAAGUUUAUUUGAGCCGUUUUAUAAUAAGUGUUCUUCUUCUUAGUCGUUGCAAAGUUUUAUUAUUAUUAUUUAUCACUCCUUUUUUCGACAUGAGUGUGCGGUCACUAGCCGGGGAGCCUAAUUUCUCUCUCAAAGCCGCUAGAGUUUAGUUUGCUAGACUGGCCUGAUGAUAAGUACUCCGCCCUCGGGAUAGGAGGUUGAAGCCAUAGGCUGGCCCACUCGAAGUCUUGAGAUAGGAUGUAUCAUGUUAAAGCACGACAGAAGCACUUCUUUUUUCUAAGACCAACUUUCGAAUUGGCACCGAACACUUGAUAUUGUUCGGAUGUCAUGUUUUUACUGAUGUUUCUUGGUUUUCCAAGCCUUUUGGCACUUUUAAACUAUUUGUGCUUUUCCAGCAUUAGUCUCGCAGUGCAACGCCGGGCACCUUUAGGGAUUCGGCAAAAACAUUCUCAGAUAUUGCUAUAUAUGCAUCGGUUUCGAAUUGUGUCUUCGGUCAAUAGUUGGGUUGCCCGGCUCCUGCACUUGCUUCCUACGUUCCGUUUUGUUCGGCUAGGCGUGCAAAGGGAGAACCACUGCGAUUGUGCUUCCAGCUCACAUGGUUAAGCACCUCAGUGGAGAAAGCCGAAAACUGACUUUCACAAUAAGCGUAAACUGGUCAGCGAUCCGAUGACUAUGUUAAAUGAUGGGCCGUUCAUAAUAUUGGCCGAAGUGUUUACGGCUUGACCCCGACUGUCGCCGAACACUACCGAGUGCUAUUUACCGGCCUCCCGAACUAAAUCCUCAAUAUUUUGCUCUUACAUUAGAGCUGAGGUUUAAUGAUCAUGCUUAGCAUGACAACCCAAAGAAAGGAACCGAUAGCGGGACUAUUUUCUUUGGAAGACAUUUCUUCUGUUAAACAGUAAUAUAACUCUCUGUGUACCUUUGUUUAAAAAACUGUAUGGCCAGAUUGCCUUGUUUGUUGUAAAUCUUUGCCCUCAUAAAGGCUCUAUAAAGUAGGACAAACACUCCUCGGCUACUGGCCGGGGAGGUGGAAGCCGAUGGUCGGUCAACAAAGUUUUGUACAAUGCGGAUCCGAGCAUUAAUGACGUAAAGUACUUGGAUACAUAGAGUCAUUACACAUAAUUUGUGAUUUUACUAUGGAUAUUGAUCCUUAAUUCGGCCACCCGUGCCUGCAUUAAGGCUCGGGGGCUACUGGGCUUCGGGCUUAUUAUUUACAAAUAUUAAAGGGGCACAUUGAUCCCCUGAUCUGGUGUUACCACCCGACCAGUGUCUCGGGGGCUACUGCAUUGCUUGUCCAAUGCAGAAAAUUUUAUGUGCAAUAUAGUUUCCGAGGAGAUUUUGAUCCUCAGGUUGGUCGGCCGCACCCAACCUGAGUCUCGAGGACUGAGCACGCCGCUUUUAGUGUCCCAAAGUAUUCUGCCGAGCUUGGACUUGAUCCUCAGGCCGAUUUUGCAAAUCAACCUGAGUCUCAGCGGCUACUGGGAUCAGCGGUCUUACGUCAUCCUUCAGGUGCAUCUCGGGUUUUAGACCGAUACACACCUUGAGGGCUACUGGCUAUAUAUCUCGGCAGAGAAUAAAUUGCACCAAUAAAAAAUAUUCACAAAAAUCGGCCCACAUUCGGGGUGGUGCACCACCUCAGAAGCAGCCCGGCAUAAAGCUCGGGCGCUAGUGGCUGGCUCCAUAGAGGGUAUUCCCGGCAUUAAGCUCGGCUAAACUCCUUCAAACUUCUUUGAACCAAGGUGAUUUACGACACCUCGGAUAUAGUCCGGCGUUGGAGCUCGGAUACAGUCUGGCGUUGGAGCUCGGAUAUACAGUUCGGCGCUGGAGCUCGGAUACAUUCCGACGUUAGAGCUGGGAAGCGGUCCGGCGUUGGUGCUCGGUUGCAAAAGAUACCUCGAAUACAGUCCGGCGUUGGAGCUCGGAUGCAAGAGGACGCUGCCGCCCGGGAACAACUUCAAACCCGAGGUGUGGCAUAAAAAUAACAAGGCAUUGGUAAAGGCCGGAAACUUAAAGGGGCUCCUCGGAUACCCGACGUGUAAACUCGUCAAAUGCAUUUCGGCGAUCCUCAAGAUCGAAGAUAAAGAAGAUUUGUUGAACCAGUUUUCAAGACCGACGACCGAAGAUGAAGAACAGUUUGGAAGAAUCGAGGAUCGUCCCUAACUUGAAGACCGGUUCAGGGGGCUAUUGACGGUGUCUUGGACUAGGGGGUACUCACCACGUCGUCUCCCGAUCUAUUAGAUUGGGCCGAGGCCCCCCAUGGCCGUAUACUCAUGGGCUAGUUCGGACAGCUGCCGCAUACAAGGAAGAUUCCACAAAGACUUGGCAAUCAAGACAAGGACUUCUCCCCACCGGCGUAUUCGGCUAGGACUCUUGUUAACCUAGGCCUCUGGUGCAUUAUAUAAACCAGGGCCAGGCUAGUCGAUAGAAGAGACAACAUACAGAACAACAAUCAUACCAUAGGCUAGCUUCUAGGGUUUAGCCUCUCCGAUCUCGGAGUAGAUCUACUCUUGUACUACCCAUAUCAUCAAUAUUAAUCAAGCAGGACGUAGGGUUUUACCUCCAUCAAGAGGGCCCGAACCUGGGUAAAACUUCAUGUCCCUUGCCUCCUGUUACCAUCCGGCCUAGACUCAUAGUUCGAGACCCCCUACCCGAGAUCCGCCGGUUUUGACACUGACACCAAUCUUGUUGGGCCCUUCUACAACCUGGAAGGUCUCGUCACUCAUAUCAUGGUUCAAGGGAUAGCCGUGGAUGAGCCUGCAGACGACGCUGAAUCUAAUGAAGCGCCUGCAACACCGUAGCCAAAGAAACUGAAAAAGCCUAAAGCUUCAAAGCCUGAUCCUGCACCAAAAAUCUUACGGGCGAAGCCUCUGGCCACUGCACCUCCUGAACAUAGUGUGCAGUCUGAAGAUUUGUCACGCAUCUCCAAGCCCUCAAGAGUGAAGAUGCCCUUGCAACCCACCAGCCAAGAACUAACUGCUGCUGCUAUUCUGUGCAAUGACGCCAUUGAUCUGUCCAACGAUGAAGAACUUGUAGAUGACGCUCUUGAGCAACUGAUUAAGAGCAAAGAAGAAGCAGAAAUCUUCAAUGAUUUGCCUCUCUUUGACGUGGCAAUCCUCCACAACUUCAUUGAUGAGUGGUUUGAAACCCCCAAUCUCAGCUUUGAUGAUCUGCAACUUCCAAUUGGCCUCAGCGUCGCUUUCACUGGCGCCAUUGCUUAUGAGCUAGCUCUAGCUCAGCGCAUCGUUGAACUGAAGCAAAAGAUCGACUAUGAGAAAUCUCAAUUCAAGAAGCACAUGGCCAAGCUCAGCAUGCAAGAUGUGAAAAACUUCAAGAUUAUGCUGCAUGAGCUCAAGGAAGCCUUUCUCAAGAAACGUGAAGAAGCUAAAGGGUCUCGUGAGCGCAUGAAGAGUCUGGCUGACAAGUGUGUGCAAGCCUACAUGAAGCUGAGAAGCGCAAUGCUCUUGGGCAUCCUGGCAUCGACCCCAGAAUGGCGGCCAAGCCAAAGAAGAAGAAGCCAGCUGUGGCCGAACCCAAACAACAAGGCAGGAGUACAUCCCAUUGUCUUCCCUGCCAGUAUGACAGGCUCGAAGCCUAAGGUCCCCAUAGUGGCUUCAGAACUAAAGAAGACAAGGGCUGCCGAGGCUGAAUCCAGAAAGAGGAAAAAUCCUGAAGCUUCUGAUGCCACUCCCUCCAAGAAGAAGCGCAAAACCAAGAAAGAUCGAGCUGCUCCCACAAAGCCCCUUGUUGUCGAGCCCAUCUCGGUUGCUCGUCCUGCCUCUUCGCAUCAAGAACGACGAAUGAUAGUUCAUGAGCCUGCUUCCACAGAGGCUCCUGAAGCUGAAGACAUUCCAGCAGUUGACCCCACCGCUGCUGAAGACAUUGGUCACCAUGACAAUGUUGAAGAUGAUGAAGUCCUUCCUUAGAUCGAUCACCAAUUGGUAUCAUCGCCUGUGCUCACGCACAGCGAACUCAUCAGCAUUGGUCGUCCUCUGACGCCAACUACUUAGGAUGCAUCGUGGGUUGAUCACCCAUAGAGACAAGACACUCCAAGCUCUCCCAACCGCAAGCUACCCCACCGGUGCAAGAUGAUGAUGACUUUGAGGCCCCGCACGCUCCAUCUCCACAAGCAUCACCCGCAUUACGCAGGCUUCGCAAAGCACCCAGGCCCCAAGUCACUCCCACAAUGCACGUGUCUGAAUGCGAAGCCAAAAUGGCUGAAGAUGUUCCAGCUGCAUCAGCCGAUGAAGAAGAUGAAGAAGAAGCCCCAAGAGUUACUAGAGUUGCUACACCCCCGUCUCACCAGGAUGUUGUUCUCGAGGAGAAUCUGACUGACCCACCAGCUUCUGAAGUGGAGGUUCACAACCCUGAGGCGGCCACCGACAUCACUGCUGACGCCAAUGACGUUGUCAUGGUUGAAUCCAAUACGGUGCCAGAAGCCAAUGAGGCACCAGAAGUCAAUGUUGCAACACCUGAAGUCAAUGCUGCAACACCUGAGGUCCAAGCACCUGAAGCACAUGUGGCCCCUGAAGCCCAUGAAGACAAUGCCAAUGCCCCUGUUCCCCCUCCAAGACCUCACACAAUGGAGCUGGCAUUUGAUCGUGGUCAGCCGGUUAUGGUUCGAUGGCCCAUUCUGACUCCUCCGCCUGCUGCUGGUCCACAAUUUGAGUACCACGUCGAGCACAGGCCUCAAGUUCAACAGCCCAAGCCAAGACUUCCACGAUUCCUAGGCACUGCCACUUCACCUGGGGUCUUCAAUGCAAAUGGCUUCGUGGCACAUAAUACCUUCUUCAACAGCUCCAAGAACCCCUAUACAAGACCGCACAUUUCCUCAGAUCGGUUCUGGAGCUAUCAACAGCGCAGCUACUAUUCCUAUGUCCUAUACAAUCAAGGGCGCAUAUUUCCACACAUGCGCCUCGACUCUCAAGCUAUAGCCGGUCUGCCCUGCCUCGAAGAAGCAUUGGACUGUUUCAGAGAUGCUGGUCUGUUGCAGUUCAUCACUGACAAGGAGCACUGGAACGAAGAAUUGCUGCUUCAAUUCCAUGCCACUCUUCAUAUUCGAGGCUACAACAGGGAUCCGAAGACUUGGGUCCUUGAGUGGAUGACAGGCAAUGCCCAUCAUGAAGCUAAAGCUCUUGAUUUCAUUGAGCUCACAGGCCUGCCCACUCACGGUGAAUACUAUGAACCAGGUUGUCAACAACAUCAAAAUGCCUUGGAAAGCAUCUUUUAGAAGCCAGAACCCAACAUGAGUCAAAUGCUGAGCAUGAUGAAGCCUCUGCCUUAUGACGCUGAAUACCCAUCUGAGUUCUUUGUUGAAGACCUAGAGUACCUGCCUCGCACCAUUUACCACAUCAUCAGGAAGACUCUAUGGCCUGUCAAAGGACACUCAUCUGCAGCGAAGCUUGAAGGAGCAAUGAAGACUUUGGUUUUCUAUAUCUUCAAUGGCAUCAGCUUCAAUGCUCAAGACUUCUUCAUCAGGCAGUUGGCUGCGUCUGGCUCUGACAACAUUGGGUUGAAAUUCUAUGCUCCAUGGGUCAUGCGACUGAUAAAGCAUCACUCAGCUUUCAACUAUCAGCCGUCUGCGCGCAAUCAUCUUAUAUUCUUUCCCGAGGUUGAUCUGUCAGUUGGAGCCAUUUACCCAGAGCCUUCUAAGGAUCCCAUUCAUCUUCACAAUGCUGAUCACCAAAGCUUCACCCAGCCCAUUGAAGGGAUUCUAGCAGUUUCUCGUGUUUAUCCCCUUGCUGGAAACACGCGUGUCCCUCGUGGUCAAAUUGACGUCGCUGGUAGCACCAUUGCGCAAAGGCCUCAAAGACGAUCUCGUGUCCUCAAUGACCGAGAGCUUCUUGUUGCGCUGCAUCAGAAACAGGACAAACAUCACGGCUGGCUUAAGCGUCAGAUGCAAAGCCUCUUGGUGGAUGUCAACCGCAUUUGCAAUCUUGCCACCAAGAAUGUCUUUGUCACUCAUGAAACCUGUCAGAGGUCGUGGAAGAGUUUGACCCUACUUAGUGCUGAAGCUGAUCUGCAUGACGAUGGCUUCACCGAACGCUUCAAGUUUGACUCAACUCCUCCCAGAAAUGCUCACUUGCGUCAGACUCCCUCACUUGAAGACUCUGAAUACUCGUCCUCAGCUGCGACCGUAAAUGCUAGAGUCAUCGAUGACCAAGAUGAUGCAACUUCACCUCCUCCAACUUCAGCGCAUGUCGACACUGCACCAAGUUCCUCUGCACCACCGGAUCUGUCACACCCUAGCUAGUCAUGCAUUAGAGUGUUGCAUCAUGUUUACUCUUUCAUCAGAAACUUGAAAUGGGGAUGACAGAACCCCCAGUCCCCUCUGAAAACCAACUAGGGUUUACUAAAAUAAUUUUCAAUGAACCUGAAAUGCCCUUCUAAAAUGCCCAUCAUUUUUGCCUUGGUUCAGACCCUCUGCCAAAAGUGGUGCACAUUUUCCUAGGCCAUCCUAGGGUUUUGAAUUAAAUCAUAACUAUUUGAAUUUGGGCAUUUAAAAUAAUAUAAAAUAUUUAAAUGCUCAAAUAUCUCCAAGCUAAAAUGUUUCAUGUUGGAAAUAAUCCAACUAUGGACCAGGAGUAGUUUGGUGAUUUUUGGAGUUGCCUAGGUAUUUUAUUUAAUUCAACAAAGUUGCAGAUAUAUUAAAUAAAACAGAAAACAGAAAAUAAAUAAAGGGAGAAGCUUACCUGAGCUCCUCCCUGUGCGGCCCAGCCCAGCCGGCCCAGCACUGUGCUGGCCCGUGCCAGCCAGCUGCUUCCCCUCGCCAGAGCAGGCAGGGAGGUGAGCAUGGCGCGCCCGAGCUCGCCACGCACCACCCAGCCUCUCUGCAUCGCCCUGGUCGCUGUUGCGCCGCGUGGAUCGUCUUCUGGUCGUCGCCCCGACCUCGCCGACACCCUCUCACUCUCCCCCGGCUCUCCCUCGCUCUCUCCCUCUCACGGCCGAAGCACACCGUCGCCGCCGUUCGCCUUAGCCACUGCCUCCGACCACCCCUCGCUCCCCCGAUUAGCUCAGGAGCUCCGCCUCGACUCCCUCUUCCUCCCCACCGCUCCACGAGUCCCCGGAAGCCCUGCAUCGCCGCCAUGUCGCCGUUCCCCUCUUCGGGCUCCGAUCAUCGUCGCCGACGAAUUCGCCAUCUCCAGCGCGUCCCCGAGCCCGUUUCGACGCCCACUGCAACCGCGGUGAGCUACGCCACCGUUUCCCCCUUCUUCCCGGCUCUCUCCCGACCCCUAGGCCCUAGCCCCACCGCGGCCGAAAGCUUCACGCCGCCGGCGAUGUCGCCGUCGUGGUCACGGUCACCGUAGCGCCCAACCGAGCUCACCAUCGUGCUCCACAUCUCACUAGGAGCACGUAGCACGCUCCAACACCCCCCCUAACGCCCUGCAACGCCGUUCCCGUGCACGACCGAACCCCGGCAGCCGCAACCGAGCUCGCCGCCGUCGACUCCGGCCACCCCGACCCCAACGGACUCCGCCAAGAGCCGCGGGUCGUCCUCAGCUUCACUCCGGUGGCCUCCGCGGUUCAUUUGGUGGCCGAAACAACCAAAACCACUAUCGCCGCCGCACUGAUGGUCGCCGCCGGCCAGAACUCCGGCGAGCUGACGUGGCCCAGUUAAUUAGCCACUAACCCACCACCUACUGACGCUGACAAGUGGGCCCCAGGGCUUAGUCAAAGCUAACCAGCCCGGGUCAACACGGGAUUAGCCCCUGUGUCACUGACGUGUGGACCCCACACGUCAGGUUUGACCCGAGCCAGCCCUGUUGACCUGCUGAUGUCACUGUGACGUCAGGCUGACGCAGUAAAUGAUAUUUCUGGAUUUAAAUUAAAUCAGGAAAUUCCAGAAUAUUAAUUAAACUUCAAAAAUCCAUAACUUUUAUUCUGUAACUCCAAAUUGGGCAAGUUAUAUAUGAAAAAUGAUCAGAAAAAUCCAAUCUAUCCAUCUGUACUAUUUUCAUGCAUGAUCAAACAAGUUAAAUUGAUGUUUUAAACAGAAUAAGGAAAAGCACUUAAAGAGGCCAUAUUUGAGUUUGAAAUUUGAAUCUUUGAUUCAAAUUUGCUCAAACACUUCUGGCUUUAGUUGCAUUAGCCCAACACACUCAUAUUGCCAUGUUUCAUGCAUGCAUCAUAUUGUUGCACAUUGUUUGGUGAUGCCUGUGUAUCGUUAUCCUUUGCGACAGGAUCUGUCCCCGAGGAGUACCGUGACUACCCUAACGAAGAACCGUAUCCGUGCAACGAACCAUCAGGCAAGCAACCAACCAUUUGAUCAUAUCGAUACAAUCCCAUGUUCUCGCUCCUGCUCUCUUUUACUGCAUUAAGACAACGCGAUUCAAACUGCUGUGUGCUAUGGUAGUUGAACCCAUUUCCUCUGCAUGACCUGUCAUUGCCACAGUAACUAGAUGAAACCCACUAGCAUGUGUAGGAGUUGAUUGAGCCAUGUGUAUGUGUUGUUCCUACCUUGCUAUGCCUGCUAUGCUUAGAGUCGUGUCAGGUCUGGUUCAUCUGGGUGAUGGGCUAGAGUGAAAUGUUAAUGUCGGUAAUGAGAGUGGUGUGGUGAACACGAUUUGGUAAAGGUAUCGAUGAGAGGCCAUGUAGGAGUACAUGGUGGGUUGUUUCAUUGAAACCGACCUUAAGCACUGAGAUCUGUAUGUGUGAUUUAAGAAUCAGCUACUACCAUGCAUUGGGCCCGAAACCAAUGGACCCUCUCGACUUCUUAUUCACCCUAGUUCUCCGUCCAGGAGUUGCAAGUAGUUUCUGGUGUUUGUAGCCUACUGGAGGCCGUGGACAGCGCUGACCGUAGGGGUGGGCUGUGAUGCGGUAGGUACGUGGCACGGUGUACCGAAUACCCGUUAGGUAUCUCGGGAACCCUGUUCACAUCGUUUGGGGCCGUAUGGGAAACCUCGGCCGGACUCCCUGCGGAUGGAACCUGAAUAGGCGAUAAACCUGGACUGGAGGCUUAGGUGAUUAGGUAGGUCGUGGCCGACACCCACGUUGGGCUUCCGCUUGAAGGUUGCCGAGUACAUGUCGUGUAAACGACGGUAAGUGGUGAGAGCGUGUAUGAAGAAGUACUCCCUGCAGGGUUAACAUGAUCUAUUUGAAUAGCCGCGUCCGCGGUAAAGGACUACUUGGUUGCCUAUACAGUUCAUAGACAAGUAAAUGGAUACUAUUAAAAGCCUCAAGAUAAGUGUGAGUGCCGAGGAUGGCUCUUCCGUAGGAAGACGGAGGUGGAUCCUCGGUAGUGUAUUGAAGUGGUGAAUAGUGGACUCGUGUGCGCAAAACUAUUUCAAGUUGGAGUAUCGUAGGAUAGUCUAGCCAAGAGUCAAAGCUGGCUUGCUGCAAUAACUCCACCAACCCUUCUUGAUACUAUGCAUGUAUGUAGGAUCUGAUGUAAGUCUUGCUGAGUACCUUUGUACUCAUGUUGCUAUAAUCUAUAUUUUACAGAAGACGCUGCAACCCCUUCUGAUGGGUUCUAUGUAGACGUUGACAUCAACGAGUAGGCUAAAGACCCAGGUGGUGACCCUGAGCUUGUGAAGGACCACAUAGUAUAGUCAGGCUUUCCAAGCCUCUUUUAUUUUACUAGUUGUCUGUACUCAGACAAGUUACUUCCGCUGUUGGCUUGUAUGAUUGUAUGACUUGUAUGUUGGGUCGUGAGACCCGUACCUUUGUGUGUAUGUUAUGUAUGGCUCUCUGAGCCUUAAAUAAAGUACUUGUGUCGUAGAGUCAUGUUGUGAUGCUUCGUUGUAUUUGCACAUAUCGAGCAUAUUGUGUGUAUGAUUGAAAUGCUUGGUAUGUGUGGGAUCUGACUAUCUAGUUGUUUAUCUUUAGUAGCCUCUCUUACCGGGAAAUGUCUCCUAGUGUUACCGCUGAGCCAUGGUAGCUUGCUACUGCUCUGGAACACUUAGGCUGGCCGGCAUGUGUCCUUCUUCGUUCCUGUGUCUGUCCCUUCGGGGAAAUGUCACGCUUUGAGUACCGGAGUCCUGUUAGCCCGCUACAGCCCAGUUUACCGGAGUCCUGCUAGCCCAGUGCUACAGCCCGGACCCACUUGCUGAUGACCGACACAUUCGAAGCUGGGUCAUGGAUGCCUGUCCCUGUAAGUCUGUGCCACUUUGGGUUUACGACUAGUCAUGUCAGCCCGGGCUCUUUAUCAUAUGGAUGCUAGCGACACUAUCAUAUACGUGAGCCAAAAGGCGCAAACGGUCCCGGGAAAAAGGUAAGACGACACCCGUGGGAAUACCGUGCGUGAGGCCGCAAAGUGAUAUGAGGUGUUACCAGCUAGAUCGAUGUGACAUCGAGUCGGGGUCCUGACAGCGUUGGCAUCAGAGCCGGACUGCCUGUAGGUUCUCCAAGCCAAACUGGUCGAUGUUGAGUCUAGAAAUGCUUUAGUUAUAUGUAGGGGAAUUGUUUGUGGGUUGGAACGUAAGGCUCUUUUUACUCCUUAUACCUUAUGACUUUCUGAUCUGAGUCAGUCCAUUCUUCCACCGGGGGUUAAGGAAUUAGGAUCUGUUCUCUCUAUCAGGAUCACGAGUUACUAAUCAGUAGUACCUUAUAAGUUUGAUGGUCACCAGCCUAGUUCAGUUCUACUACCACAUUAUGUUGUUGGAAUGGUUCCAGAACUUGAUAUGAUGAUGUUGAGUGUGUACGAAAUCCUUUGUCAAAUGUCUCAAUAUCCUUUUUGAGCAUUUACAGCUGUUAUGCUGCCGAAAUUUUGCUAGAAAUUCUAAUGCCUUUGCAUUAUGAUUAUGCUUUCAGAUGGCCACUCGCGACCUCAAUCAAGUGGUUCGCCUAACUCGAUGCCUAGAUGUACCCGGCCAUACUGCUAAGUUGGUCAGGGUAAUGACUGAGGCCGGAUACCGCUGGUAUCCUGAGUACACGGUCGAAGAGCAAUUCCGAGAUUUUAAUCAAAGCCAGUAUCUCUGCACUGUCAGGAUAUUUCCAUCUUAUCCUGGAUCCACUGAGCCUCUUCACUGCUCCUAUGGACUCGGGGUUACUAUCGAGAUGGCUGUGCAGGAUGCCGCCUACUCUAUGAUGACCAUUAUGCGAGUCAGAUCUGGGUUAUUUCGGGACUCUGAUUUCCGGUAUAUGCCAGGAUCACUUCCGGGAGCACAAGGAUAUCUCCAAGCUAUUUAUGCUGAUUCCACUCAGGAGGAUUCACGAACUCGCACCACUGCUGAGAUGCUCGAGGAUAAGGACCGUGAAAAUCGGGCCUUAAGGUUAGAGCUCUUCAAUACCCGUGCUGACCACUGGGCCACUUUGACUCGGUUCGCACCGGCGGUGCAAGCUGGAUAUUCAGAUAUGCGUGAUCUCUAUCCAGUGAGAUCUGCUCUGCCAGACGUGAUGGUUUGGCGUGAUGUAGGAGGCAUCACCCCACCUCGCGGUCCCCGCAGGCCACCGUUUGUUGGUCCAAGGCCUCAUCCUAGCCCCUAUGGUCCACAAGCUCCGCGAGAUCGUCUGUUUCCGGAUGAACAUGUUGAACUUCCAGGCUAUGGAGGUGACUUCUACGAGGACUACUACGGAUCGGUCUGAGUUAGUAGUAGUAUCACUAGUUCGCACUAGCUGUGUCGUCUAUCGUCCUGCGUGACUCGUGGGAUAUGACCUAGUUUGUACUCUUUCCGGAGUUGUAGAAAAAUAAUGUAUAGGAGUUUGGAAUGCCUCCGAUGAGAUGUAAUCCCUUUUCACCGUAAUAGUACUUUGUUUGGUCUUGUACUAAACCUUGUAUGGUGUGUAUGACGAUGGAAUAAAGAAGCAGUUUCUGUAUCUACCAUGUCAUACGGAUGAUCAUCUUGCAUUCCGAGUUAUUCCUUGCAUUAUGUAUCCUAUGUCGGAAUUUUAUCAUUCUGACUAAAUCAUUGUCUUGUUUACCUAGGAUGGUCAACACGCGCGCCAACCCUGCUUCUCAAGAGCAGGCCGAAGGCAGUGAAGCCAGGAAUGAAAAUCUGCCUCAUCCUCCUUCACUAGCCGAGGUGAUGAUGGAAGCUGAGAGAAACAAGCGGGAGACAAACCGUUUGUUGGAGCGUAUUGAACAGAAUACAGCACACCAUCAGAGGGCUAACGUGGUGUCACUUAGUGAUUUUAUCAAAUUGCAUCCACCCACGUUCCACCACUCCAUCGAGCCUCUCGACGCUGAUGACUGGCUUCGCAGUAUUUCUCACAAGCUGCGUUCCGCGCUGGUAGCGGAGGCUGACAAGGUCACCUUUGCCGCAUAUCAUCUUGAAGGCCCCGCCAGUCUUUGGUGGGAGAAUUAUGGAGCCAUGCGCCCAGCGGGCCAUGUCACAACUUGGGCUGAAUUCAGCGAGGCUUUCCGUGAACAUCAUAUUCCGAAGGGUCUCAUGGACCGUAAGCGUGAAGAAUUUUGCAAUUUCACCCAAGGCCGACUUUCUGUGGAUGCCUAUAGCAGGGAGUUUGGUAAGCUCGCCCGAUAUGCAACUGAGGAAGUGUCUACUGACGCCAAGAAGCAAGCAAGGUUCCGUAAGGGCCUUAGUCCUGAGCUUCGCCGCGACCUCCGUCUGCAUGAGUGCACAUCUUUUCCGAAACUUGUCAACAAAGCCAUCAGUGCUGAAACUGGUCAGACAGACUAUGACGCAACACGCAAGCAUGGACGUGACAUGGGUUCCUCAUCCGGUGCUGGUCCUCAGAAGCGCCGCGUGUGGGUACCCAACACCGCCCUGCCACCCAGGUUCACACCGAGGCCAUCUUUCCAGACGCCUCGCCCUGUUCAACAGUCUGCACCGGCCAAGCCCUAUGGGGGUCCAACCAAUAAUGCUCCUCCACGUACCAGUUCCGUGACUUGUUUCAAGUGUGGGGAAUCUGGUCACUAUAUGCGUGAGUGCCCCCAGACCAACCCCAAUCAAUCUGCUAAAGCUGUUGGCCGUGGCAAGCCGACAUGGAAGGUGUUCCAUGCCAAACCGGUCACCGCUUCACGUGGCCAGGUCAAUUGUGUCUCUGCCGAAGAAGCUCAAGAGGAUCCCAACGUCGUUCUCGGUACGCUUCUUGUUAAUUGCCACCCGACAUCUGUUCUUUUCGAUACAGGAGCCUCUCAUUCUUUUAUAUCUGAAAAUUAUGCACGUUUGCAUAACGUUGCAUUCUGUGACUUGCCAUCCACUAUGGAAAUCUCUACCCCUGGGUCUAGAUGGCAGACCUCUAGGGUAAGUUAUGGAAAUGAGAUCCAAGUCGACAGACUUGUUUUCCUUGCAUCUCUAAUAGCCCUUAAAUCUUCGGAUAUUAAUAUCAUUUUGGGUAUGGACUGGAUGUCAGCUCAUCAAGCCAAAAUUGAUUGCUUCUCUAGGACUGUUCAACUCACCCAUCCUUCGGGGAAGAUAGUUAAUGUCUUGACCCGAAUAGCCAAGCGACAAUUAUAUUCUCUUAACGCCAGCCCUUUACCAGACCUUGAGGACAUUCCGGUAGUCCGUGACUUUCCGGAUGUCUUUCCAGAGGAAUUGCCAGGUGUUCCACCUGACAGGGAUGUUGAGUUCGUAAUAGACCUCAUUCCAGGAACCGUUCCGAUUGCUAGAAGACCCUAUAAUAUGGCACCCCUAGAACUAGCCGAGCUUAAGAAACAACUCGAUGAAUCCUUGAAAAAGGGUUUCAUCCGCCCUAGUUCAUCUCCGUGGGCUUGCCCCGUCCUAUUCGUUAAGAAAAAGGAUGGUACGGACUGGAUGGUUGUAGAUUACCGACCUGUCAAUUUGGUCACAAUCAAGAACAAAUACCCGCUUCCCAGGAUCAAUGAUCUGUAUGAUCAGCUCGCUGGAUCCUCAGUCUUCUCCAAGAUGGAUUUGAGGUUGGGCUACCAUCAAAUCAAAAUCAGAAACGGGGACAUUCCUAAAACGGCCUUUGUUACUCGUUAUGGACAAUACGAGUACACCGUCAUGUCCUUCGGUUUAACCAACGCUCCAGCCACUUUUUCUCGGUUAAUGAACUCAAUCUUCAUGGAGUAUUUGGAUAAAUUCGUCGUAGUUUAUCUCGAUGAUAUACUCAUCUACUCCAAGAACGAGGAAGAACAUGCCGAACAUCUAAGGCUAGUGUUGAAGAAACUUCGAGAGCAUCGCCUUUAUGCCAAAUUUUCUAAAUGUGAAUUCUGGUUGUCAGAAGUGACCUACCUGGGUCAUGUAAUAUCUGGUAAAGGUAUUGCUGUUAACCCUGAGCGAGUUCAAGCCGUCCUUAACUGGACUCCACCCGAAUCGGUCAAGCAAGUUCGGAGUUUUCUGGGCUUAGCGAGCUAUUGCCGUCGCUUUGUCGAGAACUUCUCCAAAGUUGCUAAACCUCUAACCGAACUCCUCAAGAAAGAUAAAAAGUUCGAAUGGACUCCACAAUGUGAGCACAGCUUUCAAGAACUGAAAAGACGCCCGACCUCUGCUCCUGUACUGGUACCGCCAGACUUCUCCAAGGACUUUGUUAUCUACUGCGACGCCUCGCGACAAGGACUAGGUUGCAUUCUCAUGCAAGAUCGACACGUAAUUGCUUACGCUUCACGGCAAUUGCACCCACAUGAGGAGAAUUAUCCUACUCAUGAUCUAGAGCUUGCAGCCGUAGUCUAUGCACUUAAGACCUGGCGACAUUAUCUCCUCGGUAAUCGUUGCGAAAUAUUCACUGAUCACCAAAGUCUGAAGUAUAUUUUCACCCAACCGGAUUUGAAUCUCAGGUAGAGACGUUGGGUUGAAUUGAUCACAGACUUCGACCUAGGAAUAACCUAUACCCCAGGGAAAGCCAACGUCAUGGCUGAUGCACUAAGUCGUAAAUCUUAUUGUAACAACCUGAUGUUACAACAAAGUCAACCGCUUCUCCAUGAGGAAUUUCGGAAGCUUAACCUUCACAUUGUACCUCAAGGUUUUCUCUCCACCUUGGUGGCAAAACCUACCCUUACGGAUCAAAUUAUCAAAGCACAGAAGGUAGAUCCGGGAAUCUCCCGCAUCAAGAGAAACAUUCAGAAAGGAAUUGCGAAUUGUUUCUCCGUUAAUGAUCAAGGAGUCGUAUACUUCGGGGAUCAACUAGUGGUUCCCAAGGUGCGCAACUUAAGGCGAUUAAUCCUUAAGGAAGCUCAUGAAUCUCCUCUCACCAUUCAUCCCGGUAGUACUAAGAUGUAUCAGGACCUACGCCAGAGGUUCUGGUGGACUAGGAUGAAGAGAGAAAUCGCUCAGUAUAUUGCUAAUUGCGACGUCUGUCGUCGUGUAAAAGCAGAGCAUCAACGGCCUGCUGGCACCCUUCAACCCUUAGCUAUUCCUGAAUGGAAAUGGGAUAAAAUUGGUAUGGAUUUCAUUACCGGUUUUCCCAGAACCAAAAGAGGGAAUAAUGCUAUUUUCGUCGUGGUCGAUCGUCUUUCCAAAGUAGCUCAUUUCUUACCUGUUCGUGAGAGUAUAACCGCUAGUCAACUGGCAGACUUAUACAUCUCCCGAAUAGUGUCCCUCCAUGGUGUUCCUUUGGAAAUCAAUUCGGAUCGAGGAAGUCUUUUCACCUCUCGAUUUUGGGAAAGCUUCCAAAAUGCUAUGGGAACUCGUCUUUCUUUUAGCACCGCUUUCCACCCUCAGUCAAGUGGUCAAGUGGAACGCGUCAACCAAAUUCUAGAAGACAUGCUUCGAGCCUCUGUUAUCUCGUUCGGAAUGGACUGGGAGAAGUGCCUUCCAUUUGCCGAAUUCGCUUACAACAACAGCUAUCAAUCUAGCUUGGGUAAAGCCCCUUUUGAAGUUCUCUAUGGACGACGAUGUCGAACACCCCUUAACUGGUCAGAGACCGGGGAAAGACAAUUCUUUGGCCCGGAUAUGAUUCAGGAAGCAGAAGAACAAGUUCGUAUCGUUCGUGAAAAGUUGAAAACAGCCCAAUCCCGUCAAAAGAGUGAAUACGACCGAAAACAUAAGGCUAUGACUUUCGAGGUUGACGAGAAGGCUUAUCUUCGGGUCACCCCUCUGAAGGGAACCCAUCGUUUCGGUAUCAAAGGCAAAUUGGCUCCUCGUUACAUUGGACCUUUUCGCAUUCUUGCCAAACGAGGAGAAGUUGCCUACCAAUUGGAACUACCUCCGCACCUCUCCAGAGUUCACGAUGUCUUCCACGUUUCUCAACUCAGGCGUUGCUUCUCGGAUCCUGUCCGUGAAGUGGACCACGAAACGCUUGAUCUCCAAGAUGAUCUUACAUAUCGAGAGUACCCCAUCCGUAUCCUCGAUCAGGCCGAGCGUACCACGCGACGUCAUAACAUCAAGUUCCUCAAAGUUCAAUGGUCGCAUCACUCUGAAGAUGAAGCAACUUGGGAAAGGGAGGAUCGUCUUCGACUUGAAUAUCCCGCCUUCUUCUCGGAGGAACCCAAAUCUCGGGACGAGAUUCUUUUGAGUGGGGGUGAGUUGUCACACCCUAGCUAGUCAUGCAUUAGAGUGUUGCAUCAUGUUUACUCUUUCAUCAGAAACUUGAAAUGGGGAUGACAGAACCCCCAGUCCCCUCUGAAAACCAACUAGGGUUUACUAAAAUAAUUUUCAAUGAACCUGAAAUGCCCUUCUAAAAUGCCCAUCAUUUUUGCCUUGGUUCAGAACCUCUGCCAAAAGUGGUGCACAUUUUCCUAGGCCAUCCUAGGGUUUUGAAUUAAAUCAUAACUAUUUGAAUUUGGGCAUUUAAAAUAAUAUAAAAUAUUUAAAUGCUCAAAUAUCUCCAAGCUAAAAUGUUUCAUGUUGGAAAUAAUCCAACUAUGGACCAGGAGUAGUUUGGUGAUUUUUGGAGUUGCCUAGGUAUUUUAUUUAAUUCAACAAAGUUGCAGAUAUAUUAAAUAAAACAGAAAACAGAAAAUAAAUAAAGGGAGAAGCUUACCUGAGCUCCUCCCUGUGCGGCCCAGCCCAGCCGGCCCAGCACUGUGCUGGCCCGUGCCAGCCAGCUGCUUCCCCUCGCCAGAGCAGGCAGGGAGGUGAGCAUGGCGCGCCCGAGCUCGCCACGCACCACCCAGCCUCUCUGCAUCGCCCUGGUCGCCGUUGCGCCGCGUGGAUCGUCUUCUGGUCGUCGCCCCGACCUCGCCGACACCCUCUCACUCUCCCCCGGCUCUCCCUCGCUCUCUCCCUCUCACGGCCGAAGCACACCGUCGCCGCCGUUCGCCUUAGCCACUGCCUCCGACCACCCCUCGCUCCCCCGAUUAGCUCAGGAGCUCCGCCUCGACUCCCUCUUCCUCCCCACCGCUCCACGAGUCCCCGGAAGCCCUGCAUCGCCGCCACGUCGCCGUUCCCCUCUUCGGGCUCCGAUCAUCGUCGCCGACGAAUUCGCCGUCUCCAGCGCGUCCCCGAGCCCGUUUCGACGCCCACUGCAACCGCGGUGAGCUACGCCACCGUUUCCCCCUUCUUCCCGGCUCUCUCCUGACCCCUAGGCCCUAGCCCCACCGCGGCCGAAAGCUUCACGCCGCCGGCGAUGUCGCCGUCGUGGUCACGGUCGCCGUAGCGCCCAACCGAGCUCACCAUCGUGCUCCACAUCUCACUAGGAGCACGUAGCACGCUCCAACACCCCCCCUAACGCCCUGCAACACCGUUCCCGUGCACGACCGAACCCCGGCAGCCGCAACCGAGCUCGCCGCCGUCGACUCCGGCCACCCCGACCCCAACGGACUCCGCCAAGAGCCGCGGGUCGUCCUCAGCUUCACUCCGGUGGCCUCCGCGGUUCAUUUGGUGGCCGAAACAACCAAAACCACUUUCGCCGCCGCACUGAUGGUCGCCGCCGGCCAGAACUCUGGCGAGCUGACGUGGCCCAGUUAAUUAGCCACUAACCCACCACCUACUGACGCUGACAAGUGGGCCCCAGGGCUUAGUCAAAGCUAACCAGCCCGGGUCAACACGGGAUUAGCCCCUGUGUCACUGACGUGUGGACCCCACACGUCAGGUUUGACCCGAGCCAGCCCUGUUGACCUGCUGAUGUCACUGUGACGUCAGGCUGACGCAGUAAAUGAUAUUUCUGGAUUUAAAUUAAAUCAGGAAAUUCCAGAAUAUUAAUUAAACUUCAAAAAUUCAUAACUUUUAUUCUGUAACUCCAAAUUGGGCAAGUUAUAUAUGAAAAAUGAUCAGAAAAAUCCAAUCUAUCCAUCUGUACUAUUUUCAUGCAUGAUCAAACAAGUUAAAUUGAUGUUUUAAACAGAAUAAGGAAAAGCACUUAAAGAGGCCAUAUUUGAGUUUGAAAUUUGAAUCUUUGAUUCAAAUUUGCUCAAACACUUCUGGCUUUAGUUGCAUUAGCCCAACACACUCAUAUUGCCAUGUUUCAUGCAUGCAUCAUAUUGUUGCACAUUGUUUGGUGAUGCCUGUGUAUCGUUAUCCUUUGCGACAGGAUCUGUCCCCGAGGAGUACCGUGACUACCCUAACGAAGAACCGUAUCCGUGCAACGAACCAUCAGGCAAGCAACCAACCAUUUGAUCAUAUCGAUACAAUCCCAUGUUCUCGCUCCUGCUCUCUUUUACUGCAUUAAGACAACGCGAUUCAAACUGCUGUGUGCUACGGUAGUUGAACCCAUUUCCUCUGCAUGACCUGUCAUUGCCACAGUAACUAGAUGAAAGCCACUAGCAUGUGUAGGAGUUGAUUGAGCCAUAUGUAUGUGUUGUUCCUACCUUGCUAUGCCUGCUAUGCUUAGAGUCGUGUCAGGUCUGGUUCAUCUGGGUGAUGGGCUAGAGUGAAAUGAUUAUGUCGGUAAUGAGAGUGGUGUGGUGAACACGAUUUGGUAAAGGUAUCGAUGAGAGGCCAUGUAGGAGUACAUGGUGGGUUGUUUCAUUGAAGCCGACCUUAAGCACUGAGAUCUGUAUGUGUGAUUUAAGAAUCAGCUACUACCAUGCAUUGGGCCCGAAACCAAUGGACCCUCUCGACUUCUUAUUCACCCUAGUUCUCCGUCCAGGAGUUGCAAGUAGUUUCUGGUGUUUGUAGCCUACUGGAGGCCGUGGACAGCGCUGACCGUAGGGGUGGGCUGUGAUGCGGUAGGUACGUGGCCGGGUGUACCGAAUACCCGUUAGGUAUCUCGGGAACCCUGUUCACAUCGUUUGGGGCCGUAUGGGAAACCUCGGCCGGACUCCCUGCGGAUGGAACCUGAAUAGGCGAUAAACCUGGACUGGAGGCUUAGGUGAUUAGGUAGGUCGUGGCCGACACCCAUGUUGGGCUUCCGCUUGAAGGUUGCCGAGUACAUGUCGUGUAAACGACGGUAAGUGGUGAGAGCGUGUAUGAAGAAGUACCCCCUGCAGGGUUAACAUGAUCUAUUCGAAUAGCCGCGUCCGCGGUAAAGGACUACUUGGUUGCCUAUACAGUUCAUAGACAAGUAAAUGGAAACUACUAAAAGCCUCAAGAUAAGUGUGAGUGCCGAGGAUGGCUCCUCCGUAGGAGGACGGAGGUGAAUCCUCGGUAGUGUAUUGAAGUGGUGAAUAGUGGACUCGUGUGCGCAAAACUAUUUCAAGUUGAAGUAUCGUAGGAUAGCCUAGCCAAGAGUCAAAGCUGGCUUGCUGCAAUAACUCCACCAACCCUUCUUGAUACUAUGCAUGUAUGUAGGAUCUGAUGUAAGUCUUGCUGAGUACCUUUGUACUCAUGUUGCUAUAAUCUACAUUUUUACAGAAGACGCUGCAACCCCUUCUGAUGGGUUCUAUGUAGACGUUGACAUCAACGAGUAGGCUAAAGACCCAGGUGGUGACCCUGAGCUUGUGAAGGACCACGUAGUAUAGCCAGGCUUUCCAAGCCUCUUUUGUUUUACUAGUUGUCUGUACCCAGACAAGUUACUUCCGCUGCUGGCUUGUAUGACUGUAUGACUUGUAUGUUGGGUCGUGAGACCCGUACCUUUGUGUAUGAUAUGUAUGGCUCCCUGAGCCUUAAAUAAAGUAUUUGUGUCGUAGAGUCAUGUUGUGAUGCUUCGUUGUAUUUGCACAUAUCGAGCAUGUUGUGUGUAUGAUUGAAAUGCUUGGUAUGUGUGGGAUCUGACCAUCUAGUUGUUUAUCUUUAGUAGCCUCUCUUACCGGGAAAUGUCUCCUAGUGUUACCGCUGAGCCAUGGUAGCUUGCUACUGCUCUGGAACACUUAGGCUGGCCGGCAUGUGUCCUUCUUCGUUCCUGUGUCUGUCCCUUCGGGGAAAUGUCACGCUUUGAGUACCGGAGUCCUGUUAGCCCGCUACAGCCCGGUUUACCGGAGUCCUGCUAGCCCAGUGCUACAGCCCGGACCCACUUGCUGAUGACCGACACGUUCGAAGCUGGGUCAUGGAUGCCUGUCCCUGUAAGUCUGUGCCACUUUGGGUUUACGACUAGUCAUGUCAGCCCGGGCUCUUUAUCAUAUGGAUGCUAGCGACACUAUCAUAUACGUGAGCCAAAAGGCGCAAACGGUCCCGGGAAAAAGGUAAGACGACACCCGUGGGAAUACCGUGCGUGAGGCCGCAAAGUGAUAUGAGGUGUUACCAGCUAGAUCGAUGUGACAUCGAGUCGGGGUCCUGACAGGAUCUCAACGACAACCCUGCUGCCUCGCCUGCACCUCAUGGGAACGAGUAGGCGCUCUAUGUCUUCAAACCUUUUUGGUCCUCACUGACAAAAGGGGGAGAAGCAUAUGAGUUUAUAGUCUUCAAGCGGGUCUAUAUGGGUGGUUGAUUUAUUUUUUGCUACUUUUGCCAACUGCUUACAACUCUCAUUUUUGAUACAUUUGGUUCUUUGAGUUGUAACACUUAAACUCGAUGGUCGUCUGCUACUUAUUUGCUAUUAUGUGAUGCGAUGAUAAAUUCCACAUGUGCGACGAUAAAUUCCGCACUUAGAUCAUUUUGCAGACAUCCAUUUUUCAUUAUGCAUGUCAUUAUCUUCGUUACAUCAUAUCUUGCAUAAUGACUUGUCAUCAUAUGUUGAAGAGGAUCUCCACAAGUGCAACCUGCCAUGUGCAUUUGCAUUCCAAAAGCAAACUACUUAUAUGCACAUCUUCAGGGGGAGCCCUUGCAACUUAUGAAGACAAUACCCUAUUCUUUACAAAUUCACAUAUUUUAUUCCCCGUUGAAAACUUCAACCAGUUUGUCAUCAAUCACCAAAAAGGGGGAGAUUGUAAGUGCAUCUAGUGCCACCCCUAGUUGGUUUUGGAGUAUUGACGACAAACCUGGUUGAGGGACUAAUGUGUUUGUGAGAAUUGCAGGAUAACACAGGUAGAAGUCCCUCAUUGAUUCGGUUUUCCUACCAGAGAUGACCCCUAAAAAUGUAUGAAGACAUUGAAGCCAAAGGUGGUAUGUGAAGACAUUCACAUUGAAGACUAUGACAAGAGAAGACAUCGCAUGAAGACUAUGGAGCGCGAAGACUUAGUUGUUUCGUCGUUCUUUUUCUUCUUUGUUGAGUCAUAGGAACCACCGUACUGUUAAGUGGGGUCCAAGAGAACCAGUCAGAAUGACUGAAGUGAUGCUUAACCAAAAUCCUAUGUCUUUGAGUGAAGACUAUGAGAGCAAAUCUUGUCCAGAGUUGGAUAAGUCAGCUUUGCUUGUAGCCCAAGUAAAGUUGUCACGUGUGUUUGAAAUCUGACCGUUGGAACACGUGUCAGUUCCUUAGUGACCGAGUGUCAUUUCGGACAAAUCAGGUCGGGUUGCCUAGUGGCUAUUAAUAGCCCACCCCCUACAACCAUAAACAGUUGGCUGCUCAGAGUUAGUGCACGGCUUUUGUCAUUUGAGAGCAACCCACCUCGAAGCCUUUGAGAGAGAAUUCCUUGCGAGGAUAAAGCCCUAACCACCCAGAGCCAAAGAGAGUUAGGCAUCACUGAAGUCUUCCUGUCUGUGUGAUCUGAAGACUUAUUACACUUGAGGACUGUGAAUCCUCCAGCCGGUUAGGCGUCGCGUUCUGAGCAUCCAAGAGUCAUUGUGGAUCGCCGGUGAAUGAAGUCUGUGAAGGUUUGGAAGUCUACCUUGAAGACUUACCUAAGUGAUUGGGCGAGGACUGGGUGUCCUUAGCUCAAGGGGAAUAAGGUGAAGACGCGGUCUUCUGAGUUGAAUCUCAGCCUCCCUAACCAGACGUACAGUUGUCACAACAACUGGAAAUGGUCCAACAAAUCAUCGUCCUCAACAAGUCACUGGUUUCAUCCUUCCCAUUCCCUUACUUACUGUUGGCCCUGGUGAAGUCAUUGCAUGAUUGCCUUAUCUUUUGUCUUCAUUGAGUGACUACUUGUUUUGAUUGGCUUCACUAUAUCUUCCUACCUGAUCUUUACUGCCUAGCUGCUAUUAGUCAUUGUGCUUUCACUUCAUUGAAUACUUGACUAUGGUUUGCCUAGUGUAGUCUACGUUCUGUUGCAUGGUAAUAGGUUUAUCUCUAUCGUUUGUCUUCAAAACUUCCAUGUUUUGAAGACUUUCAUAAAAAUCGCCUAUUCACCCCCCUCUAGUCGAUCACUAGCACUUUCAAGCGCUACCGGAGUUCUUCAAAGAUGUAUCUCCAAGGAAGAGGGGCGGAAACUCUUGGCUGAAAUUCACGCCAGACUCUGCGGUCACCAUGCCGUAGCUCGGGCCCUUGUUAGCAAGGCCUUCCGUACAUGGGUUUAUUAGCCGACGGCCCGAGCAGAUGCACAUGACUUUGUCCAACAUUGCGUUGGAUGCCAACUCUUCGCCAACCAAAGCCAUAUGCCCCCCACUGCCUUUCAAACAAUCCCCAUCACUUGGCCUUUUGCGGUCUGGGGACUCAAUAUGGUCAGACCCCUUAAAGGAGGAAGCCAUAAGAGAAAGUAUCUGCUGGUCAUGGUGGAUAAAUUCACUAAGUGGAUAGAGGCCAAACCAGUCAAAACGGCCGAGGCGGGGCCUGUAAUAGAUUUCAUAUCUGGCGUGGUACACCAUUAUGGUGUUCCACACAACAUCAUCACCGAUAAUGGCUCUAAUUUCACAGCCGAUGAAGUGAAAACUUGGUGUGCUAAUCUGGGCAUUAAGCUCGAUUACGCCUCUGUCUAUCACAUGCAGACAAACGGUCAAGUCGAACGGGCUAAUGGUCUUAUUAUGAGCGGCAUCAAACCUAGACUAGUGCGGUCUUUGAAAGAAUCAGACAAGCACUGGGUGGAGGAACUUGACUCCGUACUCUGGGGGUUGCGGACCAUGCCCAACCACACUACUGGAUAUACACCUUUCUUCAUGGUGUACGGUGCGGAAGUAGUGUUACCCUGCGACAUUAUUCAUGACUCACCUCGAGUGCGCAUGUACGAAGAGAGAGAGGCCGAGCUUGAUCGGGAGGACAACUUAGAUGCCCUGGAGGAGGAGCGCAACGUCACAAAAGCCCGUUCCGCAUUUUAUCAACAGCAGGCUCGCAUGUAUCAAAGCAGAGAAGUGCGGGCUAAGACUUACAACGUUGGUGAACUUGUUCUACGCCUGCCGGAGAAGAAAAAGGACAAACUCAAGCCCAAGUGGGAGGGUCCUUUCAUCAUUGACGAAGUUCUCACCGGAGGAGCGUACCGCCUGCGUGAUGCGUUAGACAAUCACUUGGAGCCGAACCCCUGGAAUGCGGCCAGACUCCGACGAUUCUAUGCCUAGCAUCGAACUCUGUGUUCGUCUCCUUCCUCCUGUUAUUAACGUUAUUUUUUCUCUCUUUUCGUUUUUCUCUUUAGCCCUACGGCUUUAGUACGGCUAGACCGUGCUCCCUUGAUGCGUACAUCUCCAAAUAUGUACGUCCACUAUACCUGGGGGCUUCUUGCACCGAAGCUUGCUAUUAUUCUUCGAGCAUCAUGCUCACCACAUAUGCGUUCUUCCCAUAUGUACCUUUUCUUCGCCAUUAUAUGCAUCGAUAUGACUUAAGUUUUGGCCAAGCUGGGUUACCUGGCUCCUGUGCUUAUGCCCUAUGUUCCCGUUAGUUCAGCCAGGGCAUAAAGGGAGCACCUCUGCGAUUGUUACUCCGGGUCAUCCGGAUGUGUACCUCAGACUGCGGGAAGCCGAAAUCUAGUGUUCUUAAGGGAAUAUUCGGUCGGUGAAUUAAAGACGUUUCCGCAUUCACUCCAUUGUGAAACCCCAAAAGUUACUUACUCUACAAUUUUUUCAAUCAUAGUUUGGACAUGCACAUUAAAUGCAUGCACACCCAGGGAAAGGAAGCCUUAACGGAACUAUUCUCUCUGGAAGAUGUUUCUUACAUAAUGUAAUAUAACAUAACUAGCCGGAUACAUAUUGUCUGUUCAAGCAACUAUGACCCCCACGCCUGGUUCCCAUGCAUACCCUGGUAUAUUCUACUGCUAGGGUAUUUGGAAACACUCCACACCUUCGGGUCUAGAGUUCGAAGCGAAAAGGUCGGCCAUGACAAUUGUUUUUACAAUCCAGCUAGAAGGAAAGUACAUAGUCACUUAGGACUUCAAGACUUCCUCCUCUAUACCGUCCAACAGGCGGUCUAACUUACAAUCCUAUUGGAAUAUCUCGCGGCCACCUCUCUACUUGGUCAUAUACUAAACUAAUAGGAAUUUCUUCCCCAUUUGACCCUAGCGGUCCGACUCGGGCCAUGUGAUUCGGAUCCAGCUUGGUAUACCGCGUUUUUACCAUGGCCCAGGACUCUCGUGCACCCUCUCGGCAGGUUGAUAUCUUCCAUAGUCGGAUAUGCCGCCGCGCUCCCUUGAACAGCUCCACAAGCUUCAGCAUAAUCCAUGGAGGGGAGGCGGAUGGCCAUAAGGCCUUGGCUACACUCUGCAUUGCCUGCCGAGCUUGCUCGUGUAACUGCGAUAGCCCUUGUAGAAGAUCACUUGAUGAUCUGGACACCUCCUCUUCGGGACGGCCUGUUAACAUACCUGCAAUCACAGCUAUAUUAGCUAAGUUUAUUCCCAAACUGUUAUAAGAUAAAUUCGGCCACAUACUGAAUAUGCCGCCUCGCAGCUUUUUGAUCUCCUUCACGGAGUCGGCUAGCUGGGCUCGCACAUCUUUCAGUUCUUCGCCCAGUUUGGUGUCUGAAUCCUGGAGUUUGUUUUUCUCCUCUCUGACUCGUGUCAGAAUGCGCUCGCCUACCGCAUGUUGUCUCUUCGACUCUUUUUCGCUCGUUUGAGCGGCCUUCAGUUCCUCUCCCAGUUGGUUCGAUGACCCUGUUAUGAAACAAUCAGCAGUUGCAAUACAGCUGGCGUAUAAUUUUUUGUUUCUCGAUGGAGGGAAAUAUUACCAGAGGAAGCCUUCUUGAACUUUUCCAGUUCGGCGGUAGCAACAGUUAGCUGUGUCCGGCAUUGCUCCAGCUCUUGGGCUAGCAGGUCGUUCUUCUCCGUAAGAGCCUGGUUAUACAACGAUCCUUAAAAAAUUUGUCCCAGCUGCUUCAAGUCUCGGGGGUUAAGGGCACAUGGUUAUCAAAUUUGUACAAGGUAAACUUACCUGCACAUCUUUCAAAUGUUGCUCGGUGGCUCUGUUAAGCCCAUCUCGAGCAGCUCGGAUGUAUGCAUCAGCCAAGCUGAAGGCACCGAAUGCCUCUUUUGAGAAGCGGGGAUUUCGUAAAACGGCCCUCCGGCGCCGGUGAUUCAUGGCGCACUCCACUUCCGAAUUGGUGACGGACAUAUUUUUCGAACCCUCGGCAGAAGGACAGUCCGGCGCCACUCCCAUAUCGGGCCCCGUCUCUUCGGCUGGGACUGAAUCUUGGUUAUCAGGAGUACAACUGGUCGGGUGUGACGCCCCAAGACCGAUGCGCCAGGUGUCUUCCAGUUAUUCAUUGUUGUUGCCUUGUCUUUUGCUUGCGUGUUGCAUCUUGCCAUGUCAUCAUGUGCAUUGCAUCAUCAUGUUUUCAAAAUUUGCAUCUAUCCAGGUCUCCCCGUUCUUUCCAGUGUCCAUUCCGAGCCCAGACACAAUUGCACGCGCCUGCGGCACCUCCGAGAUAUUAUUUUAUAAGUGGCUGGAAAAUGUUCUCAGAUUGGGUUGAAAGUUGGCAUGCGGGGUUGUUAUAGUGUUAGUAGGUCUCCUGCCAAGUUUCAUCGCAUUCGGAGUUCGUUUGAUAGCCCAACCGUUAAACUAUAGCGGCAGUAUAGCCGGUCUAUCGUCCGACGUUUUCGGUCUCCGGAAACUGCUAUCGGGCCCUCUCUCUCUCUUCUCUCCUCUCAGCCUCGCCACAGUCCACCUAGGCCCAUGCCUACCCCUCUUUGCACAGUGCAUCGGCCCCUCGCGCGCGUCCGAAAGUUGACCCAAACCCGACCCGGGCAGUCAUCACCGUUGUGUCCGGAUCAUCCCCAAAUGUCUACAAAAUAUCACCGUUUUAUUAUUUGGACUCCCUAGCCUAUUCUUUAUGAACCGUCCGAUUUCGAUCGGAGGAUCCAAACUCCCUCUUUUCCUUAUAUUUAUAGACCACCACCUACCAAAUCUAGCCUAACCCUAAAACCUAGGAGGCUUGUCCCUCCCCGCCGCCACUCCUCUCCCACAUCGAGAUCCCCUCCCGGUCCAGUUGCACCCGAGACGAAUCGCAGCAACCACCUUCCUUCCUCGUGUUCAAAUCCAGCCAAUCCAUCCCCUCGUUGAGAGCCGCCACCCAAGCCCAUCGAUCCAACCCUCCUCGCUCUCCUCGUUGACCAGGGAGAUGAGCUCCUCCUCUCCCGUUUCUCCCAUGCGCCACCUCGACCCCUCGAGCUCAAUUACAAGCUCAAGCCCGAACCUCGCCAUCCUCGCUUGGCCGUCGUGUCGUCGGAGGCCACCGUCCCCCGCCACCGAUGAGCACAACGACGUCCCUUCCUUUCCUUCGUCUGGCUCCUUCCUUCUCCUCUCAACAUCUCUGCCUCCCUUUUCUGUCUAGGAGCUCGGCACCAACGCAAUGGACGCCAGCACCAGGAGCUUCGCCCGUGUUGCUGCCAUGGACUAGAUCCGGUCCGGAGCUGCUCAUCUGCCUCAUAUCUCGUCCUGGCUGCAAGUCCCUCACCGUGCCGCAUCUACUCUGCAACGAGCGGAGCUGCCGCCGCUGCAGCUGCCGCGCGCCGUUGGCUGCAUCGGCCCGAACCGGCCUCCUCUUCGCCGUUUCCCACUCCUCCGGCCACCUCCGCCCGUUUCCCCAUCCCCGACAUCAUCUGCAGCUGCGCCAUGCCUCCGCCGCUGGCUCUGCUUCACCUGAACCGGGUUUCAUCUUUUUGCUUCGCCCCACAACAAGUCCCCUGCCACUGUGGAUGUCCCGACGCAGGAGCUCGCCGUCGACCGCAGUCGACGUCGCCAGCCUCCGGAUCCGUCGAACCCCGGUCUCUCUAGCCUCUCUGUCGCAGGAUCCUUUGCGUCCUUCGGUUCAUCCAGCUACCGCCUGCAUCGAGCGGGACGACCUCGCAUUGACCCCGUGCUCGAUUUGGUAGCGAAGCCGCUCGCCCCUCUUACUGCGUCGACCACACGCACCUGGGCCGCCUCCCCUUCAACCAUUGACCGCGACCCAGCCCACACCUUCCCACCGCCCUGGGCCAGGUCCAGCUGGGUGAGUCUAGCGCCCGUGCUCCCAUUGGGCCAGUCAGAUCUGGCCCGAUGUGUAUUUUUUUCCGCUGUAGCGAAUUUUUCCAAUUAUCCAGAAAACUGCCAGUUUACAGUUUAGUCCCUAGUCUUCAUGCAUAUAAUAACUCUUGAACUAUGCACCAUAUGUAAAAACUUUGUAUAUGAAAAAUGCUUAGAAUUGCAUCUAGUUUCAUAAUUUGCAACUUUCAUCCAUGUUUAAAAUGCUUAAAAUGUUGUUUGUUUAAAUUUUGCUCAUAUGCCAUGUUAAAAUGUUUUAAUUCAUAACUAUUUAACCGUAACUCGGUUUGUAACAAACUUUAUAUAUAAAUGGGGUAGAAAAAUGCAUAGUUUAACAUGGUGGCAUCUAUUUGCAUGUUUAACAACUAUAAAAUUGUGUUUAGGGCAGAACAGUACCAUAACCGAAAUAUGCACAUGGGGACUUUUCGGAAUAGUUGUUCGUUGUUUCCGGCCUCAUUUAAACUUGACUAGAUAGGUAGUUUUAAUUUGCUUCACCCUCUUGCCAUGUUUAACAACAUUUAAUAUUGUUGGGUACAUAAACGAGAUCAAACUAAAUAACUUGAAUGUGGUGUGCUCCAGUUAAUUUGUAGGAUUGUUUGUGCUCUUUGCCAUGCCAUGCUUCAUUAAACCGGACAUGCCUCAUACUUGAUUGUGCAUCAUGCCAUAUUCAUGUGUUGGUUGUUUACCAUGUUGUUUGCUUUAUUUCCGGUGUACUUCUUCUCGGUAAUCCGGUAAUGUUGCGUUUGUGAGGAUCCGUUGGCUACGUCUGCUUGUCUUCUUCGUGGACUCAUUCUUCUUCCUUGCGGGAUCUCAGGCAAGAUGACCAUACCCUCGAAAUCACUUCUAUCUUUGCUUGCUAGAUGCUCGCUCUUUUGCUAUGCCUAUGCUGCGAUACCUACCACUUGCUUAUCAUGCCUCCCAUAUUGCUAAGACAAGCCUCUAACCCACCUUGUCCUAGCAAAUCGUUGUUUGGCUAUGUUUCCACUUCGCUCAAUCCCUCUUAUAGCGUUGCUAGUUGCAGGUGUAGAUUGGAGUUUGUUCCUUGUUGGAACAUGUUUAUUGUUGGGAUAUCACAAUAUUAUCUUGCUUAUCUUAAUGCACCUAUAUACUUGGUAAAGGGUGGAAGGCUCGGCCUUAUGCCUGGUGUUUUGUUCCACUCUUGCAGCCCUAGUUUCCAUCAUAUCGGUGUUAUGUUCCUGGAUUUUGCGUUCCUUACACGGUUGGGUUAUAAUGGGAACCCCUUACAGUUCACCUUGAAUAAAACUUCUCCAGCAAGGCCCAACAUUGGGUUUACCAUUUGCCACCUAGCCUUUUCUUUCCCUUGGGUCAUCUUUAUUUAAACCCCCGGGCCAGUGCUCCUCUGAGUGUUGGUCCAACUUGUCAGCCGCCGGUGGCCACCAAGGGCAACUCUGGGCUGGCCUAUCGAAAGUUUGGACAAUCCGGUGUGCCCUGAGAACGAGAUAUGUGCAGCUCCUAUCGGGAUUUGUCGGCACAUUUGGGUGGCUUUGCUGGUCUUGUUUUACCAUUAUCGAAAUGUCUUGUAACCGGGAUUCCGAGCCUGAUCGGGUCUUCCUGGGAGAAGGAAUAUCCUUCGUUGAUCGUGAGAGCUUAUGAUGGGCUAAGUUGGUACACCCCUGCAGGGAUUUGAAGUUUCGAAAGUCGUGCCGACGGUUAUGGGCAGAUGGGAAUUUGUUAAUGUCCGAUUGUAGAAAACCUGAAGCUUAACUUAUUUAAAUUGCAUCAACUGCGUGUGUAAUCGUGAUGGUCUCUUCUCGGCGGAGUCCGGGAAGUGAACACGGUGUUGGAGUUAUGCUUGACGUAGGUUGUUCUAGGAUCACUUCUUGAUCAUAGUUUCUCGAACGUGCUUUGCCUUCUCUUCUCGCUCUCAUUUGCGUAUGUUAGCCACCAUAUAUGCUAGUCGCUUGCUGCAGCUCCACCUGAUACCUUUUACCCUUCCUAUAAGCUUAAAUAGUCUUGAUCGCGAGGGUGUGAGAUUGCUAAGUCCCCGUGACUCACAGAUACUUCCAAAACCAGUUUGCAGGUGCCGACCAUACUGUGGAGGUGACGCAACCGAGCUCAAGGAGGAGCUCAAUGAAUACCAUGCUCGUUAUGUUGUUUCCGUUUUUUAGUUGAUCAGUAGUGGAGCCCAGUUGGGACGAUCGGGGAUCUGUGUAGCAUUUGGGGUAGUCUUCUUUUAUUUUGGGUUCCGUAUUCGAACCUUGCGUGUACCUAGAUGAUGUAAUGUUAUAUUCAUGUAUUGUGUGAAGUGGCGAUUGUAAGCCAACUAUGUAUCUCUUUCCCUUAUGUAUUACAUGGGUUGUCUAAAGAUUACCUCACUUGCGACAUUGCUUUCAAUGCGGUUAUGCCUCUAAGUCGUGCUUCGACAUGAGGGAGAUAUAGCAGCAUCGAGGGUGUUACAAGUUGGUAAUCAGAGCCUUCCCCGACUUUAGGAGCCCCCUGCUUGAUCGAAUCGUUGGCGCUGUUGAGUCUAGAAAAAUCUUUUGAGUCAUUUAGGAUUAUAUAUAUCAGAGAGUAGGAUUCUUUUUACUCCCCAGUCCCUUCGUCGCUCUGGUGAGGCAUCCUAACGUAGAGUUUUGACUCUUCUCUUCUCAAAUUUCACUAAAGAAAAUUAGGAUCACGCGGGUAUCUUGGAAUCGUUCUGAUGGUUUUGUGACGAGAACAUUGUUCUUGGUGCCUCCUGACAUUUAGGGGUUGUGGCAGUGUCCCGGGGAGUUGAGCUCCGAGGUGUUGUCGUCACAAUUUUAUCGUUGCAGUUCUGGAAUACCUGAGUUUUCGCCGACAUCGAAAAUCUCUUUUAUGCAGUUGUUGGUGAGAUAACCUCGACGCCACCUAGUAUUGGGGCGAGAGUUCAGGAGUAUUGCCAUAACUCGUAUAACGGAUGCUUUUCGAAGGUUGAGGUAAAUAAUUUCCGAAGGUUUCUUGGUUAUGUGUUGAAGGAUGGAUACAGCUGGAUGUAGGAUUUGUUAGUUUUGAGUGAGAUAUUAUGCUUCCCCUGUAUCCCCAACACCUGAUUGCACAACUGAAAAGUUUCGGGAGUUUAUAAGUGGGAAUUCAAGUAGCUCUUAGGAUAUCUGUUCGACAAAUGUAUGAUAUGAAAUUGGGGUUCGACGUCUAGUGGUCCGCCUAUCCACGGUUGGUUUUACAGUGGUCUCAUUGUGUCUUAAAGAGUCCUUGGCUAUGUCGAGUCGGGGACGCUUCGUAUGUCAUGUGCACUUCCUUGUACAUGAUGGUGAUGUAUGAUCGAGCCCGUGUAGGCCCCACCAUGAAAACUUUGGACAAAAUCUCUAUCAUAUGUUCGUUCUGGCUUAUUCUGCAAGCCAAUCCUUUGAUUUGUUUUUCAGUUGUGGUAUUCGAUUUGCUUCAAUGUCAAGUGUUGAUUCCAUACCUUUCCUAAGCGGUAUUCUCAUGUUCCUAUGUGAAUACAAAUCCUUCAUGAUAAUCGAGAUUGUCAUGUCAAUCCUUUUCAACCGGUGUGAUUCUUUUCAAGUGGAUCCGAUCAUUUCAAUAUCAGCAAGAUCAAUUAUCAUUUCUUCUCAAUGGUGUUCAUUUCAUUCGUCCCAAGCUUCCUUUGUUUUUCCCGCCCUUCCACCCUUUUUCUUCAAGGACUCGGAUUCCUUAUUCAACUAUCCAUUUUAUUCAUGGGAAGUCUCUCUUCAUUCUUUUCUGUCAAUGUUCUUAUCCGGUGAUUCUAAUGAAGAUUCUAACGGAGUUUCAAGUUCGUCACUCUUCAUUCUCUUUCUUCUCCGGUGGAACCAAUUCAAGCUUUGUUGAUCAUAUCCUUUCCUCGUUUCAAAUGCUUUCUCAUGUCGGUGCAAUUCUUAAUCAUUCACCUCUCGCUAUUCAUUUGUUCCGGAGUACUGAAGAUAUAUCAGAAGAUGCUAGUGUUUAUUCUCAUUCAUUCAAGAUCUUUCGAGAAUGUUAUCUUAUUCAAACCAUUUAAUUCAACCGGUGCAUUCUCCUUUUCAAGUAACCAUUUCAACGGUGUAUCUUUUGAGUGGGCCCUAACCCACAGGUCUUUUUUCUAGGAUCUUACCUGACUCUUCUAAUUUUCUCGGAGCUAUCCUAAAUUCUUUUCAAAGUUUGACGUAAGAAUGAUUCAUCAUCAGUCACAUGUAUUUCUCCAUGAUCUUUCAAAUUCUUUUCAUCUUUGGCUCAACCUCUCCUCUUUUAAUCAUUCCGGAGUGUCUCAACAAUUCUUGGUGGUGUUUCUUAUCGUCUUCCUCAACAUUUGAAGAUCAGAGAAGAUUUUUUUUCCUUUAAAUCUUGCUCUAUUCUCUCAGAGAUUCAUUAUUCUAGCUUGUUGCCAUCCUCUCAUAAUUUGUUUUGAUUGUGAGAAUUCUUUUCACCUAUCCGGAGCAAUUCAGGAGUCCUUUUCAGUUUGAUUAUCCGGAGUCCAUCAAUUCAGGUUUAUUCAUUCUCAGCUUUCAGUUAUCAUUCUCCAAUCUUAUCGGUGCAUCGAUCAAAUAUCCUCUAAUCAGUUCAUGGUCUCUUUGUUCUUUUGUAUCUAAACUCUCUCAUGUAUCUUCGUUCAUUUGCUAAUUCUUACCGGUGAUUCAUCCUUUUACUUCGUUCAUUUUCAAUCCUUACGGUGGUUCAUUCAAGAUUUCUCUUCCUUCUUUAUCAUAUCAAUUCAUUCGUUGUUUCGAUUCUACCCGUGGUUCGUUGAAGACCUUAUCGAGUUUAUGGUAUAUCUCUCUUAAUCUUUUCUAUGAGAAUAAGUAAUAUGUCAAAUCCAUUGAUUGUCAUCAAUUUAAUUGGUGAAGGAUAAGCAUAAGGUAAUUCUUAUUCGUGUUUCAUCCAAGUGAUAAAUUCCUUAUUCCGGAGGUUCAUCAAAAUUCUUGAAUUCUUGUUUCAUCUUUUCUUUUCCGGAGUUUCAAGUUUCCACUUUAUCUCGUCACAAAGCUUCAUCUAAAAUCAUUGCAAGGUUUCACCUUGUGUUUUCAACUUCUCUUUCCUUUCGUUUGAUCAGUCUUUUGUUGACCGGAGUUCUUCAUGGAGGUUUUACAUGAUGGUUCACCAAGGAUUUAAUUCGUUCUUGGAGUGUUCAUCGAGAUUCUUUUCUAAGGAGCUCAAGCAUUCUUAAUCUUGCAAUCCAGAGUGCAAUUCUUUCUAUUGAAUCAUUGGAGGUGGUAUUAUGUCAUUCUUGAUAAUUUGAGUUCAUGUUUCGUGUUUCACAAGUUAUCAAGAAUGAGGUAUUUAAAAUCCAUCAAAUUCUUCUUUGGAUUUAUCUUGGGCUAUAUUUUCACCUAAAGCCUUCCCUAAGGACUGUUGCUAUGAAUGGUGCUCAUAUAUGAUCCAAGUUCUUCUUUUAUCUUCCCGGUGAUAUAAGUUUCUUGUCUUGUUCAUAUCAAUCCAAUCUUUUUUCGUGAGUGGCAGAAUUUCACCUCAUAGUUUUGAGAUGUUCUCCAUAAGCCCACUACAAACUUAUUCUUUUCGUUGUGGUUUUUCAACAACUCUGUGAUAACCUUCUUGGAAGGGUGCCUUCCAAGCUCAAUUGCGGCAGAAGCUGGCAUUUUCUUAUCCAUUCUUUCAUUCCAAUGAUCUACCUUCAAUUUCUUCCUUCCGGAGGCAUUGUGAUGUUGCUCUCUUCAACCCAUCUUCUUGUUUUGUCAGGAUCAUGUUCGUUCUUUUUGCUUAUCCAUAUAACCGGAGUGUUGUGCCCUUUGCUCAAGUUCUUUUCAUCUUAUCAAGUCUUUCAUCUCGUAUCUACCGGAGUGCUUGCAUGUACUUCUUGUUCAUUGCAACCCUUUUCUCUUGUCUUUCAACCUACAGGGUUCUCGUGAUGUUCCUUGUUCCUCUUUUCUAACGAAGUGUUUUCCACUUCGUUCAUCUUCAUUGUAUUCUUUUCUUUCAAGUUGUUCAACUUUUCAAGGUUCUUUGGUUUCACUCGUUUGUCAAAGAAGCAACUUAGUUUUACCUGUUAUCUUCCUCUUCCUUUUCCCUCCGGUGCCAUUCUAGAUCUCGGGACGAGAUCCUCUCGUAGCGGUGGAGUGUUGUGACGCCCCGAGAACGAUGCGCCAGGUGUCUUCCAGUUAUUCGUUGUUGUUGCCUUGUAUUUUGCUUGUGUGUUGCAUCUUGCCAUGUCAUCAUGUGCAUUGCAUCAUCAUGUUUUCAAAACUUGCAUCUGUCCAGGUCUCCCCGUUCUUUCCGGUGUCCGUUCCGAGCCCAGACACACUUGCACGCGCCCGCGGCACCUCCGAGAUAUUAUUUUAUAAGUGGCCGGAAAAUGUUCUUGGAUUGGGUUGAAAGUUGGCAUGCAGGGUUGUUAUAGUGUUAAUAGGUCGCCUGCCAAGUUUCAUCGCAUUCGGAGUUCGUUUGAUAGUCCAACCAUUAAACUAUAGCGGCAGUAUAGCUGGUCUAUCGUCCGAUGUUUUCGGUCUCCGGAAACUGCUGUCGGGCCCUCUCUCUCUCUUCUCUCCUCUCAGCCUCGCCAUAGUCCACCUAGGUCCAUGCCUACCCCUCUUUGCACAGUGCAUCGAUCCCUCGCGCGCAUCCGAAAGUUGACCCGAACCCGGCCCGGGCAGUCAUCACGAUUGUGUCCGGAUCAUCCCCAAACGUCUACAAAAUAUCAUCGUUUUAUUAUUUGGACUCCCUAGCCUAUUCUUUCUGAACCGUCCGAUUUCGAUCGGAGGAUCCAAACUCCCUCUUUUCCUUAUAUUUAUAGACCACCACCUACCAAAUCUAGCCUAACCCUAAAACCUAGGAGGCUUGUCCCUCCCCGCCGCCACUCCUCUCCCACAUCGGGAUCCCCUCCUGAUCCAGUUCCACCCGAGACGAAUCGCAGCAACCACCUUCCUUCCUCGUGUUUAGAUCCAGCAAAUCAAUCCCCUCGUUGAGAGCCGCCACCCAAGACCAUCGACCCAACCCUCCUCGCUCUCCUCGUUGACCAGGGAGAUGAGCUCCUCCUCUCCCGUUCCUCCCACGCGCCACCUCGACCCCUCGAGCUCAAUUACAAGCUCAAGCCCGAACCUCGCCGUCCUCGCUUGGCCGUCGUGUCGUCGAAGGCUACCGUCCCCCGCCACAGAUGAACACAACAGCGUCCCUUCCCUUCCUUCCUCUGGCUCCUUCCUUCUCCUCUCAACAUCUCUGCCUCCCUUUUCUCUCCAGGAGCUCGGCGCCAACGCCAUGGACGCCACCACCAGGAGCUUCGCCCGCGCUGCUGCCAUGGACUGGAUCCGGUCCGGAGCUACUCAUCCGCCUCACAUCUCGUCUUGGCUGCAAGUCCCUCACCGCACCACAUCUGCUCUGCAACGAGCGAAGCUGCAGCCGCUGCAGCCGCCGUGCGCCGUUGGCUGCAUCGGCCCGAACCGGCCUCCUCUUCGCCGUUUCCCACUCCUCCGGCCACCUCCGCCCAUUUCCCCGUCCCCAGCGUCAUCUGCAGAUGCGCCAUGCUGCCGCGGCUGGCUAUGCUUCACCUGAACCGGGUUUCCUCUUUUUGCUUCACCCCGCGCCAAGUCCCCUCCGUCGUGGAUGUCCCGACGCAGGAGCUCGCCGUCGACCGCACUCGACGUCGCCAGCCUCCCGAUCCGUCGAGCCCCGGUCUCUGUGGCCUCUCCGUCGCAGGAUCCUUCGCGUCCUCCGGUUCAUCUAGCUGCCGCCUGCAUCGAGCGGGACAACCUCGCGUUGACCCUGUGCUCGAUUUGGCAGCAAAGCCGCUCGCCCCUUUUACUGCGUUCACCGCAUGCACCUGGGCCGCCUCCUCUUCAACCGUUGACCGCGGCCCAGCCCACACCUUCCCACCGCCCUGGGCCAGGUCCAGCUGGGUGAGUCCAGCGCCCAUACUCCCAUUGGGCCAGUCAGAUCCGACCCGAUGUGUUUUUUUCCGCUACAGCGAAUGUUUCCAAUUAUCCAGAAAACUGCCAGUUUACAGUUUAGUCCCUAGUCUUCAUGCAUAUAAUAACUCUUGAACUAUGCAUCAUAUGUAAAAACUUUGUAUAUGAAAAAUGCUUAGAAUUGCAUCUAGUUUCAUAAUUUGCAACUUUCAUCUAUGUUUAAAAUGCUGAAAAUGUUGUUUGUUUAAAUUUUUCUCCUAUGACAUGUUAAAAUGUUUUAAUUCAUAACUAUUUAACCGUAACUUGGUUUGUAACAAACUUCAUAUGUCAAUGGGGUAGAAAAUGCAUAGUUUAACAUGGUGGCAUCUCUUUGCAUGUUUAACAACUAUAAAAUUGUGUUUAGGGCAGAAGAGUACCAUAACCGAAAUAUGCACAUGGGGACUUUCCGGAAUUGUUGUUCAUUGUUUCCGGACUCAUUUAAACUUGACUAGAUAGGUACUUUUAAUUUGCUUCACCCUCUUGCCAUGUUUAACAACAUUUAAUAUUGUUGGGUACAUAAACUAGAUCGAACUAAAUAACUUGAAUGUGGUGUGCUCUAGUUAAUUUGUAGGAUUUUUUGUGCUCUUUGCCAUGCCAUGCUUCAUUAAACCGGACAUGCAUCAUACUUGAUUGUGCAUCAUGCCAUAUUCACGUGUUGGUUGUUUACCAUGUUGUUUGCUUUCUUUCCGGUGUACUUCUUCUCGGUAAUCCGGUAACGUUGCGUUUGUGAGGAUCCGUUGGCUAUGUCCGCUUGUCUUCUUCAUGGACUCGUUCUUCUUCCUUGCGGGAUCUCGGGCAAGAUGACCAUACCCUCGAAAUCACUUCUAUCUUUGCUUGCUAGAUGCUCGCUCUUUUGCUAUGCCAAUGCUGCGAUACCUACCACUUGCUUAUCAUGCCUCCCAUAUUGCUAAGCCAAGCCUCUAACCCACCUUGUCCUAGCAAACCAUUGUUUGGCUAUGUUUCCGCUUCGCUCAACCCCUCUUAUAGCGUUGCUAGUUGCAGGUGCAGAUUGGAGUUCGUUCCUUGUUGGAACAUGUUUAUUGUUGGGAUAUCACAAUAUUAUCUUGCUUAUCUUAAUGCACCUAUAUACUUGGUAAAGGGUGGAAGGCUCGGCCUUAUGCCUAGUGUUUUGUUCCACUCUUGCCGCCCUAGUUUCCGACAUAUCGGUGUUAUGUUCCCGGAUUUUGCGUUCCUUACACGGUUGGGUUAUAAUGGGAACCCCUUGGUAGUUCGCCUUGAAUAAAACUCCUCCAGCAAGGCCCAACAUUGGUUUUACCAUUUGCCACCUAGCCUUUUCCUUCCCUUGGGUAGGCCUGCCCAAGGGUCAUCUUUAUUCAAACCCCUGGGCCAGUGCUCCUCUGAGUGUUGGUCCAACUUGUCAGCCGCCGGUGGCCACCAGGGGCAACUCUGGGUUGGCCUACCAGAAGUUUGGACAAUCGGGUGUGCCCUGAGAACGAGAUAUGUGCAGCUCCUAUCGGGAUUUGUCGGCACAUUUGGGUGGCUUUGCUGGUCUUGUUUUACCAUUGUCGAAAUGUCUUGUAACCGGGAUUCCGAUCCUGAUCGGGUCUUCCUGGGAGAAGGAAUAUCCUUCGUUGACCGUGAGAGCUUGUGAUGGGCUAAGUUGGGACACCCCUGCAGGGAUUUGAACUUUCGAAAGUCGUGCCCGCGGUUAUGGGCAGAUGGGAAUUUGUUAAUGUCCGGUUGUAGAAAGCCUGAAGCUUAACUUAUUUAAAUUGCAUCAACCGCGUGUGUAACCGUGAUGGUCUCUUCUCGGCGGAGGCCGAGAAGUGAACACGAUGUUGGAGUUAUGCUUGACGUAGGUUGUUCUAGGAUCACUUCUUGAUCAUAGUUUCUCGAACGUGCUUUGCCUUCUCUUCUCGCUCUCAUUUGCGUAUGUUAGCCACCAUAUAUGCUAGUCACUUGUUGUAGCUCCACCUCAUACCUUUUACCCUUCCUAUAAGCUUAAAUAGUCUUGAUCGCGAGGGUGUGAGAUUGCUGAGUCCCCGUGACUCACAGAUACUUCCAAAACCAGUUUACAGGUGCCGACGAUACCAUGCAGGUGACGCAACCAAGCUCAAGGAGGAGCUCGAUGAAGACCGUGUUCGUUAUGUUGUUUCUGUUUUUCAGUUGAUCAGUAGUGGAGCCCAGUUGGGACGAUCAGGGAUCUAUGUAGCAUUUGGGGUAGUCUUCUUUUAUUUUGGGUUCCGUAGUCAGACCUUGCGUGUAUCUGGAUGAUGUAAUGUUAUAUUCAUGUAUUGUGUGAAGUGGCGAUUGUAAGCCAACUAUGUAUCUCUUUCCCUUAUGUAUUACAUGGGUUGUGUGAAUAUUACGUCACUUGUGACAUUGCUUUCAGUGCGGUUAUGCCUCUAAGUCGUGCUUCGACACGUGGGAGAUAUAGCCGCAUCGAGGGCGUUACACGGGUCCCCGGGCAUAGCCCGUCGAACCUUUUCCCUGAUACAAAAUGAACAUAUGAGUCACAGUUGGACGCGACUGCUAAAAAGAGCGUAGUUGCAAACUCAUACCUCUUCAAGGAAGGCCCGACCGUAUCUCCGUUUGCCUUCCUCUUCGAAGGCCUGCCCGACACGGGAGCCGCUCUCUCUGGAGAUGCCCCCGAGGCAGCACGACGCGCCAAACGCCUCCCCUUCUGAGCACAGGAUGGUGCGGUGAGUGAGCAAGAAUGAGAAAACCCUCUCAGACAAUGUGUCUCUUGAUUACUUACAUGAGAAGCAGGGAGAAGACCAGGGUAAUCGGCGAUGAUGGGUACAUCCGUGCCGUCAUAGCUCGUCUGAUAGAAAACUCCAUCUUUGAGCUCCAUGAAUAUGUCUGGAUCUUCCUCAUAUCCGGGGUCGAGAUCCUGAUUGUGAUUCUCCGGCUGAGGGGUAGGGUCAUGGACACCCUCGACAGCCUUUCGCCAUUCCUGUCAUGAAUGAAUAAGAUACCGCCCUUCAAAAAUAAUUCAGGGAGAGGAGUCGAAUAGUGGAGUUAGAGCUUACCCAGCUAGGAGGAUUGUACAGGGAAAACCCGUCUCGAUUUUGGAGACGGGUGAACUCCUCCUGCUCCCCUUUAUAUAGUUCGGCCAAUAUUUUGGCUAGAGCGGUGGGAGUCUUCGGGCCCUUCCGGCCGCAGCGGGAGGCGUCAUCUUCCCCAUUGUAAAGCCACAUGGGUAGCCCUCUAUAUUGGAGUGGUUGGACCCCCGCGUUAUGGAGACCGCCAUUACCUCGACUAUUGACAAUUCGGACUGGGCGAGCAUCUUAAUCUUACCCAGCAACAGACUGAUCUCUGCGCUAUCCUCUUCCUCGAGGCUCUGAGGACGCCGGCUAUGGCGUUUCUUCAAUGGAGCACUUGAAAAUUCGGGGAGGCCCAUCCGGACUGGAUCGGGAAGAGCAACGUCAUUAAUAUAAAACCAUUCAGAGGUCCACUCUUCCGAAGCUUUCUUCGGUGUGCCGGAUAGGUAUCCGGUCUCAACAAUGCGCCAUAUUUCGGCCCCGCCCACUUCAAAUAUCGAUCCCUCGUGUUUGCGUGGCACAAGACAAAACAACCUUCUCCAUAGAUCAAAAUGGGCCUCACAACCCAGGAAUAGUUUGCAUAAAGCGACAUAACCCGCAAUGUGCAGGAUGGAGGUUGGGGUAAAAUUGUGUAGCUGGAGGCCAUAAUACUCUAGAAGCCCUCAGAGGAAUGGGUGAAUUGGAAAUCCCACGCCCCUCAGCAGAUAGGGGAUGAAGCACACUCGUUCCCCCGCAGAUGGAUUGGGGAAAUCUUCCGCCUGGGUUUUGCCGUUGAAGGAAGCCAACCCUGCUCGAACAGGGAUCAGAUCCGCAGGGGGGGAGAAAUCCCUGCGUUUACAACUUCGCUAAUUGGCUAUGGGACACAGAGCACCUCUCCCACUUGCCUUUCUCUGGGUCGUAACGGGAGGAGGAGCUGGGAAUGCUAGCCAUGUUGGAAUGGUCUUUCCUGGCAAUCUCUGAGGAUUUUCUCUGUGUGGUGCCGAAUGGAUCUAAGACCCAAUCUCUUUAAAUAUACGCUCUUUCUUGCAUGGCGGGGGUGUUAUUUGCAAAAAAUACCCUGACCGUCCGCAUUCGCCCGACACAUGGAAGCUGAAGUCAUCGAUGCACAGAAGCCGAGGGGUGCGGCAUUGAAUUGAAAACUAAAUACAUUACUUGGAAGACGUCAGAGGAGGAAGCCGCCUUGCAAUGUCGAAGACAAUCUGCGCGCCGAACACCUCGUCAUUGAAGCCUGGUUCUGGGGCUACAGAGGGAGUCCUGGACUAAGGGGUCCUCGGGCGUCCGGCCUGUUGGCCAUGGGCCGGACUGAUGGGUUGUAAAGAUACGAAGACCGAAGAUUGUACCCGUGUCCAGACAGGACUCUCCUUGGCGUGGAAGGCAAGCUUGGCGACCAAAUAUGUAGAUUCCUUUCUUUGUAACCAACCUUGUGUAACCCUAGAUCCUCCCGGUGUCUAUAUAAACUGGAGGACUUAGUCCGGAGGAUACACAUUACCAUAGCCAUACAAGCUAGACCUCUAGGGUUUAGCCAUUACGAUCUCGUGGUAGAUCAACUCUUGUAAUACUCAUAUUCAUCAAGAUCAAUCAAGCAUGACGUAGGGUAUUACCUCCAUAGAGAGGGCCCGAACCUGGGUAAAACAUUGUGUCCCCUGUCUCCUAUUACCAUUGACCUUAGACGCACAGUUUGGGACCCCCUACCCGAGAUCCGCCGGUUUUGACACCGACACCAGCCGCCUCUGAUAAUCAAACCAUAUUGAUCUUUCCUAAUUAAAUGCAUGUUCAACAUCAGUACCCUCAUCACCAUUGCUAUGGAAAGAAAGAACAUGGCGAGUGUAAUCUCCAGUGGGGUCCCUCGGUAGGAGUUCCAAGUAAUAUUUGAGAGAUGCAGAUCCAGGUAUUCGAUGUGAUUGUCGUUAUCAACAUCUUCCAUCAGGCCUAAUAUGCACUGCAAAAGAAGAGAACGUGUUAGUGCCUACAUGCAGUUAUGAACACUACUACACGCCCAUUUGGUUUGCAGGAUUUGUAAAAUGCACCAACAUUCCAUCUUCGAUCUGUCAUAAUUAACAUGGGCAUUAAUUUGAUUACAAUCUAGAAACAUGUAGCCUUCUGCACAAGAGGUUGGAUUGGAUGAAAAAUUCCCUAAGAAAACUAGUAUAGAUGAAUCCAAAGGAGAAAUGCUUCUGGACGAUUGUAACCAUAUGAAUGAAGCAACCAAUAUGGAGUGGGGGUGUAUCUCCUAAAAUCCUCCAAAAUUCCUUCAAAAAUCGUAGUACAUAGUUAUUGUAAACUUGGGAAAAGGUGCAAAAAUUGAACUCCCUUAUGGUUAACAUUUAACAGGAAAGGAACAUCACCUCGAUAUACAGCUUCUUCAGGCACGGAAAGUGAUGACCCACAAGUGUAGGGGAUCUAUCGUAGCCUUUUCGAUAAGUAAGAGUGUCGAACCCAACGAGGAGCAGAAGGGAAAUGAUAAGCGGUUUUCAGCAAGGUAUUCUCUGCAAGCACUGAAAUUAUCGGUAACAGAUAGUUUUGUGACAAGGUAAUUUGUAAUGGUAACAAAUAAUAAAAGUAAAUAAGGCGCAGCAAGAUGGCCCAAUCCUUUUUGUAGCAAAGGACAAGCCUGGACAAACUCUUAUAUAAAGGAAAGCUGUAGUGUCCUGAGACCGAUGUGCCAGGUGUCUUCCAGUUAUUCGCUGUUGUUGCCUUGUCAUUGCUUGCGUGUCAUGCAUUCCAUAUCAUGUCAUCAUGUGCAUCGCAUUUGCAUACAUGCUCGUCUCAUGCUUCCGAGCAUUUCCCCCGUAGUCCGUUUCUCAAUCCGGCGCUCCUAUGUCACCCGGUGUCCCUUUCUACCUCUUUUCGUGUGCGGGUGUUAAACGUUUUCGGAUUGGACCGAGACUUGUCAUGCGGCCUUGGUUUAGUACCGGUAGACCGCCUGUCAAGUUUCAUGGCAUUUGGACUUGGUUUGAUACUCCAACGGUUAACCGAGGGACCGAAAAGGCCUCGUGUGUGUUGCAGCCCAACACCCUUCCAAACUGGCCCAAAACCCACCUAAAUCCUUUCCAUCAUCUAGAUCGUUCGAUCACGAUCGCGUGGCCGAAAACCGCACCCCAUUUGGACUCUCCUAGCUCCCUCUACCUAUAUAUAUGUGCUCCCCUCCCGAAAUUCACGGUACAAACCCUAAAAAUCCCUCCCCUCGCGCCGCCGGACGCGUCCUCACCGCGCUAGACAAUGUCCGCCCCGCCGGACGCGUCCUCACCGCGCUAGACAAUGUCCUCCCCGCCGGACACGUCGCUCCAGCCAAUCGCCGGACGCCACGUCACCCACGCCGCUACUCUCUGCCAAUCGCGCGCCUCCACGCAUCCCAGCCAGCUCCCACCGCCGCUGCGGCCCGCGGAGCCCAUCCGGGACCCUCGCGGGCCCAGAUCCACGCCGCCGCCUCCCGCUCUCCUUGCAGUGCGGCACCUCGCCGGCUCAGCCCCACCGUCGGUGACCGGACCUCGCUGGAGAUGAGUACCCCGUCGCCUCGUGCCUCUCCUCCUCCCGCCUGUUCUCGCUCUCCCUCACGCUUCUCUUUCUCUCCCUGUCUCUCUCACAGGAGCACCAUGGCUGCCUCGAUCUCCGCGUCCAAGCCUCCGCAUGCCACCUCAUCGCCGGGAACGGCCCCCCGCGGCCAGAUCCGUGCGGAUCCGGUGCAAGAGCACCGCCCCGGCGCCUUCCCACGCCGGCAGCAGGCAGCACCGCCUCCCCUGCCUCCCGUUCGUGCCCGCGCGCAAGGAGGACGAAGAGCCACGUCCGCCCGGGCCUUCCCUGCCUAGCGGGCCUCGUGGGCCACGACUCCGGCCCAGCCGCGCCGGCUUGACCCCUCCACGUCCUGGGCCGAGCCCAUGGUGAGCCCGCAUCUAUCCUCUGCCCCGUGCGACUGUUGCUAUUCUACGCUCGGUUGUUUUUUUUACUAAGUCCUGAGAUUCCAGAUUCAUAUGCCUCUGUUCAUCAGCUGAUAACUCUGAACCCGUUGCUCCGAUUCGUGCAUGUAGCAUAUCAAAAUGUUCAUCUCAUUGCAUCAUUUUAAUUUUAGCUCAUCUUGAUGCCCGAAAUGCUGUUGGAAGAGGGCUAUGUGAUGGUAGUUUCAGAUCUGUUUCAGCAAAUGCACUUUUGUCAUUUUUGCCAUGAUUAAUGUGUGCAUGCUAUGAUCCUGAGCUCUACAUGUGUUUUGAUGUAUGUCAUGCCAUCUUUACAGGGGUGUAUGCUAUGUAUUUUUGUGAUCUUUGUGGUGACUAGCACAAGCAUGCAAAGUAGCUUACUCAAUGAUGCUGAUUUCAGGGACUUAGAAUUUCACUAAGUCCUUGUCUUGUUAUUGUUUUUAUGCCAUCUGUUCAUGUUGUUUCCUAGUGAUUCGUGCCUCUUUUGAGCAUGAUCAGUAAGGAUGUUUUGCAAAUAAUGGUGUGCUCUAUCCAUCCAUGUCUUUGUUUGCAAUUAUGGAUCACCCUAGCUUGAGUCAAUCGAGGUAUACUUUUGCUAUAAAAUGUUCCUGGCAGACUGUUAACAUGUUUAGCAAUUUUGCCGAGCUUGUUGUUGUUGAUCCGUGCAUGCUAUGAUGUUGUUCUUGCCAUGUCUAGCUUAUAUGGCAUGUCUAUUUGCUGGGUGUAUGCUUAGAUUGUCAUGUAAUGCCUCGUAGUGAGUGCAUCGAGCUCGUAAACAUGCCUACUUAUUAACUAUUUUGCCAUGCUCCAGUUUUUCAGAAAGUCUGAAUUUGUUCAUGUUUUUGCUAUGUUCACAUGCUUGCAAUUGUAUUUUCUGAUCCCUUUUGGCUCAUGGUCACUAAGGGACUUUUGUUAUAUGCUUUGAGUAGCUUCAUGAAAUUCCUUGCUUUGCCAUGAUAUGUUCUGUAGCAUGUAGUUUUCGUGCUCUAAACAUUGCUUCCUGAUGUUAAAUUCCUGACUUGCUGUUAAUUUCACUAAGUCUGUAACCUGUUAUCUUUUGCACUUUUGCCAUGCUUGUUUGAACCUGUUAAUGAGUGAAUUAGCCAUAGCUCAGUGUUCAUCUUUUGUCAAGCAUCUUGAGUGGAUCCCUGCCAUGUAUUUUGUUGCUAUGUUGGAGUGCUGUAGCAUGUUGUUCUUGAUGCAUUUAGAUGGACAUUUGUUGUUAAUCGCAGACCGAUGCCAUAUUUGUUUUGCUUGCCAUUUCCAAACCGUGCAUCCGAUUCCGGUGAUCUUUAUAUUGAUUUUGACUGAAAUCAACUCCUCUUUCCAGUGGCACUCUUGGUUUUCCAAGUUGAGGCCAGGUCCAAUCAUUCCUUUCCGAAUCAUGCAUAUGCAUCGCAUAUCGCAAUCCCGCAUCUCAUGACAUGUUUUGCAUCAUGUUGUUUUGUACAUUGCACGUGGUUGAUUGUGUCUCCCUUUGAUUGUGUUCUUGCUUUGGGUAGAUCCGGGAGACGAGUCGUGUUCGAGGACCCAUUGAGUACGUUUACGAGGAUCAAGCUUUCGUCUUCUCGGAGAACUUUGCAGGCAAGAUGACCAUACCCUCGAAAUCACUUCUAUCUUUGCUUGCUAGAUGCUCGCUCUUUUGCUAUGGCUAUGCUGCGAUACCUACACCUUGCUUAUCAUGCCUUCCAUAUUGUGAAGACAAGCCUCUAACCACCUUGUCCUAGCAAACCGUUGUUUGGCUAUGUUACCGCUUUGCUCAGCCCCUCUUAUAGCGUUGCUAGCUGCAGGUGAAGAUUGGAGAUCGUUCAUUGUUGAAACACGUUUAUUGUUGGGAUAUCACAAUAUUAUCUUGUUUAUCUUAAUGCACCUAUAUACUUGGUAAAGGGUGGAAGGCUCGACCUUAUGUCUGGUGUUUUGUUCCACUCUUGCCGCCCUAGUUUCCGUCAUAUCGGUGUUAUGUUCCCGGAUUUUGCGUUCCUUACAUGGUUGGGUUAUAAUGGGAACCCCUUGAUAGUUCGCCUUGAAUAAAACUCCUCCAGCAAGGCCCAACCUUGGUUUUACCAUUCGCCACCUAGCCUUUUCCCCUUGGGUUUAGCGGACUCAAGGGUCAUCUUUAUUUUAAACCCCCCGGGCCAGUGCUUCUCUAAGUGUUGGUCCAACCCAGAGCAUCGUGCGGGGCCGUCCCUUGGCAACUUGGGUUACAUUGGCUUCUGUAUGCUUAGCUUAUCCGGUGUGCCCUGAGAACGAGAUAUGUGCAGCUCCUAUCAGGAUUUGUCGGCACGGCGGGUGGUCUUGCUGGACUUGUUUUACCAUUAUCGAGGAUGUCUUGUAACCGGGAUGCCGAGUCUGAUCGGAUUGUCUUGGGAGAAGGAAUAUCCUUCGUUGACCGUGAGAGCUUGUGAUGGGCUAAGUUGGGACACCCCUGCAGGGAUUGAACUUUCAAAAGCCGUGCCCGCGGUUAUGGGCAGAUAGGAAUUUGUUAAUGUCCGGUUGUAAAAAACCUAAAGUUUUUCUUAAUUAAAAUGCAUCAACCGCGUGUGUCGCCGUGAUGGUCUCUUCUCGGUGGAGUCCGGGAAGUGAACACGGUGUUGGAGUUAUGCUUGACAUAGGUUGUUCUAGGAUCACUUCUUGAUCAUAGUUUCUCGAACGUGCUUUGCCUUCUCUUCUCGCUCUCAUUUGCGUAUGGUAGCCACCACAUAUGCUAGUCGCUUGCUGCAGCUCCACCUCAUACCUUUUACCCUUCCUAUAAGCUUAAAUAGUCUUGAUCACGAGGGUGUGAGAUUGCUGAGUCCCGUGACUCACAGAUACUUCCAAAACCAGUUUGCAGGUGCCGAUGAAACCGUGCAGGUAACGCAACUAAGCUCAAGGAGGAGCUCGAUGAGAUUCGCGUUCAUUAUGUUGUUCUGUUUCCAUUUGAUUAGUAGUGGAGCCCAGUUGGGGUCGAUCGGGGAUCUGUGUAGCAUUUGGGGUAGUCUUCUUUUAUUUUGGUUCCGUAGUCGGACCUUGAGUGUAUUUGGAUGAAUGUAAUGCUUUAUUCAUGUAUUGUGUGAAGUGGCGAUUGUAAGCCAACUAUGUACCUUUCCCCUUUAUUUAUUUACAUGGGUUGUUGUGAAGAUUACCUCACUUGCGACAUUGCUUUCAAUGCGGUUAUGCCUCUAACUCGUGCUUCGACAAGUGGGAGAUAUAGCCGCAUUGAGGGCGUUACAAGUUGGUAUCAGAGCCGACCCUCGCGGUUACACGGAUGGUUGCGGACAGGUGCGUGGUCAUGUUGUUCAUGACGUUUGUGACCCGUCGUGGCACACGACAUGGCACAUGUACUAGACUGGAAGCAUAGACGUAUGUGCCAAGAGGGAACGUUCCUGUGGCCUGACGGGGACGUCGGUUCCUCUGAGUGGGGGUGUAUGUGAUGGCCUGGCUUAUUAGGGAUGAUAGACUACUCAUAUCAAUAAGGAAUUCCUUCUUUUCCGGGAUCCCAUUCGGACAGAACUCCAAAGUUAAGCGUGCUCAGCUGGGAGUAGUGUCAGGAUGGGUGACCACCGGGAAGUUGCUCCCGGGUGCGCAUGAGUGAGGACAAAGUGCGCAUAAAAGACUAGUAUUGAUCUGUGGGGCCAGUCUAGAUCCCGCCAGGAGUAACGACCACCGGCGGGUGUGUCCGGGGCGUUACAAGUUGGUAAUCAGAGCCUUCCCCGACUUUAGGAGCCCCCCUGCUUGAUCGAAUCGCUGGCGUUGUUGAGUCUAGAAAAAUGUUUUGAGUCUUAUAGGAUUAUAUAUAUCGGAGAGUAGGAUUCUUUUUACUCCUCAGUCCCUUCGUCACUCUGGUGAGGCAUCCUGACGUAGAGUUUUGACUCUUCUCUUCUCAAAUUUCACUAAAAAAAAAUUUGGAUCACGCGGGUAUCUUGGAAUCGUUCCAAUCGAUUUGUGACGAGAACAUUGUUCUUGGUGCCUCCUGACAUUUAGGGGUUGUGGCAGUGUCCCGGGGAGUUGAGCUCCGAGGUGUUGUCUUCACAAUUUUAUCAUUGCAGUUCUGGAAUACCUGAGUUCGCCGACAUCGAAAAUCUCUUUUAUGCAGUUGUUGGUGAGAUAACCUCGACGCCACCCAGUAUUGGGAAGGGAGUUCGGGAGUAUUGCCAUAACUCGUAUAACGGAUGCUUUUCGAAGGUUGAGGUAAACGAUUUCCAAAAGUUUCUUGGUUAUGUGUUGAAGGAUGGAUACAGCUGGAUGUAGGAUUUUCUAGUUUUGGGUGAGAAAUUAUGCGUCCCCUGUAUCCCCAACACCUGAUUGCAUAACCAAAAAGUUUCGGGAGUUUAUAAGUGGGAAUUCAAGUAGCUCUUAGGAUAUCUUUCCGACAGAUGUAUGAUAUGAAAUCGGGGUUCGACGUCUAGUGGUCCGCCAAUCCACGGUUGGUUUUACAGUGGUCUCAUUGUGUCUUAAAGAGUCCUUGGCUAUGCUUACUCGGGGACGCUUUGUAUGUCAUGUGCAGUGCCUUGUACAUGAUGGUGUUGUACGAUCGAGCCCGUGUAGGCCCCACCAGGAAAACUUCGGACGAAAUCUCUAUCAUAUGUUUGUUCUGGCUUAUGUUGCAAGCCAAUCCUUUGUUUUUGUUUUCUGUUGUGGUAUUCGAGUUGAUUCGAAGUCAAAUGUUGAUUCCAUACCUUCCCCAAGCGGUGUUCUCAUACUCCGAUGUGAAUACCAAUCCUUCUUGAUCAUCGAGAUUGUGCUGUCAAUCCUUUUCAACCGGCGUGUUUCUCUUCAAGUGAAUCUGAUCGUUUUCAACAUCCGCUAGAUCAAGUAUCAGUUCUUCUCAACGGUGUUUGUUUCAUCCGUCUCCAAGUUGUCUUUGUUUUUCCCGCCCACCCACCCCUUUUCUUCAAGGAAUCCGAUGUCUUAAUCAAGUAUCCUUUUAUUCUUGUGAAGUCUCUCCAUACUUUUCCGUCGAUAUUCUUAUCCGGUGAUUCUCAAGUUCAUCAUUAUUCAUUCUUUUUCUUGUCCGGUGGAUUCAAUUCAAGCUUUGUUUCAAAUACCUUCUCAUGUCGGUGCUCCUCAUAUUGAUUCAUUUCUCGCUAUUCAAUUGUUUCGGAGUGCUGAAGAUAUCUCAGAAGGCUCGUCUUUUCAUUCAAGAUCCGUUCAAACCUAUCUCGAGGUUGUUAUCUCAUUCAAGCCAUUUGAUUCAACCGGUGCAAUCUUUCUCUUUAAAUCUUUUCAACGGUGUUUCUCUUGAGUGGGCCCUAACCCACAGGUCUUUUCCCAGGAUCUUACCUGACUCUUCUUAUUUUCCCAGAGCUAUCCUCAAUUUUCUUUCCAAAGUUUGACGUAAGAAUGAUUCAUCAUCAGUCAUAUGUAUUUCUCCAAGAUCUUUCAAAUUAUUUUCAUCGUUGGCUCAACCUUUUCCAUUCUUCAUUCCGGAGUGCCUCAAUAAUUCAUGGUGGUGUUUCUCGUCGUCAUUCUCAACACUUGAAGACCGAAGAAGAGUUUUACCUCCAUAUCUUAUCUGUCCUCUCAGAGAUUCGUGGUUCUAGUUCGAGGCCAUCCUCUCAUAAUUGUUUUCGAUUGUCAGAAUUAUUUUCACCCAUCCGAAGCAAUUCAAGAGUUUUUUCAAUUUGAUUCUCCGGAGCCCAUCAUCUCAGAAUUAUUCAUUCUCAGCUUUCAGCUCUCGUUAUAUAAAUCUUACCAGUGCAUCAUUCAAAUUUCUCUAAUCACCUCGGGAUCUCUUUGUUCACUUGUAUCUAAAUUCUCUCAAGUAUCCUCGUUCAUUUCAUAAUUCUUCCCGGUGUUCCUUUAUCUUUUCUUUGGCCAUUUUAAUUCUUACGGUAGUUCAUUCAAGAUUCUCUUCCUUCGUUUAUCAUAUCAAUUCAUUCGUUGUUUCAACCUACCGGUGGUUUGUUGGAGACCUUCUCAAGUUGACGCUAUAUCUAUCUUAAUCCUUUCUACGAGAAUAAGUAGUAUGCCAAAUCCGUUGCUUGUCAUCAAUUUAAAUUGAUGAAGGAUAAGCAUAAUGUAAUUAUUAUUCUUGUUUCAUCGAGUGAACAUAAUUCCCUAUUCCGGAGGCUCAUCAAACUCCUGAUUUCAAUUGUUUCAUCUUCUCUUUUCCUGGAGUUCCAACCUCUUUUAAUUAUUUCAUCAUGAAGAUCCAUUUAUAUCAUCGCUAGCCUUCACCUUGCGUUUUCAAUUUCUCAUUCCUUUCGUUUGAUCAUCCUUUUUGUUACCGGAGUUCUUCAUGGAGGCUCUACAUGAUGGUUCAUCAAGGAUUUAAUUCCUUUUCGAAGUGUUCAUCGAGAUUCUUUUCAGAGGAGCUCAUGCUUUUUUCAUCUUGCAAUCCGGAGUGCUAUUCUUUCACGCAUAUCUUUUGAGGUGGUGUUAUGUCUUUAUUGAUAAUUUCCCGUCGUGCUCCGUGAUUCACAAGUUAUCAAGAAUGAGAUAUUUUAAAUCCAUCAAUCUCGCCAUUCGAGUUAUCUUGGGUAAUAUUUUCACCUAAAGCUUUCCCUAAGGAUUGUUGCUAUUAAUGGUGAUAAUAUAUGAUCCAAGUUCUUCAUCUAUCCUCCUGGUGAAAUAUUUUUUCGUCUCCUUGUUCAUAUCAAUCCAAUUAUUUUCCCGUGAGUGGCAGAAUUUCACCUCAUAGUUUUGAGUUGUUCUCCAUAAGCCCACUGAAAGCUUACUCUUUUCGUUGUUGGUUUCUUUUCCAACAACUCUGUUCGACCCUUCUCCUGAGGAUGCCUUUUCAAACUCUUUUGUGACAGAAGUUGGCAUUUUCUUAUCCAUUCUUUUAUUUCAAUUAUCUAUCUUCUAUUUUUUUAGUUCCGGAGGCAUUGUGAUGUUGCUCUUUUUAGUCAUCAUCUCGAAUUACGAAGAUCAUGAUCUUUUCAUGCUUAUCCUAUUUAACCGGAGUGUUGUGACCUUUUUGCUCAAGUUCUUUUCGCCUUAUCAAGCCUUGCACCUCUUUUCAACCGGAGUGCUGUCUGAGAUCUUUAUCAUCCCUUGUUCCAUUCAUUCAAUAGUUCCAGAGGCAGUGUGUUGUGAUUUCAUCAAGUAUCUUCUCAUCUUAUCAAGUUCUUAUUCAAUUCCUUUUCUUUUCAAUCGGAGUGCUGCCCAAAGUUGUUCUUCCUUGUCCCUCUUUUCUAACGGAGUGCUCUCAACUUCGUUCAUCUCCAUGGUAUUCUUUUCUCGAAAUGGCUUAACCUUUUCAAGGUUCUUUGGUCUCACUCGUUUGUCAAAGAAGCAACUUAGUUUUACCUCUUCUCUUUCCCUUCCGUUUUUCCCUCCGGUGCCAUUCUAGAUCUCAGGACGAGAUCCUCUCGUAGUGGUGGAGUGUUGUAGCGUCCCGAGACCGAUGUGCCAGGUAUCUUCCAGUUAUUCGCUGUUGUUGCCUUGUCAUUGCUUGCGUGUCAUGCAUUCCAUAUCAUGUCAUCAUGUGCAUCACAUUUGCAUACAUGCUCGUCUCAUGCUUCCGAGCAUUUUCCCCGUUGUCCGUUUCUCAAUCCGGCGCUCCUAUGUCACCCGGUGUCCCUUUCUACCUCUUUUCGUGUGCGGGUGUUAAACGUUUUCGGAUUGGACCAAGACUUGUCAUGCGGCCUUGGUUUUCUACUGUAGACCGCCUGUCAAAUUUCGUGCCAUUUGGACUUCGUUUGAUACUCCAACGGUUAACCGAGGGACCGAAAAGGCCUCGUGUGUGUUGCAGCCCAACGCCCUUACAAACUGGCCCAAAACCCACCUAAACCCUUUCCAUCAUCUGGAUCGUUCGAUCACGAUCGCGUGUCCGAAAACCGCACCCCAUUUGGACUCUCCUAGCUCCCUCUACCUAUAUAUAUGUGCUCCCCUCCCGAAAUUCGCGGUACAAACUCUAAAAAUCCCUCCCCUCGCGCCGCCGGACGCGUCCUCACCGCGCCGGACAAUGUCCGCCCCGCCGGACACGUCGCUCCAGCCAAUCGCCGAACGCCACGUCACCCCCGCCGCCGCUCUCCGCCAAUCGCGCGCCUCCACGCGUCCCAGCUAGCUCCCACCGCCGCGGCGGCCCGCGGAGCCCAUCCGGGGCCCGCGCGGGCCCAGAUCCGCGCCGCCGCCUCCCGCUCUCCUCACAGUGCCGCGCCUCGCCGGCUCAGCCCCACCGACAGUGACCGGACCUCGCCGGAGAUGAGUGCCCCGCCGCCUCGUGCCUCUCCUCCUCCCGCCUGUUCUCGCUCUCCCUCACGCUUCUCUUUCUCUCCCUGUCUCUCUCACAGGAGCACCAUGGCUGCCUCGAUCUCCGCGUUCGCGCCUCCUCAGGCCACCUUAUCGCCGGGAACGGGCCCCCCGCGGCCAGAUCCGUCCGGAUCCAGUGCAAGAGCGCCGCCCCGGCGCCUCCCCACGCCGGCAGUAGGCAGCGUCGCCUCCCCUACCUCUCGUUCGUGCCCGCGCGCGAGGAGGCCGAAGCGCCACGUCCGCCUGGGCCUUCCCUGCCUAGCGGGCGUCGUGGGCCACGACUCAAGCCUAGCCGUGCCGGCCUGACCCCUCCACGUCCUGGGCCGAGCCCAUGGUGAGCCCGCAUCUAUCCUCUGCCCCAUGCAACUGUUGCUAUUCUACGCUCGGUUGUUUUUUUACUAAGUCCUGAGAUUCCAGAUUCAUAUGCCUCUGUUCAUCAGCUCAUAACUCUGCACUCGUUGCUCCGAUUCGUGCGUGUAGCAUAUCAAAAUGUUUGUCUCGACGAGUACAUCAUUUCAUCUCAUUGCAUCAUUUUCAUUUGAGCUCAUCUUGAUGCCCGAAAUGCUGUUGGAAGUGGGCUAUGUGAUGAUAGUUUCAGAUCUGUUUCAGCAAAUGCACUUUUGUCAUUUUGGCCAUGAUUAAUGUGUGCAUGCUAUGAUCCUGAGCUCUACAUGUGUUUUGAUGUAUACCAUGCCGUCUUUACAUGGGUGUAUGCCAUGUAUUUUUGUGAUCUUUGUGGUGACUAGCACAAGCAUGCAAAGUAGCUUACUCAAUGAUGCUGAUUUCAGGGACUUAUAAUUUCACUAAGUCCUUGUCCUGUUAUUGUUUUUAUGCCAUAUGUUCAUGUUGUUUCCUAGUGAUCCGUGCCUCUUUUGAGCAUGAUCAGUAAGGAUGUUUUGUAGAUAAUGGUGUGCUCUAUCCAUCCAUGUCUUUGUUUGCAAUUAUGGAGCACCCUAGCUUGAGUCAAUCGAGCUAUACUUUUGUUAUAAAGUGUUCCUGGCAGACUGUUAACAUGUUUAGCAAUUUUGCCGAGCUUGUUGUUGUUGAUCCGUGCAUGCUAUGAUGUUGUUCUUGCCAUGUCUAGCUUCUAUGGCAUGUAGAUUUGCUGGGUGUAUGCUUAGAUUGUCAUGUAAUGCCUCGUAGUGAGUGCAUCGAGCUCGUAAACAUGCCUACUUGUUAACUGUUUUGCCAUGCUCCAGUUUUUCACAAAGUCUGAAUCUGUAUAUGUUUUUGCUAUGUUCACAUGCUUGCAAUUGUAUUUUCUGAUCCCUUUUGGCUCAUGGUCACUAAGGUACUUUUGUUAUAUGCUUUGAGUAGCUUCAUGCCAUGGCUUGCUUUGCCAUGAUAUGUUCUGUAGCAUGUAGUUGUCGUGCUCUAAACAUUGCUUCCUGAUGUUCAAUUCCUGACUUGAUGUUAAUUUCACUAAGUCUGUAACAUGUUAUCUUUUGCACUUUUGCCAUGCUUGUUUGAACCUGUUAAUGAGUGAAUUAGCCAUAGCUCAAUGUUCAUCUUUUGUCAAGCAUCUUGAGUGGAUCCCUACCAUGUAUUUUGUUGCUAUGUUAGAGUGCUGUAGCAUGUUGUUCUUGAUGCAUUUAGAUGGCCAUUUGCAGUUAAUCGCAGACCGGUGCCAUAUUUGUUUUGCUUGCCAUUUCCAAACCAUGCAUCCGAUCCCGGUGAUCUUUAUAUUGAUUUCGACCGAAAUCAACUCCUAUUUCCAGUGGCACUCUUGGUUUUCCAAGUUGAGGCCAGGUUCAAUCAUUCCUUUUUGAAUCAUGCAUAUGCAUCGCAUAUAGCAAUCCCGCAUCUCAUAACAUGUUUUGCAUCAUGUUGUUUUGUGCAUUGCACGUGGUUUAUUGUGUCUCGCUUUGCUUGUGUUCUUGCUUUGGGUAGAGCCGGGAGAUGAGUCGUGUUCGAGGACCCGUUGAGUAUGUUUACGAGGAUCAAGCUUUCGUCUUCUCAGAGAACUUUGUAGGCAAGAUGACCAUACCCUCGAAAUCACUUCUAUCUUUGCUUGCUAGAUGCUUGCUCUUUUUCUAUGCCUAUGUUGCGAUACCUACCACUUGCUUAUCAUGCCUCCCAUAUUGUGAAGCCAAGCUUCUAACCACCUUAUCCUAGCAAACCGUUGUUUGGCUAUGUUACCGCUUUGCUCAGCACCUCUUAUAGCGUUGGUAGCUGUAGGUGAAGAUUGGAGAUCGUUCAUUGUUGAAACAUGUUUAUUGUUGGGAUAUCACAAUAUUAUCUUGUUUAUCUUAAUGCACCUAUAUAAUUGGUAAAGGGUGGAAGGCUCGGCCUUAUGCCUGGUGUUUUGUUCCCCUCUUGCCGCCCUAGUUUCCGUCAUAUCAGUGUUAUGUUCUCGGAUUUUGCGUUCCUUACACGGUUGGGUUAUAAUGGGAACCCCUUGACAGUUCGCCUUGAAUAAAACUCCUCCAGCAAGGCCCAACCUUGGUUUUACCAUUCGCCACCUAGCCUUUUCCCCUUGGGUUUCGCGGACUCAAGGGUCAUCUUUAUUUUAAACCCCCCGGGCCAGUGCUUCUCUAAGUGUUGGUCCAACCGAGAGCACCGUGCGGGGCCGUCCCUUAGCAACUUGGGUUACGUUGGCUUCCAUACGCUUAGCUUAUCCGGUGUGCCCUGAGAACGAGAUAUGUGCAACUCCUAUCGGGAUUUGUCGGCACAGCGGGUGGUCUUGCUGGACUUGUUUUACCAUUGUCGAGGAUGUCUUGUAACCGGGAUGCCGAGUCUGAUCAGAUUGUCUUGGGAGAAGGAAUAUCCUUGGUUGACCGUGAGAGCUUGUGAUGGGAUAAGUUGGGACACCCCUGCAGGGAUUGAACUUUUGAAAGCCGUGCCCGCGGUUAUGGGCAGAUGAGAAUUUGUUAAUGUCCGGUUGUAGAAAACCUAAAGUUUAUCUGAAUUAAAAUGCAUCAACCGCGUGUGUCGCCGUGAUGGCCUCUUCUCAGCGGAGUCCGGGAAGUGAACAUGGUGUUGGAGUUAUGCUUGACGUAGGUUUUUCUAGGAUCACUUCUUGAUCAUAGUUUCUCGAACAUGCUUUGCCUUCUCUUCUCGCUCUCAUUUCCGUAUGGUAGCCACCACAUAUGCUAGUCUCUUGCUGCAGCUCCACCUCAUACCUUUUACCCUUCCUAUAAGCUUAAAUAGUCUUGAUCGUGAGGGUGUGAGAUUUGCUGAGUCCCCGUGACUCAUAGAUACUUCCAAAACCAGUUUGCAGGUGCCGAUGAAACCGUGCAGGUGUCACAGCUGAGCUCAAGGAGGAGCUCGAUGAGAUUCGCGUUCGUUAUGUUGUUCCGUUUCCAGUUGAUCAGUAGUGGAGCCCAGUUGGGGUCGAUCAGGGAUCUGUGUAGCAUUUGGGCUAGUCUUCUUUUAUUUUGGUUCUGUAGUCGGACCUUGAGUGUAUCUGGAUGAAUGUAAUGCUUUAUUCAUGUAUUGUGUGAAGUGGCGAUUGUAAACCAACCAUGUACCUUUCCCCUUUAUUUAUUUACAUGGAUUGUUGUGAAGAUUACCUCACUUGCGACAUUGCUUUCAAUGCAGUUAUGCCUCUAAGUCAUGCUUCGACACGUGGGAGAUAUAGCCGCAUCGAGGGCGUUACAAAAGCAUUCCCGAGGACACAUGGGAAUUAUCGUCAAGCUAGUUUUCAUCACGUUCAUACAAUCCACAUUCGGUACUUUGAUAAUUUGAUAUGUGGGUGGACCGGUGCUUGGGUAUUGCCCUUCCUUGGACAAGCAUCCCACUUAUUAUUAACCCCUAUUACAAGCAUCCGCAACUACAACAGAAGUAUUAAGGUAAACCUAACCAUAGCAUGAAACAUAUGGAUCCAAAUCAGCCUCUUACGAAGCAACGCAUAAACUAGGGUUUAAGCUUCUAUCACUCUAGCAACCCAUCAUCUACUUAUUACUCCCCAAUGCCUUCCUCUAGGCCCAAACAAUGGUGAAGUGUCAUGUAGUCGACAUUCACAUGACACAACUAGAGGAAAGACAACAUACAUCUCAUCAAAAAAUCGAACGAAUACGAAAUUCACAUGACUACUUAUAGCAAGACUUCUCCCAUGUCCUCAGAAACAAACGUAAUGAUACGUCUCCAACGUAUCUAUAAUUUUUUAUUGUUCCAUGUUAUUAUAUUAUUUGUUUUGGAUGUUAAUGGGCUUUAUUUUACACUUUUAUAUUAUUUUUGGGACUGACCAACUAAUCCAAGGCCCAGUGCAAAUUGUUGUUUUUUUGCCUAUUUCAGUGUUUUGCAGAAAAAGAAUAUCAAAUGGAAUCCAAACAGAAUGAAACCCUCGGGAGAGUUAUUUUUGGAACAAACGUGAUCCAUAGGACUUGGAGUGGACAUCAAGAAACAAACGAGGAGUCCACAAGGCAGGGGGCGCACCUACCCCCUGGGCGCACCCUCCCCCUCAUGGGCCCCUCGUGGCUCAACCGACCUACUUCUUCCUCCUAUAUAUACUCAUAUACCCUGAAAACAUCCAGGAGCACCACGAAACCCUAUUUCCACUGCCGCAACCUUCUGUACCCAAGAGAUCCCAUCUUGGGGCCUUUUCCGGAGCUCCGCCGGAGGGGGCAUCGAUCAUGGAGGGCCUCUACAUCAACUCCAUGGCCUCUCCGGUGAUGUGUGAGUAGUUUACUUCACACCUUCGGGUCCAUAGUUAUUAGCUAUAUGGCUUCUUCUCUCUCUUUGGAUCUCAAUACAAAGUUCUCCUUGAUCUUCUUGGAGAUCUAUUCGAUGUAACUCUUUUUGCGGUGUGUUUGUCGAGAUACGAUGAAUUGUGGGUUUAUGACCAAGUCUAUCUAUGAACAAUAUUUGAUUCUUCUCUGAAAUCUUUUAUGUAUGACUGGUUUAUCGUUGCAAGUCUCUUCGAAUUAUCAGUUUGGUGUGGCCUACUAGAUUGAUCUUUCUUGCAAUGGGAGAAGUGCUUAGCUUUGGGUUCAAUCUUGCGUGUCCUUUCCAAGUGACAACAGGGGAAGCAAGGCACGUAUUGUAUUGUUGCCAUCGAGGAUAAAAGGAUGGGGUUUAUCAUAUUGCUUGAGUUUAUCCCUCUACAUCAUGUCAUCUUACCUAAUGUGUUACUCUGUUUUUAUGAACUUAAUACUCUAGAUGCAUGCUGGAUAGUGGUCGAUGUGUGGAGUAAGAGUAAUAGAUGCAGGCAGGAGUCGGUUUACUUGUCACGGACGUGAUGCCUAUAUACAUGAUCAUGCCUAGAUAUUCUCAUAAUUAUUUGCUUUUCUAUCAAUUGCUUGACAGUUAUUUGUUCACCCACCGUAAUAGUUAUGCUAUCUUGAGAGAAGCCACUAGUGAAACCUAUGGCCCCUGGGUCUAUCUUUUAUUAUCAUAUAAAGUUUCCAAUCUAUUUUUCUUUGCAAUCUUUACUUUCAAUCUUUAUCAUAAAAUACCAAAAAUAUUUAUCUUAUUAUUAUUACCUCUAUCAGAUCUCACUCUCAUAAGUGACCGUGAAGGGAUUGACAACCCCUUUAUCGCGUUGGUUGUGAGGUUCUUAUUUGUUUGUGUAGGUACGAGGGACUUGCGUGUGGCCUCCUACUGGAUUGAUACCUUGGUUCUCAAAAACUGAGGGAAAUACUUACACUACUUUGCUGCAUCACCCUUUGCUCUUCAAGGGAAAACCAACGCAGUGCUCAAGAGGUAGCAAGAAGGAUUUCUGGCUCCGUUGCCGGGGAGUCUACGCACAAGUCAAGAUAUACCAAGUACCCAUCACAAACUCUUAUCCGUCGCAUUACAUUAUCUGCCAUUUGCCACUCGUUUUCCUCCCCCCACGUCACCCUUGCCAUUUUAUUUGCCCUCUUUUUCCGUUCCCCUUCUCCUUUCCAGUUCUCCUCUUUUUGUUUUCCUUUUGCUUGCUUGUGUGCCGCGAUGGCCUUACCAAAAAGUUUUCAUCUUCACCUUAGAAGGUUGGAAGAAAUUGAAAACAAAGUUAGAAGUUUUAUGUCCUUGCAAUUUGAGCAUAAUAAUUUCUUCAGAAAAGAGCUUAAAGAACAAAAAAGUUUUAUAGGGUACAUGAAUAAAGAGCUCGAUGAUAUGUCUAAGGAAUUUUAUGGUUUGAAAUCUCAGUUUGCUCAUCUUGAAAACUUAAUAGCCCAAAUUUCGGAUAAGGAGGCCACCUUAUUUAAUAAGAUGGCUGCCAAACCGGAAGAACUUGAUGGUAAUAAGGAUGAAGAUAUAAAAGUUAUUGAUGUGUCCCCUAUUAAAUCUUUGUUUUGCAAUAUGAAUCUUGAUAAUGAUGGGACUGGAGAUGAGUCAACUUUAGUUAAAAGUCGUCCCAAUGAUUCGGAGUUUUUAGAUCUUGAUGCAAAAAUUAAUAAAAGUGGGAUUGGAGAGGUCAAAACUUUACAUAGCAAUGAACCCACUAUUUUGGAUUCCAAGGAAUUUAAUUAUGAUAAUUGUUAUCUAAUAGAUUGUAUUUCCUUGUUGCAAUUCGUGCUAAAUUCUCCGCAUGCCUAUAGUCAAAACAAAGCUUUUACUAAACAUAUUGUUGAUGCUUUAAUGCAAUCUUAUGAGGAAAAGCUUGAAUUGGAAGUUUCUAUCCCUAGAAAACUUCAUGAUGAGUGGGAACCUACUAUUAAAAUUAAGAUUAAAGAUCAUGAAUUCUAUGCUUUAUGUGACUUGGGUGCUAAUGUUUCCACGAUUCCUAAAACUUUGUGUGAUUUGCUAGGUUUCCGUGAAUUUGAUGAUUGUUCUUUAAACUUGCAUCUUGCGGAUUCCACCAUUAAGAAACCUAUGGGAAGAAUUGAUGAUGUUCUUAUUGUUGCAAAUAGGAAUUACAUGCCCGUGGAUUUCAUUGUUCUUGAUGUUGAUUGCAAUCCUUCAUGUUCUAUUAUUCUUGGUAGACCUUUCCUUAGAACGAUUGGUGGAAUUAUUGAUAUGAAAGAAGGGAAUAUUAGAUUCCAAUUUCUGUUAAGGAAAGGCAUGGAACACUUUCCUAGAAAGAAAAUUAAAUUACCUUAGGAAUCUAUUAUGAGAGCCACUUAUGGAUUGCAUACCAAAGAUGAUAAUACCUAGAUCUAUCCUUGCUUUUAUGCCUAGCUAGGGGCGUUAAACGAUAGCGCUUGUUGGGAGGCAACCCAAUUUUUUUCUUGAUUUUUAUACUGUUUAGUAAUAAAUAAUUCAUCUAGCCUAUGUUUAGGUGUGGUUUUAUGCUUUUAAUUAGUGUUUGUGCCAAGUAGAACCUUUGGGAAGACUUGGGGAAAAUCUUUGUGAUUCUGCUGUAAAAAACAGAAACUUUAGCGCUCACGAGAUUUGCUGCCAUUUUUUACUGGAGAGUGAUAUUUAGUUAAUUCUUUUUGCAGAUGAUUAAAAGAUAAAUUACUCGUGUACAGCAAUUUAUUUUAGAAAUUUUUGGGGUUCCGGAAGUAUUCGAAACCUACAGAUUACUACAGACUGUUCUAUUUUUGACAGAUUCUGUUUUUCGUGUGUUGUUUGCUUAUUUUGAUGAAUCUAUGGCUAGUAAUAGAGUUUAUGAACCAUAGAAAAGUUGUAAUACAGUAGAUUUAACAUCAAUAUAAAUAAAUAAUGAGUUAAUUACAGUACCUUGAAGUGGUGGUUUGUUUUCUUUUACUAACGGAGCUCACGAGAUUUUCUUUUAAGUUUUGUGUUGUGAAGUUUUCAAGUUUUGGGUAAUGAUUUGAUGGAGUAUGGAACAAGGAGUGUAAGAGCCUAAUAUUGGGGAUCCCAAGGCACCACAAGGUAAAAUUCAAGGACAACCAAAAGCCUAAGUUUGGGGAAGCCCCGGAAGGCAUCCCCUCUUUCGUCUUCGUCCAUCGGUAACUUUACUUGGAGCUAUAUUUUUAUUCACCACAUGAUAUGUGUUUUGCUUGGAGCGUCUUGUAUGAUUUGAGUCUUUGCUUUUUAGUUUACCACAAUCAUACUUGAUGUACAACCUUUUGGUAGAGACACAUAUGAAUCAGAAUUUAUUAGAAUACUCUAUGUGCUUCACUUAUAUCUUUUGAGCUAGAUAAUUUUGCUCUAGUGCUUCGCUUAUAUCUUUUAGAGCACGGUGGUGGUUUUAUUUUAUAGAAAUUAUUGAUCUCUAAUGCUUCACUUAUAGUAUUUUGAGAGUCCUUUAAAACAACAUGGUAAUUUGCUUUGGUUAUGAAUUUAGUCCUAAUAUGAUAGGCAUCCAAGAUCUGUAUAAUAAAAACUAUCAUAAAAAGUGCAUUGAAUACUAUGAGAAGUUUGAUACUUUGAUACUUGAUGAUUGUUCUGAGAUAUGGAGAUGGUGAUAUUAGAGUCAUGCUAGUUGAGUAGUUGUGAAUUUGAGAAAUACUUGUUCUAAAGUUUGUGAUUCCCGUAGUAUGCACGUAUGGUGAACUGUUAUGUGAUGAAGUCGGAGCAUGAUUUCUUUAUUGAUUGUCUUCCUUAUGAGUGGCGGUCGGGGACGAGUGAUGGUGUUUUCCUACCAAUCUAUCCCCCUAGGAGCAUGUGCAUAGUACUUUGUUUUGAUAAAUAAUAAAUUUUUGCAAUAAGUAUAUGAUUUCUUUAUGACUAAUGUUGAGUCCAUGGAUUAUACGCACUCUCACCCUUCCACCAUUGCUAGCCUCUAGUACCGCACAACUUUCGCCGGUACCAUAAACCCACCAUAUACCUUCCUCAAAACAGCCACCAUACCUACCUACUAUGGCAUUUCCAUAGCCAUUCCGAGAUAUAUAUUGCCAUGCAACUUUCCACCGUUCCGUUUACUAUGACAUGCUUCAUCAUUGUCAUAUUACUUUGCAUGAUCAUGUAGUUGACAUCGUAUUUGUGGCAAAGCCACCAUUCAUAAUUCUUUCAUACAUGUCACUCAUGAGUCAUUGCAUAUCCUGGUACACCGCCGGAGGCAUUCACAUAGAGUCAUAUUUUGUUCUAAGAAUUGAGUUGUAAUUCUUGAGUUUUAAGUAAAUAAAGUGUGAUGAUCAUCAUUAUUAGAGCAUUGUCCCAAGUGAGGAAAGGAUGAUGGAGACUAUGAUUCCCCCACAAGUCGGGAUGAGACUCCGGACGGAAAAAAGAGGCCAUAAAAAAGAGAGAAAAGAAGGCCCAAAUAAAAAAAUGAGAGAAAAAGAGAGAAGGGACAAUGUUACUAUCCUUUUUCCACACCUGUGCUUCAAAGUAGCACCAUGAUCUUCAUGAUAGAGAGUCUCAUAUGUUAUCACUUUCAUAUACUAGUGGGAAUUUUACAUUAUAUAACUUGGCUUGUAUAUUCCAAUGAUGGGCUUCUUCAAAAUUCCCUAGGUCUUCGUGAGCGAGCAAGUUGGAUGCACACCCACUUAGUUUAUUUUUGAGAUUUCAUACACUUAUAGCUCUAGUGCAUCUGUUGCAUGGCAAUCCCUACUCACUCACAUUGAUAUAUAUUGAUGGGCAUCUCCAUAGCCCAUUGAUACACCUAGUUGAUGUGAGACUAUCUUCCCCCUCUUUUGUCUUCUCCACAACCACCAUUCUAUUCCACAUAUAGUGCUAUGUCCAUGGCUCACGCUCAUGUAUUGCGUGAAGAUUGAAAAAGUUUGAGAACAUCAAAAGUAUGAAACAAUUGCUUGGCUUGUCAUUGGAAUUGUGCAUGAUUUAAAUACUUUGUGUGGUGAAGAUAGAGCAUAGCCAGACUAUAUGAUUUUGUAGGGAUAACUUUCUUUGGCCAUGCUAUUUUGAGAAGACAUAAUUGCUUAGUUAGUAUGCUUGAAGUAUUACUAUUUUUAUGUCAACAUUAAAAUUUUGUCUUGAAUCUUUCGGAUCUGAAUAUUCAUGCCACAAUAAAGAGAAUUACAUUGAGAAUUAUGUUAGGUAGCAUUCCACAUCAAAAUUACCGUUUUUAUCAUUUACCUACUCAAGGACGAGCAGGAAUUAAGCUUGGGGGUGCUUGAUACGUCUCCAACGUAUCUAUAAUUUUUGAUUGUUCCAUGCUAUUAUAUUAUCUGUUUUGGAUGUUAAUGGGCUUUAUUUUACACUUCUAUAUUAUUUUUGGGACUAACCUACUAACCCAAGGCCCAGUGCAAAUUGCUAUUUUUUGCCUAUUUCAGUGUUUCGCAGAAAAGGAAUAUCAAACGGAAUCCAAACGGAAUGAAACCUUAGGGAGAGUUAUUUUUGGAACAAACAUGAUCCAGAGGACUUGGAGUGGAUGUCAAGAAACAAACGAGGAGUCCACGAGGCAGGGGGCGCGCCUACCCCCCUGGGCACGCCCUCCCCCCUCAUGGCCCCCUCGUGGCUCAACCAACCUACUUCUUCCUCCUAUAUAUACUCAUAUACCCUGAAAACAUCCAGGCGCACCACGAAACCCUAUUUCCAUCGCUGUAACCUUCUGUACCCAAGAGAUCCCAUCUUGGGGCCUUUUUCGGAGCUCCACCGGAGGGGGCAUCGACCACGGAGGGCCUCUACAUCAACUCCAUGGCCUCUCCAGUGAUGUGUGAGUAGUUUACUUCAGACCUUCGGUUCCAUAGUUAUUAGCUAGAUGGCUUCUUCUCUCUUUGGAUCUCAAUACAAAGUUCUCCUCGAUCUUCUUUGAGAUCUAUUCGACGUAACUCUUUUUGUGGUGUGUUUGUCGAGAUCUGAUGAAUUAUGGGUUUAUGAUCAAGUCUAUCUAAGAAAAAUAUUUGAUUCUUCUCUGAAAUCUUUUAUGUAUGAUUGGUUUAUCUUUGCAAGUCUCCGCAUUAUCAGUUUGGUGUGGCCUAGUAGAUUGAUCUUUAUUGCAAUGGCAGAAUUUCUUAGCUUUGGGUUCAAUCUUGCGGUGUCCUUUCCAAGUGACAGCAGGGGCAGCAAGGCACGUAUUGUAUUGUUGCCAUAGAGGAUAAAAAAGAUGGGGUUUAUAUCAUAUUGCUUGAGUUUAUCCCUCUACAUCAUGUCAUCUUACCUAAUGCGUUACUCUGUUCUUAUGAACUUAAUACUCUAGAUGCAUGCUGGAUAGCGGUCGAUGUGUGGAGUAAUAGUAGUAGAUGCAUGCAGGAGUUGGUCUACUUGUCACGGACAUGAUGCCUAUAUACAUGAUCAUGCCUAGAUAUUCUCAUAAUUAUUCGCUUUUCUAUAAAUUGCUCGACAGUAAUUUGUUCACCCGUCGUAAUACUUAUGCUAUCUUGAGAGAAGCCACUACUGAAACCUAUGGCCCCCGGGUCUAUCUUUUAUCAUAUAAAGUUUCCAAUCUAUUUUACUUUGCAAUCUUUACUUUCAAUGCUUAUCAUAAAAAUACCGAAAGCAAUUAUCUUAUUAUUAUUAUCUCUAUCAGAUCUCACUCUCGUAAAUGACCGUGAAGGGAUUGACAACCCCUUUAUUGUGUUGGUUGCGAGGUUCUUAUUUGUUUGUGUAGUUAUGAGGGACUUGCGUGUGGCCUCCUACUAGAUUGAUACCUUGGUUCUCAAAAACUGAGGGAAAUACUUACGCUACUUUGCUGCAUCACCCUUUCCUCUUCAAGGGAAAACCAACGCAGUGCUCAAGAGGUAGCACGUAGCUACUCACAAAUCAUAUUCAUGUUCAUAAUCAAAGGGGUAUUAAUAUGCAUAAUGGAUCUGAACAUAUGAUCUUCCACCAAGUAAAAAAAUUAGCAUCAACUACAAGGAGUAAUCAACACUACUAGCAACUCACAGGUAGCAAUCUGAGGCUUUGGGACAAAGAUUGGAUACAAGAGAUGAACUAGGGUUUGAGAGGAGAUGGUGCUGGUGAAGAUGUUGAUGGAGAUUGACCCCCUCCCAAUGAGAGGAUCGAUGGUCAUGAUUUCCCCCUCCCGGAGGGAAGUUUCCCCGGCAAAACAGCUCCGCUGGAGCCCUGGAUUGGUUCCGCCAAGGUUCCGCCACGUGGCGGCGGAGUUUUGUCCCGUGAGCUAGCUUAUGAUUUUUUCCUCCACGACAGACCUCAUAUAGCAGAAGAUGGGCAUCAGAUGGCUGCCAGGGGGCCCACGAGGCAGGGGGGCGCGCCCCCACCCUCGUGGACGGUGGGUGGGCCCCCUCUGGUACUUCUUUCGCCCAAUGUUUUUUAUAUAUUCUAAAACGUGCUCCCGUGAAGUUUCAGGACUUUUGGAGAUGUUCAGAAUAGGUCUCUAAUAUUUGCUCCUUUUCCAUCCCAGAAUUCCAGCUGCCGGAAUUCCCCCUCUUCAUGUAAACCUUGUAAAAUAAGAGAGAAUAGGCAUAAGUAUUGUGACAUAAUGUGUAAUAACAGCCCAUAAUGCAAUAAAUAUUGAUAUAAAAGCAUGAUGCAAAAUGGACGUAACAAAAAGCAUCUCAGGAAACCGAAAACUUGGUCCAGGUUGGGGGCGACAGAUUCUAGUGCCAAGACCUUCACCGUGCCCAGAGUCUGGGUGAAGCUUCGCUAGAUGACAGACGAACAUACAUCUUCAAAACUAGAAAUAACGUUGAUAUCAAGAAGGAGAGGUAUAUAAGGUGACUGUUGUACCUGAAAGUUGUAGUAUUUGAUAGACGAGUAGCCCACCACUUUCAAUUUCGGCGCAAAAAUGACAUUGAUUCUUGUUGGACAUUGUUGAUCAACUACAAGUAAUCUCUCAAGUGAAGGUGUGUCCUGGAUGACCAUAUUGUGGUCCACCUUUUGUGAUCUCUUGUUGCAGCACCAGCAACACACAUAAAUAGUACGGAGAGUCCUGGAGGUGAUGUGCAAGGUACUCGACCAAUUCAUCUCCUGAAGACGAAGGAACUCGAGUGUAGUACAGACGCGGAGUAGGCGCUCCAUGUCAUCCUUUGGGAUGCGGACGGCGACGAGCUUGAGGUGCUUCAGUCGUGGUAGAAAAAGAGCGGGCGCGUCAUUAAGGGGGGAUGGCAGUUCAUGAACUUGGCGAGGCGCAGCGUGGGCGCGAAGCGGAGCACGGACGUUGGCAGCAAGCUCAUAUGCCCAUCAUUAUAACUUAGCUUAUCGAGCUGAUCUAUGGCACGGGAUCAGAACCACUCGUCAAGCUUGGCUCGCUCCUUGCCAUUGGAACGAAACUUGCCGCGAUAAGGCCUUUGAUUGGGCCAUGGUGACUACCGAGGAUCUAGCAGAACGCAUCCAAGCUUUGGCGAUAGCCAUGGCAGAGCUUGUGGGCGUGGAGGAGGUCGACAGGGGUGCGGAGCCAUAGGGUGCACCACCGCCGGGAAAUGGCGGCUGUCCUCGCCCAAUUUCUGAUUGGGAGAAGGGAUAUGAUGACUAUCAACAUAUCAUCGGGGAGGUUGUUGACGAAGUCUAGGCCUGCUGGAGUCGCUUGAGGUUGUUUCUCGACCCGCCUCCGCUUGUUGGCAGCCUCGUUCUCCACCUCAUCGGCGGGGACAGGAACCUCUGUCUCCAUAUUCACGCUGUGCUCCAGUGCUUCAAUAGCCCAGGCGUUGCCACUCCCUCCCAUGGGGCGCUUCGACGGCAUCCUCAUACACUGACGGUUUUGAGGAUUCAGAGCCACGUCGAGGAUGCGGGUGGAGAGAGAGGAAUUGUGUGUGUGGCGAGGAUGGGGGGUGCGGCCGCUCGGCGCGCCAUUAAUAUAGACCAGUGGGAGCGAGGCGGGCGGCAGUCCAAGGCUUCCCGGUGAAAACGACUGCUUAAUCUCUAGUAUGAACGAAAUCUAUGCUUAAUUACUGAAUUUUAGUUGCAAAAAAUAGAUAGUGAUAUUGAUUUUUAGCUGCAUAUUUUGAAAAAUCGCAGUGUCUCUUGGCUUAGAGCCGAAGUCUGGCUUUAAUUUGCAUACCGUAAUCUGAACCGUUUGCGUUGACGAGAUGCAUAGAUCUUGCGUUGAAUAGCUUGUACGCUUCCAGGUGAGCCUGCGCACCUGACUGCACUCGCACGCCUCCCGUUCAGUCAAGGAGCUUUCCACACGGCACCUCCUAUAGCCAUUAAAACCAAGACACAUGGCGCCACGUGAAUGGUUAACCGAACGCACACAGUUUGAAUUAUACAAACGUUUGAGAUAUUAAAGUGGCAACAAUUUGUUUUCAAAAUGCCUUCGUUGGCUGUCAUUAUUUGAGUGUGCCUUCUCUCAAAAUGGACACGAAAAAUACCACAGCAUGUCGGGUGCCCUUCCAUGAUAGCAUGCCAAGUUUCAUGAAUUUCAAAUGAGUUUUGGAUUUAUUUGAAUUUAAAAACCAGGCAUCUCAAUGUUUUGCCGACAAUCAAUGGUGCCCUGGUGUUUGAAAUUCAUUCCCAUUUCUUGCAUGGGACCUAAGCAUGCACCCAAGGACACAUAUUUGAUUUUUCAACCAAUUUAUAUGCACCGGAGCAUGCGCAUGUAGUUCAAUUUUAAAUUAUGCACAUAAAUGCAUUGAAAACUCAGUUAAUGCAUAAAAAUGUCCAAACGAACCCCGAAAAAUCACAAAAAUUCACACAACACUCUUGUUGUUCUAUGUUGACCGAGAAAAAAAAUUGGAAGCAAUAAGAGGCAAUGGAUAUCGUUUCGUCCCCAAAGGUGGGACGUUCCCUAUCGAAAACCAUCAUGCUUGUUGUGAGAAGCUCCAAUUUGUGAGAAGCAUAUACCCAAACCUGCCCCAAAUGAGACAAAAUUUGUACCAUGGCAUGUUGAUGCCGCUCCAUGAUAGCCUGCCAAGUUUCAUGAAUUUCAGACGAGUUUUGGAUUUACUAGAAUUUAAAUACCAGGCAUCUGAAUGUUUUGCCGGCAAUCAAUGGUGCCCUGGUGUUUGAAAUUCAUUCCCAUUUCUUGCAUGGGACCUAAGCAUGCACCCAAGGACCAUAUUUUAUUUUUCAACCAAUUUAUAUGCACUGGAGCAUGCACAUGUAGGUCAAACUUGAAUUAUGCACAUAAAUGCAUUGAAAACUCAGUUAAUGCAUAAAAAAUGUCCAAACGAACCCCAAAAAAUCACAAAAAUUCACACAACACUCCUGUUGUUCUAUGUUGACACGAGAAAAAAAUUGAAAGCAAUAAGAGGCAAUGGAUAUCGUUUCGUCCCCAAAGGUGGGACGUUCCCUACCGGAAACCAUCAUGCUUGUUGUAAGAAGCUCCGUUUGUGAGAAGCAUAUACCCAAACCUGCCCCAAAUGGGACAAAAUUUGUAGCACGGCAUGUUGAUGCCGCUCCAUGAUAGCAUGCCAAGUUUCAUGAAUUUCAGACAAGUUUUGGGUUUACUAGAAUUUAAAAACCAGGCAUCUCGUCGUUUUGUCGGCAAUCAACGGUGCGCUGGUGUUUGAAAUUCAUUCUCAUUUCUUGCAUGGGACCUACGCAUGCACCCAGGGACACAGAUUUGAUUUUUCAACCAAUUUAUGCACUGGAGCAUGUGCAUGUAGUUAAAAUUUGAAUUAUGCACAUAAAUGCAUUGAAAACUCAGUUAAUGCAUAAAUAUGUCCAAACGAACCCCGAAAAAUCACAAAAAUUCACACAACACUCCUGUUGUUCUAUGUUGACACGAGAAAAAAAACUUGAAAGCAAUAAGAGGCAAUGGAUAUUGUUUCGUCCCCAAAGGUGGGACGUUCCCUACCGAAAACCAUCAUGCUUGUCGUGAGAAGCUCCAGUUUGUGAGAAGCAUAUAUCCAGACCUGCCCCAAAUGGGACAAAAUUUGUACCACGGCAUGUUGAUGCCACUCCAUGAUAGCAGGCCAAGUUUCACGAAUUUUAGACGAGUUUUGGAUUUACUAGAAUUUAAAAACCAGGCAUCUCAAUGUUUUGUCGGCAAUCAACGGUCCCCCGGUGUUUGAAAUUCAUUCCCAUUUCUUGCAUGGGACCUAAGCAUGCACCCAAGGACACAUAUUUGAUUUUUCAACCAAUUUAUAUGCACUGGAGCAUGCGCAUGUAGUUCGAAUUAUGCACAUAAAUGCAUUGAAAACUCAGUUAAUGCAUAAAAAUAUCCAAACGAACCCUGAAAAAUCACAAAAAUUCACACAACACUCCUAUUGUUCUAUGUUGACACGAGAAAAAAAACUUCAAAGCAAUAAGAGGAAAUGGAUAUUGUUUCGUCCCCAAAGGUGGGACGUUCCCUAUCGAAAACCAUCAUGCUUGUUGUGAGAAGCUCCGGUUUGUGAGAAGCAGAUACCCAAACCUGCCCCAAAUGGGACAAAAUUUAUACCACGGCAUGUUGAUGCCGCUCCGUGAUAGCAUGCCAAGUUUCAUGAAUUUCAGAUGAGUUUUGGAUUCACUAGAAUUUAAAAACCAGGCAUCUGAAUGUUUUGCCGGCAAUCAAUGGUGCCCUGGUGUUUGAAAUUCAUUCCCAUUUCUUGCAUGGGACCUAAGCAGGCACCCAAGGACAUAGAUUUGAUAUUUCAGCCAAUUUAUAUGCACUGGAGCAUGCGCAUGUAGUUCAAAUUUUAAUUAUGCCCAUAAAUGCAUUGAAAACUCAUUUAAUGCAUAAAAAUGUCCAAACGAACCCCAAAAUAUCACAAAAAUUCACACAACACUCUGUUGUUCUAUGUUGACACGAGAAAAAAAUUGGAAGCAAUAAGAGGCAAUGGAUAUCAUUUCGUCCCCAAAGGUGGGACGUUCCCUACCGAAAACCAUCAUCCUUGUUGUGAGAAGCUCCCGUUUGUGAGAAGCAUAUACCCUAACAUGCCCCAAAUGGGACAAAAUUUGUAGCACGGCAUGCUGAUGCCACUCCAUGAUAGCAUGCCAAGUUUCAUGAAUUUCAGACGAGUUUUGGAUUUACUAGAAUUUAAAAACCAAGCAUCUCAAUGUUUUGUCAGCAAUCAACGGUGCCCGGGUGUUUGAAAUUCAUUCCCAUUUCUUGCAUGGGACCUAAGCAUGCACCCAAGGACACAUAUUUGAUUUUUCAACCAAUUUAUAUGCACUGGAGCAUGCGCAUGUAGUUCAAAUUUGAAUUAUGCACAUAAAUGCAUUCAAAACUCUCUUAAUGCAUAAAAAUAUCCAAAUGAACCCCGAAAAACCACAAAAAUUCACACAACACUCCUGUUGUUCUAUGUUGACACGAGAAAAAAAUUUGAAAGCAAUAAGAGGCAACGGAUAUCGUUUCGUCCCCAAAGGUAGGACGUUCCCUACCAAAAACCAUCAUGCUUGUUGUGAGAAGCUCCUGUUUGUGAGAAGCUUAUACCUAAACCUACCCCAAAUGGGACCAAAAUUUUACCACGGCAUGUUGAUGCCGCUCCAUGAUAGCAUGCCAAGUUUCAUGAAUUUCAGACAAGUUUUGUAUUUACUAGAAUUUAAAAACUAGGCAUCUCAAUGUUUUGCCGGCUAAACAGUGCCAUGGUGUUUGAAAUUCAUUCCCAUUUCUUGGAUGGGACCUAAGCAUGCACCCAAGGAGAAAGAUUUGAUUUUUCAAAGAAUUUAUAUGCACUGGAGCAUGUGCAUGUAGUUCAAAUUUUAAUUAUGCACAUAAAUGCAUUGAAAACUCACUUAAUGCAUAAAAAUGUCCAAACAAACCCUGAAUAAUUCCAAUUCUUUUAUGAUCACUGCAGAUAAAAGGUCUAGCAAUUCAAACACCGUCCAUGGCCGUUGUGACCCCAUUAUGUAAUUCAAAUCAAGACCAAAAAUCAAGUAGAUCCCACAUAGUUUAUUACAACCAACCGUGUGAGAUGCAGCACAAAAUAUCUUCGGACCGUGUUUGAAUAAGGGACCAUGUCUGAUGACACUUUGCGCGCCAGUUUUUUGUCUGAAGCGAUUCCAAAUUUUUGGCUUCCGCGGAAAUAUCUACCUACUCGCCCCCUCCCCCUUACCAAAAGCCACAUUUCUCCUCUUUCCGCCUUCCUUUCCAAGUUGAAACCUUCACUCCUUGCUUGCAGCGCCACCACCUCCUCGCCGGCGACCGUCCUUCACGUUGCUCGGCCUCGCCUAUCCAGGCAGGUAAUCCACACCAGACCCCCAUCCUCCUCCUCCUUCCACAUCCCACAUGCCCCGACCGCCGGUGCGAGCGCGACACCUUCCACCCAAAUCACCGACCCCUCCACCAAAUAAGCGCCGGCCUAAGCCAUGGUGCAUGCAUUAUAGCCAGGACCUCAAGGAGCAUUUGGCAACGGAGAAGAAAAUCGCGGCCGCACGCGCGGAUGAGAUCGCGAUGGCUGCCAUUCGUGCCGACCCCCAGAUCUUGGAGGAGCACCUCGCUGUCGAGGCCACCGUUAACGCCUCGCGCGCCGACACCGUGAUGCGGUUGGCUGCUUUAAACGACAGUUCAUAGCGUUUUCUCGAGGCCACCGUCGGUGCCUUCGACGAAGACUACGAGGUGUUUUCUCAGCGUGCAUGUGCUUACCUCAUCUCGAGAGCCAGCGGGUUGGUACCCGGAGCAGCUCAGGCAACUCACCACUACAAUGAGGGCACCCAUGAUGCGGAGGCCUCACCCUCUUCCAUGUCCAAGGAGCCAAUCGUCAUUGAUAUCUCCGACAAUGAGGAGUAGCUUGUCUUAUUAGCUCACUACAAGGACCCAUGUUCAGUUUGCUAGCUACUGCAUUUCCUUAACAAAUUCUAGUGAAUUGUGCUAUCUACUUUUACCAUGCAAUCUUCUGCUAUAGUGUAUAUGUUCUAUAUGUCGUGCAAUGUGGUGUUCAAUUAACUACUUGGUUCAAUUCUGCAAAUGUGAUGUUCAAUUCUUCUGGGUGCAAUAUUUCCAAGUUGUUAAGCAUGCUUGGUUUGGUUAACUGUUUGAUCUUCUAUUAGGAGUAUGCUAUAUUGUUCAAUUGGUGUUUAGUUAACUGCUUGGUUCAUUUGUUGUGGCUUGGUUCACUUGCCGUGGUGUUUACUUAACUGCUUGGUUCAAUUUUGCAAUGCGAUGUUCAAUUGUUGUGGAUGCAUUCUAUUAUUGUAUACCAUGUGAGGAAUAAAUCGAAUUUGGCUGUACUAAAUACAUGAGAAACAAAUACAAUUUCUAUAUUUCCAAGUUGUUAAGCAUGCUUGGUUUGGUUAACUGUCUGAUCUUCUAUUAGGAGUAUGUUAUAUUGUGCAAUGUGGUGCUCAGUUAACAUUUGGUUCAUUUGUUAUGGUGUUUAGUUAACUGCUUGGUUCAAUUCUGCAAUGCAAUGUUCAAUUGCUGUCGCUGCAUUCUGUUAUUGUAUACCAUGUGAGGAAUAAAUCGAAUUUGGCUGCACUUAAUACAUGAGAAACAUAUACAAGUGCUAUAUUUCCUAGUUCUUAAUCAUGCUUGGUUUGGAUAAAUGGGUUUUCCAUGUGGCUUGAAUUAAUCUGAUGAAUCUGCAAUGUGCUUAUUUAUCAUCAACAUAUUUUACUGAUAGCACGCAAACCCUUACUUAACCUAAUGACUAACUACCUUAUAUGUGUUGCAGGGAAACAAUGGGAAGCACUGAGGUUUACAAGAUGGUACUAACUAUUACACCUUGCCUUUUUGUAUUCCUUUGCCCCAUUUCCAACAUAGAGAAGAUAUUUAUGCACAUUCUUGUUUUCAGGCUUCACUGAUGAUUACCUCUCAAACCACCUCUGUGGUCAGGAGGCGAGGAAAGUUUUCAUACAACACCCAUGGUUCAAUAUUGAAGUGUUCCUGAAGAGGUUGAACGAUGGAUGGUCAAUCAUCCACAUGCACUGGCCUAAAGUUGCAAAGACGUUCAACAUGAAGGAAGGCUCAAUAUUCGCCUUCCGCUUCAGCAGUUUUCCAGAUGAGAUGCAUCUCUCUAUGUACCGUCUAUGAUGCUAACUCCGAAAGGUUCUAGAUGUUGCAUGUGAAACUUGUUGUUGGUGCAGUUGUGUAAUGGGGUAGCUGAGUGCUGAAUCUAUAUCAUGUUGUACUCUGAUGUAUUUCAAUUAUGAAAUCCUGCUUCCUUAAUAUGGAAAUGGAAUAUAUUAUGCGCUUAAUAUGAAUGUCAAUUAGAUUAGUAAAUGGAUUAUUAAUAAUAGGGCAAUUAGCCCGCUAAUUGGCCAAUUAGCUUAAAAAUUGGGUUUUCCUAUUGCAAACGGUUAAUGAGAAACCACCGUGGGCGAUGACCUCAGGCAACGCACACAGUUUCUAGGAAUAAACCGUGUUGGAUCAAUGAACAAUCACACAUGACAUUUUCUUCAAAAUUGUUUGCGUUACGCCACCUUGUGCAAACGUUUUCCUUGUAGUGACUGUCUGGGAUGUAUAUACGAAUGGAAACGUUUAGUGGUGACUGACUGUGUGGGAUGUACUUACGACCGGAAAUGGUUUCGCAUGUAUAAUUGUAUUUUUUAUGAGCACUACUGUACGUAUUUCUGUAUUUGAGUGCUCGCCGGCCGCACACGAUCUCAUUUUGCCGAGCAUGUGUGCCAGGAGGGCAUAUCCCCAAUGUUUCCUGGGUCAUGUGGGGAGGACCCCCCUAUCGCCCACACUCACUUGGCGAUGGUUCUGAAUGCCGUCACGGAAAGGGAUUAAAAACCGUUUGUUUAGGACCGACGCGCGCUAGUGUACAUCUUGACAACCCUUCUUCCCUUUCAGCAGAGCUUCCAGGAAAUCCCCCCCCCCCUUUGAUCAUCCCAAUAUCACCCAUUCCAUUCUCUUGCAUUAGAUUUUGCUACUGUAAUUGUUUUCUCCUAUUCUGAUGCAUAGCCUGCUUUUGUACCUAGUGGUGUACCUUACCUGCUUAUCCUAAACUGCUUAGUAUAGGUUGGUUAGUGAUCCAUCAGUGACCCCCACCUUCUCCCUGUUGCCCCUGGUUCAUCAUCGAUGACUCGAUCAACGUGAUUGACGACCAAAGCCCGACACCUCACAUCACAUCACGCCCCUUUUGUUGCUCAACUCUGCAGAGCUACUAUCGAGUGCCUAGGGUGAUACCUCAUAACGCACUCCUGGUGAUGACUCUAUAGUGUAGCUAUUCAUUCGUGGUCAUCAAGGGUGAUUCCUCCUUUACCACUCCUGAUACGACUCUGUCGUGCGACCCCUCAAGUGUGAACCUCGAGGGUGGUUCCUCUUAUGUUCACCUUGACGAUUACAUCGAGUGGAAUCCAUCGAGGGUGAUUCCUUGGGUUUUCCCCUUGAUGUUUGGACACAUGGUUACCUUGACUUUACUUGAGACCUUUGUGAAAGUCGGGCGGGCCCGGAGAGCACCCACAAGAUAAUUAUGUGGCACGACCGGGCAUUCUGGGCCCUUGCCGUAAGUCCAUGGGACGGGGCGACGGGGUCACAUCGAUCGUGAGUCUCUGUUCAUCUCCGCAAGCUCACGAGGGUGGGGGGCGACCCCCCUAGGGCGCGCCCCCUACCUCAUGGGCCCCCUAGUGGCUCUCCGACGCCCAUCAUCUCCUAUAUGAAGUCUUUCGAUGAGAAAAAAAUAAGAAGGAACUUUUCGGGACGAGACUCCGCCGCCACGAGGUGGAACCUUGGCGGAUCCAAUCUAGAGCUCCGGCAGAGCUGUUCUGCCGGGGAAACUUCCCUCCGGGAGGCGGAAAUCAUCACCAUCGUCAUCACCAACGCUCCUCUCAUCGGGAGAGGGCAAUCUCCAUCAACAUCUUCACCAGCACCAUCUCAUCUCUAGACCCUAGUUCAUCUCUUGUAUCCAAUUCUUGUCUCAAAGUCCGGGAUUGGUGCUAGUAGGUUGCUAGUAGUGUUGAUUACUCCUUGUAGUUGAUGCUAGUUGGUUUAUUUGGUGGAAGAUCAUAUGUUCAGAUCCUAUAUGCAUAUUAUUACCCCUCUGAUUAUGAACAUGGAUAUGCUUUGUGAGUAAUUACGUUUGUUCCCGAGGACAAGGGAGAAGUCUUGCUAUUAGUAGUCAUGUGAAUUUGGUAUUCGUUUGAUAUUUUGAUAAGAUGUAUGUUGUCUAGCCUCUAGUGGUGUUAUGUGAACGUCGACUACAUAACACUUCACCAUUAUUUGGGCCUAGAGGAAGGCAUUGGGAAGUAAUAAGUAGAUGGUGGGUUUCUAGAGUGACAGAAGCUUAAACCCUAGUUUAUGCGUUGCUUCGUAAGGGGCUGAUUUGGAUCCAUAUGUUUCAUGCUAUGGUUAGGUUUACCUUAAUACUUUUGUUGUAGUUGCGGAUGCUUGCAAUAGAAGUUAAUCAUAAGUGGGAUGCUUGUUCAAGUAAGAACAACACCCAAGCACCGGUCCACCCACAUAUCAAAUUAUCAAAGUAUUGAAUGCGAAUCAUGUGAACAUGAUGAAAACUAGCUUGACGAUAUUCCCAUGUGUCCUCGGGAGCACUUUUCCUAUUAUAAGAGUUUGUUCCGGCUUGUCCUUUGCUACAAAAGGAUUGGUCCACCUUGCUGCACUUUAUUUACUUUUGUUACUUGUUGCUCGUUACAAUCUAUCUUAUCACAAAACUAUCUGUUACCACUUAUUUCAGUACUUGCAGAGAAUACCUUGCUGAAAACCGCUUAUCAUUUCCUUCUGCUCCUCGUUGGGUUCGACACUCUUACUUAUCGAAAGGACUAUGAUAGAUCCCCUAUACUUGUGGGUCAUCAAGACUCUUUUCUGGCGCCGUUGCCGGGGAGUGUAGAGCCUUUGGUAGGUGGAAUUUGGUAAGGAAAAAUUUAUAUAGUGUGCUGAAAUUUACUGUCACUUGCUACUAUGGAAAGUAAUUCUCUGAGGGGCUUGUUCGGGGUAUCUUCACCCCGUCCAGUAGAGCAAAGAGUUGCUCCUCAACCUACUGAACCUAUUGAAAAUGAAACUCCUUUUGAAUUUCCUUCGAGUAUGAUGGAAAAACUGCUAGCUAACCCUUUUACAAGAGAUGGAACAAAGCAUCUUGAUGAGCACUUAAUAUAUGUGGAUGAAGUUUGUGGAUUAUUGAAGCUUGCAGGUAUACCCGAUGAUGUUGCUAAGAAGAAGGUCUUCCCUUUAUCUUUGAAGGGAGACGCAUUGAUAUGGUAUAGGCUAUGUGAUGAUAUGAGAUCAUGGGACUAUAAAAGUUUGAAGUUGGAAUUUCAUCAAAAGUAUUACCCUAUGCAUCUUGUUCAUCGUGAUCGCAAUUAUAUAUAUAAUUUCCGGCCUCGCGAAGGAGAAAGCAUCGCUCAAGCUUGGGGAGGCUUAAAUCAAUGUUAUAUUCAUGCCCCAAUCAUGAGCUCUCAAGAGAAAUGAUCGUUCAAAAUUUUUAUGCUCGGCUUUCUGAAAACAAUCGCACCAUGCUCGAUACUUCUUGUGCUGGCUCUUUUAUGAUGAAGACUAUUGAAUUCAGAUGGAAUUUAUUAGAUAGAAUUAAACGCAACUCUGAAGAUUGGGACCUCGACGAAGGUAAGGAGUCAGGUAUGACACCUAAGUUUGAUUGUGUUAAAUCUUUUCUGGAUACCAAUAUUUUCCGUAAGUUUAGCACUAAAUAUGGACUUGACUCUGAGAUAGUAGCUUCUUUCUGUGAAUCUUUUGCUACUUAUGUUGAUCUCCCUAAGGAGAAGUGGUUUAAAUAUCAUCCUCCCAUAGAAGUAAAAGUAGCUGCACCUAUUAAAGUUGAAGAAAAGACGGUCACUUAUAAUGAUCCUAUUGUUCCUACUUCUUAUAUUGAGAAACCACAUUUCCCUGUUAGAAUAAAGGAUCAUUCUAAAGCUUCAACUGUUGUUCGUAAAAGCAAUAUUAGAACUUAUACACCUCCUGAGCAAGUUAAAGUAGAACCUAAUAUUGCUAUUGUUAAAGAUCUCUUGUCUGAUAAUAUUGAUGGGCAUGUUAUUCAGUUCGAAGGUGAAACUGCUAGAAUUGCUAAACCUUGUGCUAAAGAUAAACAUAGACCUGUGGUAGGCGUGCCUGUUAUUUCUGUUAAAAUAGGAGAUCAUUGUUAUCAUGGCUUAUGUGAUAUGGGUGCGAGUGCUAGUGUUAUACCGCAUACUUUAUACGAAGAAAUUAAGAAUGAAAUUGCACCUGAUGAGUUAGAAGGUAUUGAUGUCACAAUUAAACUUGCCAAUAGAGAUACUAUUUCACCAAUUGGAAUUGUUAGAUAUGAUGAAGUCUUGUGUGUGAAAACUAAAUAUCCUCCUGAUUUUCUUGUUCUUGGUUCCCCACAAGAUAGCUUUUGUCCCAUUAUAUUUGGUAGACCCUUCUUAAAUACUGUCAAUGCUACCAUAGAGUGCACAAAGAAUGUUGUUACUAUUGGCUUGGAUGAUAUGGUUCAUGAGUUUAAUUUCUCUAAAUUUAGUAAACAACAUCCUAAGGAAGAAUUACCUAGUAAGGAUGAAUUUAUUGGUCUUGCUUCUAUUGCCGUACCUCCUAGUGAUCCUUUAGAACACUAUCUGCUAGACCAUGAAAAUGAUAUGUUCAUGAAUGAAAGAAGGGAAAUAGAUGAAGUAUUCUUUAAACAGGAACCUAUUCUGCAACACAAUUUGCCUGUUGAAAUUUAGGGGAUCCACCUCCACCCAAGGGUGAUCCCGUGUUUGAGCUUAAACCCUUGCCUGAUAAUCUUAAAUAUGCUUAUCUUGAUGAAAAGAAGAUAUAUCAUGUUAUUAUUAGUGCUAAUCUUUCAGAGCAUGAAGAAGAAAGAUUAUUGAAAACUCUGAAGAAGCAUUGUGCUGCUAUUGGAUAUACUCUUGAUGAUCCUAAGGGCAUUAGUCCCACUCUAUGUCAACAUAAAAUAAAUUUGGAAGCAGAAGCCAAACCAGUUCGUGAUCCUCAACGACGUCUGAAUCCUAAAAUGAAAGAAGUGGUAAGAAAAGAAAUACUAAAGCUUCUGGAGGCAGGUAUAAUCUAUCCCGUUGCUGAUAGUGAAUGUGUAAGUCCUGUCCAUUGUGUCCCUAAGAAGGGAGGUAUUACUGUUGUUCCUAAUGAUAAAGAUGAAUUGAUUCCACAAAGAAUUAUCAUAGGUUAUAGGAUGGUAACUGAUUUCCGCAAAUUAAAUAAAGCUACUAAAAAGAUCAUUACCCCUUACCUUUUAUUGAUCAAAUGCUAGAAAGAUUAUGCAAACAUACACACUAUUUCUUUCUAGAUGGUUAUUCUGGUUUCUCUCAAAUACCUGUGUCAGCUAGAGAUCAAUCAAAGACUACUUUUACAUGCCCUUUUGGUACUUUUGCUUAUAGACGUAUGCAUUUUGGUUUAUGUAAUGCACCUGCUACCUUUCAAAGAUGCAUGAUGGCUAUAUUCUCUGACUUUUGUGAAAAGAUUUGUGAGGUUUUCAUGGACGACUUUUUCGUCUAUGGUUCCUCUUUUGAUGAUUGCUUGAGCAAUCUUGAUCGAGUUUUGCAGAGAUGUGAAGAAACUAAUCUUGUCUUGAAUUGGGAAAAGUGCCACUUUAUGGUUAAUGAAGGUAUUGUCUUGGGGCACAAAGUUUUUGAAAGAGGUAUUGAAGUUGAUAAAGCCAAGGUUGAUGCUAUUGAAAAGAUGCCAUGUCCCAAGGACAUCAAAGGUAUGAGAAGUUUCCUUGGUCACGCCGAAUUUUACAGGAGGUUCAUUAAGGACUUCUCAAAAAUUUCUCGGCCUCUAACUAAUUUAUUGCAAAAAGAUAUACCAUUUGUCUUUGAUGAUGAUUGUGUAGAAGCAUUUGAAGUACUUAAGAAAGCAUUAGUAUAUGCACCUGUUGUUCAGCCACCUGAUUGGAAUUUACCCUUUGAAAUUAUGUGUGAUGCUAGUGAUUAUGCUGUAGGUGAUGUUCUAGGGCAAAGAGUUGAUAAGAAAUUAAAUGUUAUUCAUUAUGCUAGUAAGACUCUAGACAAUGCUCAAAGAAAUUAUGCUACUACUGAAAAAGAGCUUUUAGCAGUUGUAUUUGCUUGUGAUAAGUUCAGAUCUUAUAUUGUUGAUUCUAAAGUAACUAUUCAAACUGAUCAUGCUGCUAUUAAAUACCUUACAGAAAAUAAAGAUGCUAAACCUAGACUUAUUAGAUGGGUUCUCUUGCUACAAGAAUUUGAUUUGCAUAUUGUUGAUAGAAAGGGAGCUGAGAACCCCGUUGCAGACAACUUGUCUAGGUUUGAAAAUAUUCUUGAUGACCCACUACCUAUUAAUGAUAGCUUUCCCGAUGAACAAUUAAAUGUUAUAAGUACUUCUCGUAGUACUCCAUGGUAUGCUGAUUAUGCUAAUUAUAUUGUUGCUAAAUUUAUACCACCUAGCUUCACAUACCAACAAAAGAAAAAGUUAUUCUAUGACUUGAGACAUUACUUUUGGGAUGACCCACAUCUUUAUAAAGAAGGAGUAGAUGGUGUUAUUAGACGUUGUGUACCUGAGCAUGAACAGGAAUAGAUCCUACGCAAGUGUCAUUCCGAGGCUUAUGGAGGACACCACGCUGGAGAUAGAACUACACAUAAGGUAUUGCAAUCUGGUUUUUAUUGGCCUACUCUCUUCAAGGAUGCCCGUAAGUUUGUCUUGUCUUGUAAUGAAUGUCAAAGAAUUGGUAAUAUUAGUAGACGUCAAGAACUUCCUAUGAAUUAUUCUCUUGUUAUUGAACCGUUUGAUGUUUGGGGCUUUGAUUAUAUGGGACCUUUUCCUGCCUCUAAUGGAUACACACAUAUUCUAGUUGUUGUUGAUUACGUUACUAAGUGGGUAGAAGCUGUUCCAACUAGUAGUGCUGAUCAUAACACUUCUAUUAAAAUGCUUAAAGAAGUUAUUUUUCCGAGGUUUGGAGUCCCUAGAUAUUUAAUGACUGAUGGUGGUUCACACUUUAUUCAUGGUGCUUUACGUAAAAUGCUUGCUAAAUAUGAUGUUAAUCAUAGAAUUGCAUAUCCUUAUCACCCUCAGUCUAGUGGUCAAGUAGAGUUGAGCAAUAGAGAGCUCAAAUUAAUUUUGCAAAAGACUGUUAAUAUGUCUAGAAAGAAUUGGUCUAAGAAACUUGAUGAUGCAUUAUGGGCUUAUAGAACUGCAUACAAAAAUCCUAUGGGUAUGUCUCCGUAUAAAAUGGUUUAUGGAAAAGCAUGUCACUUACCUCUCGAACUAGAACAUAAGGCAUAUUGGGCUAUUAAAGAGCUCAACUAUGACUUUAAACUUGCCGGUGAGAAGAGGUUAUUUGAUAUUAGCUCACUUGAUGAAUGGAGAACCCAAGCAUAUGAAAAUGCCAUGUUGUUUAAAGAAAAAGUUAAAAGAUGCCAUGACAAAAGGAUACAAAAGCGUGAGUUUAAUGUAGGUGAUUAUGUAUUUCUAUACAACUCUCGUUUAAGAUUUUUUGCAGGAAAACUUCUCUCUAAAUGGGAAGGCCCCUAUGUUAUCGAAGAGGUCUAUCGUUCCGGUGCCAUAAAGAUCAACAACUUUGAAGGCACAAAUCUGAAGGUGGUAAACGGUCAAAGAAUUAAACAUUAUAUCUUAGGUAAUCUCAUAAAUGUUGAAACCAAUAUUAUUGAAACCGUAACCCCGGAGGAAUACAUAAGGGACACUUUUCGGAACAUUUCAGACUCCGAAAAGGAAUAGGUAUGUGGUACGGUAAGUAAACCGACUCCAAAACAAUUUUUAAGGCAAUAUUUCUCCGUUUUGGAAUAUUUAGAAAAAUAGAAAAAUAAGUAGCAGUCCGGGAAGGACACGAGGGCCCCACGAGGGUGGUGGGCGCGCCCUAGCCCCCUGGGCAUGCCCCCCUACCUCGUGAGCACCUCGUGUGCCUUCCGGACUCUGUUUUCUUGCACGUUACAUAUUUUGGUCGGUAAAAAUUCAUUAUAUAACCUCCCGAAGGUUUUGACUCCCGUAUCACGCAAACCUCCUCUGUUCUUGUUUCGAGCUAUUUUCUGUUAGGGUUUUCCAGGCUAGGCAUCAUGUCAUCUCCCUCCUUCAACAAUGGUGACAAUGAUGCUUGGCUAAUGAAGAUAGAUCUGAAGAGGGAAGAACCCACAAGGGUCAACAAGGAUGAAAGGCUCAAGAAGGCCACGGAGGAUCAAGCUCCAGCAGCAAAAGACACCCUCCAACUUGAUCAUAACCUUCUUACCCCAACUGAUAUCGAAGCUUUCAAGAUGAUUGAGUUAGCUCGUAUACAAAACAAGUAUCUCGCACAAGAAAAUAUUUUGUUGAAGGAGCAUAUUGUUGCACUCAAGGGCAUUAUUCGCAAGCUGGAGGACCUCUUAUGCUCGAUGUGCGAUUAUCCGUCACCUCCACCUUCUUCACCAACUAAGGAGAUAUAAUCACAUGGGUAUGGGCACUCCCCUUGGCAACUGCCAAGCUUGGGGGAGGUGCCCCGGUAUCGUAUCACAAUCACAACUCCUAUCUUUACCAUUUUUCUUAGUUCGAUCCUAUUAGUAGUAUCUUGAUCUAGUAGAAUAAAGUUUAUGGCAUGAUCUAGUUUUGAGUUUUGCUUUAUUACCCCUCUUUGUAAUCGAGUCCGUGAGCUAUAUAUAAUAAAGAUUAGUGUUGAGUCAAGGGCUUGAUUAUUUUGCCAUGAUCUUGGGUGAAUAAAAGAAAAGAGAAAAAGAAUAAAAAGAAACAAAGAGUUCAUAUUGAUCUUAUUGAGAGUAAUGACUUCACAUAGAAAGAGUAUGAUGAUUAAAAGUUGUUGGGAGUUGGCAGACAUAGCUUUGGUCAUUGUUGCAAUUAAUAGGAAGUAAUAAGGAAAGAGAGGUUUUCACAUAUAGAUAUAUUAUCAUUGACAUCUUUUAUGAUUGGGAGCACUCAUUAAAAUAUGACAUGCUAAAGAGUUGAUGUUGGACAAGGAAGACAACAUAAUGAGUUAUGUCUUUCUUAUAUCUGAGAUAAAGUAUGUUGUCAUGGAUCCUCUAACUUGUUGAGCUUUCCUUUCCCCCUCAUGCUAGCCAAAUUCUCAGCACCAAGUAGAAAUACUACUUGUGCUUCCAAAUACCCUUAAACCAGUUUUGCCAUGAGAGUCCACCAUAUCUACCUAUGGAUUGAGUAAGAUCCUUCAAGUAAGUUGUCAUCGGUGCAAAGCAAUAAAAAUUGCUCUAAAUAUGUAUGAUUGAUUGGUGUGGGAGAAAUAAGCUUUAUACGAUCUUGUGAUGUGGAAGUAAUAAAAGCGACGGACUGCAUAAUAAAGGUUCAUAUCACAAGGAGCAAUAUAAAGUGACGUUCUUUCGCAUUGAGAUUGUAUGCAUCCAACCAUAAAAGCGCAUGGCAACCUCUGCUUCCCUCUGCGAAGGGUCUAUCCUUUAUUAUUAUUAUCUUCUAACUUAUGCAAGAGUCAUGGUGAUCUUCACCUUUUCUUUUUCAUUUUAUCCUUUGGCAAGCUCAGCAUGUUGGAAAGAACAUGAUAUAUAUACAUAUAUAUAUAUAUAUAUAUAUAAAAUUGGAUGUAGGGGAGCAUGAACAAUUAUUGUUGACAUUACCCUUGAGGUAAAAGGUCGUGGGGCAAAACUAUAAGCCCCUAUCUUUCUCUGUGUCCGAUUAAAACUCUGUAACCACAAGUAUUGCGUGAGUGUUAGAAAUUAUGGAGGACUAAAGGACUAAAUGAUAGUUGAGUAUGUGGACUUGCUUUUUAGCUCUGAUAUAGACUCUUUCCGAUGUUAUGAUAAAUUGCAAUUGCUUCAAUGACUGAGAUUAUAGUUUGUCGGAGCCCAAUAAGGUUUAUGAUUUAUACUUUUGCAUUGUGAAUAGAUCAUCACUUGGACAUAAGUAAUCAUAUGACAAAAGCUAUAUAUGUUGCUGUUAUGAGAAUAAUCAUGAUGCCUUCAUGUCCGUAUUUUUAUUUUCAUCGACGCCUCUACCUCUAAACAUGAGGACAUAUUUAUUGUUAUCGGCUUUUUGCUUGAGGACAAGUGAGGUCUAAGCUUGGGGGAGUUGAUACGUCCAUUUUGCAUCAUGCUUUUAUAUUGAUAUUUAUUGCAUUAUGGGCUGUUAUUUCACUUUAUUUCACAAUACUUAUGGCUAUUCUCUCUUAUUUUACAAGGUUUACAUAAGGAGGGAGAAUGCCGGCAGCUGGAAUUCUGGGCUGGAAAAGGAGCAAAUAUUAGAGACCUAUUCUGCGCAACUCCAAAAGUCCUGAAACUCCACGGAACAUCUUAAAAUAAAUAAAGAAAAAUCCUCGCCAAAGAUGAAGGCCAGGGGGCCCACACCNNNNNNNNNNNNNNNNNNNNNNNNNNNNNNNNNNNNNNNNNNNNNNNNNNNNNNNNNNNNNNNNNNNNNNNNNNNNNNNNNNNNNNNNNNNNNNNNNNNNNNNNNNNNNNNNNNNNNNNNNNNNNNNNNNNNNNNNNNNNNNNNNNNNNNNNNNNNNNNNNNNNNNNNNNNNNNNNNNNNNNNNNNNNNNNNNNNNNNNNNNNNNNNNNNNNNNNNNNNNNNNNNNNNNNNNNNNNNNNNNNNNNNNNNNNNNNNNNNNNNNNNNNNNNNNNNNNNNNNNNNNNNNNNNNNNNNNNNNNNNNNNNNNNNNNNNNNNNNNNNNNNNNNNNNNNNNNNNNNNNNNNNNNNNNNNNNNNNNNNNNNNNNNNNNNNNNNNNNNNNNNNNNNNNNNNNNNNNNNNNNNNNNNNNNNNNNNNNNNNNNNNNNNNNNNNNNNNNNNNNNNNNNNNNNNNNNNNNNNNNNNNNNNNNNNNNNNNNNNNNNNNNNNNNNNNNNNNNNNNNNNNNNNUGCCGGGGAUACUUCCCUCCGGGAGGGGGAAAUCAUCACCAUCGUCAUCACCAACGCUCCUAUCAUCGGGAGAGGGCAAUCUCCAUCAACAUCUUCACCAGCACCAUCUCAUCUCCAAACCCUAGUUCAUCUCUUGUAUCCAAUUCUUGUCUCAAAGUCCGGGAUUGGUGCUAGUAGGUUGCUAGUAGUGUUGAUUACUCCUUGUAGUUGAUGCUAGUUGGUUUAUUUGGUGGAAGAUCAUAUGUUCAGAUCCUAUAUGCAUAUUAUUACCCCUCUGAUUAUGAACAUGAAUAUGCUUUGUGAGUAAUUACGUUCGUUCCUGAGGACAAGGGAGAAGUCUUGCUAUUAGUAGUCAUGUGAAUUUGGUAUUCGUUUGAUAUUUUGAUAAGAUGUAUGUUGUCUAGCCUCUAGUGGUGCUAUGUGAACAUUGACUACAUAACACUUCACCAUUAUUUGGGCCUAGAGGAAGGCAUUGGGAAGUAAUAAGUAGAUGAUGGGUUGCUAGAGUGACAGAAGCUUAAACCCUAGUUUAUGCGUUGCUUCGUAAGGGGCUGAUUUGGAUCCAUAUGUCUCAUGCUAUGGUUAGGUUUACCUUAAUAUUUUUUUUGUAGUUGCGGAUGCUUGCAAUAGAGGUUAAUCAUAAGUGAGAUGCUUGUUCAAGUAAGAACAGCACCCAAGCACCGGUCCACCUACAUAUCAAAUUAUCAAAGUAUCGAACAUGAAUCAUAUGAACGUGAUGAAAACUAGCUUGACGAUAUUCCCAUGUGUCCUCGGGAGCGCUUUUCCUAUUAUAAGAGUUUUUUCCGGCUUGUCCUUUGCUACAAAAGGAUUGGGCCACCUUGCUGCACUUUAUUUACUUUUGUUACUUGUUGCUCGUUACAAUCUAUCUUAUCACAAAACUAUCUGUUACCACUUAUUUCAGUGCUUGCAGAGAAUACCUUGCUAAAAACCGCUUAUCAUUUCCUUCUGCUCCUCAUUGGGUUCGACACUCUUACUUAUCGAAAGGACUACAAUAGAUCCCCUAUACUUGUGGGUCAUCACAUGGCUGGGCCAGCACCAUCCAUGUAGAGUUCGAGCUUGGACCUGCCCUACACGCAAUGACCCGGAGUGCAACGGGCAAUGGGUCCAGACCCCGGAGUGCUUAGGAUGUAGACCGGCAGGGACCUCUCUGCUGAGCCUAGGUAGGGCUACGACGUGUUGAUCUUCCGAGGCUGGUCAUUGACCCAGAAAAAUGUGUCCGUCCAGAGUAAGCACGCGUGUUGGAAAAUGUGGUGCACCCCUGCAGGGAAGAUUAUCUAUUAAUAGCCGUGUCCAUGGUAACGGACGUUCAGACUUAUAUCCUGAUCUUUUACAACUAGAAAUGGAUACUUGAGAUAUGUGGCACCGGGAUUGCUUUCUCGUAGGGAGUCGAGGAAGGAUCUCUGGGCAUUACUACUACAACAUGCUUGUUAAUUAAACUGCUAUUCUUUACUCUUCUACAUGCUGCAAGAUGCUUGGAGCUGCUUGAAGGUGCUAUUCUUUGAUAGGCUAGGCCUUCCCCUCUAUUCUGGCUUACUGCAGUUCAGUCCACAGAUACAACCCUUCCAUUUGAUAUGAAUGCAUACUUAGUGUAGAUUUGAUGCUUGCGAGUACUUUCGAUGAGUACUCACGGUUGCUUUGCUACCCCCUUUUCCUCUUCUUUCUUCUUUCUGGUUGUUGCAACCAGAUGGUGGAUCCGAGGAGCUAGAUGCCACCCCUGACGACUACUACUACCCCGAGGGUGCCUACUGCUACGUGGAGCCCGCCGACGACCAGUUGUAGUUAGGAGGUCCCAGGCAGGGGGCCUUGCCUCUUCGGUCGUGUUGCUUUUGUGCUAGCCUUUUUAAGGCAUCCUUGUUUAACUUAUGUCUGUACUCAGAUAUUGUUUCUUUCACUGACGCUUGUGUAUCGAGCUUGUAUUCGAGCCCUCGAGGCCCCUGGCUUGUAAUAUAAAGCUUGUAUUAUUUCUUUUUGUGUCUAGAGUUGUGUUGCGAUAUUUUCCCGUGAGUCCCUGAUCUUGAUCAUACACAUUUGCGUGUAUGAUUAGUGUAUGAUUGAAUCGGGGGCGUCACAUUGCAAUAUAGACCGUCCGAUCUAUUUCUGACGGAUAGAAAACAAACUAUGGCAAUUUUGCAAAAAGAUACCCGCACCUCUCUCCAUAUUUGUAGAUAACGCCUUCCCUCGUUCAUCCUUAUCUCCCACAAUCUCAUUGUUGAUCAAUUAAAAAAGGAAGCCUCUGGAACAAUCUGACAUGGUGACCGCUGCCGGCAUCGUCCAUCCCCAUGGCUCGGCUUAGUCCGACCACCAAUCACCACCAUGCCCCACUUCUCCUCACCUUAUCUCUCCUCUUUCUCUAAAUAUCAUUAGUUUUUACACAUGGGAUUACUCCCUCAUGGGUCAAUCACAAUAGGUGUUUUGUAAAAAAUGCAUCUUGGUGUUCCGAGCAAUGCACGGCCAUCUUGCUAGUCAUUGCUUUAAAUUGAAAUGAAUUGGUCGUUUGAAGGUGCCAAUAGUCUCUCCUCGAUCUAUUACGCUCUCUUGGAUGGAUUCAAGUAGCUAGCAAGAAUGGGGAAGGAGAUGAACAUGAAGAGAGAAUCCGCCGGUACUGAAGCCGUUUCACCUACUCCACUGGAUACCCAGUUUUUUAUUUUUGAGGGGCUGGAUACCGAGAUCCUUUUUUUGUCAAUUUUUUAACUGGCUUAGGCGCCAGUUACGAACUCGAUCUCUUGGCUAGCAUAACAGGCCAGCCCAAAAAUGUCUCUUCCCAGCAAUGGUUUCGGGAACCUUCUAUAAGGUUCUCUCUGUUUUAAUUCGGGCUGGUUUUUCUUCUUCUUUGUGUUUCACCAGUUGUAACAUCCCAAAUUUUCAAUUGGUAAUGUUAUACAUUAGAUCAUCAUUGCAUAUCAUAUUUUAUUGCAUUUUGGUUGAUCCGAGAAAUUCCACGCAACUCAAGGACCCACAGAGAGAGUUGGGGAUUUCAUUAUUUUCAUAUUCGAGUUUUCUCGAAUUUUGAAAAGAGGAUCGUUUGAUUUUAAUUAUUUUCUCUUCGAAUAUUUCUUUUAUAAAAAUAAACGAGAGAUGAUAAAAUGACUUCCUCAAAAUAAAGAAAUAUCGAAGAUUUAAUAUUAAAAUCAAAUAAGAUUUUUUUAAUUCAGAGUUUUAUCGCUAUUUUAUUUGAAAUAGGAAAAAUAUGCAUUUUUCAAAAUUGCAUUUUAGGCCCAAAUAAAUGUUCACCUUGUCCGGCUUAUUUUUAGAGGAUGGGGAAAAUUUAUUUCGGGAUUUUUGGAGUACGUUUAGAAUUCCUUUUCUUUCUUUUUUGCACGUCGGAAUUAUUUAAAAAAAGUCAAACCAACUUCGGGCCGUACCCGGCAAGGAGACCUCGGGCCGGCCCUCUUUAUAAGCCGCCACCACCGAGCCGCUGAAGCCCACUAGCCCAACCCGCGAUGCCGCCCCAAACCCUUACCCUAGCCCGACGCCGCAGCUGCCGACGCUGCCGCCGCCACCCGCCGCCCCGCCGCCUCGCCGAACCGUCGCCGGAGGUAAACGUUGUCGCCUCGGUUUACGUAGGAAAACCGAGCGGGUUUUUCUCUAAACCCUAGAUCCAUUUUUUUAAAUCCGUUUUUUUGGUUUAAUAAAUAGCGGACGUUCGUCCGGACGUUCGUUUUAACGAACGGUUUUCACCUUUUAGCCGCAGAUAGCGAACGUUCGUUCGUUAGCCUGUUCAUUAGUUUUUCUUUUUUCUCGGAUUUUCCGCGGUUAUUUUCGAUCGCGAUUUCUGAUCCGAUUUUCGUUUUAGUAUAACUUUUCACUCGUUUAUCGAAAUCAAGCGAUUCAAGCGCCUAGAGUUUCGUCUCGAAACCCUUUUUCUGUUUAACCAACUUAAACAAGUUUUUGCUACUGUAAAAUUUGACUUUAGUCCAGAUUAGUAAAUGAAGCUUGUUUCUUUUGCCGUUUGAAUUUUGUUGCUUCGUUUGAUUUGAUUCUUUUUGCAAACCGGAGUUCUGAAGUUGAACUUUCUGGUUAUAUCUCUUAUUUGAGUUUUACCCAUGCCCUUGCUUGAUUGCUUAUUGUAUGCUUGUUUGAUUGUGAUAGAGUACCCGGAGUGCGAAGCGUGCUACAUCGAGUCUCUAGGUUUCACGGAUCAUCAGCAAGGCAAGUAACACUUUGAUCAUACCUCUUUACUACCUAGUUUUAUUGCGUUAGAUCAAUCCUCAAACACUUGCAUGGUUAGGAUCUGAUAAAUUGUGGGUUGGGAUGUAGUUGAUGAGGUAGGAACCUAUUGUCCUGUUUAUUAUCAAACCCUUGGGAGUUACUUCUACGUUAUGCUUAUAUUGCUCUGCUAUGCUCGUAGACAUGGAUUGGGUUUGAGCGUAUUCAUGAUAGUUGUGAGUACUGUUAAUUAAUGGUUAACUUAAGGUGGCAACUUUAAUACACAUCUGGGUGGAUUGAGGCACAUGGGGAACUCCAGUGAUUGCCUGUAUUUUUGGAAAUCCCGGGGUACCGUGUGAUUUUCCUAUGGACCGCCACCCCGGCUCAAAGGGAUCAUAAGAUUAUUCAUGCUAGAAACUUCCGUGUGCAGCCACAUGCCAUUAUGGGCUCUGGCAUAGUUGAGUAAGUUGUGGGAAACCUUUCCAUGAUGGGCUAGCAGAUGUAGGGGAUUGUAGGUGUACCGGCCUAUCUAUCGGCUAAAGGGACCUCUUCGGAAAGACUAUGUCUCGGUCAUCCAUUUCCCAAACAUCAUGUAGUGCGAGAAAUCCAACGGAGGAGAUCGAGUCUUGUGGGGAAAAGUGCACAAACCUCUGCAGAGUGUACAAACUAAUCAUGGUUAUCGGUGUCCCCGGUUAUGGACAUCUUGAGUAUCUGGUUCUUGGAUUAUCAUAUGGAUCUCAUCACUCUUUAAUAUAAUUUGAUUGGGUUAAUGAUUACUUUUAAUUGGGAUUGAGAGGGGGUUUACCUUCUCAAUGUUUUCAACCAACUUUGUAGUUAAGUAAAAUAUAUUCCUUUGUAGUAGGGAAAAUUGGCUUUUCAAAACAUAUUAACCAUACAGCCUCCACCAGCCAUAUAUGCAUGUAGUGAUAGCUUUACAUUGUUCAUUACUCUCUUGUGUUACAUUUCCAGCAUAUUCCAUGUGUUGACCCGUUCCGGGCUACAACGUAUCAUGUUGCAGACUUUUCAAACAACGAGUAAGGAGCCUUAGGUCAUGGCCUUUCCCAGUGAUGCCGUUGGAGUUGAUGGACUCACUUUAUCUUCCAAGCCCUCCACUGUUAUCGUGUUAGAUGGCCUUAAGACAUAUUUAUUGUAAUAAGUUCGCUUUUGAGACAUUCGAUGUAAUACGUGUGUGAUUUCUACUCUGUUAUAAAUCCUCAAGUACCGUGCGUGUCAGCAUUACCGAUCCAAGGAUGACAUUAAUGCACAGAGAUCAGACUGUUUGAGGUCUGGUCGCUACAAGAUGGUAUUAGAGCACACGCUGACUGUAGGACACGACCACUAAGCCAAAACCCUAGAUCAUUACUCUGCUCUCAUUUCUGACUCCUCUCCAUUUUCUACUCUUUAGGAUGGCGGACACAAGGAAGAAGUUUGCACAACCAGAUGAAGACACACCUUUUGGACGCCACUUGAAGGAAGUCACUAGGUACCUGAACAUCGGAAUACCAAGGUUCACCGGGACUUACAACGCCACUUUACCAGAAGAGGAGCGUUGGAUGAUUCAAGUUCAAGUUCCAGGAAGGACAUUUAUGCCAGUCACUGAGCCCAUAGAGUUUUCCUUUGACGCACCAACCUGGAGUCUAGGAAAGAGUAUGGCAGCCCACAUCACCAUGGGACACAUUGGAGAAGUUUACCACAAGGAUCUCAAGGAUACUAUCUACCAGAUUUGUGGGCACCGAGAUGAGCAAUGGGAAAUGAUCAGCACCAGGAAGGAUAGAUCAAUUGCUGCUUUCAUCCAGGAGUUAAACCAGCACAUUCGUCGCCAGGAGAAUUAGAUGUUCGCAGGCAUGAUAGAUCUGAAGAAGGCGAUGACAAGGAUCACGGAGUUGGAGGAAGAACUCAAGGAAACUCCGAAGAUUAUGAGGAAGAAAUUGUCAUACUAGUGGAGAAGAAUGACGACCUGACAAGGAAGCUAGGAGUAUUCAUGGGAGACCCCGCACUAGGAGAAGAUGACGGUUCCACUUGCCCGGAGAACUACAUCAUCAUCGACGACACCGACUCAGACCCCGACGAUAGUGAUAAUGACUAUAUUGAUGAAGCUGGAGCGGAUAUCAUGGAGUGUUCGACCGAACAAUAUUUCUAGUCGACCACCAUAUCAGUAGUAUUCCACCAUGUAAAUAUUAUAGUCCAAGCACUUUGUAACAAUAGUUCUAGACCGAUUGUAUGCCCUUUGCUUGAUUGAUUGAGUGAUAUGAUUGUGUUUGUCUCAUGUGCAUAUGGGUAGUGUUUUCUCACUAGACCUCAUUCUAUUCUAUUCUCUUCCCUCUAAAACCUCUGAUGCCUCCGAGACGUGACCCCGGAUUUACCUUUCCACCGGAGCUCACUCAGUUGAUCCAACAACAGAAUACCCUGAUGCAGUUGUUAGUUUAGAACCAAGGCAACAACAACAACAACCCACCACCACCACCCCAGUUGACAAUUUAGCCCGUUUUCUGAGGUUGCAGUCGUCGGUGUUUUCCAGUAGCACCGAGCCGAUAGUGGCAGAUGAUUGGCUCCGCAGGAUUGGAAGGGAGUUAACCACUGCAGGGUGCACAGAUGCUGAGAGGGUGCGUUUUCUGCGCACCAAUUGGAUGGACUAGCAGCCUCAUGGUGGGAGAAUUACACUGUCACCUAUCCUAUAGCCACUGUUACAUGGGACCAGUUCUAGCAGGCUUUUCGCACUGCCCAUAUAUCAGCAGGAGCUAUGGCCGUAAAGAAGCGUGAGUCUCACAACUUACGCCAAGGAGGACGCACCGUUAGCCAGUAUGUGGAUGACUUUAGCAAGCUAGCACAUUAUGCCCCACAUGACGUUGCUACGGAUGCAGCUAAGCAGGAGAAGUUUUUGGAAGGACUGAAUGAUGAGCUGAGCAUGCAGUUGAUGGUAGAAACCUUUAAUAACUACCAACAGUUGGUAGAUAGAGCUCUCAUGAUUGAAGGGAAGCAGCAGCCGAUUGAUAACCGCAAGAGGAAGUAUGGACAAGGGAAGUAUAAUUCUGGAGCCCAACAGAGACCCCGUUUCACCCCGAACUCGGGAGGACUUGUGCAUAACCAUGGAGGCCACACUCACAAUGGAGGAAGUUCUCACAACCAUAGUGGAUCCAAGAAUGGUAAUGGAGGAAGAAACGGACAAAACCGUUCCAACCCAGCAACGCCCGCCAAGAAAGAUCUAAGCCACGUUACUUGCUACAAGUGCCAGAAGACCGGACAUUACGCCAAUGAAUGUCCUGAAGCUAAGAACGGAAACGGCAAUGGAAGCUCUAGGAAGAAUCCCAACCCUUUCAACAGGGGACAAGUGAACCACGUUAACGUGGAGGAGAUUGAAGCCUAGCCAGAUGCAGUAAUAGGUAAGUUUUUGGUUAAGUCUUUUACUGCAGUCAUACUUUUCGAUACUGGUGCAUCGCAUUCAUAUAUAUCAAGGGGAUUUGUGGAUAAUUAUAAACUGCCCACCAAAGUUCUUAGUACACCUUGAUGACCCACAAGUAUAGGGGAUCUAUCGUAGUCCUUUCGAUAAGUAAGAGUGUCGAACCCAACGAGGAGCAGAAGGAAAUGAUAAGCGGUUUUCAGCAAGGUAUUCUCUGCAAGUACUGAAAUAAGUGGUAACAGAUAGUUUUGUGAUAAGAUAGAUUGUAACGAGCAACAAGUAAUAAAAGUAAAUAAAGUGCAGCAAGGUGGCCCAAUCCUUUUGUAGCAAAGGACAAGCCGGAACAAACUCUUAUUUACAUGGUGGAAUAUCGUCAAGCUAGUUUUCAUCACGUUCAUAUGAUUCGCGUUUGAUACUUUGAUAAUUUGAUAUGUCGGUGGACCGGUGCUUGGGUGCUGUUCUUACUUGAACAAGCAUCCCACUUAUGACUAACCUCUAUUGCAAGCAUCCACAACUACAACAAAAGUAUUAAGGUAAACCUAACCAUAGCAUGAAACAUAUGGAUCCAAAUCAGCCCCUUAUGAAGCAACGCAUAAACUAGGGUUUAAGCUUCUGUCACUCUAGCAACCCAUCAUCUACUUAUUACUUCCCAAUGCCUUCCUCUAGGCCCAAAUAAUGGUGAAGUUUUAUGUAGUCGACGUUCACAUAACACCACUAGAGGCUAGACAACAUACAUCUUAUCAAAAUAUCAAACGAAUACCAAAUUCACAUGACUACUAAUAGCAAGACUUCUCCCUUGUCCUCAGGAACGAACGUAAUUACUCACAAAGCAUAUUCAUGUUCAUAAUCAGAGGGGUAAUAAUAUGCAUAUAGGAUCUGAACAUAUGAUGUUCCACCAAAUAAACCAACUAGCAUCAACUACAAGGAGUAAUCAACACUACUAGCAACCUACUAGAACCAAUCCCGGACUUUGAGACAAGAAUUGGAUACAAGAGAUGAACUAGGGUUUGGAGAUGAGAUGGUGGUGGUGAAGAUGUUGAUGGAGAUUUCCCUCUCCCGAUGAGAGGAGCGUUGGUGAUGACGAUGGUGAUGAUUUCCCCCUCCCGGGGGGAAGUUUCCCCGGCAGAACAGCUCUGCCGGAGCUCUAGAUUGGAUCCGCCAAGGUUCUGCCUCGUGGCGGCGGAGUCUCGUCCCGAAAAGUUCCUUCUUAUUUUUUUCUCAUCGAAAGACUUCAUAUAAGAAAAGAUGGGUGUCGGAGAGCCACCAGGGGGCCCACGAGGUAGGGGGCGCGCCCUAGGGGGGGCGCCCCCCACCCUCGUGAGCAGGGUGUGGGUCCCCUGGCCUUCAUCUUUGGCGAGGAUUUUUCUUUAUUUAUUUUAAGAUGUUCCGUGGAGUUUCAGGACUUUUGGAGUUGCGUAGAAUAGGUCUCUAAUAUUUGCUCCUUUUACAGCCCAGAAUUCCAGCUGCCGGCAUUCUCCCUCCUUAUGUAAACCUUGUAAAAUAAGAGAGAAUAGCCAUAAGUAUUGUGACAUAAAGUGAAAUAAUAGCCCAUAAUGCAAUAAAUAUCGAUAUAAAAGCAUGAUGCAAAAUGGACGUAUCACACCUAUGUUAGUGAGCUCGCCAGGAGCAGAGUAUAUGGCAAGCCAAGGAUGUUUUCAGAUACCGUUGGCCAUAGGUAGGCACGUUGUCGGUGACAAAACCGGCGGAUCUCGGGUAGGGGGUCCCGAACUGUGCGUCUAGGCCGGAUGGUAACAGGAGGCAAGGGACAAGAAGUUUUACCCAGGUUCGGGCCCUCUCGAUGGAGGUAAAACCCUACGUCCUGCUUGAUUAAUAUUGAUGAUAUGGGUAGUACAAGAGUAGAUCUACCACGAGAUCAGAGAGGCUAAACCCUAGAAGCUAGCCUAUGGUAUGAUUGUUGAUGUGUAUGUUAUCCUAUGGACUAAAACCCUCCGUUUUAUAUAGACACCGGAUAGGGUUAGGGUUACAUAGAGUAACCCUCCGUUUUAUAUAGACACCGGAUAGGGUUAGGGUUACAUAGAGUCGGUUACAAUGGUAGGAGAUCUGAACAUCCGUAUCGCCAAGCUUGCCUUCCACGCCAAGGAAAGUCCCUUCCGGACACAGGACGGAGUCUUCAAUCUUGUAUCUUCAUAGUCCAGGAGUUCGGCUGAAGGUAUAGUUCGGCUAUCCGAACACCCCCUAAUCCAGGAAUCCCUCAGUAGCCCCGAACCAGGCUUCAAUGACGAUGAGUCCGGCGCGCAGAUUGUCUUCGACAUUGCAAGGCGGGUUCUCCUCCAAAUUCCGUGUACCUGUUUGAAUAAAGUCCGGUUUCUUGUAGAUGUUGCGCUCCUUGGCUUCUACGCCCAAUAAUGGUCGUCUCCCACGUGUCAAACGAAUAUGAAAAGUCUGAGUGUUUUUAUGUUCACACCCCUAGCCGCGUAAAUGAGCUGCCCUAUUUAAGGGGACGAGGAUUUAGAUCCAAUCCACACCUUCUCCCCUCCACGAGUGUUCAUCAGAGCGCAUCCGACAAAGGUCCAUUCCACCAUGGCCAGCCGCCACAACUCCUCCGCUCGCCCUUCCAGCCCGAAGCCUGGAUAUUGGGAGAGAUGUUUCAGUCCGCAUAGCGAGCUAGUGACGCUCCAGACCAAGGGAUUUCUCCCCCCGGCCAAUAUGGUCCCGGUUCGAGCCGGUCUUGCCGUGUACAACGGCGGAGAGCAAGCAGAGAAUGCCCCUAAUCCAUCCAAAGGAGAGCGCGUGUGACUUGUCCCUUACUUAAUAAAGGGGCUCGGAUUUCCCAUCCAUCCAUUUCUCCGGGGGCUGCUGGAGUUCUAUGGCCUCCAGCUACAUCAUCUCACUCCUGCCUUAGUAUUGCAUAUCGCGGGCUUUGUAGCCCUCUGGGAGCUGUUAUUGGGUAUUGAAGCUCACUUCGGACUAUGGAGGGAGCUAUUUUGCCUCGUGCCCCGUUCCAAGAAGGGGUCUAUGUAUCAAGUGGGCGGAGCCGAAGUAUGGCGCAUCGCCGGGACCGGCUAUCUGUCCGGAACCCCAAAGAAGGCGUCCGAAGACUGGCCCUCGAAAUGGUUUUACAUAGAAGAUGUCCCGCUGCCGGAUCCUGUCCGAAUCGGCCUCCCUGAAUUCAAUAAUGCUCCCUUAAAGAAGCGCCUAAGCUGGCGCCCACGGAGCCCUCAGAGGGAAAGUGACAGGGACGUUGUUUACCUGAUGGGCCGGAUAAGAUUGUUAGCUCAUUCCGGACUAACCAUGAUCGGGUCAUGGCCGCAUGCAUCAUACGAGGGGUGCACCCGCUACAGUAUAGAGGCCACUCCAUGUGGGAUUUCAACGGGGAGGACGACACCACCCGCUACGGCCAUAAGGGGCCGGAUUCGGCUGCGGCUCUAAUAAAGACCUUGUCCGCUUUGGACAAGGGAGAAGAGGAGGAUUUUCUCCGCGUAGACCCAAAGGGUGGAUUUUCCAUGUACAAUCCUCCAAGCUGGGUGAGUGAUUACAUCUUGCCCAUCCGUUUUAUAUCCCUAUUGUUAAAUAUUUAAUCUUAGUGAUUUCGAAGCAGGAACUGCGCCAGGCUGUUAAAGAAAUAAACAGCCCUCCUCCACAACCCGAGGACCCAGGACGGUCCCUCGACCCGGACUCGCAAGAGGAUCCAGAGCUUUCGGUGGAUCUGAUUGAUGGAGUGUUCCAUCAAUUGAGCAAGGACAACACCCUGCUGGCCAUUACGGCCGAUUAUCCAGGGCUAAUCCCUGCCUCCCAGAAACGGGAGGCCGAACCUGCGGCGACAAGCCAACGAGGGGCCGCAGGGCCCCGUGGGCAGGAAAGAGGUGUAGUCCGGACCGGAGCGUCAGCGCAAAGGUAUGGAGCACCCCCUUAUCCCAGGUGUCGUACCUUCAGGGCAUAUUAACAAUUGUGCCCUCUUUAGGACAAAGAGACCUCGCCGAACUAUAUUCGGAGAGACCGCCAAUCGCGCCUCGACCAGCCAGGCUCCAAAGCCUGGCCCGGGAGCGGGGCCAAACACAAGGCGCGCGCCGGACGCUCCUCCGACGGAGGAUGUCGACAGGUUGUCUGCCACCAACUCUGCGAUAGAGAGUGCCAUGAACCACAGGCGUCGCCAGACAAUUCUUCGCGACGCUUGUUUCUGCCAAGAGGCGUUAGAUGCCUUUAAGUCGGGAGAUGCGUACCUCCGUGCCGCUCAAAAUGGUCUAACCAGAGCCACAGAGCAAUAUGUAAAAGACAUACGGGUAAGGAAAUUUUGGUAAUUAUAUAUAUACUAGUAGCCCCCGAGACUUGAAACAGUUAAAAUAACUAAUUUAAGGAUCAUUUGUUAUGCAGGUUCUUAUAGAAAAGAAUUCCCUACUGUCCAAGGAGCUGGAAGAGUGCAAAGCCCAACUUGAGGCUGCACUAGCCGCGGCAGGGGAGCCUAAGGAGGCCCCCUCUGGUAAUAUACACUUCGAAAGAUAGGUAUUUUGCGAAGCACAGCUUUGGUGCGAAUCUGACAAAUGAAAUUGCAGAUGGCACCGGAUUGGAUCCGAAAAGGCAACACCUCCUACGCCAGCUAAAGGCUGGUGAGAGGGUGCUGCUAAAGGUGAUGGGGGAGAAGAACGAUCUCCGAGAUGCCAACACCAAGCUGGGCAUCGAGCUGAAAGAUGUUCGUGCCCAGCUGCCAGACUCCAUGAAGGAGAAUCAGCGGCUUCGGCGCGGCAUAUUUAGUAAGUGCUUGAACGAACCUUUUGAAAGAAAGUUCGGCGGGGAAGUCGACUAACAGAGCAAUGUCUGUAGGUGUGCUGACAGGCCGUCCUGCGGAGGAGAUGCCCGGUUCUACGGGUGACCUUCUUCCCGAGCUCUCGCAACUGUCCGAUCGAGUUCGGCAGGCGAUGCGAGGCAUCACCCAGGCCCUGUGGCCAUCCGUCUCCAUGCCCGAAGGUCUUGGAGAGCUUGCCAAGAAGCUAAAAGGAGCACGGCGGCGCUUCCGAUUGUGGAAGAUAUCAGCAUGCCGUCAAGGCGCUAGGGAGGCCUGGGCCAUGGUGAAGACGCGGUACACAAAGGCUGACCCCAACCACAUGGCCGAGGUCGAUCCUAUAGGGCCCGAUGGGAAGGAGAUCCCUGUAAGCUUAGUAUACGGCCAAGUAGAGUUGGCCGCAAAGUAUUCCCAGCAGGACUGUAAAUUAGACAGCCUGAUAGAUGGUAUUGAAGAGGAAUACAAUCAGUCAAAAUGACUAUGUAAUUUAGUUGACAUUUAUAAUGCCUUCUAGCCGGAUUGUAGAUCAUUUGUCAUGGCCGACCUUUUCGCUUCAGCCUCGGGACCUGACGGUCUGGAGUGUGUCCGAAUUCCCAUGUGAUUAUAUAGGAACCGGGGAAUGCAUGGAGACCAGGCGUAGGGGUCAUUAGUGCGUGAAUAGACAAGUGCCCAACUAGUUAUGCUAUAUUACAUGGUUAGUAAGAAACAUCUUCCAGGGAGAAUAGUUCUGUUAGGGGUUCCUUUCCCUGGGAGGCAUGCCCUAAGGUGCAUGUCCAUGCUGCGAAAAGAAACCCAGGAAAAACAUCUGGGGGCGUAUAGAUAAAAAUAAAAAAGAUCAUCUUUAGUUCACCGACCGAAUAUUCCCUUAAGAAUGCUAGCUUUCGGCUUCACCCAGUCUGAGGUACACGUCCGGCUGACCCGGCAGUAACAGUCGUAGAGGUGCUCCCUUUACCACCUAGCCGAACAAUCGGAAACAUAGGGGUAAGCACAGGAGCGAGGCAACCCAGCUUGGCCAAAACUUAAGUCAUAUCGAUGCAUAUAAUGGUGAAUAAAAGGUACAUGCAGAAGUGUGACGCAUGUAUUGGGCAUGAAGCCCGUAUGAAUAAGCUUCUAUUUAAAGAAGCCCCCAGGUUUAAUGAGUGCAGAUGGCGCUUCACUUUAUGAGCCUUUAAGGGCUAUAAGAGAGAGAGAGAAGAAGAAGAAGAGAAAUGCAAGACAGAAAAUAUAUAAAAAAUGGACAGAGGAAGGAGACGAACAUAGAGUCCGGCGCUAGGCAUAGAAUCUUCGGAGACGGGCUGCGUUCCAUGGGUUCGGCUCGAGUCGGUUAUCCGAUGCAUCUCGCAGGCGGUACGCUCCACCAGUCGGGACUUGGUCAAUUAUGAAGGGACCUUCCCACUUGGGAUUGAGUUUGUCCUUUUUCUUGUCCGGUAGUCGUAGAACUAAUUUGCCAACGUUGUAAUUUUUGGCCCAUACUUCUCUGCUUUGGUAUCUUCGAGCCUGCUGUUGAUAGAAUGCGGAACGGACUUUUGCCAUGUCAUGCUCCUCCUCCAAUGCGUCUAAGUUGUCCUACCGAUCGAGCUCGGCUUCUCUUUCUUCGUACAUGCGCACUCAAGGUGAGUCAUGAAUUAUGUCGCAGGGAAAAACUGCCUAUGCGUCGUAUACCAUAAAUAAUGGUGUGUAUCCGUGGUGCGAUUCGGUGUGGUCCGCAGCCCCCAGAGUAUGGAGUCGAGCUCCUCUACCCAGUGCGUGUUAGAUUCCUUGAGGGACCGCACUAAUCUGGGUUUAAUGCCGCUCAUGAUAAGACCAUUUGCACGUUCGACCUGGCCGUUAGUUUGUGGGUGAUAGACGGAAGCAUAGUCGAGCUUGAUGCCCAUGUUUUUCCACCAGAGUUUUACCUCGUCGGCCAUGAAGUUCGUGCCAUUAUCAGUGAUGAUGUUGUGGGGAACGCCGUAACGGUGUACGACCCCGGAUAUAAACUCUAUCACCGGUCCGAAUUCGGCCGUCUUAACACACUUGGCUUCUAUCCAUUUGGUGAAUUUAUCCACCAUGACCAGUAAGUAUUUUUGCUUGUGGGUGCCGCCUUUAAGGGGUCCAACCAUGUCAAGCCCCCAGAUCGCGAAGGGCCAAGUAACGGGGAUAGUUCGGAGGGCGGUGGGUAGCAUAUGGCUUUGGUUUGCAAAGAGCUGGCAACCGGUGCAUCGUUGGACUAAGUCCUGAGCGUCUGCCCGGGCCGUCGGCCAAUAAAAGCCUGUAUGGAAGGCCUUGCUUACAAGGGACCGAGCUGCAGCGUGAUCACCGCCCAGUCCGGCAUGAAUUUCAGCCAGGAGGUUCCGCCCCUCCUCUUCGGAGAUGCACCUUUGAAGGACUCCGGUAGUGCUUUUCUUAUAAAGCUCUCCCUCGUGGACUCUGUAGGCUUUGGAUCGCCGCACUAUGCAGCGUGCCUCAUUUUGGUCCUCGGGGAGUUCCUGCCUAGUGAGGUAGGCGAGGAAUGGUUCUGUCCACGGGGCGAUGAUGGCCAUUAUUACGUGGGCUAAAGGUGUUAUUUCAUUGGCAGAGCCUCCAACUAUGUCAGAAUGUUCAGUGUCGGGCAGUGCGGUUGGGUCCGGGGUGUUAUUGUUUGGCUCCCCUUCCCAUACUACAGAUGGCUUGAACAGCCUUUCCAAGAAGAUGUUGGGGGGACUACAUCACAUUUUGCGCCGAUGCGCGCCAGGACAUCUGCCGCCUGAUUAUUUUCCCGGGCUAUAUGGCAAAAUUCAAGCCCCUCAAACCGAGCUGACAUUUUUAGGACGGCGUUGCGGUAAGCUGCCAUUUUUGGAUCCUUGGCAUCGAAGUCUCCAUUUAUUUGGGAUAUUGCGAGGUUCGAGUCCCCGCGUGUCACAUCCCUAGUCUGGUAUGACCUAGGCUAGCUAGCCAUUUGUGCAUCAUAUUUAAAUUUCAUUUAAAUUUGAAAUGAGGAUUGGAGGAACCCUCAGAAUCAUUUUUGAAAAUGACCCAAAUAAAAAUUUCUCCAAAAAGGGUCCAAGAAAAUGCUCAUGAUGCCCUCUAAAAAUAUUGGACAGAGAUAAAAAUCAAAACAAUAUUUUUAGGAGUUCAUGGACAUUUUAUUUUGGCUAUUUGGAUUAAUUCGAUAAAUAUUUGCAUUGGGAAUUUAUUUCUAUAUAUAUGAAAUAUGGCCCAAAAAUUAUGCCAUUUAUAAAAGAGCUCUGGAAUAAUAUAUCCAGCUCCUGCAAAAAUUGGCUUAAUAAAAUAAAAUGAUUUAAUAUAUUUAUUAAAUCAAACAAAUGUCAGAAAAAAAUAGAAAAACAGAAAUAAAAGAAGGAGGGGCUUACCUGGGGCUUCCCCUGUGCAGCCCAGCCGCAGCAGGCCGGCCCAGCCAGGAGGUGGCCCAGCCCACCAGGCCCCCCUCCUCUGUCGUCUUCCUUCCCGACAGGGGAACGGAGUGUGGCCGGCGCGCGCGCGCGCCACCGCGCCACGCCUCCUCCCUCCCUGUCUGCCUGUCCUCCCCUCGCUGCUCUGGAUGGAUUGCACAUCGCCACGCAGCCGCCCCGGUUCCUUUUCCCCUCCCUCUCGCUCAUCUCCUCCUCUGGCUCCCCCUCACUCCCACCGAACGCGACCGCCGCCGCCGACGAGAACCACCACGGCCACCGGCCUCCCCUCGCCUCCCUGAGACGCUUCCCAGCUCCGCCUCGACUCCCUCUACCUCCUCGUCAAGCCUCGCACCUCCGGACGUGCUCCAUCGCCGACGCCGUUGUCUUUUUCACCACCGACGCCGGAGAUCGACUUCGCCGCCAUCACCGUCAAUUCGUCGGACGCAGGACGUCCCCGAGCACACCGGCCUGCUCUGUGAGUCCGCCGUGAGCCUCUCAUCCUUUCCCCUCACCUCUCUCUCUCGCGCGUGCCCUGUAGCCGCUGCCCCGCGAGCGCCCGAAGCCGCCGUCCGCCAUGGCCGGCGAGCUCCGUGCCCCCGAGCACCUCCGCCUCGCGUAGAUAGCUCGAUGUGCUCCUGCUGCCUCGUAGAUACCGCCUGUGCCCUCCGUUCGCUCGAACGCGAGCUGCAGCCCCACGCCCGCGCUAUCCCGAGCUCCGGCCGCCGCCGCAAGCUUGCUCUGACGAGCUCCGGUGCCCCCGCAGCCCCCCAACCAGCUCCCCUGGUUGCGGACGACGACGGGCUACGCCCCGGUGGUAUUCGCGCGAUCAAACACCGUCUGUAACGCAAGUCCGGCGAGUCGCCGCCGCGCGAAUGGUCGCCGCCGGCCAGAACCCCGGCGGGCUGACGUGGCCUGUUAAUUAGUCACUAAUUCCCACCCGCUGACGCUGACAAGUGGGCCCCAGGGCUUAGUCAAAGCUGACCAGCCCAGGUUUGACUCGGGGUUAACCCCCUGUCACUGACGUGUGGGUCCCACACGUCAGAUUUGACCUGGACAGCCGCGUUGACCCGCUGAUGCAAUGAUGACGUCAUGCUGACGCAAUUAUACCUUUUCUGGAAUUAAAAUAAUUCAGAAAAUCCAGAAAAUGAUUUAAACUUCAAAAAUUCAUAUCAAUUCAACCGUAGCUCAGAUUUAAAUAAUUUAUAUAUGAAAAAUUAUCAGAAAAAUGCAAUCUUUCCAUCUGUACUAGUUUCAUGCAUGACAAACCAACCUAUACAUGCUGAAUAUGAGAAAACACAUUAUGGCAUAUAUAAGAGACCUAAUUUAGAAAUGCAUUUGAACCUUUGGUUCAAAUGGGCUUCAAACCAUUUGAACACUAGUUGCAUUAGCUCAACAGCAUCACAUCUACAUGCCAUGUUCAUGCAUCAUAUUGUUGCAUAUGAUUGUUUAUUGAUUGCCGGCACUGUUCCUUCUCGAUAGGUCCUGCUCCGGAGACGUUCCAGAGUACCUGUCUGUGAAGCAGUGCCUCCCCUGUUGUUUUACCAGGCAAGCAAACCGCCUUGCUCAUUUCAAUAAAACCCUACUCUCUCGCUCCUGCUCUCAGAUAUUGCAUUAGGACAACAACGAUUCAUCUGCUACUUUGUGCUGCGGUAGUUGAACCCAUUCCUCUGCAUGACCUGUCAUUGCCACAGUAAAUAGUUGAAACCCACUAGCAUGUGUAGGAGUUGAUUAAAGCCACUGAUGUGUUCCUACCAUGCUAUGCCUGCUAUUGCUUAGAGUUGUGUCAGGUCUGAUUCAUUGGGAAUGAAUUGGAGUGUUACGAUAUGUUCUGAUGCUGAGAGUGAAGUGUGUGAACACGAUUUGGUAAAGGUAGCGGUGAGAGGCCAUGUAGGAGUACAUGGUGGGUUGUCUCGCUGGAACCGUCCUUAAGCACUGAGUUCUAUGUAUGUUGUCCAAUGACUCGAUACUACCACACAUUGGGAUCCUUAAUUGACUCUCUCGGCUUAUUAACCAACUUGAUCUCUGUCCAGGAGUCGCAACUAGUUUCUGGUGUUUGUAGGUAGUGCUAUUUUUCUACCAAGUGGCACCCGGCAGGGUGGGCUUGGGACAGACUAGGCACACGUGGCACGGUGUACCGAGUGGCACCCGGUUGGUGGGCUCGGGAACCCUGCUCACAUCGUUUGGGGCCGUGAGCGACACCCCGGCCGGAUCUCCUUGCGGAUGGAACCCGAAUAGGCGAUAAACCUGGACUAGAGUCUUGUGUGGUUAGUCAGGUCGUGGCCGACACCCUCGCCAGGCUUCCGCUUGAAGGUUGCCGAGAUACAUGACGUGUACAUGGCGGUAAGUGGCGAGAGCGUGUGUGAAGAAGUAUACCCCUGCAGGGUUAACAUGAUCUAUUCGAAUAGCCGGGUCCGCGGUUAUGGACUUCUUGGAUGCUUACAUGGUACAUAGACAACUUGAAGUGGAUACUAUAAAAUGCUCAAGACAAGUGUGAGUGCUAUGGAUGGCCUUCCCGUAGGAAGACGGGGAUGAAUCCAUAGUAGUGUAUUGUAUGGUGAUUAGUGGACUCGUGUACGUUGUUUCACCUCCAGAGUUUCUGGUAGUCGUAGAACAGGAUAGCCACAGAGUCAAAGCUGGCUUGCUGCAACUAAACCCCACAUUACCCUCUUGAUACAGUGCAUGUAUGAUAGGAUCUGAUGUAAGUCUUGCUGAGUACCUUUGUACUCAUGUUGCUUUAUUUAUGUUUUUGCAGCGGAGACUUCGGUCUUACUAGUGUUCUCGUGGACUUCGACUAGUAGCUAGUACCUCAGCUACGAUCUUGAUCGGAUGUUGUAGAUAGUCAGGCUCUUCAGCCUUUUUCAUUUAUAGAUGUCUGUACCCAGACAUGUAAUGCCUCCGCUUGUUGCUUGUAUGGUCUGUAUGAUGGGUCUUGUGACCCCUGUUUGCAAUAAAUGCUAUGAUGGCUCUUCUGAGCCUUUAUCUAUAUAAUUGUUGAGUUAUCCUGUGAUGCCAUGUUGUACAGCACAUACCUGCAUGUUAUGCGUACGUGUAAUGUGUAGUGCUAUGUGUGGGAUCUGACUAUCUAGUUGUUUAUCCUUAGUAGCCUCUCUUACCGGGAAAUGUCUCCUAGUGUUACCGCCGAGCCAUGGUAGCUUGCUACUGCUCUGGAACACUUAGGCUGGCCGGCAUGUGUCCUUCUUCGUUCCUGUGUCUGUCCCUUCGGGGAAAUGUCACGCUUUGAGUACCGGAGUCCUGUUAGCCCGCUACAGCCCGGUUUACCGGAGUCCUGCUAGCCCAGUGCUACAGCCCGGACCCACUUGCUGAUGACCGACACGUUCGAAGCUGGGUCAUGGAUGCCUGUCCCUGUAAGUCUGUGCCACUUUGGGUUUACGACUAGUCAUGUCAGCCCGGGCUCCUUAUCAUAUGGAUGCUAGCGACACUAUCAUAUACGUGAGCCAAAAGGCGCAAACGGUCCCGGGAAAAGGUAAGACGACACCCGUGGGGAUACCGUGCGUGAGGCCGCAAAGUGAUAUGAGGUGUUACCGGCUAGAUCGAUGUGACAUCGAGUCGGGGUCCUGACAGCGUUGGUAUCAGAGCUUGACUGCAUGUAGGUUUACCAAGCCAACCUGGUCGAAGUUGAGUCUAGAAAAUCUUUAGUUAUGUAAGGGAAUUGAUUGUGGGAUGGAACGUCAGGCUCUUUUUACUCCUUUACCUCAUGGCCUUCUGAUCUGAGUCAUCCUAUCUUUCCGACGGGGUUAAGGAACUAGGCUUCUCUUCCGUCUAUCAGGAUCACGUGUUACUACUCCGUAGUCCCAUAGGACUGGUUGAUCAGAGUCAUACCCCAGUUUUGAGUAUUUCUGGUGUAGUCUGUUUAGUACUAUCCCAGAACCUUGAGUGGUGAUGUUGAGUUGUUGUACUACCCCAUUUCUAGUAGGAUGUCUCAUUCUGAGCAUUUUACUGCCGUUAUGCUGCCGGAAUUUCCCUAGGAGUUCGAGUAAUACUAAUUCCUUGUCCUACAUUCUACAGUCGAUAGUUGAUGCUGAUUCCGUCCUUGGUUCGUCUCUCAGGAUGUCAUCAGCUAAGCGAAGUUCCGUCGCUCGUAGCCAGAACCAUGGAAAUGGUAGGGAUGAGGAUCCUCCUGAUCAGCCUUCGUUGACAGAGUUCAUGCUAGAGAUGGAGAGGAACAAGCGUGAGUCCAACCGCUUGUUGGCACGUAUCGAGGAGAACACCGCACAUCAGUCCAAUAAGCCUGUGACCAUUCAUGACUUCAUCCGCCUGCAUCCACCUACCUUUCAUCAUUCCAUCGAGCCACUCGAUGCAGAUGACUGGCUCCGUAGCAUCACCCAUAAGCUGUGUUCCGCGAACGUAGCUGAAGAUGACAAGGUCACUUAUGCCACAUACCACCUGGAAGGUCCUGCUAGUCUUUGGUGGCAGAACUAUGAGACUUUGCUUCCAGCCGGCCAGAUUCCUACCUGGAAGGAUUUCACUGAGUCUUUUCGUGAGCAUCACAUUCCCCAGGCCCUCCUUGAUCGCAAGAGAGAAGAGUUCUGUAGUUUCACCCAGAAUAAGAUGGCUGUUGAUGCUCAUAGCAGAGAAUUCGAGAACCUUGCCCGCUAUGCCACAGAAGAAGUGUCCACGGACGCCAAGAAGCAAGCUAGGUUCCGGAAGGGUCUCAACCCCAAGUUGCGUCGUGAUCUCCACCUGCAUCAUUGUGAUACAUUCCAAGCCCUUGUGAACAAGGCCAUCAAUGCAGAGACAGCUCAACUCACUUACGAGGAGUCUCGUAAGCACACCCGUGAUUUGGGAUCUUCCUCCGGUUCUAGUUCCCAGAAGCGCCGGAUUUGGGUUCCAACCUCCGCUCUUCCUUCCGGUUAUACACCGAGGUCAUCCUAUGUGGUGCCUUCCCCAGCUCAGUCGUAUGUUCUACCCAGGCCUAUUGGUAGACCGUUUGUCAGUGCGGGUCCCCGUCCAACCUCAGGGACUUGCUUCACAUGCGGGAAGCCAGGACACUAUGCACGUGACUGCUCUCAGACUAGUUAUGCUCCACCCCAGCCCGAGAAGACUGUUGGCUGUAUUAAGCCAUCACGCAAGAUGAUCAGUGUCAAGUCAGCCCCCACUGAACGUGGACAUGUGCAUCACGUCUCAGCUAAAGACGCUCAUGAUGAUCCAGAUGCCGUUCUUAGCACACUCCUUGUCAAUUGUCACCCAGCAUCAGUUCUAUUUGAUACUGGAGCAUCUCACUCUUUUAUUUCUGAAAGCUAUGCUAACUUGCACAACCUGUCAUUUUGUGAAAUGCCAACUCCGCUAGUCAUCCAAACUCCUGGAUCCAAAUGGCAAACCUCUAGUGUAAGCCAUGGUAACGAAAUCCUUGUUGACAGACUUGUAUUUCUUGCAUCACUUGUAGCCCUCAAGUCUUCAGAUAUUAACAUCAUCUUGGGUAUGGACUGGAUGACAGCUCAUCAUGCCAAGAUUGAUUGUUACACAAGAUCUGUUCAGCUUACACACCCAUCUGGCAAGAUAGUCACCGUCUCCACUAGAGUUGCAAAGCGUCAACUCUAUUCUCUUAAUGCCAGCCCUCUUCCAGACCUUGAAGAUAUCCCGGUAGUCCGUGACUUUCCGGAUGUCUUUCCAGAGGAACUGCCAGGUGUUCCACCUGACAGAGAUGUAGAGUUCGUCAUAGAUCUUAUCCCAGGAACAGCUCCAAUCUCCCGGAGACCUUACAAGAUGGCACCCUUAGAACUAGCCGAGCUUAAGAAACAACUCGAUGAGUCCUUGCAAAAGGGUUUCAUCCGUCCUAGUUCUUCUCCUUGGGCUUGCCCCGUCCUCUUCGUCAAGAAGAAAGACGGUACGGACCGGAUGGUCAUUGAUUAUCGUCCCGUUAAUUUGGUCAUGAUAAAGAACAAGUAUCCGCUUCCCAGGAUCAACGACCUGUAUGAUCAGCUCGCUGGAUCCUCAGUCUUCUCCAAGAUGGAUUUAAGGCUAGGCUACCAUCAAAUCAAGAUCAGAAAUGGGGACAUUCCCAAGACAGCUUUUGUCACUCGUUAUGGCCAGUAUGAGUACACCGUCAUGUCCUUCGGACUAACCAACGCCCCAGCCACAUUCUCCCGCCUGAUGAACUCGAUCUUCAUGGAUUACUUAGAUAAGUUCGUCGUGGUUUACCUCGAUGAUAUUCUUAUUUACUCGAAGAACGAGGAAGAGCAUGCCGAACAUCUUAGACUUGUGUUAGAAAAACUCAGGGAGCACCGCCUUUAUGCCAAGUUCUCCAAGUGUGAAUUUUGGUUGCCAGAAGUGACCUACCUAGGCCACGUAAUCUCUGGUAAGGGCAUUGCUGUCAAUCCCGAGAGAGUUCAGGCUGUUCUCGAUUGGACUCCACCUGAGACCGUGAAACAAGUUAGAAGUUUCCUUGGUCUAGCCAGCUAUUGUCGCCGCUUUGUUGAAAACUUCUCCAAAGUAGCCAAACCCCUCACGGAACUUCUCAAGAAAGAUAAAAAGUUUGAGUGGUCCCCACAGUGUGAGUACAGUUUUCAGGAACUGAAAAGACGCCUGACUUCUGCUCCCAUACUUGUGCCACCGGAUUUCACUAAAGACUUUAUUAUCUACUGCGACGCCUCACGACAAGGACUAGGUUGCAUUCUUAUGCAGGAUCGUCAUGUGAUUGCCUAUGCAUCUCGACAGUUGCAUCCACAUGAGGAGAAUUAUCCUACACAUGAUCUAGAGCUUGCAGCCGUAGUCUAUGCACUCAAGACCUGGCGACAUUACCUACUUGGUAAACGUUGCGAGAUCUACACCGAUCACCAGAGUCUCAAGUAUAUCUUCACCCAACCGGAUCUGAACCUUAGGCAAAGACGUUGGUUGGAGUUAAUCACAGAUUAUGAUCUAGGGAUUACCUACACCCCAGGCAAGGCCAAUUUCAUGGCUGAUGCUCUAAGCCGUAAAUCCUAUUGCAACAAUCUCAUGUUGCAGCAAGGCCAACCACUUCUCCAUGAGGAAUUCUGUAAGCUUAACCUUCACAUUGCUCCUCACGGAUUCCUUUCUACCUUGGUGGCGAAACCUACCCUUGAGGAUCAGAUCAUAACUAGCCAGCAAUAUGAUACGGGUAUUUCUCGUAUCAAGGAUAACGUUAAGAAGGGAGUUGCUGGUAGUUUCUCUGUUGAUGAUCGUGGUGUUGUUUUCUUUGAGAAUCGCUUGGUGGUUCCCAAGAAGCAACAUCUUCGGCAAUUGAUUCUUAAGGAGGCGCAUGAAUCCCCUCUCACGAUUCAUCCCGGUAGUACUAAGAUGUAUCAGGACCUACGCCAGAGGUUCUUGUGGACUAGGAUGAAGAGAGAAAUCGCAGAGUUCAUUGCUAAAUGUGACAUUUGUCAUCGCGUUAAGGCAGAGCAUCAAAGACCUGCUGGCACCCUUCAGCCUUUAGCUAUUCCUGAAUGGAAAUGGGAUAAAGUUGGUAUGGACUUCAUCACCGGCUUUCCCAGGACCAAGAGAGGGAAUAACGCUAUCUUCGUAGUCGUUGAUCGUCUUUCCAAAGUGGCUCACUUCCUUCCUGUUCGAGAGAGUAUCACUGCUAGUCAGCUUGCUGACUUAUACAUUUCUCGAAUAGUGUCACUUCAUGGUGUUCCACUAGAGAUCAAUUCGGACCGUGGCAGUCUUUUCACUUCUCAUUUCUGGGAGAGUUUCCAAACUGCCAUGGGAACCCAUCUUUCCUUCAGUACCGCUUUCCACCCUCAGUCGAGUGGUCAGGUGGAACGGGUCAAUCAAAUUCUCGAAGACAUGCUCAGAGCUUGCGUUAUCUCCUUCGGUAUGGAUUGGGAGAAAUGUCUUCCUUUUGCCGAGUUUGAUUAUAACAAUAGCUACCAAUCCAGCCUCAAGCAAGCUCCUUUUGAGGUUCUCUAUGGACGAAGAUGUCGAACACCUUUGAACUGGUCAGAAACCGGUGAAAGACAAUUCUUUGGACCAGAUAUGAUCCAGGAGGCAGAAGAGCAAGUUCGCAUCAUUCGUGAGAAUUUGAAAACAGCCCAGUCUCGUCAGAAAAGUCAGUACGAUCGUCAUCAUAAGGAUAUGACUUAUGAGAUUGGCGACCAAGCUUACCUUCGGGUUACUCCUUUAAAGGGUACCCAUCGUUUCGGUAUCAAGGGCAAGUUGGCUCCUCGUUACAUUGGUCCUUUUCGCAUUCUCGCUAAACGAGGAGAGGUUGCCUACCAAUUGGAGCUACCCCCACAUCUUUCUCGAGUUCAUGAUGUCUUCCACGUCUCUCAACUCAGGCGUUGCUUCUCGGAUCCUAUCCGCGGAGUGGACCACGAAACGCUUGAUCUCCAAGAUAACCUCACAUACCGAGAGUACCCGGUUCGCAUUCUUGAUCAAGCAGAGCGUGUUACUCGACGUCAGAACAUCAAGUUUCUCAAAGUUCAGUGGUCUCAUCAUUCCGAGAGAGAGGCUACUUGGGAGCGAGAAGAUCGUCUUCGACUGGAGUACCCCGCUUUCUUUCCGUCGACCCCUGAAUCUCGAGACGAGAUUCUUUCAAGUGGGGGCGAGUUGUCACAUCCCUAGUCUGGUAUGACCUAGGCUAGCCAGCCAUUUGUGCAUCAUAUUUAAAUUUCAUUUAAAUUUGAAAUGAGGAUUGGAGGAACCCUCAGAAUCAUUUUUGAAAAUGACCCAAAUAAAAAUUUCUCCAAAAAGGGUCCAAGAAAAUGCUCAUGAUGCCCUCUAAAAAUAUUGGACAGAGAUAAAAAUCAAAACAAUAUUUUUAGGAGUUCAUGGACAUUUUAUUUUGGCUAUUUGGAUUAAUUCGAUAAAUAUUUGCAUUGGGAAUUUAUUUCUAUAUAUAUGAAAUAUGGCCCAAAAAUUAUGCCAUUUAUAAAAGAGCUCUGGAAUAAUAUAUCCAGCUCCUGCAAAAAUUGGCAUAAUAAAAUAAAAUGAUUUAAUAUAUUUAUUAAAUCAAACAAAUGUCAGAAAAAAAUAGAAAAACAGAAAUAAAAGAAGGAGGGGCUUACCUGGGGCUUCCCCUGUGCAGCCCAGCCGCAGCAGGCCGGCCCAGCCAGGAGGUGGCCCAGCCCACCAGGCCCCCCUCCUCUGUCGUCUUCCUUCCCGACAGGGGAACGGAGUGUGGCCGGCGCGCGCGCGCGCCACCGCGCCACGCCUCCUCCCUCCCUGUCUGCCUGUCCUCCCCUCGCUGCUCUGGAUGGAUUGCACGUCGCCACGCAGCCGCCCCGGUUCCUUUUCCCCUCCCUCUCGCUCAUCUCCUCCUCUGGCUCCCCCUCACUCCCACCGAACGCGACCGCCGCCGCCGACGAGAACCACCACGGCCACCGGCCUCCCCUCGCCUCCCUGAGACGCUUCCCAGCUCCGCCUCGACUCCCUCUACCUCCUCGUCAAGCCUCGCACCUCCGGACGUGCUCCAUCGCCGACGCCGUUGUCUUUUUCACCACCGACGCCGGAGAUCGACUUCGCCGCCAUCACCGUCAAUUCGUCGGACGCAGGACGUCCCCGAGCACACCGGCCUGCUCUGCAAGUCCGCCGUGAGCCUCUCUUCCUUUCCCCUCACCUCUCUCUCUCGCGCGUGCCCUGUAGCCGCUGCCCCGCGAGCGCCCGAAGCCGCCGUCCGCCAUGGCCGGCGAGCUCCGUGCCCCCGAGCACCUCCGCCUCGCGUAGAUAGCUCGAUGUGCUCCUGCUGCCUCGUAGAUACCGCCUGUGCCCUCCGUUCGCUCGAACGCGAGCUGCAGCCCCACGCCCGCGCUAUCCCGAGCUCCGGCCGCCGCCGCAAGCUUGCUCCGACGAGCUCCGGUGCCCCCGCAGCCCCCCAACCAGCUCCCCUGGUUGCGGACGACGACGGGCUACGCCCCGGUGGUAUUCGCGCGAUCAAACGCCGUCUGUAACGCAAGUCCGGCGAGUCGCCGCCGCGCGAAUGGUCGCCGCCGGCCAGAACCCCGGCGGGCUGACGUGGCCUGUUAAUUAGUCACUAAUUCCCACCCGCUGACGCUGACAAGUGGGCCCCAGGGCUUAGUCAAAGCUGACCAGCCCAGGUUUGACUCGGGGUUAACCCCCUGUCACUGACGUGUGGGUCCCACACGUCAGAUUUGACCUGGACAGCCGCGUUGACCCGCUGAUGCAAUGAUGACGUCAUGCUGACGCAAUUAUACCUUUUCUGGAAUUAAAAUAAUUCAGAAAAUCCAGAAAAUGAUUUAAACUUCAAAAAUUCAUAUCAAUUCAACCGUAGCUCAGAUUUAAAUAAUUUAUAUAUGAAAAAUUAUCAGAAAAAUGCAAUCUUUCCAUCUGUACUAGUUUCAUGCAUGACAAACCAACCUAUACAUGCUGAAUAUGAGAAAACACAUUAUGGCAUAUAUAAGAGACCUAAUUUAGAAAUGCAUUUGAACCUUUGGUUCAAAUGGGCUUCAAACCAUUUGAACACUAGUUGCAUUAGCUCAACAGCAUCACAUCUACAUGCCAUGUUCAUGCAUCAUAUUGUUGCAUAUGAUUGUUUAUUGAUUGCCGGCACUGUUCCUUCUCGAUAGGUCCUGCUCUGGAGACGUUCCAGAGUACCUGUCUGUGAAGCAGUGCCUCCCCUGUUGUUUUACCAGGCAAGCAAACCCCCUUGCUCAUUUCAAUAAAACCCUACUCUCUCGCUCCUGCUCUCAGAUAUUGCAUUAGGACAACAACGAUUCAUCUGCUACUUUGUGCUGCGGUAGUUGAACCCAUUCCUCUGCAUGACCUGUCAUUGCCACAGUAAAUAGUUGAAACCCACUAGCAUGUGUAGGAGUUGAUUAAAGCCACUGAUGUGUUCCUACCAUGCUAUGCCUGCUAUUGCUUAGAGUUGUGUCAGGUCUGAUUCAUUGGGAAUGAAUUGGAGUGUUACGAUAUGUUCUGAUGCUGAGAGUGAAGUGUGUGAACACGAUUUGGUAAAGGUAGCGGUGAGAGGCCAUGUAGGAGUACAUGGUGGGUUGUCUCGCUGGAACCGUCCUUAAGCACUGAGUUCUAUGUAUGUUGUCCAAUGACUCGAUACUACCACACAUUGGGAUCCUUAAUUGACUCUCUCGGCUUAUUAACCAACUUGAUCUCUGUCCAGGAGUCGCAACUAGUUUCUGGUGUUUGUAGGUAGUGCUAUUUUUCUACCAAGUGGCACCCGGCAGGGUGGGCUUGGGACAGACUAGGCACACGUGGCACGGUGUACCGAGUGGCACCCGGUUGGUGGGCUCGGGAACCCUGCUCACAUCGUUUGGGGUCGUGAGCGACACCCCGGCCGGAUCUCCUUGCGGAUGGAACCCGAAUAGGCGAUAAACCUGGACUAGAGUCUUGUGUGGUUAGUCAGGUCGUGGCCGACACCCUCGCCAGGCUUCCGCUUGAAGGUUGCCGAGAUACAUGAUGUGUACAUGGCGGUAAGUGGCGAGAGCGUGUGUGAAGAAGUAUACCCCUGCAGGGUUAACAUGAUCUAUUCGAAUAGCCGGGUCCGCGGUUAUGGACUUCUUGGAUGCUUACAUGGUACAUAGACAACUUGAAGUGGAUACUAUAAAAUGCUCAAGACAAGUGUGAGUGCUAUGGAUGGCCUUCCCGUAGGAAGACGGGGAUGAAUCCAUAGUAGUGUAUUGUAUGGUGAUUAGUGGACUCGUGUACGUUGUUUCACCUCCAGAGUUUCUGGUAGUCGUAGAACAGGAUAGCCACAGAGUCAAAGCUGGCUUGCUGCAACUAAACCCCACAUUACCCUCUUGAUACAGUGCAUGUAUGAUAGGAUCUGAUGUAAGUCUUGCUGAGUACCUUUGUACUCAUGUUGCUUUAUUUAUGUUUUUGCAGCGGAUACUUCGGUCUUACUAGUGUUCUCGUGGACUUCGACUAGUAGCUAGUACCUCAGCUACGAUCUUGAUCGGAUGUUGUAGAUAGUCAGGCUCUUCAGCCUUUUUCAUUUAUAGAUGUCUGUACCCAGACAUGUAAUGCUUCCGCUUGUUGCUUGUAUGCUCUGUAUGACGGGUCUAGUGACCCCUGUUUGCAAUAAAUGCUAUGAUGGCUCUUCUGAGCCUUUAUCUAUAUAAUUGUUGAGUUAUCCUGUGAUGCCAUGUUGUACAGCACAUACCUGCAUGUUAUGCGUACGUGUAAUGUGUAGUGCUAUGUGUGGGAUCUGACUAUCUAGUUGUUUAUCCUUAGUAGCCUCUCUUACCGGGAAAUGUCUCCUAGUGUUACCUCCGAGCCAUGGUAGCUUGCUACUGCUCUGGAACACUUAGGCUGGCCGGCAUGUGUCCUUCUUCGUUCCUGUGUCUGUCCCUUCGGGGAAAUGUCACGCUUUGAGUACCGGAGUCCUGUUAGCCCGCUACAGCCCGGUUUACCGGAGUCCUGCUAGCCCAGUGCUACAGCCCGGACCCACUUGCUGAUGACCGACACGUUCGAAGCUGGGUCAUGGAUGCCUGUCCCUGUAAGUCUGUGCCACUUUGGGUUUACGACUAGUCAUGUCAGCCCGGGCUCCUUAUCAUAUGGAUGCUAGCGACACUAUCAUAUACGUGAGCCAAAAGGCGCAAACGGUCCCGGGAAAAGGUAAGACGACACCCGUGGGGAUACCGUGCGUGAGGCCGCAAAGUGAUAUGAGGUGUUACCGGCUAGAUCGAUGUGACAUCGAGUCGGGGUCCUGACACCGCGCAUCUCUAGGCGUUGAAUGCCCAUGGAUACUGCCAUCCGGAGACCAUGUAAAAGGGCCUCAUAUUCGGCUGCGUUGUUGGAGUCCGUGUACAUAAUCUGGAGAAUGUAUUGAACUGUGUCUCCUGUGGGGGACGUCAAAACGACACCAGCCCCCAGUCCGGCCAACAUCUUGGAGCCGUCGAAAUGCAUGAUCCAAUUUGAAUAUGUGUCGUACUCUUUAGGGAGUUCGGCCUCCGUCCAUUCUGCGACGAAGUCGGCCAGGACUUGCGACUUGAUGGCUCGCCGUGGCUUAUAAGUUAUGUCGAACGGGAGGAGCUCAAUGGCCCAUUUUGCAAUCCGGCCCGUUGCGUCACGGUUGUUUAUAAUAUCGUUAAGUGGUACUUCUGAGGCUACUAUUAUUGAACACUCUUGAAAGUAGUGUCGUAGCUUCCGGGAUGCCAUGAAUACUGCGUACGCGAUCUUUUGAUAAUGCGGGUACCGUGAUUUGCAAGGAGUGAGGACAGUGGACACAUAAUAGACUGGCUUUUGAAGGGGGAAUAUGUGUCCGUCCGCUUCUCGUUCGACGAUGAGCACUGCGCUUACAACCUGAUGUGUUGCUGCAAUGUAUAAUAGCAUUGGUUCGCCAAUAUUUGGCGCAGCUAGGACUGGGUUUGUUGCAAGUAUGGCUUUUAUCUCCUCGAGUCCAGCCGUGGCUGCAUCCGUCCAUUCGAAGUUUUCGGUGCGCCGAAGGAGGCGGUAAAGGGGUAGGGCCUUUUCUCCCAAGCGGGAGAUAAAUCGGCUCAGAGCCGCCACGCAUCCAGUUAACUUUUGUAUUUGUUUGAGGUCCUUUGGGAUAUCCAGUUACGACAGAGCUAGGAUCUUGGCUGGAUUUGCUUCGAUUCCUCUACCAGAUACAAUGAAGCCCAAGAGCUUUCUGGCUGGAACGCCGAAAACGCAUUUUUCCGGGUUGAGCUUGAUGUCGUAUGUUCGGAGUUUAUCAAAUGUGAGCCUCUGUCGAUGGGGAUUAUUCCUCUAAAGGUUCCCGACUGGGGAUUAUUCCUCUAAAGGUUGUGUUGCUUCGCUCAAUGCGGUUCCAGUCUAUUUCCAUUUUUUGAAGGGUUUCCUCGUAAAUGAGGUUCAAUCCGCUGCCGCCGUCCAUGAGUACCUUGUUAAGACGAAAGCCGUCCACUAUUGGGUUGAGGACCAAUGCGGCUGGUGCUCGGGCUAUUCGGAAUUUAGGUUCAUCACUGGCGUUAAAGGUAAUAGCCAUGUCACUCCAUGGGUUUAUUGUUGCUACUUGGUAGACUUCGGCAAGGCUGCGGAGUGUCCUUUUUCGCAUACUAUUUGAUGCGAAAGUCUCGAAGACUGUUAAUACCGUAUGGGUGUCUUUGGGUGGCUUUCUGUGGCCUCCGGAAUUAGGAGGUUUUCGCCAAUUUUGGCCACCUGUCGGAGUAUCCAACAUGCUCUAAGGCUGUGAGUUGGUGUGGCAUCCUCUAUACUGUGAAUUUUACAGGGUCCGUUAAGCCAUCCUUCCAGUACGGUUCCAUGCCCUAUAGAGGGUUUUUGCUUUUUGGUGUUUGACCUGGGUGUCUGGUUAUGCUGCACCCUUUUAUUUCGGACUGGGUUUGUAUUUAGGGCCGGAUUGUCCCAAAAUUUUAUUUUGGUUUUCUAGGCGCUUUCCAUCGCACAAUACUUUUGUACAAUGGACGCCAAGUCAGCGAAGCGUGUGAUAUCACGGCGAGUUAUGGCGUUGAGUAUUCCCUUGUCCGUGCAAUUAUUGCAGAAGAUUAAGAUUGCGUCUUCCUCGCGGCAGUCCCUUAGCCUGUUCUUAACCAGGAGGAAUCUAGCCCAGUAAUGAUGUACUGUUUCAUGGGACUCUUGCCUAAUUUUGGAUAGAUCGCUUAUGUUGGGGUGGGUGGGUGGAGUUAAAUCCGGAGCCUCACCCCGUCUGAGGCUCAGAGGCCGAGGAAUUUCUGAACUCGAAAAUUUGGAUCCCUGGGUGUUGUCCAUUGAAUCCAGCCCAUCGCAUGACUCUAAGUUCAGGUCUUGAGUGAUAUCCUCCCCUUCGCGGGUAUUCGUCUUGGAGGGAUCGGGAAUCCGGACGUAGCGAGUCCUUAAGAUAGACGAAGGUUUGCCGCACUAUCCCUCUACCACGGCAACGUGAUGGGUGACUUGGGGAGAGUUAAUCUCUCUCAGAUCGGUUUUAGGCCCAAUCUGGUCAUAAUCCGUAGCGACUCCCAGGGCGGCGAAGCGAUCCAAGAGCUCAUUUAUGGAGGAAAGCUCCAUUGGAUCUAACUGCUCGGCGAGUUCUGAACUGACAUGAAGAUUGUUUUUGAUGGCUCGAGAGGUCAUCGUCGGCGCAGAAGCCGAACAGGCGGUCAUAAGAAAACCACCUAGCCGGAGGGUUUGGCCGACAGCCAAAGCUCCCUUAGCAACGGUGACGUCUUUAAAGACGGGACGAGGCAUCCUUCCUGAUGGCGACGACACAAAGGAACUCUCAAUGAAAGCACCAAUGUCGGUGUCAAAACCGGCGGAUCUUGGGUAGGGGGUCCCGAACUGUGCGUCUAGGCCGGAUGGUAACAGGAGGCAAGGGACACGAAGUUUUACCCAGGUUCGGGCCCUCUCGAUGGAGGUAAAACCCUACGUCUUGCUUGAUUAAUAUUGAUGAUAUGGGUAGUACAAUAGUAGAUCUACCACGAGAUCAGAGAGGCUAAACCCUAGAAGCUAGCCUAUGGUAUGAUUGUUGAUGUGUAUGUUGUCCUAUGGACUAAAACCCUCCGGUUUAUAUAGACAACGGAUAGGGUUAGGGUUACAUAGAGUCGGUUACAAUGGUAGGAGAUCUGAACAUCCGUAUCGCCAAGCUUGCCUUCCACGCCAAGGAAAGUCCCUUCCGGACACAGGACGGAGUCUUCAAUCUUGUAUCUUCAUAGUCCAAGAGUUCGGCUGAAGGUAUAGUUCGGCUAUCCGAACACCCCCUAAUCCAGGACUCCCUCACACGUUUUCCCCUCAGAUCUGAUAAUUCUGGAGUCGCAAGGUUUGGAUGUGAUUCUGUGUAUGGAUUGGCUAUCGAUGUAUGGAGGGAACAUCGAUUGCGCUAGUAAGUCGAUUUUGCUCACCACCCUAGAAGGAAGAAGGAUCAAGUAUGUAUCCCGGCAUGUGCCAAUUAGGACUCAAAUAAAUUCCUUAACAGGAGUUGUACACGAGGAAGUACCAGUGGUGAAGGAUUUCCCGGAUGUAUUUCCAGAAGAGUUGCCAGGCAUGCCACCGGAUAGAGACAUCGAGUUUUUGAUUAAGCUUUUGUCAGGCACAUGACCCAUAUCUAAGAGACCAUACAGGAUGACCACACAGGAUUUAGAGGAAAUUAAGAAGCAGAUUAAGGAGUUACUGGAUAAAGGAUAUAUUCGCCCAAGUUUGUCACCUUGGGGAUCACCAGUACUUCUAGUGGAGAAGAAGGAUGGAUCGUUAAGGAUGGUUGUUGAUUAUCGUGGAUUGAAUGAAGUAACGAUCAAGAACAAGUACCCACUACCGAUGAUCAAUGAUUUGUUUGAUCAGCUGCAAGGAGCUAAGGUGUUUUCCAAGAUCGAUUUGCGAUCAGGGUACCACCAGUUGAAGAUUCGAGAGCAGGAUAUACCUAAGACAGCUUUUACCACAAGGUACGGGCUAUAUGAGUAUACCGUUAUGUCAUUUGGCCUGACUAACGCACCCGCUUAUUUCAUGAACAUGAUGAACAAGGUGUUUAUGGAGUUUUUGGAUAAGUUCAUUGUGGUGUUCAUUGACGAUAUUCUGGUCUACUCGAAUAAUGAAGAGGAGCAUAAGGAGCAUUUGCGUUUAGUACUUGGGAAGCUCAGAGAACAUCAGCUAUACGCCAAGUUCAGCAAGUGUGAGUUUUGGUUGAAGGAAGUUGGAUUCCUUGGACAUGUUAUAUCUGGAGAAGGAAUAGCAGUAGACCACAACAAAGUCGUCACUGUGACAAAUUGGGAGGCACCCACGUCCGUUGGAGAGAUCCGGAGUUUUCUUGGACUCGUAGGAUACUACCGGAGGUUCAUUGAGAAUUUCUCAAAGAUUGCAAAGCCUAUGACGGAGUUUUUAAAGAAGGACACCAAAUUCAAAUGGACUGAGGAGUGUGAGGCUAGUUUUUGGGAAUUGAAGAAACGUUUGGUUACAUCACCAGUGUUGAUUCUGCCAUAUCAACGCAAGGAUUAUGAAGUGUAUUGCGACGCCUCUCGUCGAGGACUUGGAGCAGUGCUUAUGCAGGAAGGAAGAGUUGUUUCAUAUGCCUCACGACAGCUUAAAACCCAUGAGUUAAAUUAUGCUACACAUGAUUUUGAGUUAGCAGUCGUAGUGCAUGCGUUGAAGACUUGGUAUACACGGAUCACAAGAGUUUGAAGUAUAUCUUCACGCAGAAGGAGUUGAAUCUCAGGUAGAGGAGAUGGUUGGAACUCAUAAAGGAUUAUGAUAUGAAGUUGCACUAUCAUCCCGGAAAGGCUAACGUAGUAGCCGAUGCGUUGAGCCACAAGAGUCAUGUCAAUACACUCAUGACAGGAGAGUUACCCAAGGAGUUAGCAGAAGACCUUCGUGAUCUAUGUUUGGAGAUAUUUCUGAGAGGCUAUGUAGCAGCUUUGGAGAUUCAAUCUACUUUGAUGGAUAAGAUCAGAGAAGCAUAGAAGACGGACAAGGAGAUUGCCGAGAUAAAGGAAAGGAUGAGCAAAGGAAAAGUCAAGGGAUUUCGUGAAGAUGAGCACGAUACCGUAAGGUUUGAGGGCCGCGUAUAUGUACCAAAUGAUCAGGAGAUCAGGAAGCUGAUUUUGCAGGAGGCCCAUGACUCACCAUAUUCGAUUCACUCAGGAAAUACUAAGAUGUACCUGGAUCUGAAGGAUAGAUUCUGGUGGACUGGAAUGAAGAAGGAUAUUGCGGAGUAUGUAGCAGUUUGUGAUGUAUGCCAGAGAGUGAAGGAAGAGCAUCAGAAGCCAGCACGAUUGCUGCAACCAUUGCCGAUACCCGAAUGGAAGUGGGAUAAUCUAGGCAUGGAUUUUAUCACAGGAUUACCCAGGACUCGUUCAGGCUAUGACUCGAUAUGGGUUGUAGUCGAUCGUUUGACGAAAGUAGCUCAUUUCAUCCGAGUGAAGACCACUUACACCAGUGCUAAGUUGGCUAAGAUAUACAUGACCAAGAUCGUAUGUUUGCAUGGAGUUCCGAGGACAAUCGUAUCAGAUAGAGGAACCCAGUUUAUCUCAAAGUUUUUGAAUCAGUUACACGAAACUUUGGGAACCAGGCUAGAGUUCAGUACAACUUUUCACCCGCAGGCGGAUGGACAGACUGAGAGAGUAAAUCAGAUUCUCGAGGACAUGUUGAGAGCUUGUGCGCUAGUUAUGGAUCUAGUUGGACGGUAAUUUGCCUUACGCAGAGUUCUCUUACAACAACAGUUACCAAGCCAGUUUGAAGGUGGCCCCUUUCGAAGCAUUGUACGGAAGGAGGUGCAAAACACCGUUGUUGUGGGACGAAGUUGGAGACCGACAGUUGUUUGGACCAGAUUUGAUUAAAGAAUCGAAAGAGAAGGUUAAGCUGAUUCGUGAUAGACUCAGGGUAGCCCAGUCCAGGCAGAAGAGCUAUACGGAUUCUAAACGCAAGGAGACAGCUUACGAAGUUGGAGACAGAGUGUACCUUCGUGUAUCACCACUCCGAGGAGUUAAGCGCUUUGGAGUUAAGGGAAAGUUAGCACCGCGUUUUGUGGGACCAUACAAAGUUUUGGAACGUAUGGGAGAAGUUGCUUACAAGUUGAAAUUGCCCGAAGGAUUGUCAGGAGUUCACGAUGUGUUCCACGUUUCUCAGAUGAAGAAGUGCCACGUGGAGAUGGCUGAUAUCCCUCUGAGAGAUACAGUCCCACUAGAAGCGAUACAGUUGGAUAGCGACUUGACCUACGAGGAGAAGCCAGUCAAGAUUCUCGAGUUUGCCCGCCGAGUUACAUGCAGCAAAGUUAUCAAGUUCUGUAAAGUUCAGUGGAGCCACCAUACCGAGGAUGAAGUCACCUAGGAGCGAGAGGAAGACCUACGCAAAGACCAUCCACACCUAUUUUCUAGCCAACCCGAAUCUCGAGGGCGAGAUUCAUCUUAAGGGGGGUAGGUUUGUAACAUCCCAAAUUUUCAAUUUGGAAUCUUAUACAUUAGAUCAUCAUUGCAUAUCAUAUUUUAUUAAAUUUUGGUUGAUCCGAGAAAUUCCACGCAACUCAAGGACCCACGUAGAGAGUUGGGGAAUUCAUUAUUUUCAUAUUCGAGUUUUCUCGAAUUUUGUAAAGAGGAUCGUUUGAUUUUAAUUAUUUUCUCUUCGAAUAUUUCUUUUAUAAAAAAUAAAAGAGAGAGGAUAAAUUGACUUCCUCAAAAUAAAGAAAUAUCAAAGAUUUAAUAUUAAAAUCAAAUAAGAUUUUUUUAUUCGGAGUUUUAUCGCUAUUUUAUUUGAAUUAGGGAAAAUAUGCAUUUUUCAAAAUUGCAUUUUAGGCCCAAAUAAAUGUUCACCUUGUCCGGCUUAUUUUUAGAGGACGGGGAAAAUUUAUUUCAGGAUUUUUAGAGUCCGUUUAGUAUAUCUUUUCUUUUAUUUUCUGCACGUCGGAAUUAUUAAAAAAAGUCAAACCGACUUCGGGAUGUACCUGGCCAAGAGACCUCGGGCCGGCCCUCUUUAUAAGUCGCCACCCCCGAGCUACCGAAGCCCACCGGCCCAACCCGCGUCACCGCCCCAAACCCUAUCCCUUGCCCGACAUCGCCGCCGCCGCCCGCGCCACCGCCGCGCCUCGCCGGACCGCCGCCGGAGGUAGCCGCCGCCGCCUCAGUUUACGUAAGAAAACCGAGCGGUUUUUUUUCUAAACCCUAUAUUCUUUUUUUAGAUCCGGUUCGGUUUAUUUUUUUCGGCUUAGUAAAUAGCGGACAUUCGUCCGGACGUUUGUUUUAACGAACGGUUUUCACCGCUUAGCCGCAGAUAGCGAACGUUCGUUCGUUAGCCCGUUCGUCAGUUUUUCUUUUUCUCGGAUUUUUCGCGGUUAUUUUCGAUCGCGAUUUCUGAUCCGAUUUUCGUUUUAGUAUACCUUUUCGCUCGUUUACCGGAAUCAGGCGAUUUUAGCCCCAGGAGUUUCGUCUCGAAACUCUCUUUCUGUUUAACCAAUUUAAACAAGGUUUUGCUACUGUAAAAUUUGACUUUAGUUCAGAUUAGUAAACGAAACUUGUUUAUUUUGCCGUUUGAGUUUUGUUGCUUCGUUUGAUUUGAUUCUUUUUGCAAACCGGAGUUCUUAAGUUGAACUUUCUGGUUAGAUACAUUAUUUGAGUUUUACCUGUGCCCUUGCUUGAUUGCUUAUUGUAUGCUUGUUUGAUUGCCAUAGAGUACCCGAAGUGCGAAGAGUGCUACAUCGAGUCUCUAGGUUUCACGGAUCAUCAGCAAGGCAAGUAACACUUUGAUCAUACCUCUUUACUACCCAGUUUUAUUGCAUUAGAUCAAUCCUAAAACACUUGCAUGGUUAGAAUCUGAUAAAUUGUGGGUUGGGAAGUAGUUGAUGAGGUAGGAACCUAUUGUGCUGUUUAUUAUCAAACCCUUGGGAGUUACUUCUACGUUAUGCUUAUAUUGCUCUGCUAUGCUCGUAGACGUGGAUUGAGUUUGAGCGUAUUCAUGACAGCUGUGAGUAUUGUUAAGUAAUGGUUAACUUAAGGUGACAACUUUAAUACACAUCUGGGUGGAUUGAGGCACCUGGGGAAUUCCAGUGAUUGCUUGUAUUUUUUGAAAUCCCAGGGUACCGUGUGAUUUUCCAAUGGACCACCACCCAGACUCAAAGGGAUCAUAACAUUAUUCUUGCUAGAAACUUCUGUGUGUAGCCACAUGCCAUUAUGGGCUCUGGCAUAGUUGAGUAAAUUGUGGGAAACCUUUCCAUGAUGGGCUAGCAGAUGUAGGGGAUUGUAGGUGUACCGGCCUAUCUAUCAUUUAAGGGGACCUCUUCGGAAACACUGUGUCUCGAUCAUCCGUUUCUCAAACAUCAUGUAGUGCAAGAAAUCCAACGGAGGAGAUCGAGUCUUGUGGGGAAAAGUGUACAAAUCUCUGUAGAGUGUAUAAACUAAUCAUGGUUAGCCGUGUCCCCGGUUAUGUACAUCUUGAGUAUCUAGUUCUUGGAUUAUCAUAUGGAUCUCAUCACUUUUUAAUAUAAUUUGAUUGGGUUAAUGAUUACUUUUAAUUGGGAUUGAGAGGGGGUUUACCUUCUCAAUGUUUUCAACCAACUUUGUAGUUAAGUAAAAUAUAUUCCUUUGCAGUUGGGAAAAAUUGGCUUUUCGCAAAAUAUAUUAACCAUACAGCCUCCACCAGCCAUAUAUGCAUGUAGUGAUAGCUUUACAUUGUUCAUUACUCUCUUGUGUUACAUUGCCAGCAUAUUCCAUGUGCUGACCCGUUCCGAGCUACAACGUAUCAUAUUGCAGACUUUUCAGACGACGAGUAAGGAGCCUUAGGUCGUGGUCUUUCACUCAGUGAUGCCGUUGGAGUUGAUGGACUCACUUUAUCUUCCAAGCCUUCCGCUGUUAUCGUGUUAGAUAGCCUUAAGCCAUAUUUAUUGUAAUAAGGUCUCUUUUGAGACAUUCGAUGUAAUAAGUGUGUGAUUGUUACUCUGUUGUAAAUCCUCAAGGACUGUGCGUGUCAGCAUUACCGAUCCAGGGAUGACACUAAUGCACAGAGAUCGGACUGUUUGAGGUCUGGUCGCUACACCAGUUUUGUUUGGUUUUUGCGUUUUUUCUCUUUCUUUUUUUAUUUCUCCUUUCAUUUAUUUUGUUUAGUUUCCUGUUCCCAUUUUUCUUUCAUUUUUCCUUUUUUAUUUUUAUUAUAUUUACUUUUAUGGAUUUUUUUCAAUUUCGCGAACAUUUUUUGAAAAUCACAAGCAAUGUCAUUUUCAUGAAUUUUUUUAUUUCAUGAACCAUUUUUAAAUCCGUGAACUUUUUUUGAAUCAUGAACUGAUUUGAAAUUCAUGAAUGAACCUUUUCAAAUCUGUGAAAAAAAUUCCAGUUUGCCAUUUUUUUUAAAUCAUGAACUUUUUAAAUAAAUCAACUUUCUUCGAGUUCAUGAAUACCUUUUUAGUUAUACUAACUUUUUUCCCAAUUCAUAACUUUUUUCCAAGAGCCACAGUCAACCGGUCUACCAUGAGAGGAAGCGAGCAACCUGGCGCCCACGAGCGAAUUAAUGGUUGUUGUUGGGCCAACCACGUGAGCUGGCGCAUGAGCGCCGCUUCGGUAGCGGGCACACUAGGCGUGGAAUAGGAGUUCCCUUGGAUACCCCUCUGUCUUGCAGUUGGCGCUUAGUACUGUCGAGGAUGGGCCGGGCCACUAGACCCAGUGACCAUGGUAGGCCUUGCAUAGACGAGCUGGACGCUUAGCUCGCAACGAGUUACCUUGGUCACUGCAUGGUGGGGUUGCUCUCUCAAGGAUGCUGACAUCGCCCCCUUCUUGCUUUGCGGCUUCCCACCAAGCCUCAGCAGCUCGGGAGCAGGUCUGGAGCUUGAGUUUGUCUUCCCACGAUUUCACGGACAAAUACUCCCUCCGUAAACUAAUAUAAGAGCGUUUAGAUCACUACUUUAGUGAUUUAAACACUCUUAUAUUAGUUUAUAGAGGGAGUACAUGUCAGUGUUGGUGAUGCUCUAAUGCUACAUCAAUGGACGUUUUAUUUAGAGUGAAUUCCACUUUUUACCCCAUAUUUAUACAUUUAUGACACUAAUUACCCCUUCGAGUGAAAAUUCGUCUAGAAUACCCCUUUUGAAAUCUUUGGACCCCUGUUUUGUGAUGCGUGUCCAUCAGGUAAGGUGUGAGGUGACGCCCUGUAUCUAAAAACAUGUGGACGGCCACAAGGAGUGGAACAGAUAGACAAGAGAAGCUUGGACAAGAUCGCCAAUGAUGCCCUCCGAUCCUUAUAGUUUUUUUUACGAAUCAAUGACGCAACAUGCCGAUCCUAUCGACCAUAAACAAACAAAAUGUAAAACCGGGGUAAAACCGUGUUAAAAGUCUUCAAAAUCUGACAUUUCGAUAAAAGUUCCGCUAAAUAGGGUAAUAUGUGUCACAAAUGUACAACUACAAGGUAAAAAAUGGAAUUCACUCUUUUAUUUACGGAGGAGUUCGUCCCAAUCCAGCUGGACCUGGGUUAAUGCAGUAUUUUGAUCAUGUGCGCUCGCUCAGUUGUUUCAAAUACACCUAGCUAGUUCUGGGUUUUUUCAGUUUCUUUUUCUUACUAAUGAUGCUUGUUUCUAUUUUCUAAUUUGAUUUGCCCUGCUACGCAAACUGAUCGACAGAUUGAAUUACACCCGUUACCCAUUGCAAAUUUGCACAGACACAAACUAGCAUUCCAUUCUUCACUUAUUCCACGAAUGCUGUUUGCUGGCAGUUUUAAUUGCCAGGCAAGAUGAAAUGAUGUUAGUUUUUGCCUCAAUUUUUUAUUCUUCCUGAAAACUGCCAUUUGUCUCUGAAGAAAAUGGCAUGCGCCUGUGAAGAAUCUGCCAAGAAAAACGUUCGUAAAUGUCACCCCUCACAGCGAACUCGUUCGCCAGCUAUCAGGGGCCCAAAAACUGAGCUAGUUCUGUGUUUUUCCAGUUCUUUCUUUCCUUCUAAUGCCUUUAUUUCCCCGCUGCUUAGCCCUGCUACAAAACUUGACAACGGAUUUCAUUCCAUGACACAAGCUUACAUUCCAUUCGUUACCCCUACUCCAUGUACGACACACACGCAGCUUUAUUGAGCUCGAACUGAAACACGAGAGCAGAGAUGAAUAUGACGAAGGCCGGUUCAGUACUUGGUGCAUUUGUUGGUGGAGCCACUAUCGAGGUGGAGCACGCAGCCCUUGCCGUCCUCGGGCGCGCACAUGCAGGCGCACCCGUUGAGCUUCUGGCCGGGGUAGUUCUUGCAGGUGAUGUACCCUCCCUGGAUGCAGUUGCCAGGUUCCCGGAUCGAUGGGGUCGAAGGAUGGGAACGAGGGUCGAGGAUCACCGACUACCGAUAGUAGGGGAAGAUGGGGGUAUACAUCUUUAGACCGAACCGGUCGAUAGGCGGAACGUGACCCCCAACAAUUUGGGAACGAUGACCCCACAACGAUAUGGCAGGUGGAGGAACAUGACCCUUUUUUUUGCAUGGUAAUACAUGUCUCAUUCAUAUCAGAAAGAACAAAGUACAAAUUACGUAAAGACCGACAUGACAAAACUGAAAAGAUAGCAGAACAUUUCUGAGAUUGACACCAACGCCCGUCACCUGCCUCCGGCACCACCACAGCAGCCACCGAAGAAAAGAAUGACGAAUCACCUCCUCACCUGAGCUCGACGCGGCUCCAUCUCUGAUAUGCAGCCUUGCGGACCUCGAAGGUGGCUCACCAAAAGUGAAGCCCUUACCGUUGAACGAAUCAGACCGGGGCAACACCCCGGACACGCCAUCGAACUCCAGAUCUGACACCCCACUAUGACUAAAACGCCGAAGGAGGAAACCAUAUCUGCCAUCCACGAUGCACGAGCCCAGCACAUGCUCCGUCUUCCAGAUGUCGUCGAUGCAGACCACAAUCUGCAUCCGCUCCUGGACUACCUCCCAAGCUCCGCGUCGACGCUGGAGCAAACGCCAUUGCAACGGCGGAGCCCGAGGACACAGGUCCACCAUGAGGAUGCUGCCGCCGCCAUGCCAUCCUUGCUUGAACAGUCUGGUUUCCAAAUCCAUCCCAAACCAUAGGACCAAUGGCCUCGUCAGGGAAGGAAGGAUCCGAAGAAUCUUUAUUCAGCAUUGUCAUCGUCGCCGCCGAAGCAAAGACGAUGAACAACCUAAAAACCUAGACUACGAGAGAGUAAAAGCGAUCCACACGUGUGGAUCCGGCGACCCCCCUCACCACCAACGACCGAAGUCGCCGGCAGAGGGGAGCUGCCGGAGAGCGGCGUUGGAAGAUCGGCCUCCCCUAGCGGCGGCCAGGGUUCCAGCCGUCAGGGAUGAGAGGAAAACAGGAAAGAGUAGGUGCAACGUGACCGUCCUUACACGCAAGAGGAAAGUCAGUAGCUCAGGUAUUAAUUAUCACUUCAUCUUAGGAACUGUUUGGUAUGUACCAAAAUCUGCCUCACCAAUUCGUGCAAGGUUCUAGCAUCGUCCAUGAUUGGAAAUGAGGUUUGUUCAGAUAAUGAACUAAUGAGUGCAGAAUGUGAACAAAUAUUUGUCAAAUUUUUGCGAGGAACAUAAAUGCGUGCAAUAUCUAGUCAAGCGUACAGGUCUCCCCGGCAGUAUUACAGACACAGAAGUUGCACGUCAAUAUAACAGUGCAGUUGACUUCCAUUUUCCUGCAGAUCUCACUGAGAUGGAUCUUCGAGCAAGGAGCGAGCAUGGUAGCCAAGAGUAAGAAAAAGGAGAGGCUUCAGGAGAACCUAGGAAUCUUUGACUGGGAACUGACGGACGAAGACCGGUUCAAGAUUACUCGGAUACGGCAGUACAAGAAGGUCACGGUGCUGGCGAUCCUCUGCCCUGAAGGUGUCCCUGGCGUCGAUAUGUCGGAGGUUGAUGUGGUUGAAACGUAGGUGCCAAAUUGUGGAGAUGCAUGCGCCAUUUAAACACUGCGAGUUACUCCUGUAAUUUGGUGAAGAUGCAUGCGCCAUUUAUGCACUCCAAAUUACAAAGAUUUGGUGGUGAGAUGCUUCUGGUGGUGCUACCUGUGCCCUACCUGGAUGAGGUCCUGCUUGGCAUCAUCAAUUGUGAUGAUCCUGACGGGUUCCCCUACAGUGCUGGUGGGUAGCCGUCAGUCGUCAUUCACUGUGUCACAAAUGGACUUGGCCACAGGCCACAACAUCUUCGGUUGGCUGAUCUUUCCUUGUCUCGCGCCAGCAUCAUCUUCUCUUCUCUCCAGGAAGAAAGAAAGACUUUUUUUACGAAGAAGGAAGAAAGAAAGACUAGCAAAAGUUGCUCCUAGAAAAUCGACGAAAUUUAAGCUUGCAUGGAUAGUAGAAGGCUCCUGUUUGUCCCACAGGCAAUCCAAAUUUCUUGUGGCGAGCGCGACAAGUCAACAACUGAGGUGGGUCCUGGUUAGGAGAUGGAUGUAUCAUGUAUGACAGAUAUGUGGGCCUCACAGCUAUUUGUGUGUGUGUGUGUGUGUGUGUGAGGAAGAACUGGGCCUCAGAAUUACUACGAAAGUAUGGCGGAGAACGAAACAUAUGGUACAAGAAAUUGUCUAGCUCAGCUUAGUCCAUGACCUUCUUAAAAAAAAGCUUUGUCCAUGUGUUGUGGUGACUAGAGUAGUUCACAACUAUCUACUCCUACACCGCACAAGGAUCCAGUUUCAUUGCAGAGACAAUUGAUGCCCGCUGGAAGAACCAAAAUCCACCUCUCUGCCUUUGAAAAACGGACGAACAGCUACGUAAGAGCAUCUUCAGCCCCGCUCAUAGGGAGGCCUCCUUAGGCGAUUUUUUCGCGCCGGCGUCGAAAAAAUGGACCAGUCGCAUUUUCAGAAGCCUGAUUUUCGCCGGCCUGGGCCAAAAUCAGCGCCAGCGGACCCAGGCCGAACCCGGCAUCCAGGGGCGAGCGGUUUUGGCGCGAAAAAGCCGCGGGCCAGCCGCGUCAGUGACACCGCGGCUCGUCCUUCCCCAACGCCUCGGUUUCCCGCGCGGGGAAUCAAUGAUAAGGCUGCCGCCAGUCAGCCUUACCAUUGAUUCCUCAUGGGCGGCGCAUCACGGGACGGCACGCCGACGCCUCCCUUCCCUCGCACGCGUACACACGAGCGCGGUGCGGCUAUAUAAGCCGGUGGACUCGCUCGCCUGUGGCCACACAAGCCCCGCCCUCGCCGCCGAGCUUUACCUCUCCCGAGCGCCACCGCCGAGCUCUCCCUCUCCCGUGAACCGCCGCCCAGCCCCUCCCUCUCCCUCCCCCUCUCACGAUGGCCGAGCGUUUCGCCGGAGACGAGGCGGCGGCCAACGGCUUCGACCGCCGCAGUCUUCGCGAACAGGAGUCGUGGCUCAUGUUCCAGGCGAACAUCCCGACGCCACCGGACAUGCGCGCCGGGUCGAUGGGCUGGAAGCUCAGCAAUGGGGGAGUGCCCAUUCCCCCGUUGCCCGAUGCCGUGGUUAAACCCUCCUACUUCGCCGACGAGGUCGAGGUCGUGCGUGCCUCCCUCAUCGACGCCCAGCUCUUCCUCCCCCAGUACGCCGCCGACAACCACGCGGCUUGGGCGGCGUACUUCCAACGCCGUCAGCAGCAGCGGCUGGCGUCCACCAACGGCGCGGUCGUGGUCGGCGGCCAGAAGAACAUCGAGGGGCGCCACCUGUGGUGGGGUGUCCCCGGCCGCACACUCGAGGGCGUGCUGACGCACCUCGAGGGCAGCAACAACCCGCCAUUAGCGUACCCCCCGGCGAGGGCGGCCGCGGCGCCCCGCCGAUGCGACAGGCCAUGAGCGCCAAGGAGGUUCGGCUCCUCCUCCUCUUCCUCCUCGUGCUCUUCCUCGCACUCCUCCGGCACUCCAGCGCUGCUCGGCAUCAAGGUCGAGCCCGCGGCGGAGACGCCGCUCGGCCGGCGCACUCGCAGCGUCGGCAUCGUCAUCAACGAGGGCGGCCGGCGCGCCUCCUCGUCGGCUCCUCCUCCGCGCUUCGUCAAGCCAAAGACGGAGCCGGGGCUCGCGCCGGUGAAGGCGGAGCCGGGUCUCCCCGCCAUGAAGAGGGAGCACAGCGAGGUCAAGCUCGACAACGACGUGGCCCUUGAAUGGGCACGUCAGGACUCCCUGAAAAUGGCGAGGGAGCGCCAGUGCGCCGUACUGCGACGCUUCGCGGAGCGCCGCCGGGGCCGCGAGGAAGGAGGAGUCGUCAUCAUCGCCGACAGCGACGACGACGACGCGCCGCCGCCGUCAGCAGUCCGCCAUGGCGACGCCGGGUCCAGUAGGGGCGCCCGCGUCAAGGAGGAGAAGGCCGAUGAUGACGAUGGCGGUGAUGAUGGCAGCGAUGACGGCGACUACCCGAUGUUCAGCCAGUUUCUUUUUUAGAUUAGUUUAUAUAUUUGCUAUGUAAUAAAAAUUCGUGAACUUUGUUGAAUUAUAUGCCCAAGUUGAACCAAAUUUGUCGUGUUUAGUCGAAUUUCGCCGAACUUUGCUAUAUACUUUUAUUUUUUGAACGCGUCUGGGGACCGCUCUAGAGCCGGCGGCUGGAGACCAACUCACCCCAGUUCAAUUUUUUGCGCCGGUUCAUCCCAGGCGGCGGCGAUUUAGGCGCCCGGGGGGCCAACGGCUGGCUGGAGAUGCUCUAAGUCCUUAUGUCACUCGGGCCAGUAUAAAAGCCGGUGGCUCGUCCUGUACUUGAACCACAAGACAAGACAAGCUCAAUCGCUCUGCAGAGACGACGCAUGGCCUCGACGACAGCGGCGGUGCCGGAGGUGGCGCUGCGGUCCGGCGGCGCGAGGCCCAUGCCGGCCGUCGGCAUGGGCACCGCCAAGUUCCCGGCGGUGGCGGAGACCACCGUGAAGGCCGUGCUGGAGGCCGUGGAGGUGGGCUACCGCCACUUCGACACGGCCGCCAUGUACGCGACGGAGCGGCCCCUGGGCGAGGCCCUCGCGGAGGCGGUGCGCCGCGGGCUCCUGGCGUCCCGGAAGGAGGUGUUCGUCACGUCCAAGCUCUGGUGCACGCAGUGCCACCCUCAGCUCGUGAUUCGGUCCCUCCGGGAGAGCCUCCAGUAAGCUCGGUCCAUCUAGAGUAGACUUUUGCCCGUUGACUUCUGUUGAUCUUGAUCAAUCGUCUCGGGGUUUGUGCUUCGUUUCUGAAGGAACCUGCAGAUGGAGUACGUGGACCUGUACCUGAUCCACUGGCCGAUCAGCCUGAAGCCCGGGCCGGCGGUGUUCCCGGUGAAGCGGGACGACGCCGUCCCGUUCGACUUCGAGGGCGUGUGGCGCGCGAUGGAGGAGUGCCACCGCCUCGGGCUCGCCAAGGCCAUCGGCGUCAGCAACUUCACCACCAGCCACCUCCACAAGCUACUCGCCGCUGCCACCGUCCCUCCUGCAGUCAACCAGGUUGCUGGAUGUUACGAGCUCCUACGAGAUUACGAAUACUGGUCUGAAUGUCUUAGCAAGACGAUCCACCGUCACUGUAACUCUGUGUAUCAUCUGUAGGUGGAGAUGAACCCGGUCUGGCAGCAGAGGAAGUUGAGGGGGUACUGCGCGGAGAAGGGCAUCCACGUCGCGGCCUACUCGCCGUUGGGAGGGCAGAAUUGGUCCGGCGACGGAAACGCCGUGCUGGACUCCGAGGUGCUCGCGGAGAUCGCCAGGGCCAGAGGAAAGACCGUCGCACAGGUAACCGUAACCGUAGUGUACACGCCUCGUUUCUCCUAGCAACUGCUCGGAAUUACGACAUGCAGUCCGUAUGACACCAACCGAUUCCUCUUUCUUCUCAUUCAGGUAGCGCUGAGGUGGAUCUACGAGCAAGGGGUGACCCCGAUCGUCAAGAGCUUCAGCAAGGAGAGGCUCAAGGAGAACCUCGGGAUCUUCGACUGGGGGCUCGCCGACGACGACCUGCGCAAGAUCGGCCAGAUUCCGCAGAAGAAGAUCGUCAAAGCUGCAGGCAUGCUGUUCUCGGCAGAGGGCGAGUUCACGUCGGUUGACCUCGCAGACAUGGAAAUUGUCGAGGAAUAAAAUAGGCACUCAGAAAGUGAGAGUACCUGCUUCGCUGUGUGACGUAGUAGUAAAUUACAGUAGUAGCUUACUUUGAGGGUGGGGAUAAAUAAGAGCAUCUGCAAUAGUCUUUAUGAUAGAUUUCUUGAUACAAGGUCCACAUCAGCAGUCAACCGUGUAUCAUACGAGUUCUCUAAUGAAGCGUAUGUUAGUCUGAUGGAACCACGCAUAUUAAAUCAAUUUAAAUAAACUGAUGACCAACCAGGUCCGGCCAGGAG